rnacentral:lncRNA from 1 species
GGCACAUUCGAAUGAUUUAAGACUCAUCUCUGCAGAGACUGCCCAGCUUUACCCACCUGAUGUCAAUAGCUAGCUAAGCUGAGGACAACAUAGCCGUUCGAGAGUCCCACUUACUACUAGUUACUGCCUAGUGGGAUAUUGAUCCAUCCUAGCAGUCGGGCACUUGUUGGGCCUAAGCAAGGCUAGACGGUCGUUGCUUUCACGGGUUCCACCAUUGCGGAUCAUGUCAACCUGGCCGAAGCCCCUUCCACAUGUCCACCCCAAACCUGCUCAUAGAGCCACCCUACAGUCUUUCAUAUAGUGGGACAAUGUACUAGGCUAAGUCUGAUUACUCAGUCCUGUGGAUGGGCGCAAAUUACAUCAUUUUCCAUGGCAUAAGGGGGUAGUCCUUAUAUCCGGGGAAAGCCACCAAAACUAGCACAGGCCCGUGCAUACUUUAAGUGUAAAUAUACACUUUCCACAAAAUAAUUAUAACAAUAUGCACGGCCUCACACACCACAACAUCCAUCUUCACCCGGAAUUAAUCUUCCAUAUCACUCCAGGUGAGUGACUCAUAUCAAAUAACAUAUUUUAUAUCACCUGACACGCCACCACAUGACGACGGGUAAACCAUGUAUAUGAGUAUAUAUAUUUGGUGGUCUUAUCCACUAGAAUAUUAUCGUGAAGUAUAUAAAUCUACACCUAGGUUAUCAAAGGACGUGAUAUAACAAUCCAUGGAUUUGGCUAAUAAUAACAAUGUAAUAAUGGGUAAUAACUAAACUAACAAGUUUAUUAAAAAAUAAUUCAUAUGCAAAAUAAUUUUAUAAAUACUCAAUGCAUAAAAUAACUAAGUGGUUCUCUACUAGGUUUCAAUAUGAUCAAAGAUUGGAACUGUGGCUUGCCUUGUGGAACGUGUCCUUCGGAAGCUUCAACGUAGCCUUCUUGGUCCACUUCAGUUCCUGCGAGUCCAGUGGGAUCUUCAACGCGAUCUAACGUACGCACAAGAAGAAACGACCAAAUAAGCCUAUAAGAAAAAUACUAUAAAUAAGAAUUAAAAUAAAUGGUGAAGGUUGGAGCCAGAACUGUGGAAAGAUGCACUAGAAGUUCUAUGGUUUCAAAUAACAAAAUAUCACUGUAAAGCAGGGGUUUAUGGUGUAUACAAGAAUGGACAUGAUGCAGAGGUUUGGGUACUGGAAACCGGAAGAAAUUGUGUCUAGAGGUGGCCGAACCAAAGGUGAACCGAACGAAAAAUUAUUGAACCAUUAAACAGAGCCUUAGCCAGAUUUGUUUAGCUCUGUUUCCUGUCUUAUGGUUGGAUUCAACCAUGAUGGCACAGUACCACGUACUACUGUUCAUCUUCUUCAGUGAGACGAACCUAGGGGCAAGGGAAUAGAGAACAGGGAAAAAGUAGGAAGGUGGAUGCUAGGCUGUGAUGGGUGAUAGGUAAGGACAUCAUGAGCAAAACACGUUCUCAAGGGUCGCGAACUCGAUGCUGUUGUUAGUUUUCAGAGACGACACCCACACCGGCCGGAACAGGAGUUCCAGAUCUGGAGCUAUGGUGACACCGGGCAUGGAAGUGGCAGCUCUGGUGGUGAACGCGGGCGGGUGAGCGCGUCAAAAGGCGUUCCCGGAUGAGAAGGUUCCAUUUUUGUAGUUAGUUGAUAAAGAGGACAUUCUGGACGUGUUGGCCACGGUAAUGGCCAUGACAGCCCAUGGGAGCUUCGGAAAAGCUCGAUACAAAAGCGGAAAAAGAGGGAAAAUAAAGAAAGAAGCCUCACCGAUGAGUGGCAAAGUUGAUGGCGUGCUGUUGUGGCAGAAAAAGGGCCAGCGACGGUGGAUUUGGCCAGUGACCUUGGCGGCAGUUUGGAGUGGUUUGAGGGCAGGGAUGAGCUUGAGUGCUCGGUGUUUCCAGAGAAAGAAGAAGAAGGGGAAAAAGGAAGGGAGAAAAGCCUCUCGCUAAGAUUCGCGCGACGGCUAUCGGAGAUCGGCGCGUGGCUCGUAUGAGGCGGCACGGGCGAGCGUGUGCGAGCACGGGAAAGGCACGAGGCGGCACGCGUGUAGCGCGAGCGGCCCUGAGCGGCGUCGGCCUGCAGCGGCUCGGCUGGAGCCGGCCUACCUAGGCUGGGCCAGGACAUGGGCUAGAACAGCCCAACACAGAGAGUGACCAAGGAAAAGGAAAUCCGGAAUAUGGCCUGGAUUGCAAGGAACAUGGCCCGAGCAGAAACACAGUGUUCUAUUUGAAUUUUUGGAGAGAUUUUUGUAUGGAAUUUUGGUAGGAUAUUUUUUAAUAGGAAUUGAUAGGAUUUGGGAUCUUAGAACAAUUGCAUGAUGACUCCGGUUUAACUUAAAAUAAACAUCAGCUCUUCUAAUGAUUUUGGGAAUUUUCUCUAGGAUAUCUCGGAUUUUGUUUGGUGAGGGAAACUAAACAAGGUUAUGUGGGAGUCGUAAACUUAGAGGGAACAAAAGAAAUAUAAGGAUUGGGAGGCUCCAAUUCGAAAGAACGAAGAACAUCGACUUUAAAUAUUUUCGCAAAAAAAUUAUCUUGAAAAAUCUAGUAUGUUACAUAUACUGAAUAUACGGCUAGCUUAUCUAGGAGAUGCUUUGGUGCGGGUAUAAUGUUUGCUUAUGCAAUUACUCUAUGUCAUGACGAUGAUAUUAUAGUAGUAUCUGGUAGUUUAGACGUGGUGUCUAGAUUACGGGAUAUCAUUAUUUGGGGUUAUAUAUUGCGGAUGGGAGGUGGGCCGCUGAUGGUGACAGCUCAGUACGGGUAUUCCUCCGCGCCGGUAUAUAGUCGUAAGUUAAUUUCCUGGGGAGGGUAUUCCUCCGUAUUUAGCUCCGGCUGUAUGGUCAUGACGGACUGUCGUAAGGAACUCGAUAGUCAGGGGUGGCUUCUCGAUGUACCAGGAGGGCAUUGGAUAGAGGGUAUUAGCUAGUAUAUCAGUUAACUAGAAUGUAUGUAUACUAUGUAUAUUAGAACUAUAGGAAUAGAUUUUCUUUCUCUUUUCUUUCCACUUAGCUCAGAUAAUAUAUUAUGAGAAUGAGUAGUAAUGCUUGUGUGUCACUCUACCCUUGGAUUAUCUUAACCCCUGCUUAGAAUAUGAUUAUCACAAGUAAUAUAUAAAUUUUUAGAAUAUGAUUAUCUCUCUCUACUCUCGGUUGAAAUGCUACAAUGGUAUAUCCGUGCGCUUGCGGAUGAACUCUGUAACCAUAAUAUACCAGAAGUAUUUCUGCGCCAUUGCUGGAAAUUAUAUUUCUAGUAAUGUCGUUAAAAAAUACCAACACUCGGGUUGCCGAGUUUCUUACGACAACCUGUCAUAACCCUCCAACCGAAGUAGGAUACGAGGUGUAUCCAACCCCAAGAAAUUGUAUAUAAACUGUAGGGAAGACGCCCGUACUAAGCUGUCACUAUCAGCGGCCUGCAAAUCACCUAGAGAAUAUACCCCCAAAUAAUGAUAAGUGAUAACCUAAACCACAUGCUUAUGUUACUACUUAUUACUCUACAGCCUUGCAAUCAGUGCCGAGCAUCUGAGUCCCCGAGACAUAACUCUCGGCCUAGCCAGAGCAGACUUAUGACCCGGUAAUCAGACAUUAUACCAGCAUCAAUGCAAAUCCCAGAAGGUUUAACCACACAGAUUAUACUACUUACAAAUAAACUAAGAAUGGUACUCAUACUCUAUGAUCGUAAUAAAGUACCGAACUUGUAUAUUAUAUUGAUAAAUGGAAGUCUUACAAAGAAGAAAGGAAAAGCUAUAGAACCUUUACCGAACUCCCCGAAGCCUCCGUGGACUUGGAACUACUCUAACUCUACUCUACUAACACUAAUACUAACUUUGUAGAGAGCUUUGAUCCUUCCUUGAGUGUGUGUUGAAAGUGAAGGAGGUGAGGUCCUUUUAUAGGUAGGUAUGAUGGAUGUAGAGUAUGGGAAUUGUCGGAAAUGCUCCGCAACCGCCAUCAGGAGUUCAUCCGGAGCGUCCACGCCAAACCCCAACCUCAAUGGCUGUGAUGGGGGUUCGGCCGAACAAUGAUCUGGCCCAAACGGCCUAAUUUUUGGCAGGCUGACUCCUCAUUUGCUCCUCAAUCCAAAACAUGGAAUUUUGGGCUUAAUUGAUGAUGUCUUUUGUGAGUUCUCAGCCCAUCUAUCCAUAAGUCUGGAUCUCGAAAGCCUCUGAUUGAUUGAUCGUCUAUUUUGUUGUCGAUUCUCCUCCAUUUAUAUGUGCUUCUCCAACAUAGAUGUUAGCAGCAUAGUAUAUAGUGGAAGUAGAUAUUUUAUUUGGAAUUUAUGCAUUGCAAGCAUAGCUAGUCUUCAUACAUUGGGUAAUAUUGACGGUCGAAAUUGGUCGAUAACGACCGUCAACAAAACCCCCCAAGCUUGAACCGUUGCUCGUCCCGAGUAAAGAAUGAAAGGAACAAAGACUUGGUUGUUUAUUAGGAGUUGCUGCAAUGUUGUAUAUAUCAAAGAAACAGAUGCAAGGUAUGGGUACUCUCUCUCAAAACAAAUAAGUUUGGCACGGUGGCUUACCCUUACCCCCGAUUCCCACGAGACACUGCCUUUCCUUGUCUUGAGCGGUUGAGAGACAGAACAACAAUUAGAGCGCUAGUUACCCAUUCUUUAUUCAACUUUUAUUACGGGAGUUUUCAAAUGAUUUUUGCAAAAGAAAGCAAAGUUCCUCAAAUGAUUCUCUAGAUCACUCAAAGUGUAUGAAUAUGGAUUCCUCACCAGAUUUGCCUUUUUUAUUCCUACUCUAAGGUUGAUAUGUGGAGCUUGGUAGGGAUCAAACAUGGCAUACUUGCAUUCACAUUUAUUACUAGGUCAAAAACUUAGACUAAAAUAGAUGACUAAUACUCAAGAUCAAGAUCGUGCAAAGUGUGAAUAUGGUGGAAAAAUAUGAUGGAAAAUAAAAUAUGGAUAAAGAAAAUGCUUCUCCCUUGUGCUUAUGCUUUUCCUCCAAAAUAUCCUUUAAUUUUCAUAGAGAGGGUAUGGCUACUUUUUCUCCUUUUUUUCCUUUUUUUUUUCAUGCUCCAAUUUUGGGAGAGCAAGAAUAUAUUAUUUUUCUCAUAGCCAUACCUUUCCCUCUUUUUUUUUUUUGCAAAGGAUUUUUCUUUGGAAAGGAAGCAUGGAUGUAGAACUUAUUUGUGGAUAAUGAUGACAUGGAUAUGGUAGAUGAUAUGGAUGCUAUCUUCCAUUGUAGAAGCUUAGCAUAUGUGUGCAUAUGUGGGUGUAUGAUCUUGAUCAUAGAGCAUGAAAAGUAUCUACACAAGUCACAAGGAUUUGACAAAAUUUAAUGGAAUUACAAGUAACCAAAAUGUAUAUGGCUUAAUCAAUAUGAAUAUUUUGGCUCUGGUAGGAAUUCAUAUCAAAUGAGGAACUUUCAAAAUUAUCAUUUUGAAAAAUAAAACAUCCGGAAUUCAAGUCAAACUUAGAACAUGAUUAUUUAUAGCAACUCUUAUUUACUAUCUCAUAUCUCGCAACAACCUAGACUCAGAUCAGCAAAGUGCAGCUCACUUACCUCAGGUUCCUGGAUAAUUGUAGGCUACCCUUAUUCAAAUUUUGAGAGAGUACUUAACCAUGAACCCAUAUAUGAGAGAUAUAAAACAGAGCAACUAUUCAUCAUUUCAACAUGAAGAACUAAGCAUGUCUUACCUAGCAUAUUAAAUCUAACCUAUCUUUUUGGUAUUUUUAGUUUUGCAAAUUUUUAUGUUGUUUUCAGGUUUAUAAAUGCAAUGCAAAAAUUUAAACAUGUAAUUUGAAAGGGAAAUAUGCAAUAUGAUACAAGUUACCUUAGUGGGGGGAGAGACAUCUCUCCCCCAAGCUUGCUUCUUGCUAUGGCUCAUGGCGGGGAUCAAAUCCCUGGUAGCGGUGAAACGCUUGCCAGUCAGCUUGCUAUUGUUGCAUCAUAGUGUUGAAGUUUGCAACCUGUGCAUCAACAGACUGUUGCCAUUCCCGUGACUGUACCACAUUAUCCUCCAAGGUGUGUUGUUCGUUCCCUGCCUACAGUUCAAGUGUAUCCAUCCUCCGGGUGAGUUCUCCCAGAUCCCCUCGAGAGGAGACAGCGACACAUCCAAGAGGAUGAAGGUGGACCACUUGAAUUGGAGGAGCGCGAGUAUCCCCAGUGCAGCUCCUACGGCUCAUGCCAUCGGCCGUCGCUGGCACUCUGCCAGGACGAACCACCAGCGUCAUGUUGCGGGAUUUGGGUUCAACCGGGGACAUCCGCGGUCGGGUCCCAAUAGUCCCCAUACAUUUACACUGGUGGUGAAGAGGAAGACGCCUCCUGAGGUGCUUCUCUCGCCAUUCGUCAUGUUACCCUGCGUGGGACAUCACGAUGCAACUCCAAUUGGAGUGGAAUGGUUAGUUCUCGGCAAUUAUACAAAUGAAACUCCGGGUUAGGUAAAGGAAUCUCAUUUGUAUAGCCGGGAAACAAAAAUAUAAGAUAAUCAUUUGGACCAUGUUUGAGUAUGUGGCAUUGAACUAAAUAGGCCUCAUCAACAUAAGAGCGGGUGAUAGGAAUACUUGCUUAUAAAGCAUAGUCCCAACUCUUCAUGCUGAACGAGUCACCAAAGAAAUACACUCAAAAGGACCAGACAACUUCAUAUUUUCUAACCAUUGCUUGAUCAUGGGUUGAACAGGUGAAACUUUGAUUUUUUUUAUUAACCAUGGCAUACAAGAGGACUAGUUCGUCUUCACAAACUAUCUGGAUAUCAGCUCUAAGAAACAACAUGAAACCAAGCAACUUAUGCAACAGCCCCAAGGUAGGAUGAUGGAUGUCACUAGUUCUAGGCUUUUUAGAGGAUGAGAAACCUGAAAUACUUUGCCAAAACAUACGCUUGUUAAAAACCAAGAAAUGCGUUCCUGAAAUUAACUUUGCAUGUUUUGUCAAAGCCUAGAUGCAAGAUAAGGUCUUUCCGAGAAAGGUGAUAUUCCUUGCGGAAUAACCAGAAAGUACACCAUCGCCUACCUCUAGCAAGGUACAUAGAAACUGCAUGGUAAGCAAACAGGAACCCGGCUCAUCUACACAUGCAAAUUUAUCCCAUCCAACAGCACGCCAAACAGUAUGAAACUCAGCAUCCAUACCUAUCCUUUUCAAAAGGUCGAGUUGUAUGCUUAGGUCUGAGCACACGUUCGGUCCUUCAGCAUAUGAUAGGCUUGCAUUUCCUGGUCGCCCACGAGGUCGAGAUCGGAGUUGUCGUACAGCCUCGGUGGAACGUACGCCUCCUCCAUGGAUGCAUCCGCAGAAGAAGGUGUACUCGGCUUUUCGUGUCGGCUUGUCCGUGAGCUUGAUUGUCUCUUGAAUAUGCCCGGAAGUCGUUUCUUCAUUACAGAUACCAAGCCAGCAUACAGAUGGCACCGUACGAAGCGUUGUAUGGCCACAAAUGCCGAACACCACUAUUGUGGGACCAAGUUGGGGAAAGCCAAGUGUUCGGGACCGAUAUCUUGAGAGAAGCUGAAGCGAAGGUCAGGACCAUUCGGGAGAAUCUAAAGGUGGCCCAGUCUCGGCAGAAGAGUUAUGCAGACAACCGACGCCGUGACCUGGAAUUCGUAGUGGAUGACUUUGUGUAUCUCCGGGUCACGCCGUUGCGAGGCGUACACCGGUUUCAGACGAAAGGGAAGCUCGCACCUCGGUUUGUGGGUCCUUUCCGGAUCAUUGCUCGACGCGGAGAAGUCGCUUACCAGUUGGAGCUGCCCGCCUCCUUGGGCAACGUGCAUGAUGUGUUCCAUGUGUCGCAACUCAAGAAAUGCCUUCGAGUGUCGUCCGAGCAGGCCGACUCAGAGCAGAUUGAAGUUCGCAAAGACUUGACCCACGUGGAGAGACCGGUGAAAAUCCUGGGCGCCAUGGAGCGCAGGACCAGGAACCGGGUAAUCCGUUUUUGCAAGGUCCAAUGGAGCAACCACGCCGAGGAAGAAGCUACUUGGGAGCGUGAAGACGAGCUGAAGACAGCCCAUCCCGUUCUCUUCGCCAGUUCUUCCGAAUCUCGGGGUCGAGAUUCCGUUUAAGGGGGGUAGGUUUGUCACGUCCCAAAACGACUCUAAAAUAUAUCCCUUAAAUGAUGCCUAGAAUAAUUAAAAUCCGUGUGAAAGCCUCCAACAAUUAAAAUGUGCAAAGUUAAAAGUCAAAUAAGGCUUGGAGGAUUUUUGUAAAUUUCCUAAAAGCCUAAAAUGCGUAAAUAAAUUUUAGUGGAAUUUUCAGAGCACAAAUAAUAAUUAUUAAGAAAUAAACAAAGUUAAAAUGAUUUUAUAAAAAGAAAAACCCUAAAAGUCCCCCUUCAUGAAUUUGAUCUUUCAUGAUUUGUUAGGUAUUAUCCUAGAGAUCUAUAUUGAUGAUAUUGUUCUCAAAUCGGAUGGUAUGGAAGGACACAUAGCAGAUUUGAGGUUAGCUUUUGAGAGGAUGCGCCGAAAUGGUUUGAAGAUGAACCCACUUAAAUGUGCUUUUAGUGUGUCGGCGGGGAAGAUCUUAGGAUUCAUGGUGCAAGAGAGAGGAGUUGAGAUUGAUCCUAAAAAGAUAGAGAAGUUUCGUGAUUUCAAAGAGCCGACAUGCAAGAAGGAGGUCCAAAAGUUGCUAGGUAAAUUGAAUUAUUUGAGAAGGUUUAUUUCUAACCUAGUGGGUAGAAUCGAUGCUUUUGUUCCUAUACUUCGCUUGAAAAAAGAAGCCGAUUUUACUUGGGGGGCAAAACAACAAGAGGCGUUUGAAUAGUUGAAGAGAUAUUUGUCUACUCCACCCGUUGUGCGAGCGCCUAAAGCCGGAAAGCCUUUUCGGUUAUAUAUUGCUUCCGAAGACAAAGUUAUUGGUGCCGUUUUGAUGCAAGAGGAAGAUGGCAAGGAAUAUAUCAUUACAUAUUUGAGCCGCCGUCUUUUAGAUGCCGAAACGAGGUAUGUUUUUAUAGAGAGACUUUGUCUAUGCUUAUACUAUGCUUGUACCAAAUUGAGGCAUUAUUUGUUAUCUAGUACAUGCAUUGUUACUUGUCAAGCCGAUGUUAUUAAACACAUGUUGAGAAGGCCAAUUCUAAGUGGGAGAAUUGGCAAGUGGGCAUAUGCUUUAAUAGAAUAUGAUUUGGCUUAUGAACCAUUGAAAUCUAUGAAAGGCCAAAUUGUAUGUGAUUUUAUAGUAGACCAUCAUAUAGAUAUUGCUUAUGAGGGAGAGGUUUGCUUAGUUGAAGUUAUACCUUGGAAGAUUUAUUUUGAUGGUUUUUCUUGCAAAGAAGGUCAAGGCAUAGGGGUAGUUUUGUUUUCACCUAAUGGCAUGUGUUAUGAAGCAUCGGUUCGUUUGGAGUAUUAUUGUACAAAUACUCAAGCCGAAUACAAUGCUUUAUUAUUCGGCUUACAAGUUAUGGAGAUGGUUGGAGCUAAGUACGUGGAAGCUUUUGGUGAUUCGGAAUUGGUGGUUCAACAAUUCGCCGGAGUUUACAAAUGCUUGGACGGAUCACUAAAUAGGUAUCUCGAUUCAUGUUUGGAUAUUAUUGCCAAUUUUGAUAGUUUUGUUAUUAGACAUAUUGCUACGCGUGAUAAUUCUAGAGCAAAUGAUUUAGCGCAACAAGCAUCUGGCUAUAAUGUGAAGAAGGGAUUAUUUCUGAUAUUAGAAGAGCCGGUGCUUGAUUUUAAAUCUUUGUGCGAAAUUGGCAAAACUGGAGACCAGGGGCGGUCUGACCGGCAUUGCACGGCCGGUCUGACCGGUGACCAGGGGCGGUCUGACCGGCCGCAUGCCGCCGGUCUGACCGGCGACCCUGAGCGGUCUGACCGGCCCUGCGUGGCCGGUCUGACCGGUUCUGGGCAGAACGCUGGGGGGCACAUUUCAAUCAAUUUAGAGGCCGAAUUAAGUGUGAAUUCGGACAUUUGUGCCCAGGGAACAGAAGAAGAUUGGAGAAUUCCUUUGAUUCGAUAUUUGAAAGAUCCUACACUUAAGGUUGAUCGGAAAAUUCGGUGGCAAGCAUUCAAAUAUACAUUGUUUGAUGGAGAUUGUAUCGCCGAAAUAUAGAUGGUGUCUUGUUGAAGUGCUUAGAUGAAGAUCAAUCUAAAGUGGCUAUGGGAGAGGUACAUGAAGGAAUAUGUGGAACUCAUCAAUCGGCCCACAAGAUGAAUUGGUUGCUUAGGAGAGUGGGAUUCUAUUGGCCGAAGAUGAUUGAUGAUUGCUUCAAAUAUUAUAGAGGAUGCAAGGCUUGUCAACGGUUCGGCAAUGUUCAAUUGGCGCCCGCCGUCAUGUUGAAUCCCAUAAUCAAACCAUGGCCGUUCCGAGGAUGGGCUUUGGAUUUUAUUGGUCAAAUUUAUCCUUCGUCAUCAAAGGGGCAUAGGUUCAUGCUAGUUGCUACGGAUUACUUCACCAAGUGGGCCGAAGCCGUUUCUUUGAAGAAUAUGACUCAUAUGGAGGUAAUUGAAUUUAUUUUGAAGCAUAUUAUCCAUAGAUUCGAUAUUCCACAAACAUUAACUACGGACCAAGGUGCUUCUUUUAUGUCUAAGGAAGUGAAGAGUUUUACCGAAUCUUAUGGUAUUAAAUUGUUGAGUUCUUCUCCUUACUACGCUCAGGCUAAUGGACAAGCCGAGUCGAGUAAUAAGACAUUGUUGAAGUUAGUGAAGAAGAAGAUUGAGGAACACCCAAAGAGGUGGCAUGAGGUGCUUUCCGAAGCAUUGUGGGCGCAUAGGAUUUCUAAACAUGGUGCCACUAAAGUCACUCCUUUUGAGUUGGUUUAUGGUCAAGAAGCCAUUUUACCGGUGGAGAUAAAUCUUGGUUCUCUUAGUUAUAUCAAGCAAGAUGAUUUGUCAAGUGAAGAUUGCAAGACAUUGAUGGGAGACAAUCUUGAUGAAGUCAUCGACAAGCGCUUGAAAGCAUUGGAAGAAAUAGAGAAAGAGAAGAAGAGGGUGGCCAAGGCGUACAACAAAAGGGUGAAAGCAAAGUUGUUUCAAGUUGGAGACUUGGUUUGGAAGAUAAUUAUGCCUUUGGGUACUCGAUCCAAGGAGUUCGGUAAGUGGUCUACUAGUUGGGAUGGUCCUUAUCAAGUAUGCGGCAUUGUUUGAGGGAACGCAUAUUUUUUGGAGACACUUCAAGGGGAGCAUUUUCAGCGAGCAAUCAACGGGAAAUACUUGAAGAAAUACUUCCCGAGCGUUUGGCAAGACACUUAGGAGGUACUAUGGCCGGUAAUUGGAUUAUCGUCCUAAGACCAAAACAUGUUCUAUGUUUUUAGAUUCACGUUGUUCAUCAGACAGGCAGGGGGGCAUAUGUUUACACCCAAAUUUGGCACCUAGGAUUAAAAUAGAAAAGAUUGCCAAAAUUGGGAAGUCUACCGGUUUUCUCCGAGUGGACCGGUCUGACUGCCGUGUGUUGGCCGGUCAGACCACCGGUUGAAGGCCGGUCAGACCGGCGGUGUGUGGCCGGUCUGACCGGCAGGUCCGAGUCUGACUGUGUUUCGUCGGGUCUCGAGGUUUCCUUGCUCGGGAAGGCAUGUUUCGGGUUUCCUUUGGUUUCUACCCCGAGUUGGACGUGGAGGAGGGCCUGUAGAGGGCAAGACUAACCCCUAUAUAAGGGACAUGGACGGUUCAUUGUAAAAAAUCAAUCUACAAUCAAUCAAUCGAAUCGUUUUUCAUAUUGCUUUUAGUUUUCUCUUAGUUUGUCCAUCUUUGUCGGUUUGCGCCGUAAACCGUCCGCCGCCGCUGCGAGAGUGCGACACCUCUUUGUAGGUUUGUCCUGAAAACCUUCCAUUUUGCCCACGAGACGGGUAGUUAUCUAGAAAUCGGCUCUGCUAGCCGGUUUAGUUAUCAAAACCCAUCUAGGUUUAGCUCUUUGCUAGAUCGAGGUGGUUGGCGACUCUAGGAUCACCGCAAGGCUUUAGGUGCUGCGAUCGUGCUUGUCAACUUGUCACAAAACGUUGCCAACAGUAACAAAUAUAUUUAGCAUGUGAGACAUUAACCCAUAUAUCCUCCACAUGCAGUAACACUAUAGCAUCAUUGUGAAAACGGUUUUAAAAAUAAUACAUAUCUUGUGAGAUAUUGCUUUUCAAAUAUUGGUAUUUUUGAACUUUAGCACUCCUUAUGAAGUAACAGAAUAUGUAAUUUGCAGUAACAUGGGUAUAUACAUGCAGUAACAUGGUUUUACCAAAUGUAUAAAAUUGUUCAAAACACUCGUACAUCAAUCAGACCUCACUCAAAGCCACCUACAGACUUUACCUAUAGCCCACCUAUUCGAUCUUCAUCUCGUAAAACUGACAUAGUAAAAUUACGAUUAUCGUGCAGUAACAUAACUACUUGGAAGUGGUAACAUGCACCCAUUAUGCAGUAACACUUCUACUUUUGUGCAGUAACAAGUAUAUACUUUUGUGCAGUAACAAGUAUAUGGUUAGCAUGUGAGGCUUUAACCCAUAUAUUUUUGUUUCGAUUCCUGGUCUACUACAAUUUUACUACGAUGUUACUGCCAAAAGUGCAGUAACGUCCUAUGUGUUCUACAGUAACGUCAUGUGUUACUGUACUUUUACAACAAUGUUACUACUAGAGCAUAGUAACAUGUUAUGAGUUUCGGUAGUGAAAGAUAUUAGAAUUGAUAAUCAUAUUACUUUCUCACAAAAUUCUUGAAACAAAUAGCAUCAUUAGAUAAAUUGGUUAGAAGAAUGUUCUUUGAACUAUGAGGUCAUGGGUUCAAGUCUUAAAUUUGGCAAUUUAUUUUUUAUUUUUCUAGAAAAGAGAAAAAAAUGUUUCAGGGAGAAAAAAAAACAGAAAAAAGAAAGAGAGAAAGAUCAGGAGGAGGGAGGGGGAGCGAGAGAGAUCGGGAGGAGGGAGGGGAAUCAGCAGAGAGAGGGGGGAACAGGAGGGAGAGAGGGGAGGAGGGAGGGGAAGCAGGAGAGAGAGGGGGGAACAGGAGGGAGAGAGAGAAAAAAAAACAGAAAAAAGAAAGAGAGAGAGAUCAGGAGGAGGGAGGGGGAGCGAGAGAGAUCGGGAGGAGGGAGGGGAAGCAGGAGAGAGAGUGGGGAAGAGGAGGGAGAGAGAGGGGAGGAGGGAGGGGAAGCAGGAGAGAGAGGGGGGAACAGGAGGGAGGGAGGGAUACGGAUGAGAAAGGGAGGGGGUAUAGAAUAGUCUUACCAUAUAUAUAUAUAUAUAAAACUAAUAAAAAUAUUUGGAUUUUUCCGGUCGUCACCUCGAGUCCUUACGGUGAUUUUUCAUCCCACCCUCGAAUCCCAAUCGCAAGCCAAAAAAAAGAAAGUCCGAAUCCCAAUCGCUAGCCAGAAAAAAGAAAGUCCGAUUCAAUCAAAAGGGCGAUAAAAAAAAUCUAUUCGUCUGCUUCGUCCGUCGCCCACAUCACGCGUGCCCCCUCUCCAAAUCGGAAUCAUCACAAAAUCAUCCCCUCUCCAAGUCCCAAUCCAAAUCGGAAUCAUCACAAAAUCAUCUAAAAUCUAAAAUAGUUCAUAGGAAAUCAACAAAUUAUAGUGUAAAACAAAUCACACAGGAGGGAGGGGCGAGCGCUACUCCUUGCCAGACCUCCACGCCGCCUCGCUGCCGGGAGCUGUCGACCGGCUGCUGCUCCAGGGAUCCGCCGACCAGCCGUUGCACCGAGAGGGAUCCAUCGCUGCGCCGGGGAUCCGCCGACCCGCCGCUGGGCCGCCGCCGCCGCCUCCCCUCCUUCUAGAUGCGGCGGAGGGGAGGGCGCCACCGCCUCCCCUCCCCUCCCGCCAGAUCCGGGACACCGGAUCUGGCACACAGGGCCGCCUCCACCUCCUCUCCCGCUGGAUCCAGCGGAUGGGAGGGCACCGGCGGCGCCGCCGCCGAGACACUGGGCCGCCGCCCCUGCCCGCCGCCUCCCCUCCCGCCGGAAGGAAGGGUCUGCAAUUCCUUAUUUCUAUCAUCUCAUGCAAAACGAGGAGAAUGCAAGGCAAGGGCGAGAACAAUAAAAGGAACAAAUCCUUUUAGGAGGGAUUGCUGGUCUUCUUAAUCCUCUAUUGGGCACAAGAAAAAGGCUUUUUUGCCUUUUUCUUGUGUCGAUUCUUCUUGUAUUGUAUCGAAAUAUGAAUCUUUUUUCUUCCUAUUCGGCAAAGAUUACUAUUUCUUCUUUAUUUGGGUCUGUCUCUUGAACCUCUUUUGCUUAGGUUCAGGCGAUGUAGUGGACAAAAAGAGGGAAAGAAAAUAUGGCGGGGGACAAAUUUUUUGUGACCAAAUAGAAUUGCUUGACUUGUUCAAUUAAGUUCAAUUUAGAACUUACAGAAAUUUUGCAAAAAAAACGGAUACCACCUGCAAUUUUCUCGUCGCUGGUAGAGGGAGGGAGAGCGGAGGAGGAGAGAAUGAGAGAAGGCGCGCGGGCGAAAGAGAGAGGAUUAGUGCGAGAGAAAGAAACGAGGCGCGGUGGGCGGAAGAAACGAGGCGCGCGGCUCCCACCGCUUUCUCGACGUAUGCGGAUGCAAAAGUCACGGACUGUGACUUUUAGUCACUCACGGUGUGACUUUCAGGUCAUAUCCAUCCGUCCGUUCCUUUUUUUUUGACUAAAAAAAUUAAGGUUGCAAUUUGUUAUUAUGUGAAAUAACGAUAUCUAUAUCUAUCUACUCUAUACCUAAUUACAAAAUAAGUAAGGAUUCCGUAAAUUUGUUUUGUCUGUCGUUAUAUUAUUUUUUUUCUUCCACAACGCGGUUUUUUUAUCUGGUUUAUUUUCCGUCUGAUUGGUUUUCUCUCAGGUUUUUUCCGUUCAGCUUUUUUUUUGGCGCGUGGGUUUUUAUGGUUUGUUUUUUUCCCGUCCGAUUGGUUUUCUCUCAGUUUAGGGUUUAGGGUUUAGGGUUUUUUCCGUCCGAUUGUUUUGGAUCGAAAAAAAUAACUAACUGGCAACACAACAAAAAAACAUGUAUAUUAUUAAAAAAACAGAUCAACCAAAUCAAACGAAAAAAAUGAGCGACCCAGAAUAGACCUGAAAAAACCAUGUUUAUUAUUAAAAAACCAGAUCGGGCAAAAAAUACUCGGAAAAAACCAUGUGUAUUCUUAGUGGGUCACGAUUUUUUUGUUGUGUUUUUUUGGUGGGCCCUGUUUUUUCCAACGGCUGUUUUCGAUCAGUUUUUUCUUGUGCACACGGAAGGAUUGAAUCCCAAAUAGAGUUACCUAAUCUCUAUCUUUACCUAUUAUAAAAAUUGAAGAUGAUUUCAUACUCACCUUAAUUUUCAUCCGUCAUCUGUGUUAGACACGUAUAAAACCAAAUUGGACCGGAAAAAACAACCAACUGGAAACACAACCAAAAAACCAGAUCGAACAAAAAAAACCAUUGUAUUAUUAAAAAAAAUCAACCAUGUCUAUUAUUAGAAGAAAAACCAAAUCAAAUGGAAAAAAUGAGCGACCCGGAAUAGACAUGAAAAAACCAUGUUUAUUAUUAAAAAACUAGAUCGGGCAAAAAAAACUCGGCAAAAACCAUGUGUAUUGUUAUAAGAAAAACCGGAUCGGACCGGAAAAAAUGAGCGACCCAGAGGUCACCGUUGUCGUUUCUGUCUCUAUCAAUAAAAACAAUUUUGUUAGUCGCGUUCUGCUGUUCAGGUGUUCUUCGUUGCCAAUGUCCACCAUCAAUAGAUGACUCCAAUUGUUGGACACAUCCUACCACAGUCCGCACCACCGUUUGAUCGUCAGACUAUUCACGCUCAUCUUGAGUACUAUGAGAAUAUGAGUAUAUCAAUGUGCAAUGGUGGUUUUUAUCCAUCCUAAUUAUCAUUAAAAUUUAUAAUCAAUACCUAGCCUAAGAAACAAUUAAUCCGUAGCGAAGCACUGGCAUUUUGCUAGUGUGUGUGUGUGUAUAUAUAUAUAUAUAUAUAUAUAUAUAUAUAUAUAUAUAUAGAGUAUGUGUUCCAAUAGUAUCUACUACUAGAUAAACGCUUUUCUCUCCCGGUUCGCAACCCCUUUUACUCUCAGGUAGCGAACUGGGAGAAAGAAACUGGGACAAAAGAUGACAAUCUUUAGUCCCGGUUCAAAUACCCGGGAGUAAAUAUUCAUCUUUAGUGGCUGAGCCAUGUCCCAGUUGGUCCCCUUUUCUUUUUUUUUCAUUGUUUCUUUCCUACUUACAAGGUUAAUCCCUGUAUUUCUUCCCAAAUCGAGUAGGAUUCAUAUCCCAAAUCAAACCCCAAAUCCCCAAAUCAAAGUAACAUCCCAAAUCAUUCACAUCACAAAUCGUAAGUUACUUAUACAAACAAAUCAAGUACAUCACAAAUCCUUAAAAAAAAUUACACACAAAUCAAAUACAUCACAGAUUAUACAUCUCAGAUCCAUGUAAUGAAUCACAAAUUCUAAAAAGAGAAAUUAUACAUCUCAGUGAAUCACAUAUUAUCAAAAAAAAAGAAAAAAAAAGAAAAAAGGGGACAUCGACAAAGGAGAGGGCGACCGGCCGCCUCCAUGCAUGCGCGCCGGCCACCGCUUGCCACGGCCGGCCCCGCCGGCCGCUGCCGGGCUCUGGCCGGCCUGCCCCCCGCCGCCGACCGCUGGAUGGGAUAGGAGAGGGGAGAGGAGGAGGAGGAGGAAGGGGAGGGUGGACGAGGAGAGGGGAGUUGAGGAGGAAGGGGAUCUAAGGGGUAGAAGGAGAAGGGAUGAUCCAAUCUUAUCUAAAUAUCUUGGUGAGGAAUUUCUCGUGUGGGACUUAACCAAUUAGAGAUGGGAGAGAAAUAUUUACUCCCGGUUGAAGUUUCUAACCGGGACUAAAGAUGGAUUUUUAGUCCAGGUUGGUAAUACCAACCGGAAUUAAAGAUCUAAAUAAACUUUACUCCCGGUUGGUACUACCAACCGGGACUGAGGUGGUGAUUUUUAGCCCCGUCUGGUAGUAUCAACUAGGACUAAAGAUCCUUGGCCCCCUGACAUGCCUCUGACAGGGGAUGAACCGAGACUAAAAAUGAUCUUUAGUCUCGGUUGGUAACACCAACCGGGACUAAAGAUAAAAAAUCUUUAGUCCCGGUUGGAACGGGACUAUUGUGAAAAUCGGCCGACCCAGCAAAGAUCACUUCUCCAGUAGAGACCAUUUAUCUGCUUUAGGAUCCAUGUUACUGAUCAAAACAGCGUAUUAGAUAUGUUAGCGGGUUAAACCCGAUUAGAGAUGGAUGAUAUGUCAUCCCAAGAUCCAGCUUUCCAUUUUUACUAUACUAGCUGUUUCCAUAUAAGCUUGCAUGCAUCAACUUUCCAAAUGAAUAUUUGUCACGUCCCGAUAAAUUUAUCCCGAAAUAAAAUUCAUUCUCUAAAACGAAAAAUAGAAUUAAUUAAAAUUCGAAUGUGGCCCGGAGAAUUUUUGUUAAAUUCUCCUUGGUCUAAAAUGAGCCCUUAAAUUUUACUUGAAUUUUCAGAGCACCAGAAAUAAUUAUUAAGCAACAAAAACAAUUAUCAGAGUUUAUUAAAAAGAAAAACUAAAAAUAAACCCUCUCCUCCCUUUGGGCCAAGCGUCCCUCUCUCUCCCUCGGCCCGCGGCCGAAGUCCUUCUCAACUCCCUCUAUUUUUUCUUCUCUCUCUCUCUCUUGGGCCGCCCUCCUUCCCCUUGGCCCAGCUCCCUUCCCCUCCCCCUCCCUCCCGGCCCACUCCCUCCUCCUCCCUCUCUCCCCCGGGCUGCCUCUCCCUCCUCUCCUCCUGGGCCAGCCGCCCGGCCCAAUCCGCGCCCCCCCUGCUCGAGCCGCGCCCCUCACGCGCGUUGCACGCGAGCUGACGUCGCGCCCGCGUGGGGCCCACGCGGCGGUCGUCGUCUCCUUCCUCCAGCCGCCCGGCCUUCCCUCUCUUUCCCGAAAACUUAGCUCCUUUCCUCCCUCAAAUCCGUGCGAUUAAAUCAUGGGAUUCCAAAAUUGAUUAUAGCGAAUUAAUCCCCUUUCCCUCCUCUCUCUUUCCCCCACAAUUCCCCCUUGAUUCAUGCUUUUAAUCACCCGGAACGCCCGCGCCAAUCCCGGCCGCUUUCCAUGGCCACCGGCCGACUUUUCUGCCGCCGUUCUCACCUCUCCCGUGCCCGGCUCCCUCCCUCGGCGUCGCAGCAGCCGCCCCUACCGCCUCGCCCGCGCGCCGGUCGGCCGCGCCGUCUCCUCCCUCGGCGUCGCAGCAGCCUCCCCUCCACCGGCGUCGCCUUCGUUUCGCGCGGAAACCCCCGGAGGUGCGUCCCUGCCGGCAACAGUGGUGUUGCCGCCACUGCUCCGCCUCCAGCCGCCUUUGCCGCCUCGCCUUUGCACCGGCCGACGUCGCCACCACCUCCCUCGGCUCCGCUUCGCCGUCCUCAUCUCCGGCAUCACCUCCUCCUCGCCUGAAGCUCGCCGGAGUGGCCUCCUCGUCGGUGUCCAGUACCUCCCCGUCUCCGGCCGGCUCCUGUUCGUCGCCAGUACGCCGAUCGACGUCGCUGUCUCCUCUAUCGACGUCGCAACGUCGUCCUCUCCUCCGGCUGCUCCUCUGUUUCGCCGGAACGCCGUCGCCCGUGCCGGCCUCUCCAUCCUCCUCGUCGCCGACGUCCCUUCGGUCGGCCGCUCCUCCUCGCCGGCUCAUCACCCCGCUGCACCACCAUCGUCGGCAUCGCAGCGGCGUGUUCCACGCCGUCCUCGUCUCCGUGCAGCUACUGUCGGCUGCCCUCGUCGCCUCAUCGCCGGUCCCGGUCGUCGUCCUCAUCGUCGUGGCAUUCGUCCCUCCGUCAAGCCGAUCGCGUUCGUCGCCCGCGUUUCGUCUAGUGUGCUGCUGCAGCCCCGUCAUCGUCUUCGUCCUUGGCUCCGCGUCGUCAAGCCUUGUGUCGGCCGUGUCUCGCCUUCGUCCAAGGAUCGCCGCCGAAGUCGUUCCCUCGCCGUUCGCCUCCGUCGUCCCUGAGUCGUCUCCGCCGCGCCCGUUCUUCGUCGUCGUACCCACGCCUCGUCGUGUGGUGGUAAGGAUCUCUCCUUCACUGCUUCCGUCCUCGUCCUUUCGGUGUCGCCCCGUGCCCGUUGUGCGGCUGUCUACCCCGGUACCCGUGUACCGGUGUCGGUAGUCGUUCGUGUGUGCGUGUGGUGACCGUGUUUGUGUGCCCGCUCGGUAGCCGCGUGGUUUCCACGUGUGCAGCCCGCAUGGUGUCUAGUGGAGUCCGUUUGUCGGCCACCCGUCUCGGUUGACACACGGGGUCCGCUUCCGUCGACCCGUGGACCGUCUCUGUGUACCCGGUCUGCCGUGGUCCCUUAGGUUGACAUGUGCGGUCCGCAUGUCAACAGCGCAGCCUUCCUGUCUUUUCCAGGCUAGCGCUUACACAUGUUUUAUAGUUGCAAAGCCUAAUUACAAUAAUCCGUAAAUCUCCAUAUAACAACAUUAAACUUCGGAUGACCAUGUCUUGGUCAUACGAGCUCCGAAUCGACCUGUUCAAGUCUCCUAAUGUUUGUUAUAACCUAAAGAACCCUAUGCUUUCUUUUUAUGUAUUGUUAUUGUUUCUUUAUAGGCUUGUAGCUUUGCUUGUGUGCUUCGCAUAGCUUCUGUCGUUCCGGAGGUUCCCGAAGCGUGGUUCGUGGUCGUCGCCAAAGGUUCGGAAGGCUGUUCUCUCUGAGCAAGGCAAGUCACAUCAUCCUUGAGCAUAUUGAAUCCCAGUUUAUAAAAUUAUUUUGUUUUAAAUUAAUGCAUUACCGUUUUAUUUAAAUUCCCGCGUUAUCACUGUUUUAUUUAGCCAUGCCUAUUUACCUUGGUUAUGAUUUUAUUAUUAUUGCUAUUGUUAUUAUUACCUUGUUCACCCUAGGAUAAACAAAACCCCAACUAGUGUGUACUCUAUUCAUGGUUCCACUAGUAUGAAUUUAGGUAGAUGCUUCGCUGAUUAAUUAGGCAACAUUAGGUGGUUUUAUAACUUUAGACUUUGGGAAUUCUCAUAUCAUUUGGACAGUAUGGAAUGGUUGGCUUAUGUUGGAAUUGGACACACCUCCCCCUCUUUUCAAAACCCCCAAAACGGUUUUAGGCUGGGCUCGAGGUGCGUGGUUGGGUUUUGUUAGUCGUACCUCGGGUACUAUAAGGAUUAAGCUCAGGCCUCUGUUGCAAAGCACUACCGUACUUCCACAUGUCUAGUUGGUAAGGCAUAGUUUGUGGCUCAGUCUGGUCAUAAACAAAAGUACACGGAUGGAGAUGGACGAAGUCGGGGCUCGAUGGACAUCUCUAGGACAAAUGAAGGCUACACGAGCUGCGGCUCGGUAGUCGAGACGUCAUGGCACAGGGCCGGUGUUCUGCUGCUAGGGGCUCAAUCCUGCCUACCUGUCUCGGGGGUUCCGGCCGUAGGCGGGGUUGGGUCGGUACUCUUGUUUAUGGCUAGGAUGGGUUGGGAACUAUGUCACGUCUUUCGUCCGUAUGCCGUGGUGGUAUGUGGCACGUGGUUACGCGUGAGGAAGAUGUGUCUUGUGGGUAAAGAUGUACACCUAUAAUCAGAGUAUAAUCUAUUCGAAUAGCCACGCCCUCGGUUAUGGGCAAGCCUAGCAAUGUACCCAAGUUAGUGUUUUAAUUCUUAAAACCUGCUUAACAACUAAAAUAUGGAAUGGUUGGCCUGGGUUGGCUUGGGAUGAGCUGGGACCUGGGUCUGGUUGCCAGUUCGGUCUGAAUCAUCGUAGGCCUUGGGUUAAGGCAGGUUCGUAUGGGUUCACGGCCUUGAAUAAUAACAUUGUGUAGCUCUAGAAUCGUAUUUAUAAAAUAGCUUUGGGCAACUAAGUGACUUUUAAAUGCUGUUUACUGUAAAACUUAACCCCUAUUAUUAUCCCCUUGUACCCCCUUGCAUUAAUCAUGCAUCUGCCGGUGUGGCUUGCUGAGUACUGUGGUUGUACUCAUUCUUGCUCUAUCUUCCCCCCCUUUAGUAAGAGAAGCUUUGGAGAAGAAGUCUUAGGUGAAGUCCUGGCUUAUACCCCAGUUGAGCACCUGUGAAGAUGGAGACGUAGGCCCGCUAGUCCGCUGCUGUUUAUUUUUGUUUGUCAGGCCUGAAGUGCCUUUUUAAUAAUGUAAAUAUUAUCGAUAUAAUAAAGAUGUGUCUUUUAUAUCAUGUUUGUGUGGUGUACCCCGGCUUUUCCUGGGACGGGGAUUAAUACACUAGCGUUCUGGAAAAGGUAUUUUUCCGGGCGCGACAAUAUGAUUGUGAUUGCAUGAAUGUAAUUUAUUUCCAAAUUAUAUGUACAUAAUCAAACCCACUAAUUUCGAUGUAAUUGCUUUAUUUCCGUCCAUACUAAUUAAUACUUUCUAUGUCUUGUGUGUAUAUAUAUACGUGCAGCGAUGGCAUUCUAUUUUUUACACACUCCAGUUUCAUAUCUCUAUGCCGUUACACCGCUGGACGUCGACCGUAUACUCGAGUCGCUACCGGCCUAUCGUAUACCGAGCCGUUACCGCAAACUGAGUUAAGUCUACUGGUCGUGCCACAGCUGUACACUAGCCAUAAAUCGUUCGUUCGCACGAAGUAUAGUCCAAAGCCUAGUUCGUUCGGUCGUCCCGAGUUGCUCAUUAUUAAUAGAGUCAUUUUAAGCCACCGAUUUUGUUCGCCGGUUCGGUUGACCGUUUGAGUGGUCUCGUAUCACGGUGGGUUGACUCGUUGAGUUGAUAUCCCGCGAGGCUUGCUUACCAAAGUUAUAUUUCCAUUGAUCUAUUUUGUUUAAUAUGUAAUAAUUGACUAUGGUUUUCCGGUUAAUAGUAAUUACACAUCUCAUAUUCUAAAAUCUAUAUCCAAACAAUCUGAGCUCCGUUUUAACCCAUUCAAGUUUGUAGUGAAUUUGUUGAAAUGUCUAGAAUCCAUUAAAAUUGGUUUCUUUUGCUGUUUCAAUAGCCUUAUUGCUUGUAUUUCUUGUGUGCUUUGUUUGUCGUUUAGAUUCCGGCAGUUCCGACGCUCCAGUUUAUUUUGAAGUGGUUGUCGAGGUUCCGUCAGCUCAAGAGCAAGGCAAGUCAUACAUACAGCACUGAUCAUGUUGAACCUAUUUUAUAAAAUCCCCUGCUUUCUAUUAAAUAGCAGUAUUUUUGAACGUCAUGUGGGAUGGAUGUCUAUCGUACUCAGCCUGUUGAUAUCUCAUGCCAUUGAUAACUUGGGAUAUAAUUGAUUAGAUGAUUGGUUUAGGAAUGCUUAACCAUGCUUAGAUCAAUUAGUUCACAAUGGGAUUCAUAAUAAUUUAGUCCUUAAUUAUAUGAUGAUGUACCACCAUGGUUAUUGUUUAAUUAAACUAAAUAUGCUUAGAAGGUGGGUUGUGGGUGCAUGGUUUUGCUAGUCUUGCCCAUGACAAUUAAGGACCGGUUCUCGAGAAUCCCUGAAAGAUAUAAUCAUACUUACCACAGGCUAGCAUGGGCUCCAGGCUAAAUCUAGAGUAUAACUUAACUUAGCUAACAUACUACGGCAGUGAUAGAUGCGAUGGUGCCGUUCGGACCUGGCUUUGGUCUCUGUUGUUUCCGGAUUUACCUAGGCACGAGAGGGGACUGCCCGACUUGGCUAAAAAGGAGUAGGGCUGGACGAAAAGCUCGUGGCUCUUGUCUGGCUUGGCUCGGCUCGGCUCGUUUGAAUUUGCUACCGAGCCAACCUAAGGUUUUAGCUCGUUAGCUAUAAUGAGCCAGCUCGAGCUAGCUCGCGAGCUGCUCACAAGCUAAACAAGUCUAGCCCAAGUAGCCAUCUAUGACUCAUUUAGUGAAGGAGCCUGUUGACGGCCGUUAUCGACCAGUUUCGACCAUCAAUAUUACCCAAUGUGUGAAGACUAGCUAUUCUUGCAAUGCAUAAAUUCCAAAUAAAAUAUCUACUUCCACUAUAUACUAUGCUACUAACAUGUAUGCAGGAGAAGCACAUAUAAAUGGAGGAGAAUCGACAGAAAAUAGAAGAAUGAUCAAUCAGACGCUGUCGAGAAGUAGCCUUGUGGAUAGAUGGGCUGAUAAUACAGAAUUAACAUGAGUAAACAAGCCCAUAAUUCACAUCACUAGGCUGAGGAAUAAACGAGGAGUACACUUGCCAAGUUCUGGGCCAGAUGGACCAGACUAGGGUUCGGCCGAACCCCUAGGUUCUGCCGAACCAUGGCCCAGAAAUUCCACAGGCCGAUAGUUAUCGACAUCCAAUGGCGGUUAUGACCGUUUCUACCUGAAGCAACCGCCGUGGACACUUUUCACAAGGAGGGAGAAAGAUGCUCUUUGGAUGCUUCACCAUGCCACAUGUCAAGAGGAGAGCAAAAAUGCUCCUAGGAUGCUUGGAGCAUCUCCACACUCCCAAGGCACCUCUCCACCUAUAAAUACCCCUCCUCUCAUUCAUUCCCUCACACACCUCAAGAAGAAGAUCAAGAGCUCUCUCAAGUAUUGUUUAGUAGUUCUACAGAUAGUGGAGUAGGAAAUAGAAUUGUCUUCAUAGUCCUCGAGUUUUCAGGAGAUUUCGGGUAUGGCUUUAAUAGCUUUCCUCUCUUCUUUUGUGAGACUUAUUAAAUUAAUAGAAUAUUCUUCUUUAUACAAGUUCGGUAUUUUAUUCCAUUCAUAUUACUUGAGUGCUGACUUUACUUUAUACUCGUGUAACAAGCUUUCCAGAUAGGUGUAUUGAUGUGGGUUUAGUGUCCGAUUAUUCGGUUGCUCUAUGUCGGUUGCAAGGAUGUAGAGUAGUAUUUUACUAAUGUAAGCGCGGUGCUUAGAUUAUUAGGUACCACUAAUUGGGGUUAUAUACUGCGGAUGAGAGGUGGGCCGCUGAUGGUUACAGCUAAGUACGGGUAUUCCUCCGCGCCAGUAUAUAAUCCUAAGUUAAUUACUUGGGGAGGGUACUCCUCCGUAUUUAGCCCUGGUUGUAUGGUCAUGACGGGCUAGGGUGGCUUCUCGAAACACCAAGAGGACACUGGGUACGGGGUAUUGGUUGCAUGACUGUAUAAUAGCAAGUAUAGACUAAAGAUGUAUGUAUACUAGAAGUACAGGAAUGAUACUUUUCUUAUUCUUUCACCACUUAGCUUAGACUAUAUUUUAGAGUGAGUAUUUCUUAGUUCUUUCUUCUGUGUGUCACCCUACCCUUUGAACUGAGUUAACCCCUGCAUAGACUUUGAUGUAUAUAAGUAACAUAUAAACUAUUACCAUAGUACUCUCUUAUCAUAUCUUCCCUUGGGAUAAAAUAAAUACGAUACCUUGGAAUACUCCCGGGUGAAAUGCUACAAUGGUAUAUCCGUGCGCUUGCGGAUCACAUCUGUAACCAUAAUAUACCAUGAGUAUUUCUAGUGCUAUUGCUGGAAAUUAUAUUUCCAGUAGUGCCACUAAGAAAUACCAAACAAGCAUUUCUGGCGCCGUUGCCGGGGAAGAUAAAUGAUUAAGAGUUCACUACUUGCUAAUAAUUUUAUAUUUACCUCUAUAUAAGUCACUGUCCUUUGUAGGCAAACCUUGUUUGUUUUCUCUUUUAUGUGAAAACAGGGUAGUACAGGACUGGUUAUGAUCUGCCAACCAAAUUCAUAUCUAGAGUCACUGGUGAAGUGAAGCCGACCUCGUGUCGUUCAUCCUCAAGGUUACUCUAUCGGCAACCAGACCAGUCAAUUUCGCGCCACAAGAAUUGCAUGAUACGGCUGAGAAGACCCUUUGCAAGUUUGCUGCUCCCUCUGUUGGGUAACAUGCUAGAUGGAACCCACGUCAGUAUGGGAGAUGGUGCUUUGAUCUGAAAAUCUGCUUAGUCAAGAUGGCGCAGGCUUGCACAUUCUGUGGCAAGCCUAAGGAGGAUGCAAGUGCUUAUUUACAGCAAUUCCUGGAAAGCUGUAGCACGUAUACCGUCAAAGGAAUCAGACUCCAACUGUUGCCGCUCUCCCUCCUCGAGAGAGCAGAACAGUGGUUCUACAUCAACCGUGUAACAGUGAAUACCCGGAAUAAGCGCUCAACGGCAUUCCUCUCAAAAAUUUUCCCGAUGGGCAAGACCAACACUCCUCGUGGAAGAAUAUCUAGCUUUCAGCAGAUGAGGGAUGAAACCAUUCUUGAAGCUGGGGAAAUGCUGCAGGAGUACGUCACCACCCGUCCUCAUCAUGGGCGUCCAUCCUGCAGAAUUUCUUCAACGGAUUAACCCUCUCGUCCUGGGAUCACCUGGACGCUGCUGCUGAAGGAGCACCCUUCUCAAAGACGGUCAGUGAUGCCAACCAACCUGAUUGAGAAGAUGGUCUCAAAUAUUGGUUGGAGCAAGGAACGACUCCAAACCCGUCAACGCGGCAUGUACACCGUCGAAGGGAUGGAAAUGCUCGCCGCCCAGUUGGAUCUCCUUAUGAAGAGACUGGACAACAAUGAGAAGGACGCCAAGCAGAGUGCCGUUAAGGCUUUGGGCUCUCACAUAACAUGUGAGGUCUAUGGCAAAACCGGUCACUCUGGGACGGAUCGUCCGGAAACCCGUAAGAACGUCAUGCUCAUGAACAACAACAAUGGGUAUCGUCCACAAGGAGACCAAGGAUGGAGCAUUGCUCCAUAGGGUAGAUCAAGAACGGACCGAACCCACAAGGAGGUCAAAGUAAAACCCCGAAGGACGAAAAGCCUCAACACUUUCAUGAUGAACUUCCUGGAGCGGGAAGAAACGAGGAACCAUCAGUACCUUAAGCUGGCUUCCAAGAAGCCGGGAAUACAGGUCAGGUCAACCUGCGCUCCCAGUUUCAAAGAUGCCGCUGCCUGCACCUAAGACCAAGAAGGUAUGGCGGAUUAAGGAGAAGACACCCGUUCCUAUACCUUCUGAACUAGGUGCCUCAUCGAGCAAAAUGCGUUGGAGGUACGGUCGUGCUCGUCGGACCUGAAACGACGUCGCUCUUGCCAACAGAUAAAUUGGUAGUUAUCUCAUAUUUAUUUUCCAUUGCAUCAAAGCAUGUUUGAAUUUUCAAACGCACAUUGAGAUUUGAAUUUGAGGCGAUUUCUUCAAAUGAAUUUUUGUGAGAAAAAUAAAAUGCAAUUUUUGGCAAAAUUUAGCACAGCCACCUUCACACUAGUCGUUGGACCCCAAUGGCUGCUGAUUUUUGCAGGGUAGCGGCUAGCGGGGCCCACAUGCCAUUACUAGCCGUUAUCCAUGCACUAUAUAUGCAGCUCGGCUGGGAGAGGGAAGUCACACCACUUUAACUCAUUUUCACUCCCUCUCAAAACCUUGCAAGCUUGCCUCAAAUUCACACAAUUUGCUGUACUUAGUUUAAACACUUUGCAUAUACAAGUUUGCUUUAGUUCGAUGCAAGGUUAAUCGGCGGGUAUUUGCCUAACCCCCGUCCGAGUAGUCUUGUAUUCUUGCUCUUUGUUGUAGCUAUGAAGAAACGACUUUUGGGCAUAUUCAAGAGACAAUCAAGCUCACGGACAAGAAGACAUGAUAAGCCGAGUACACCUUCUUCCGCGGAUGCAUCCAUCGAGGAGGCGUACGUUCCACCAAGGCUGUACGACAACUCCGAUCUCGACCUCGUGGGCGACCGGGAAAUGCAAGCCUAUCAUAUGCUGAAAGACCGAACGUGUGCUCAGACCUGAGCAUACGACUCGACCUUCUGAAAAGGAUAGGUGUGGAUGCUGAGUUUCAUAUUGUUCAGCGUGCUAUAGGUUGGGAUAAAUUUGCAUGUGUAGAUGUGCCGGGUUCCCGUUUGCUUAACAUGCAGUUUUUAUGUACCUUGCUAGAGGUAGGUGAUGGGUUACCUUCCGGCUAUUCUGCAAGGAAUAUCAACUUUCUUGGAAGACCUUAGCUUGCAUCUAGGCUUUGACAAAACAUGCAAGGUUAAUUUCAGGAACACAUUUCCUGAUUUUAACAAGCGUAUGUUUUAGCAAAGUAUUUCGGGUCUCAUCCUGUAAAAAGCCUAGAACUAGUGACAUCCAUAAUCCUACCCUGGGGCUAUUGCAUAGGUUGCUUGGUUUUGUGUUGUUUCCUAGAGCUGAUAUCCGGAUAGGACGAACUUAUCCUCUUGUAUGCCAUGGUUAGAAAAAAAAUCAGAGUUUCACCUGUUCAACCCAUGAUCAAGCAAUGGUUAGAAAAUGUGAAGUUGUCUAGUCCUGUUGAGUGUAUUUAUUUGGUGACUCAUUUAGCAUGAGGAGUUGGGACUAUGCUUUAUAUGCAAGUAUCUUGUAUCCCUGCUACCCGCUCUUAUGUUGGUGAGGCCUACUUGGUUCAAUGCCACAUACUCAAACAUGGUCCAAAUGAUUCUCUUAUAUUUUUGUUUCCUGGCUAUACAAAUGAGAUUCCGUAACCUAUACGGGAGUUUCAUUUGUAUAACUACCAAGAACUAACCAUUUCUCUCCAAGCGGAGUUGCCUUGUGAUGUCCUAUGCAGGUAACAUGACGGAUGGCGAGAGAAGCACCUCAGGAGGCGUCUUCCUCUUCACCACCAGAGCAGAUGUAUUUAGACAGUUGGGACCCGACCGUGCAUGCCCUUGAUUGGACCCAAUUCAUGCAACAUGACACCGGAGGUUCGUCCUGGCAGAGUGCCAGCGACAGCCGGUGGCAUGAGCCAUAGGAGUUGCACUGGGGAUACUCACGCUCCUUCAGUCCAAGUGGUCAACUUCCAUCUUCUUGGAUGCAUUGCUCAGUCUCCUCUCGAGGGGGGUCUAGGAGAACUCAUCCGGGGGACGGAUACACUUGAACUGCAGGCAGUGAACGAGCAACACACCUUGGAGGAUCAUGUGGUACAGUCACGUGAAUGGUAGCACUCUGUUGGUGCACAGCUCGCAAACUUCAACACUAUGAUGCAACAACAACAAGUUGGCAAAAUUUUGCACGGCCACCACCACACUAGUCGUUGGAACCCAAUGGCUAAAUGUGGGGCCGGUUGGGUCCACCAGGGGUUCGGCCGAACCCCUGCAUGGCACUGGCUAGCUGCAAAUAUCUGUAGGGUAGCGGCUAGUGGGGCCCAUAUGCCAUUACUAGCCGUUAUCCAUGCACUAUAUAUGAAGCUCGGAUGGGAGAGGGAAGUCACACCACUCAUUCUCACUCCCUCUCAAAACCUUCCUCUCAAAAUUCAUUCAAAGUUUUGCAAGCUUGCCUCAAAUUCACACAAUUUGCUGCAUUUAGUUUAGACACUUUGCAUAUACAAGUUUGCUUUAGUUCAGUGCAAGGUUAAUCGGCGGGUAUUUGCUUAACCCCUGUCCGAGCAGUCUUGUAUUCUUGCUCUUUGCUGUAGCUAUGAAGAAAGACUUCCGGGCAUAUUCAAGAGACAAUCAAGCUCACGGACAAGCCAACACGAUAAGCCGAGUACACCUUCUUCAGCGGAUGCAUCCAUGGAGGAGGCGUACGUUCCACCGAGGCUGUACAACAACUCCGAUCUCGACCUCGUGGGUGACCGGGAAAUGCAAGCCUAUCAUAUGCUGAAAGACCGAACGUGUGCUCAGACCUAAGCAUACAACUCGACCUUCUGAAAAGGAUAGGUAUGGAUGCUGAGUUUCAUACUGUUUGGCGUGCUGUAGGAUGGGAUAAAUUUGCAUGGUAGAUGAGCUGGGUUCCUGUUUGCUUACCAUGCAGUUUUUAUGUACCUUGCUAGAGGUAGGCGAUGGUGUACUUCCCGGUUAUUCCGCAAGGAAUAUCACCUUUCUCGAAAAGACCUUAGCUUGCAUCUAGGCUUUGACAAAACAUGCAAAGUUAAUUCCGCAGGCCGGUAGUUAUCGACAUCCAAUGGAGGUUAUGACCGUUUCUACCUGAAGCAACCACCGUGGACACUUGUCACAAGGAGGGAGAAAGAUGCUCUUUGGAUGCUUCAUCAUGCCACAUGUCAAGAGGAGAGCAAAUAUGCUCCUUGGAUGCUUGGAGCAUCUCCACACUCCCAAGGCACCUCUCCACCUAUAAAUACCCCUCCUCUCAUUCAUUCCCUCACACACCUCAAGAAGAAGAUCAAGAGCUCUCUCAAGUAUUGUUUAGUAGUUCUAGUGCUAGUGGAGUAGGAAAUAGAAUAAUCUUCAUAGUCCUCGAGUCUUUAGGAGAUUUCGGGUAUGGCUUUAAUAGCUUUCCUCUCUUCUUUUGUAAGACUUAUUGAAUUAAUAGCAUAUUCUUCUUUAUACAAGUUCAGUAUUUUAUUCCAUUCAUAUUACUUGAGUGCCGACUUUACUUUAUACUUGAAUCAAUAUAGUCGUGUAACUAGCUUUCCAAAUAGGUGUAUUGGUGUGGGUUUAGUGUCCGAUUAUUCGGUUGCUCUGUGUCGGUUGCAAGGAUGUAGAGUAGUAUUUAGUAAUGUAAGCGCAGUGCUUAGAUUAUUAGAUACCAUUAAUUGGGGUUAUAUACUGCGGAUGAGAGGUGGGCCGCUGAUGGUGACAGCUCAGUACGGGUAUUCCUCCGCGCCGGUAUAUAAUCCUAAGUUAAUUCCCUAGGGAGGGUACUCCUCCGUAUUUAGCCCCAGUUGUAUGGUCAUGACGGCUGUCGUAAUGAACUCGGCAGUAAGGGGUGGCUUCUCGAAACACCAAGAGAACACUGGGUACGGGGUAUUGGUUGCAUGACUGUAUAAUAGCAAGUAUAGACUAAAAAUGUAUGUAUACUAGAAGUACAUGAAUGAUACUUUUCUUAUUCUUUCACCACUUAGCUUAGACUAUAUUUUAGAGAGAGUAGUUGUUAGUUCUUUCUUCUGUGUGUCACCCUACCCUUUGAACUGACUUUGAUGUAUAUAAGUAACGUAUAAACUAUUAGCAUAGUACUCUCUUAUCAUAUCUUCCCUUGGGAUAAAAUAAAUACGAUACCUUGGAAUACUCUCAGGUGAAAUGCUACAAUGGUAUAUCCGUGCGCUUGCGGAUCACAUCUGUAACCAUAAUAUACCAUGAGUAUUUCUAGUGCUAUUGCUGGGAAUUAUAUUUCCAGUAGUGUCGCUAAGAAAUACCAACAGAGCCCACGUAUGUAGCCAACGAGCCCAAGUGAAGUGGCUAAGCCCAUGAAGGAAAAAUGCAAAUAGCCCUGUAGCAUCUAGUCCUUUACUCAUUUACUUGUCUGAUGUCUCCAACUCUGGAUCGAAUCAAUUGAUUCCUUCUCUUCUCGUUCACCUAGUGACGCUGCUUCCUUGUUCUCGUUCCCCUCUUGCCGAUUCUCUCAUCUCGCGUUGCCAUUGAUUAUCAUAUCUUCUCGUAGUGCCGUUCUAGGCCCCCAACCAUCGACGCCUACCCUAUUCAGAUUCUCCUCGCCGUCUCCUUCACCGGCUUUGCCUCGCGGCACUCGACCUCUGCCACUCAACCUCUGCUUCGCCGGUUGAAGCACUGCCACACCACGCCAUCAUAUCCCCUCUGUCGGAUAUUCCUCGUGUGCUUUUUCCUCGUUGACCUAGCUAGCCUGUUGCCAGUAGCCUUCACUGGGCAACAAAGUCGUGGAGGUCGCGGUACCCCACCUCGUCGCCCCACGCAGCAGUCAUGGCUCCACCUCGUCACCUCACUAGCUUGGCUCACGAGCCAAACGUGCUAGCUCGAGCUUGCAGGCAAGCCGAGCCGAGAUGGGGUUCUAGCUCGUUAGGAUAACGAGCCAAGCUAGCUCGUUAUAGCUCGUUAUCCUAACGAGCUAGACUGAGCCGAGCUGAGCCGAGCCAGCUCGAUGUCCAUCCCUAAAAAGGAGGGGGUGAAACCUGAGGUGGGUAUGUUUGGUUAGGGAGGGUUAUAUAAAGGGUUUUUUCAUGAUUUCCCCCUUUGCAGUAUCGCGGUGGUACUUUGGGGCAUGGUAACAUAUGUAGAAUCGUGUCUUGUGAGUAAAGUUGUACUCCUCUGAUCAGAGUUAAAACUAUUCGAAUAGCCGAGCCUGCGGUUAUUGGGCGGUCAACCAGCUCACCGUGAUUAGUCUCAUUCUAGUUAAUAUGACAUAAUUAACUGGUGUAGUUAAGGUGGUUUGGUUGGGACUAUUGCAACGUGGUUUAGCGUUGAGCAGUGAUUUUUAAUAUUGCUUAAUUAUAAUUAUUGUUUUAUUGUAUUCACUUUAUGAUUUAUAAAUGCUGCUUUUGUUGCAAAUAUCCUAUAGCCUAUCCUUUGUGAAUAUCUUGCAUCAUACCUUGUUCCGGACAUUGAGGAUCCCUGUGGGUUAUGAAGGAAGCAACGUGUUUUGGUCGUGAAGAUUAAGUUUAGAUUAUUUGUUUAUUUCUAUAGCAUUUGUAAAAAUUAUUUAUUAUUUUUGUAAGACGUGGAUUUGUUUAUCAAAUUAUCGUUUGUGUACUCUAGCUGGUCCUGGACAGAGAUUUUAUUACACAUUCUACUUGGAGUUCAGGUAGGGAAUUUCUGGGCAUGACAUUAGCUGAGAAGGAAUUACUGGCGGCUAGCUUGCCAUCGGCUGUGUGGCCGAUGGCUGUGAACUUUUGGAAAUUUUCAUUGUCUUGAACAAUUGAGCCAGCCGUGGCGACUGUUAUCCCUAAUUUUGCGGACUUGCUCUGAUUUUGGGAAAUGGAAAGAGGAGAUCAAGUGGAUAAAUAACUCUCAACCAAUUUUAGGAGAUAAAAAAAGGCUCAACUGGAUUUUGAUAUAAGGGCACACAAGAAUUGUCAUACAAGGAUUGUCUUUCAAAGGUUCUAGACGCUGAGUGAGGCAGCCGGCCGUGCUAGCUUGGUCUACGACUCUAUUUGUGGACGGGAUAGAAGAGCGGCAGGCCGAGCGAAAAAAGGUAGGAAUAGACUGUGCUAGGACUGAAAAGGAAAAACUUAAUGGGCUUUUGGCUCAAAACCAAGAAAAAAUUUUGAUUAACUUUUUCAUUAUAGUGUAUAGCAAUCAUAAUAUUUCAAGUUAUUGCUCAGUUUAUAAUAGGUGUUGUUUCACUAUGAAAAAUACAUUUACCCGUUGCAAUUUUUUUCAGAGCGUGUACAUUCCCGUGUUUGUCUGCUCCGGCUCCACCCGAACUCCGGCGCCCAAUCCGCCGGCCUCGACGCCGGUUCGAUACCCCCGAUGUUAUCCUGUGGGCGGAGGACCUAAUCCUAUCUAUCCUGUUCCCCAACACCCAUGGCAACUAGCCACCUCACCUCUCGCUCCCUCCUCGUCCAAGCCCAGUACCCCAUCUCACGGCUCCCAUCCAACCUCCGCCUCUCCCUCUCCCACCACAAGCAACCAGCCGCCGUCGCCAAGCGCCGCCGAGCCCCCGCCCCCUCCCACCCGGCCUUCUCUUCGGUCAUCCGCGGCCGUCCCAAGAAAGUCCCCAUCCCGGAAAACGGCGAGCCAGCCGCCGGUGUCCGCGUCACUGAACGUGGCCUGGCCUAUCAUCUUGACGGCGCGCCCUUCGAGUUCCAGUACAGUUACACAGAGACGCCGCGCGCGCGCCCCGUCGCGCUCCGCGAGGCCCCGUUCCUGCCGUUCGGGCCUGAGGUAACGCCGCGCCCAUGGACCGGGAGGAAGCCGCUCCCCAAGAGCCGCAAGGAACUGCCUGAGUUCGACUCCUUCAUGCUCCCGCCGCCGGGCAAGAAGGGGGUGAAGCCCGUGCAGUCGCCGGGGCCAUUCCUUGCCGGCACGGAGCCGAGGUACCAAGCGGCGUCCAGGGAGGAGGUCCUCGGGGAGCCUCUCACAAAGGAGGAGGUCGACGAGCUCGUCAAGGCGACCCUCAAGACCAAGCGGCAGCUUAAUAUCGGUGAGUUGCAUCUGAUGCAGCAUCACUCAAUUGUACACAUGGAACAUCAACUAAUUCGACAGAUAAAUGUCUGCAAGAUUUGUUUCCCCCUUGGGCUCUGGUACCCUGUUAUGUCUGUCUGUGUUCUUUUGUUUUCUUUCCUAUAAAAGACUCGUGCUCUAUGUGUUUUGGCUUUCUUUACAAAGCCAGAUCAAUAAUAAAUAUUGAGUAAAUUUCACAAAACUACAGGUAUUUUUGCACAAUUUAUCAGAAAACUACAGAUUUAAGAGCUUUCGCAAAACUACAGAUUUAGUAUGUCCGUUUAUUGUACAAUCUAUCACAAAACUACAGAUUUAAGAACUUGUUUCACAAAACUAUAGAUUUAGUGUAUUCGUUUAUCACAAAACUACAUAUUUAGUGUCUUCAUUUAUCACAAAACGAUAAAUCUAGUGUCUCCAUUAUCACAAAACUACAGGUUUUAACAAGGAAGGGGAUGGAGAAAGAAAAAUAAGUAUAUUUUGUUAUUAUACUCACCGAUCACCGUGACAUUUAUCUCUUGAGUUUAGUUCUUAUCAUGUAGCCGCUUUGUCAGCCCUUUCUUGUAUUCCUAGUCAGUCUCUCAUUGCCAACUUUUGCAGGUAGAGAUGGUCUAACACACAAUAUGUUGGAGAACAUUCAUUCGCAUUGGAAGAGGAAGAGAGUGUGCAAGAUAAAAUGCAAAGGUGUAUGCACGGUUGAUAUGGAUAAUGUCUGCCAGCAGCUAGAGGUCAAAUUUUGCUACUUACCUCAGAAUUCUUAAAAUGCAUACGGUGUACUACUCAGUUAAAUUGGUGACUGUUUUAUUUUUUUUUUCUUUAUGGACCAAUGUUCUAGUAACUCAUCUGAAACUAAUAGAAUUUAGAAGUUGUCUUAGCUCUGGUUAUUCAUUAGUGAACUCCUUUCUGCUUGAACUUCUGUUUUCCAUUUCCAUAUCUGGGAGCACCUUAUCUGUGACUCUUCCCUGAUUACUUCAUAUCAUACAUGAGCAGGAGAAAGUUGGAGGAAAAGUAAUUCAUCAUCAGGGUGGUGUGAUAUUUCUCUUUCGUGGUAGAAACUACAAUUACAGAACUCGCCCAAUCUAUCCACUUAUGCUUUGGAAACCUGCUGCACCAGUGUACCCCCGCUUGGUUAAAAAGAUCCCAGACGGCUUAACUCCAGAUGAGGCAGAAGAUAUGCGCAAGAGAGGACGUCAGUUACCACCAAUUUGCAAACUCGGUAAGUCUCUUUGUUUCCAUGUAGUUGACUCCUUUAACUGCCUUUCAAAUUGUGGAAUCUGCAAAUUUCAUAGUUAAAAGAAUGAAAAAUAUAUGCGCUAGUUGCCAAAGUUUAUUUUUGAAAAUAUUAGUGCCUUUGCAGCCAAGAGUAAUGUCCAAAAUAGGAAGUACCUGAGGGAGGUUGAUGUCGAACAUGAAACUACUACUUUUAUUUGUCAGAAACACUUGAAAUGUGGAAUUACAGUUGAACCAAUGCUGCUUCUUUUGCUGAGUGUGGUACAUAUUGUCUAUCCACAUUAGCCCAUCUUCUUGCAUAGCACUGUUCCAUGUUUGUGCAGUUUGUUGUCAUUGUUUACAUUCCAUUUUUUUUAAAAAUUUUUAAAGGAAAAAAUGGUGUUUAUCUUAACCUCGUGAAGCAAGUUCGAGAAGCAUUUGAAGCAUGUGAUCUUGUCCGGGUUGAUUGCUCAGGUCUUAAUAAAAGUGAUUGCAGAAAGAUAGGAGCUAAACUUAAGGUUUGGUAAAUGCUCAGAAUAUUAUAUCGUUAUGUUAUUUUGUUCAAAACAUGAUUAAUUCUACCUUUGCAGGAUCUAGUUCCCUGUACCUUACUGUCUUUUGAGUUUGAACAUAUACUGAUGUGGAGAGGAAAUGAUUGGAAAUCAUCCCUUCCUCCAUUAGAAGAAAAUGAUUUUAAAGUGGCGAGCGACCAAAUUUUGAAUAGCAAAGAAGCAGGUUCUGGAAGUGCUCUGACCCCAAUUGAGCUGGUCAACAAUGCCACGUCUCUCAAGAAAUGCAACUUGAUUGAAGGUGCAGAAAAAUUGGAAGAUUCCAUGAAGUCUAGUUUUGAAAAUGGUAUGAUUUUGGGUUCUGCAUGUGGAAACCCUGGAGUAUGCAACUCUGAAGGUAUAGAUGGAACUGAGUCCUCAGCUGAUGCUCCAAUUGAAUUUUCUCCUUCAAAUUCAGCAAGGGAUUUAGAUCCAUCUCAAACAUCAACAUUGUAUUGCCAAAGCUCCCUAUUGGACAAGAGUGAAAAUGGAGAGCUCAUUGAGAUGUACCCUGACAGAUGUGGAAACUCGGAACAAUCUCCAGAUGUACCAGAAGCUUUAACUUGUCUAAUGGGCAGCAGUGAUGAGAUUCAUGAAUUGGAAACUAUGAGGAGAAACUGCAAACAUUUAAACGGCAGCGAUGGUGUUAACAGUGAUUCCAUAGUCCCUUCCUACAUGGAAGGAAUUUUACUCCUUUUCAAACAAGCCAUUGACAGUGGCAUGGCACUCGUGCUGAAUGAAAAUGAGUUUGCUGAUGCCAAUUAUGUGUAUCAAAAGUCUGUUGCUUUUACAAAGACGGCUCCACGAUACCUGGUACUCCGGCAUACACCAAGGAAGUCCCAUGGUACCCAGAAGACUGAGCCAGCCAAGAAUGUAAGGAUAAAUAAGCAUCUUGAAGAACAUAAAGUAUCUGAUCAUGUCAAAAAGAAAGAAAUUGUCAUGGGAGGAUCAAGAAUGCAGAGAAAUGAUCACGCACGAGAAUUUCUAUCAGAUGUUGUUCCACAGGGUACCUUAAGAGUAGAUGAACUUGCUAAAUUACUGGCUUAAAGGUGAUCGGUCCUUUAUUAACCGAAGGUGUGUUGCGUUAUCAACCUUGAAUUAACGUGCAAAGUAUAUACAUGUACAUUGAUAUGGGACGUAUAAAACUUUUCGUCAAUUUGGUCAUGCUGUGUAACUGAUCACGCUUUCUGCAUUGAAAUGUUGGAAUGUAAUAAUAUGGAACGGCGAAGCAUUUUCAGACAAUGAGCUCUACCUAUAGUGUGAUCAUCUAGGUUGUGUCCGUUAGCUAUGGUUGGGAACCUUCCCACCUAGCACGCAAAACGGAUCAAUUCAUUAGUGCAUGAUUAAUCAAGUAUUUUAAAAUAUUUAAAAAAUGGAUUAAUGUAAAUUUUUAACCAACUUUUUUAUAGAAACUUUUUCUAAAAAACACACCAUUUAACAGUUUAGAUGUGCAUGUGAGGAAAAUGAGGACUUGAAGUUGGUAAAGUGUUCGAAAUAACCCUUUUCAAACCAUUGAUCCUAAGCAUAUGCCUGGAAGUUGAAGUAAGAUUUUAUAGAUGUAGCUUACUGUAAAAUCAAGAAGUUGAUUUAGAUUUUGUGAUGAAAAUAUUGGUUGUUUGCUGAUGAAAUUUUGGAGAUUUAUAGACGAUUGAUUUUGUGAAGUGAGAGUGUUCGGUUGACCCUGGCGAUCAGACCAGCCAAACCAAUGGUCUGACCGGUGGGAUCUUGACCGUUGUCGGUUUCAGGUUGUCUUAUUGGAUAUGGAUGUUUCCUUUAGGGAUUUGACUUUAAGAUGAUUUCUAUGCAUAUGGAUAUUGUUGUUAUACUAAUAUGAGUCAAGUUGGGACGAACUUGUGCUCGGAAUAUGGUUUCUUGGUUGUUUUACAUGUGCAGGUGUUGCUUGAGGCCUCGGGAGAGUAUUGCUGGUGAUAGAUUGGAGUUAACUUGGGAGAAGUUGAUGUCUAGGUAUCAACAGAUUAUAGGAUCAAGAUGUCGAUUAGAGGGGGGGUGGUGAAUAGACGAUUUAAAAAUGAAUGGCACCUAAUCAAAACUAACCUAAGUUGCUAGGCUUAGUGAGGGUUAAGUCUAAUUAAGCAACUAAGUUAUAUUUUACAAACCUAGGGUGAUAGUGGCUUAAGUAUAUCUCUAAGAAAGUAAAUCACACUCCUAAGUUAAGUUUAGCAAUCCUAGAGUGAUAUGAUCUCAAGUAUGUCUCUAGGAAUGUAAAUUGCACAACUGUAAAUGCGACAAAUAAAUGAGACAAGGAGACAAAAGAUUUUUUACCGAGGUUCGGAAAUUCGCCGAUUUCCUACUCCCUGUUGAGGCGAGCCCAACUCCACCGCUCAACUAGUAUUAGGUUUACUAACUUUUUGCAGAGAAUGAUUAUGAAGUAGAGGAGAAUCGACAUCAACUCGGACGAUAAAUCAAUCGGACGAUGUCGAGAACCAGACUUGUGUGUGAAUAGGCCAAGAACUCAGAAUUGACACGAUGAAUUAGGCCAAAAUUCACAAGUCUGCGGAGUGGAGCAAUAGAGGAGGCCACCAGCCGAAACUGGGCUGGAUUGGCUAGCCCCAGGUUCGGCCGAACCAAUCCUGGCACCGUUGGAUCCAGGUUUUGGCAUGGACGUCCAGGAUUGCAUCCCAAUGACGGUUGGAGGGCACUUCGGACAAUUCCCCUUCCACAACCGUCAUAACCACCUCUGUAUAAGGAGCUCACUCUCUUCACUUCAACACACACCUCAAGCAAUAGCUCUCUCAUUCCUCCCAAGUUUAGUUUAGUAGUAUCUAGCUGGUGUAAUAGAAAUAGAAUAUGAGUCAGGAGUCCGGAAGCCUUCAGAAGAGUUCGGGUAUGGCUCUAGCAGCUUUCCUUUCCUCUUUUGUAAGAUUUGUACUUUUAUUAGAAUACUCUUCUAUAUAUAUUUAUGGUAUUGAAAUACUUUCCGAGUAUAUGAGUAACUAUUAUACAUUAUGUUCUUGUUAUACUGAAUAUAAGGCUAACUUAUCUGGGAGAUGCUUUGGUGCGGGUAUAGUGUUUGCUUAUGCAAUUACUCUAUGUCAUGAUGAUGAUAUUAUAGUAGUAUCUAGUAGUUUAGACGUGGUGUCUAGAUUACGAGAUAUCAUUAUUUGGGGUUAUAUAUUGCGGAUGAGAGGUGGGCCACUGAUGGUGACAGCUCAGUACGGGUAUUCCUCUGCGCCUAUAUAUAAUCCUAAGUUAAUUUCCUGGGGAGGGUAUUCCUCCGUAUUUAACCCUGGUUGGAUGGUCAUGACAGGCUGCCGUAAGGAACUCGGCAGUCAAGCGUGGCUUCUCGAAGUACCAGGAGGGUAUCGGAUAGAGGGUAUUAGCUAGUAUAUCAGUUAACUAGAAUGUAUGUAUACUAUGUAUAUUAGAAGUAUAGGAAUAGAUUUCUUUUCUCUUUUUUUUUCCACCUAGCUUAGAUAAAUUAUUACCGAGGAUGAGUAGAAAUGCUUGUGUGUCACUCUACCCUUGGAUUAUCUUAACCCCUGCUUAGAAUAUGAUUAUCACAAGUAAUAUAUAAAUUAUUAGUUGAGUUCUCUCUACAUGAUCUUCCACGGGAUAAAAUAAAUACGAUACCCUUGAAAUACUCUCGGGUAAAAUGCUACAAUGGUAUAUCCGUGCGCUUGCGGAUGAACUCUGUAACCAUAAUAUACCAGGAGUGUUUCGGCGCCAUUGCUGGGAAUUAUAUUUCUAGUAAUGUCGUUAAGAAAUACCAACACCGGCCCACGGAGAGGAUUACCCAAGCCUCGAUCACUAGGGGUAGUUCUUCCUUCACUCCGAAGGUGGUGAACUCCAAACCACUCACAACCAGCGUCGGCCUUCCUCCGCAAUCUUCUCGGAGAGGUCACCGGGCAACUACUCCACAAGCCGUCUAAGAGGCGGCAACCUCCAUGAGUAACAAGCAAUGACGCGGCUCGGAGAUAGCUCUACAAUGGAAGCAAUGCACUUGACUCUUGGCUAGAACAACCUUCAACCACUACAACGGAUGAACACAAGCUCAAAUGAGUGUGGGAGAGGUGCAAGGGGUGUAUACAAUUGAAGUGGAUGCCAAGAGAGUCUCCUUGCUGCUGGUGGGGGAGUAUUUAUACUCCCACCCACCAAAACUAGCCGUUGGGGGGUGAAAUCCCCCAACUCUGUGUACUGCCAGUCUGACCGGAGUUGUGUGGCCGGUCAGACCGUGCUACUCUGCAACGGCUAGUUUUCUAGUUGUUGUAGGGCUGUCAUUGGGCCCCAUCGGCCUGGCCGGUCAGACCGCAGUUGGGUGGUAGACCGGCCUCGGCUCGGUCAGACCGCCCCUAGCUCGGUCUGACCGAAUGCGGCUCUGGCGGCUCUGGAUCGCCACCCCGAGAGCCACAGGGAGAGGUUCCCUAGGCCGGUCAGACCGGGGUUCACCCGCCGGUCAGACCGGCUGACCUACGCCGGUCAGACCGCCACUAGGUGGUCGGUCUGACCGGCCCUGGUCACACAGCAGGCACAACAGGAUAAUGAGAGCAAGCCAAAUCUAAAUGCAUAAUGACCUAAUGUGGAAAUUUAAAUCAUCUCUUUGCUAGGUCAUUACCCCUCUUAAUAGUACGGCAAAGCUAUAAAUAAACUAGCACAGUUUGAUUGCCCAAUACCUCGAUCAAUUUAGAAUUCAACUACUAGUUUACCGUCAUCUAUACUUUGCUUUGCGCCAUCAAUUUUUAGUCCAUCGAUAAUCAACCAUGCGCACACAUGAUGUGUACCUAACUCAAAACACAUAACUCGAUAGAACGGUUAGUCCACAAUUAGCGCUUGUCAUUAAUUACCAAAACUAACAACGGGGGCCUAGAUGCUUCAAUCUCCCCUUAUUUGGUAAUUGAUGACAAACACUUCAAACAUAUAUAAUCAAAUAUAAAGCACAUGGAUAUAUUUUUCAAUGUAUAGAAAAUACUCCCCCUAAACAUGUGCAUAUCAAUCUCAAAGAACAAAUUUGGAACAAAUGCACAUUUCAACAUAGUUCAACACAAAUACAACAUAUGAUGUGAACUUCACAUAUAGAUCAAUCAAUUGCAUAGGAUGGUCACAAAUAUAUCAAAAUCACAUCCACCAUCCAUCAUUGCACAAGUUCACAUCAAUAAACCAUCCAAAUCAUAAAAGUUCAUCCAUAGAUCAUCCAAGUCACAAAUUAUCCAAAGAGGGCUCACAAAUAAUAACCUAGGCUAUUACAUGACCACGGAGGGCCCAAAUCUCACAAGAGAGUUCAACAAACGAUAAAAACACACAAGAUAGAUAAUAUAGCCCAUUACAUAUAGAUAUAGCCCUCCCAACUUAGCCUAAUAGAUAUGAGGACUAACCUCACUACUUCUAGUCCCAACCCACCUAAGAUAGAUGAAUUUCUUCUCCCCCUUUGGCAUCAAGGACCAAAAAGCUUCAUUCUUGAGGAAUAGAGGGAGGAUGGGGUAUAGGAUAGUGAGACGAAGAGGAAGAAGGGUCACGGCAACGAGAAUACACAUAGGCAUGUGUGUUUUCCAUGGUAGUCAUACGCCGGUCCAAAGAAGUGACUUGAGAGGAUAUCCUGGCAACCUCAGAACGAAUGCCCCUCGCAUCCUCAUGCAUUGCCUCAGCCCUCAUGCUCGGUAGUUAGCCUUUGAAUGCUUUCACUUAAGCUAUUUAUAGCCCCAAGCACCGAGUUGAAAUAGUCCUGAGGAGGCAUGCCAAAGUAUGCAUAAGGAGGAGUGAAGUACUCAUUGAUACCUUGAGGAGGAGGAGGUGCUGAGCUUGAGAUUGCCCCAGGGUGGAAAGAAGGUUGCCUCAUCCUAGGAGUAUGGGGAGUGCCAAGCUGAAGACGAGGCUUAUAUUGCUUAUGCUUCUUUAGAUUGUUUCCAACACUCCCAAGCUGAGCUUGAAUCUACCUCAUAAUGUAGGGCGCAUGGUAAAUUCAUUGACUAAACGUGCCCUUGGAUAUUGCAAUCUCUUGCAUUAUGAGGUUCACCACAUCAAACUGACGACCCUGCAUGAUGGCAUCUAUCACAUGCCAAGCCACCCCCUUAAUAUCAUCAUUAUUCCCACAUCGAGGGAGAAUGGUGGCUCUCACAAUCCUGUUCACCACACUACGAAUAGUCAUCAACCCUGCAACUUUCCCAUGGGUGUGUCGCCUUCCAUCUUCAUAGAACUGUGAAAGAUAAUCAAUGGAGAGCGGGUUGUGAGUAUGCUCCUCAUGCAGAUCAUCACCAAAGUCAAAGCGGAUGUUGAGUAACCUCCGGAACUGCCUCCUAGAGAUAGAGUACUGGAGGGUGUGUGACAUCCACUUCAUCUCACUACAAUCACCGGCAACCCACGUUGUGGCAUAAAAUUGGCGGAUGAGCUCCUCAUCAUAGUCUUGUGCCAUAAUGACUAUGCAAUCUAUCCCCACAGCCCUGAAAAGGGCUUGCAAGCUUGUAAACUCUAGAGUCUCAUUUAUGUUCCGCCAUGAAAUCCACUUGUGCUUUGCAAAAGCCCUGCUCCUGUAGAGCUGCUCAUAAAUAGUCUUCUGGAAGGCCGUGUGAAAACGGGGAUCAGUGGUGUCUCUAGGCCUCUUGAACUGAUCAUGAUGCCUUAGGAUGGUGUACUGAGCGGAGUUCCUGAUGUUAACCACAAACUGAACAGAAGGAUCAAUUUCCAUCUCAUUUCCUUCUUCCUCAUCCUCCCCACUGCCACUGUCAUCACCAUCUCCACUUUCCUCUUCACCCUCUUCCCGUCCCUCAUUCACAUCUUGCUCUUCUUCCUCACUUGCUCAUAUUCCUCUCCGCUCGACUCCUCAUGCUCGCACUCGGGCUCUUGCACGGCCGCUUGAUGACCAUGGCGAGUGCGGGGAGGCAUUGCUGAAUCCAAAGAGCAAUAAAGGAAUAUGAGCAACAAAUUUAGAAAACACUCGGUUAGGCGGAAAGAAAUUUUGCACUGCCGGUCAGGGGCGGUCAGACCGGUGGCCAAUGGCCGGUCAGACCGCCCGUAGGGCUGACCAGACCGCCACUAACAAGUCCAAGCAAAAACUCUUUCACCACAACACAAAUGAUUCUAAAUAGGCUAGGAUAAUUUUGCACAGGGUAAGAUCGUGAAUCAACAAGGAUACGGUCUAUUUCAUCAAGAUUGGAACAAUGAGGGAAACUACCCUUAACCCUAUUUGAGAGUAAGCACAAAAGGGAGAGUGAUUUACCGGUUGAAAGGAGAUGGUUUGCACGAAGAACAACCCACUAAUUUGUGCAAAUCCAUAAGCACUUCUUCCUUCACCUAGAGUUCCAAUCCAUGGAUCAAAAACUCAAUAAAAAAACAAAAGAAUCCAUGGAAUAGAGAGCGGAAGAGCAGGAGAUUCACUUACGGUGUAACCGGAGUGAAAUCCACGGUCAAACCGAGGGGAUUUGGUGGAGGAGAGUGGCUAGGGUUUGAGAGAGGAGAGAGAGAUGAGUUUUUCGAGUUGGGGAUGAGUGGGGAAGAGAAGAGAAGGGGUAGGUGCAGGAUGGAGAAGAAGAAGAAGGGCAAAACUACCUGGGCCCACCUCAGCCGGUCAGACCGGCCCUAUGUGGUCGGUCAGACCGCCUCACCUGGUGUCACGUCUAGAAAUUUAGCCCAUAUUUCCAGACUAUUUUGUGUAUUAAAUCCCUGUCCAGGACCAGGACCAGCUAGGGUACACAAAACAAUAAAUUAAUAUACAGACCCAAAUGUAAAUAAAGCGUAAAAUACUUACAGAAGAGGCACUUAGUCCUCACACCGAAAGAGAACGACAGCAGCAGAAAAGGCGAUCCUAGCGGGGCUUCAGCUCCACUCCACAGGCAAAACUGAACUAGGGUUUGAGCCUUGGUCCUCUAACUUCAUCUUCAACUCAGAAGCACUACACUUCUGAAAAGGGGGAACAACAGCAAGACUGAGUACAACCACCGUACUCAGCAAGCCACACCAUUGAUGCAGACGUGCAAGGGGAUUCAAAAAUGGCUUGUGGCUAUUUGCAUAAAGGCAGUUGUAAAACAUUUUGUUGAGCAAAACAGUAAAACUGCUGAUUAAUUAAGGUAACAUUAAAUCUCUAUUGAUCAACACUACACCACGUUGAACAGGCCCAACCAACCCAUCUGAACUACAGUGCAUUGGGUCGAUUUAUUAAGUGUGAGACUAAUCACGGUGAAUCUGGUCGACCGCCCAUAACCGUGGGCACAGCUAUUCAAAUAGUUUUACUCUGAUCAGAGGUGUACAACUUUACCCACAAGACACAGCCCCACAACACGUUCCCGUGCGCCGACAUGCCACCAUGACAUACUGGAAAGAGGCCGUGAUAGGACCCUUCGCAUAACCCCCUCUAACCAAUCGCACCACACCUCAGGUUUCACCUCCACUCCUCGCAAGGCAUCGGGCAGUCCCCUCUCGUGCCUAGGUGAAUCCGGAAGCGACAAAGGCCGUUGCAGGGCCCAUCCCGCUCCAUCAUGCCCACCCUUGCCUGGAUACGUCGGCUAGAGGAAAGCUACACUACAAACCCAGCCGUUGCCCACGCUGGCUUGUGGUAAGUACGAUAAGUUCUUCCAGGGCAUCCCGCGAACCAGUCCUUAAUUGCCAUGGGUGUGACUAGCAAAACCAUGCACCCACAGCCCACCAUUCAGUCGCAUUUUAGUUGGAUAAUUACGACCAAUGAAACAUGGCCAGGUGUCUCGAGCACGCAGCUCGUUCUGAUGCUAAAAAGGUCUAAUACUUCAAUUAUCCCAUCAACUGAGCUAGUGGUAAUUAAGCAUGGCUAAGCAUAUAGUUCUAGCUGGGUCACAUAAGUAACAAGAGCUAGUCGAUUUAUCACCCAAGGUUGACAAAGGACAAAUAUCAAGUAAACAUGGCACAAGUGAGCAGAUAGGUAAACCCGAUUCCCAUGUAAUUGGCAAAACAUGCAUAUUUAUUUGCAAACAGUAAAACAUUUGUAAAGUAGGCUCAACAUGCUCAAGGGGAAUGUGUGACUUGUUUUGCUUCUUCACUUGGAUCUUCCGAACUCUUAUCCUUGCGAUCGCGAUCUUCCGAAACGGCAUAAUCUACGUGCUGGCAUGCAAAAUGAGGAAAAACUCUAAUAAAAACCAAGGAAACGGUACAUAAAGAGUAAACAAACAUGUGGAUCUCAGUUUUAGAUGAAUUUUGCAAGUUGAAUGGCCCAAUUUGGAGUUCGAAUGAAUUAUAUAUGAAUUUUAGAAGUUUUGAGCCAUUUAAAUGGAUUUCUAUAAUUAUUAUUGAUUUAUUACGCAAUUAAUGAUUAUUUUUCACAAGGAAAAGGGGGUUGCUGACGUCAGCAAGGGGUGAGGCGUGGACCGCGUCCACAAAGGGGUGGACCCACACGUCAGCGGCACAAGGGCGCCGGUCCACCGUGGACCGGGACCACCGAGGCGGUCCACCACCGGUCCACGGGAAUCGACGGCCCGGAUCGGCCCAAGCCGAUCGGGCGGCCACGGGCGGCGCAACAAGGACACAGGCACGGCAUGAAGCUGGCCCGGGCGAGCCAUGGCACGGCAGCGGCACGGCCACCGGCGGCAACAGCCGACGACGCCGAACAGUGGCGAGCGGCCGGAAGACGGCGGCGUUCACGGGCAGCGGCAAUGCAAACGGAAGGGAAGGGGAGCGGGAGGAGGGGCUCACCGAGCGUGUGGGCCGACGAGGCGGAGCCGGAGGUGGCCAGCGAUGGGAAGAGGCGACGGUGCUCCUCAAGGAGGCGAAGCGGACGGUGCUCCGGCGGCCUUCCGCGAGCGGGAACUGGCGGACAGUGGCCGGAAGAACCUGGAGAAGAAGACAGGGGAUUUAGGGAGCGAGGAGGAGGCACGACGCCGAGGGAAAUGGCGGCCGAAAGCGGCAAGGAUCAGCGAAGCUCACCUUGGACGGAGGAAAGCGGUCUCCCGUGAUGAUUCGUGAGGAGGGAGGGGUGGACGGGCAGUGCAUGGUGACUGCGGUGCCGGGGAAGGCAACGACGCAGCGCGAGGUGGUCGGGAACGGCGUCGAGAGGCGGCCGGAGGCGGCUGCUAUGGUGGCGGUUUGGGUGGUGUGGUAGAGUGACGGUUCUAGCGGCGGAAUGGAGGAGCGGAGGGGAUGCCGGGGUACGAGACGACGCAGUGAAGCCGUCGGUGGCGGUUGCACGGAGCGGUGUCGGCCUGCUGGAGGGCGUCGACGGGCGGCGGAGCUCGGGCCCGCGCUGCGGCGGUGUUUCGGAGGCGGAGAGGGUAAAAGGAGUAGGGGCCGGGGUGCGGCACGGCACGGCGAUGCCAAUGGUGGUGGCGGCACAGCGUGGCGGCGUGCGGCUAGAAGCAUGGCGGCGAGCGGCGGAGCUCGGGCUCGCGUGGGAAGUGCGGGAGAAGGCACGACGGGCUCGGGAAAGUUGGGGAAAUGAGCGAGGGGAGUGCGGGAAGGAGUUUUAUGGGUGCGGGACAGCGGGAGGGGGCCGGGGCGAUGCGGAUUCGGGGCAGCAACCACCGGCGGCGUGGGGUGGUGACGUGGGCACGUGGCGGGGCAAACCAGCGCAGUUUUCUUGGGGGAAAAUUGGGGAAAUGGUGGAGGAGGUGGGGGGGUGCAGUUCCACCACUUGGGCUUGAGCAGGAAGGGCUGGGUGGUGCGGAUUUUGCGACGGAGUAGGCAGCAAUGGCGGCCACGGGCGGUUACUGGCGAGGUGGCUGGAGGAACGGGGAGGAGCUGACAGGUGGGGCCUCGGGUCCACCUGUCGGCGAGGGAAGGAGAGAGGAGGCCGGGGGGCUUAUGUGGACUUAGGGAGAGAUGGGGAGCAAGCGGGCCGAGCGGCCCAAAGAGGAGAGGGGAGGGAGGCUGCCGGGCUGGAGGGCAAAGAAGGAGGGAGAGGGAUUGGGCCGAGGGCGGCCCAAAAGGAAGGAGAGGGAAUUUUCUUUUUUUUCUUUUUAUUUAAUUGUUUAAAUGAACUUUGUGACUUUAAAAUUAUUUCUUGAGCUCCGAAAAUUCGUGGAAAAAUCCGGAGAGUACUUUAGGGCACAGAGAAUAUUGCAAAAUAUUUCUGGCCAAUGAUUUUUAUGGGAAAAUUUUAAGUCUACCAUUAUUUCACUUGAUUAAAUUGCUUUAACUUUUAUUUAAUUUAUAGAAAAUGAUUUAUUAAUUGAUUUUUAAUCCCGAACGAAAUCGAGGUGUUACAAAUCUACCCCCCUUACAGGAAUCAAGUCCUAAGAUUCGGGUAUGGUUAGAAAGAAAGCUGGGUGUAGGCGGUCUGAUCGAUCUGGCCGAUCUGCACACUGCAUUGAUCCCUUUUGUUUUAAACUGACUGAUGGACUGACCAACCAGCAUAACUUAACUGAACUGACUGGCAUCGACCAUUCUAUUCUUUUGCUCAAAACAACCGAACUGACUGGGAUUCGACCCUGGAGUUCUAUUGCUUCGCAAAACUUAAUUGAUUAGCUCUACUCGAUCUGACCCUGACCUGAAUCACGAGGGCUCAUGGAACUUCCUGUCCCUGUACUGAACUGCUAGCAUUAUCACCUUUUGGUAACCUGAGAGCUCACCAAGCAGACUAGAAAUUGGCAGAUCUUUCAUGAAAUCUUGUAUGUGAGCCUGCAUGAAUGACAGAUUCUAACUUUACUUUGACCUGCUCCUGACUACCAGAACUAUUCUAAGAGGCUGCUUGACCGGUCUUUCGUCUGAACUGCAACUGUACCUGAUGUUACUUCUCUGAUGUGAAUUGUUGUCCUGGCCUCACGGGUGUAUCUUAGAAUUCAAUCGGAUGACUUGAGAUCGGCAUGACUCUAUUGACACCUUGUAGCUGGCUUCUUCGAGUACUACCUAAAUUGUUGUACUGGGUUGAAUCUUUAAGGGAAAUGGCGACGAGGUGAACCAAAAUUCAUCUCUGCGACCUACCCCCCUUACAGAGAGUAGUCAUACUUUCGGGUGACCGGGAAUAAUUGAACUAUUGUCCUUCAAGAACAAUCGACACUUCUCGGAUUUACGAAUGGCCCUGACAUUGAAAACAGAAAACUUCAUCGAUCAAUCAAAAUAAAGCAAUGACGAUGCACUUUCAUCCAGGUCAAGGCUUGGAACUUAACCCUCAGUUGCUGAUAGGAAAUUCCACAUAAAGAAAUUCUCAUUUAGCUCUUGAUCUUACUAACUCUUGACUACUUCCCAAUCAGUUCUACUGCUGGCAUAUUUAGCAUGCUUCUGGCCUGACUUCGGUGUCAUAUGCUUGAACAGAUUGCAUAGUCGACAUUCUUUGAAACACAUACUGACCACUUAACAGAUCAAACUCAAGAGUCCUUCUCAUGACAUAACAUCACACGUCGAUUAUUCUUUUGCUGACUCUUCCUGUAUUGAUGAACUGUAAACCCUGCAACUGCUUUCCCAAAAAUAUUGUAAUCUGCACGGCUGCCAGAAACUGACUUUGAUGCUGUCGAGAGUUUCUGUUCUUUGAUCAUAACAACUUCGCUUUCAUAUCUUCGGUAAAGCUGAUCUGUCGAAAAGAGGUUCUCUGCCACACACCCUGCUGACUACACAUUUCUGAACCUGAUUCUUGGAUAUUUCUUGCCCAUGUAUGGAACAAUUUCUGCCAACUUCCGAGAAACAUCAUGAGGAUUUCUAGAAUUCGUAGUGGUUCCUUCGAACAUAUGGAGAACCAUCCAUGAUUCAUAAUCGUACCACUAGGGUGUAAUUGUUGCUUACCAUUCUCUAACAGUUUCCAAGGGUAGAGAGUUCCCAAGAUUCCUUGUAUGAUGUUACUUCUGAAUUUUUUUUUCAUUACUCCCUACACUUGAAUACCCUUGAUACUACCUUUAGAGAGAUUUCAUAGUGUCGAGCGCUAUGGAUCCAACCAUUGUCACUUCCUUGGUUAAUCCUUUCUUUACUCGCUCGCAAACAGGUUUUGGAGCACAACAAAAGUGCGAUGAGUUAGAAGGGAAACUCUUGGUUUCUUGUAACUUGCAGAUACACAUGUUAACUUGCUUUUGCAUACUCAAAGGUGAAAAGAAGAGAAACGCUUGACUCCUACUCUAUUCAAUAUUCCCUUUUCAACUAUAUCACUGGAUUGGAACUUCUAUGCACAAGGAAGGUAUUUGAACACCAAAGGCCUGUGCACAAUUGUUGACUCUUGCUGACAGAACUGCUGAUCAGUAGCACAUUUACCCAUUGUGAUUCUGACAUGGUUGACUUGUCCUUUUGUUGGUUACUAGCUGAAGCUCCCACAAGAACAAAACUUUGACUGAUGACGUUCCUAAGACAAACAUCAAUCCUCUUGGUAGCUAAAAGGAACGAGACCUUCUCACUAUCGGUGCAACUCUUCUGUUAAUUUCUUGCGAGACCUCUGAAUUGGAGCAGUAUGAGAUGCAUGGCUGAUGUUGACAACCACAUUGAAGUCUGAUGCUUGAGACAUUGAUUGCAGUCGCUGCUGAAGAAUUGAGCCGUCUCUCCGUAGCUAAAGUAGAUCACUGAUUUCCUGGCUUCGUCUGCUCUGCUGGUGCUGAUUCUGUAAUCUUGAAGUGAUUGCUAGAGAAACAAUAGAGACCUUGUCAGUGCACUUAAUGACAAUUCAUCAUGAUGGAAACUUUACACCCAAGUGACGGUUGGUAGUACUUCUCUUUCUAGGGUCUUUGGACUGGAUCUGACCACUUCAUACAGGAACUGAUGUAACUUGAGGAGACAAAGGAGUUUUAACCAUGUUGCUGACUUGAUGAGACUGACGCUUUGGCGCUGAACAACCUUUUGAGAGAUGAUAGGUCUUCCAACAAUUGGAAACAAUGGUGGACUAUCUUUCUUGGUCUCGAGAGUAGACCAUUACUGAGGUGGUGUCCCGGCUCAAAACGAUUGAGACACUUCUCACUUGAUGGAUCUUUGAUGUGCACUCUUCCCGCUGUGCAUGCUCCCAACUGAAACCAGAGUAGAGAACUCAUAACCUUGGUGACAAUGUUAUUACUAUCACUGUGGGUUGCCACUGCAGAUGGAGCUAGGGGAAGAACGGAACUAUUGCUACUGCUGUUACUGAGUGCCAUAAGUUGACGAACAGGUUGCAAAGUUGUCUUUUGGUCUCUCAUUGCCUUAGCUAGUACCAAACUCAAUUGAUUAUCCUUGAGCACAUGGUGCAUUCCCUCACACAAGAAUCGUGCAUCCUUUCUCUGCCAAAGACUGGACUGCAGUGUACCAUAGUUUUUGUAAGCAAGCUAACCUGGACAUUUCUUCUCUCCUGGGCACAGUGCCCUAUUGUCGGUCGUUUUGACAAAUAAGUCCAAUGGGUGAUUGAACACUUUGUAAGAAACUGCCCUUGUACACCAUAACCACCGUGGGUAGCACUUGCUGCUUCAGGGAUCGAUGGUGGCUUAGCUGUGCUGGUUUCCUCAGGACACGACUGUACACCGGCAGGGGUUGUAGGUGCUUCCAUUGGACAACAAUGGCGUUGACUCUGACUCCGACUCCGGGCUUGCACCUGAGCUUGUAUCUAUUGUUGGGGACACUGUCGUUGCAUCUACUGCAUUGGACUCUGCGGUGGCUGCAUCAAUCUAUGACACAUUGUUGGUAAUUCUUACGGUCACAGAUAAAAUCCGCAAGCGCACGGAUAUACCGAUGUAGCACUUCGCCUACGGAGUAUUCCAAUGGUAUCGAAUCCAAGGAAACGUGUGUGAUCAGAUCUUCCUCCGGUUAAUCCAAGGACACCAAGCAAAUGAUAGGCCAGGAUAUACAGGAUUUUCUAGUGAGAAACAGUGUCUAGGGAAAGCUUAACUUUAAUCCUAAUGCAAUACUUCAGGCACUGGCAAUCCGCUGUUCCCAGAUGUCGCUCUACUAUGCACCCGGACAGGAAGGACUUAAGUGAUCUUGAGGGUUGUCACCACCUCUACACCUACCUCAAACAGAGUGUGGGAUACGCAGCCAUUACUAUAUUGAAUAUUAUAUUGAAUUCAGAGUAAUAAACAGAGGAGAAGAUUACCGACAACUCCGGAAUUCUUCCGACUUCUUCUACUCUACUCUCUUCCUAUUCUAGUAUACAAUAUAGUACAAUAGAGCCUCUUAUAAUUCAGCUCAAGCUUGGAAGUGUGUGUGUGUGAAGUGAGGGAGUGAUGUCCUUUUAUAGGGCAGUUAUGACGGUUGUGAGAAGGGGAAAUGUCCGAAUUGUCCCGCAACCAUUAUUGGGAGAGCAUCUGGAGCGUCCACGCCAAACCCUAGGAUCAACGGUGAUCGGGGCGGUUUGGCCGAACCUGGGCUGGGCCCUCCUAGCCUAGCCUUCGGUCGGUGGACUCCCUAGACUCUCCUCUGUCUAUUUCUCGGAGUUUUGGGUUGAUUUACUGAUGUUUUGAUGAAGUUCACAACCCUUCCUUGUAUGGAUACAUAAUUCUCACUUUAGUCUAGAUUUCCUCCCAACAUCAGGGUUUAUCAUCUGCAUACAAAUAUACACCAACACUUGUGGAAUAUGUGAGAUUAAGCACCUAUCACUAUGUUGGAUGUUUUAUUAUCUAAACUUUAUGCAGAUGGGAUUUUUAUAAAUUUUCGCAAACAAGCUCUUUUCCUCAUGUUGACUUCCUCUCUUGUCUCUCAAGGAUGUAUAUUUUCUUUUUGGAUCCUCAAUCAAGGCAAAGUGUGCCAAAAUCUACCCUAUUCUAAGGCUGAUAUGUGGAGCUUGGUAGGGAUAAAUUGUGACAUACUUGCAUCAUAUAUAUAUUGUAAAGCUAAAAAUACGGACUCAAGAAGAUCAUCAAUCAUACUUCUAGAUCAAGAGUCUUUAUUUGUGGUGAAAAAAAAAUGGAAAAGUAAAAUCUUUUGUGGAAUAAUGGAAAUGAUUCUCCCCUUUUUCCUAUACUUCCUCCUCCCUUUUGUUUUCUUGGCAUGAAUAUGGAAGGGGCAUGGCUAUAUUUUCUUUCCAACUUUGCUCAAUGAUUUGGGAGCAAGCAUUUAUUUUCUUCUUCUUUUUUUUAUUUUUUUUUCAUAGUCAUGCCUUUCCUCCCCUUUUUUUUCAUUUUUCUUUUUGCCGAGAACUUUUUUAGGAGAAGAAAGCAUAGUCUAAUGUAGAAGUUUAUUCGAAUGGAAUUUUUGUGGAAAACCAACUUCCAGUUUAGAAGCUUAGCUUAAUUAUAUAUGUGGAGAAAUGGAAAUGGAAAUGACCCCUUGAUCAUGGGAGUACGAAAGAUAUCUCACACGAGUCACCUAAAUUUAACAAAGCUCAAUAUAAUGUCAAGCAGUCAUAUGCAUGAUAAGGUUCAUCAAAGAUAUACUUGCAUAUGGCCUUGGUAGGUAUAAAAUGAAGUCAAUUAGGAGGAUUGUGCUUUUUAAAAUGAUUUUAUUUUGUGAAAAAUAAUUUCCCAAGAGUCAUAACAAGAGUUACAAGAGUUCCCUUCAUCUUGAAUCAUCUCGCAUAAAGCAAUUACUUAGAUGCAUAAGGUUCCCUAAACAUGGAUGGUUGUUCAUAAGCACAAGUUCGGCUGAGAAUAAUGAAUAUACAAGAUCAAUCACAUGAAGAAUUUCAUUAGUUGGAAAUUUUAUCUUUCGCUUAUGCUUGAACCAAUUGUUUUCUGAAUUUUCAGCUCAAAUACUAUACCAUGGUGGAGAUAUACAGAUAAAAGACGUGCUCUCCUGCUUACCUGUGAAAACUGGGAGGUAUUGGGGCCAACACUGGUUCGGCCGAACUACUCUGGUGCCCAAUACCUCUGCAAUUUUUUGCAGAGUUCAGUGCCUUCCAGGUGUUUAGACAUUCAGUAAUUUUCAGAUUAUGUGCACGUCAGAAGCUGUGAUAUCUCCCCCAUACUUAUUAAACAUGAAACAAAACAAAUUUUGACAAACAUUGGGGUUAACACCAAUGAGCUACAUUAUUCAUAGCAAGUGCUUAUAUGAUUGGAAAAACAAAAACCAAGCACCUACUACUAUUUUACUCAUGGGAAAGGAAGCAUCUAGUUAGCAUAAUACUUAUUUUCCUUUCCCAUUUCUACGAUUGCGCGCUUGAUUUUAGCGCACAAACCGUGACUAAGGGUGUCGAAAUUAUUUCUAAUUUCAGCAAGCUUUAUCCCUAGCUCCGCGUUGCGAUCCCUAAUCUCUAUGUUCUCUUUGUGGAUUUUCUUCACUUGUGCGCGAGCAUAUGGAUCGAGGGCUCCGGCGACUUCACCUCAUCUUCUUGAUAUUGGCCGGGAGCCCUCACAAUUGGAGGGGGCGUCAAGUGAUGCUUAACCUUCAUAGGUGGAGGUCUACGGGAUUCUGCUGCCCCCUCCUUCUCCUAUGUCGUUAAAGGCCGGAGUAAACCCUUGCCAUACCCACCGCCGGGAGUUCGCACUCCCUGAAUGCAGAAUCGCUCCUCCUUCGGAGUGGAUGGAGUAGCGGUGGGUGUGACAUACUUAUGGAACACCUCAUUCCCUGCCUUGGUGAACAGGGUGCCCACAUAGCGCUCGGCGGGAGGCGGCGCGGCCUUCCCGUCAUCUUGAAAAAGGCAACGUGCCUUUAAAAGACCGAGCUCUCCCGUUGUCGGCCGACGCGCAGGCGAAUCCCCCCGAAAUUUUGUCUUUGUGACAUGGCGAGGGGAGAGGGAUCUUGCUACUGAACGGGGAGCCGAACGGGGCUGAGAAGGGUUCGGCCGAACCAGGGAGCUCGCCGACGGGCUCCAGAAUCGCAGGGGAGCCCGACACUGUUGCGAGGGGCUGCGCCCACAGUGCAUUCACCCCUUCCAUGGUGUAUUGCUCUACAGGGAUCAAUUGAUUCGCCGGUGUCGGCUCUCCGUCAAGGUUGUGUGUGGAGUUGGAGGAAGAGCCAAUGAAUGGGAUCAAAGAUUUGCCAGCCAUUGGUGAAUUAGAGGUGAUGGAGAACGGAAUUGAGAUGAGAAGAAGAGGAGGUUUGCAAAAGUGGGAGAGAGGAAGAAGAACAGGGUUCUGGGUCUGAUACGACUGAUCUACCUCCGAAUGCGCAUCACAACAUACUAUAGACAAGCGGGGGAGACUGAGGUUCAAAAUUGGGGCUGAUCGGGCGCCUGUCACACCCUGAAAAUCGCUAAGUUAUAAAUCGUUGUGAAAAAAGGAAUUUUUAGAAAUUAUUUAAUAAUUAAAGUAAUUGUGUGAAUAAAAUCUAUGAAAUUUUUGAAAGUUAAAUUGAUAUAGAUAAAAUUUUAUUAAAUACUUUGUGUGCCCAAGUAUUUUCAGGAUUUUUCUUGGAUUUAUUUGAGCAUUGGAAGUAUUUUUAAUAAAUGAAAGAUCAUUUCAGUAAUUAUUUAAAUUAAAAAGUUGAUUAAAAUUUCUCUUCUGUCCACUCCUCUCCUGUCUCUCUUCCUUAGCCCGCAGCAGCCCACUCUUCCUUUUUGUCUUACUUAGAUAAAGUCCAUUUUGGGUCCCUCUUGCAAUCAGGCCUAGUAAAGAAAAGGAAGCCCGAAAAGAAGUCUAUUUGACAGAGCCAGUUCAUCCCGAUACCGCGCCAAUCUCCACCGAAUCCGUCGCAUCCCGUGCUCUGUUUCCAAAAUUGGUUGCAAAAACGGAUUCCCCUCGAUCUCCUCUACCUUGUCCCUAAGAAACCCCUUUGAAUACCGUUGUAUAUCGCGUGAAUUCGAUGCGGUUUUGAGCUCCGUUUUUCCGGCGAACCCUAACUAAUCCGUCGCCGAUUCUUCCCGUAACCGAGCCGAUCUCUCCCUCUUCCGGCUAUAAAUAGCAGUCCCAAGACCUCCUCUUCCGUUUGCUCCUUUUUCCCGAAUUUUUCCCUAACCCUAGAGCCGCCGCCACGCUCGGCUUUGCUCUCCUAUGCUGGCCGCCGCUCCAGCCACGUCGCGCCGCCUCCUCGGUCGACCCCGACCUGCGCCGUCGCCUCCCUUGGCUUCGCAAGGGUGAGAGCUACCUCGGCCACUGGUUGUUUUGCGCCAAAUCCCACCAGAAGGUUGCCGUCGCCGUGAACCAGUGGGUUAUUGCCGUGGUUUGGUCUCCAGCCGUGUCGUUCGUCGUCGUCCAUCGUCGCUUUCGGACGCCGUUGCUUCCACUGGAUUCGCAGCUGUGAGGAGAAGCCCGUCCACCCCUCCGUUGCCGCCGCUUGUCGCCGGAAAGCCGUCGCCAUCGUCAACCAAGGUCGCCGCCCUUUGGAGCUCAUCGCCGGCCAUCUCCCUCGCCGUCUGUCGUCGCGUAAGUGGUGGUAAGGGCCGUGCUUAGAAAUAUUAGCUCAUUAAUGGGAUAAAUUAUGCUUCACUAUUACUUAUGGUUCUAUUAAAUGGUAGCUCACGAUGGGCAAUCGUGUUAUGAUAAUUAAUUGAUAAUUAAAAUAUGAUUAAUGGUGGGUUGUGAGCACAUGGUUUUGAAGGUUGUGCUCAUAACAAUUAAGGACCGGUUCGCGAGCUACUGUUGUGAAACAUUAACCGUGCCAACCACAAGCCAGCGUGGGCAACGGCUUUACCUUUUGUAUAGUAUGGUUCAUUACGGGGUGCCAGACUGAGAAGUGGUGGAGAUAAGCCCACGGGGGUCGCUGGGGAGUCCAUGCCUCUGGUUUUUGAGGGGGUGACUACGAUCCAGGAAAGAUGCACUGCUUUGAGUUGAGCUAUGCGAGAGGUCUUGUCACAACUACACAAAUGGUGACAUGUUCAGCAUGGGCACAUGAUGAUAUGGUGACAUAUUGUGGAGUUGUGUCUUGUGGGUACAGUGGUACACCUCUGGCUUGAGUAAAACUAUUCGAAUAGCCGUGCCCGCGGUCAUGGGCGGGUCUAACAAUGUCUUUCGUGAUUAGUCUCAUACUUCUUACCAUAAUAAAUGAUGCUAUAACUGGUAAUAAUUUGAUUAGCUCCUGGUUUGGAAUGGUGCAUUCCUGGUUUGGAGAUAGAUCUUUACAGCCGGGUAUGGUUGUUCAGGUUGGUUGGGCCUGUGCAGCAUGGGUGUGCUGUUCAGUGUUGAUUAAUAUUGAUGAUUAAUUACUCUAUUCUUUUACAAUUCUUAAAUGUUUGCUAAAUGCUGCUUUUGCAAAUGAGCCAUAUAUUUUGCCAUUGUUUGGUAUCCUUGUGCACCUGCAUAUUUGCUGUGUGGCUUGUCGAGUAUUCCAUGUACUCACCUUGCAAUAAUCAAUCAAACCUCGGUUGAAGACAAGUUGCGAAGGAGAAGACGUUUGGCUUAUACCCUAGUUGAGCUGCCUGUGGGAGUAGAGUCGGAGCUUCGCUAGACCGUAAUUCCGCUGUUGUUUUCUCUUUUCUUUUGUAAGUAUGUAACGUUAUUAUUAUGAUGAAUCUGUAUAUUAAAUUAUCGGUUUGUGUACCUCGGCUGAUUCCUGGACGAGGAUUUCAUGCACAAAUUAGUUCAGAAAUUACUAGUGAAUUUAUGGGCGUGACAAGUUGGUAUCAGAGCCAUCUCGACUGUAGGAUAAGUCAAAUGGUCAAACUUUAAGGAGGAAUUUUCCGAAAACAUGAUUUGUGAAAAUUUUCCUUUCUUCCUUCUCCAGAAUUCUCUGUAAAUCAUUUUAUCAUCCUCUCCCCUCCCGCUUUCAACUUGAGUAGUUCUGAAACUAGUUGUUUAAACUUGAAGACAUCGAUGUGGUCUUCUUAUGGAGAUUGAGUCAAGUGGAUCGAGGAAAAUGAAGUUGAUGGUCAAUCUGAAGUGCCCAAAUGUCAAGAUGGGAUCGUGCAUUAGAACCUAAACCACCAAAGUGACUCUAAAGAAUAGUUAGUAGGGUAGAACGUUUGUUGCUUGCUUCUUUGUAGGUAUUGUUGCAUUUCCCAUCAUUGGUGUUGUUCAGCGAUGAGCAUGUAACGAUACUAGGUUGCUUGUUUAAUCAACUUAAACAAUAUAAUGGUCUACAUACACCAGAUUAGUAUUAACCUGGUUAAGGUCUGUCUUUAGUGUAACCCCUCUCUUUCUAUCUUCUCUAAUCUGCAACAAAUGGUGAACAUUCGCGCCAGUGGAAGUGGGAACAAUAACAAUGAAGGGAACCCAACUCUUACUCAAGUUCUUGCUCAACAGACUCAGUUAAUGAACAUGAUGAUGCAGCAGAUGCAUAACCAGCUCAACCAAGGGUACAACAAUGCUCCACUACCCCGGAGCAAGCUAGCUGAUUUCCUUCGUGUGAGGCCACCUACCUUUUCUAAGAAGCAGGUGAUUGGCUGCACACUAUUGAGAAGAAGUUGAAAUUGCUCCAGUGCACUGAUCAGGAGAAAGUUGUAUUCGCUUCACAUCAGUUGCAAGGAUCUGCUUCAGAAUGGUGGGAUCACUUUCGGAUGAACAGAGCGGAAGGACAACCAAUCACUUGGGAAGAGUUUACCGAAGGAUUCAAGAAGACACACAUACCUGCAGGAGUGGUUGCUUUGAAGAAGCAUGAGUUCAGGGCAUUGAAGCAAAAGGAUCGUACCGUGAUAGAGUAUCUUCAUGAGUUCAACCGUCUAGCACGUUAUGCUCUAGAAGAUGUGCGUACUGACGAGAAAAGGCAGGAGAUGUUCUUGGAAGGCCUGAAGGAUGAACUGUCAGUUACGUUGAUCUCUCAUGACUAUGCUGAUUUUCAGCAGCUAGUUGACAAAGCAAUUCGAUUGGAAGAUAAGAAGACUAGGAUGGACAACCGUAAGAGAAGAAUGACUGUUUUCCAGGAGGCACAGGGUAGUAGCCAGAGGCAGCGUAUCAAGCCACUCCAAGUUGGUGAAUCAGGUCUGACAUCUCAAGAACAAUCGCAACAGAUGAACAUCGGUGGUGAGAUCAAUUCAGAGACUAAUGCAAGCAAUGAAGUUAAUAUCGAGCAAGCUACUCAGUCGGAGCCAGUUCAGCAGGAUCAGUCUCAAGAAGGUAAUAGUAGUGCAAGGGAGCAGCGGGUAUGUUUUAAUUGUUAUGAGCCAGGUCACUUCGCAAGAAAGUGUCCGAAGCCAAAGCAUCAGUAGCCGCAAGGUCAAGUCAACAACAUUGUCGUCACAGGAGCCAAUGCAGUGCCAGUUGCGUCUUCAAGUGUUACAGUUCAGCCACCAGUCUCAAAUCAGCAGUAGUUUUCUUUAAAGCCUUAGAAUAAUUAUCGGAGUUAUGGAAUAGGAUAGACUGUAGUUUAGCCGUUCCGAAUCACGGGACGAGAUUCUUUGUAAGGGGGGUAGAUUUGUUACAGCCUAAAUUUCCAUUUCAGGAUUUAUAAAUUGUUAAUAGAAAUUAUAUUAAAUGUUCAUUAAUUUACAAGUGAAGUUAAAUGUGGGAAAUAAAAUUUCCUAAGUAUAAAGCAUGGCUGGAUUUAAUUUUUAUUAAAUUCUCUAUGAUUAAUUAUACUCUCUGGAAUUUUCUCGAAUUUUCCAGUGCUCAAUUCCUAAAUUCUAAUAAUACAAAAAAUAUUUCAGUAAUUCGUUAAUCAUUAAAUUAAUCAAUUAAUGAUCUAAUUAUAAUUAUGUUAAAUGAUUUUCUUGUUUAAAAAUCCUUAAAUUAUAAAUUGUUGUUUAAAAGGAAUUAUUAGAAAUGAUCUUAAAAGCCUAAAAGAGAAUUUCUAAUUUUAAUUCUCUAAAUAUCAAAAUAAAAGUGGGCUAGAUAAAAUUUUAUUAAAUACUUCUCUCAUUUCUAUAGUUCCUAGAUUUUUCUGGGAUUUAUUUGAGCAAAGGAAGUAUUUUUAAUAAACGGAAUAUCAUUUCAUGAAUAAUUUAAAUAGAAAAAGGUUUUAAAUCUCUCUAUUGGCUUUGGGCCGAAAGUCGGUCCAAGUCUCUCUCUCCCCGGCCUGCGUGUGCUCGGCCCAGCCGGCCAAGUCCGCCACGCCCUCCCUUCUCUCUCUCAGCCGCUGAUAGGUGGGGCCCACCUGUCAGUCGUCUUCAACCUCCGGCCGCUCCUAGCCGCGUUGCAAGCCGCCGCCUCCUUCCAAAAUCCGGCCGCCACCUUCCUUCCCCGGCCAAAUCAAUUGAGGGGAAAUAAUCUCCUCGAUCUCCUCUUCCUUUUCUCUUUUGGAAACUUCGGCUAAUUUCGUUUGGAAACCGACGGAUUUGAGCUCGAUUCGGAUCGAUUUUUCUUCCUCCAACCAUAGCUUUCCUUCUCGGCGCCGAUCGCCGUGGGCCUCCAUCGACACACCUAGACCCCUAUAGAAGGACCUCCGGGACCUCCUCUCUGCAUCACCAUCUCCACCUUCGACUGCCGCCUUCUCUAGCGUCGCCUCCGCGUGGUUCUUUGUAUCGCCGCCGCCGGCGGGUCUCCAGUCGGUCCCGCUGUCGCUUCGGUCAUCGCCGUCGGUCGCCGUCUCCUUCAUCAGCAUCGCGAUGUCGUCGCCGUCCUCGUCCCGUCCUCCGUUUCCGCCGCAGAUCAUCGGAGCGCCGCCGGCACCGUCGACUCGAAGCUCUCCACCAUCAUCGUCGAUCCAGCCACACCGCGCCGCCGUCUCAGCCGCCGCCUUCGGUCGCUGUCGCCACCGUCGAGAUCGCAAGGAGGAGCCGCACCUUGUCCACCCCUUCGUUGCCGCCGUUUCCCGCCGGAGCACUGCCGUCACCACUGACUCGAAGACCGCCGCCGUCUCAGCCGCCGCCUUUGUUUGCCGUCGCCCAAGUGCUCGGUGAGUUCACUGUGCCGAUCCCUACCUGUUGGUGCCCUCCGUUUGUGCUGACGAGCAUAGUGUGCCGAGCCGCUGUCGGCGAUGACAUCAUCGCUGAUGUCAGCGCUUUGUCAGCCGUAGACCCGUGGUAGACCGGAUCGAUCUCGGCCGUCCGAUUCGGUCAAGUUUAGGUCAAUUAGAUCUUGGCCGUUGGUUCCGUGGACCGCUUCUGUGAACCCGGUUUACCGUGGACCGUCCUUGAUGACGCAAUAAAUCUCUUUUCCUUUUCAAAAAUAAUUCUUUAUUGCGCCAUAAUUCAAUUAAAAUCCAUAUAAAUGCUUUAAUGCGGUUUAUUCUUUAGAAAUUCAUAACUAAUACAUUGUAACUCGGUUUAAUGCGGUUCAAGUUGCAAAAGUUGUAUAAAAUAAAGAUCUAUAUAUUAAAAUUAUCAAUAAAUUGUGUUAAAUUUAUUCAAUCCUUUUUAAAUAGGCUUUAAUUAUAUUUAAUCUUGUAAAAUUGGUAAUUAAUUCUUAUGAAGUCAGAAUGAGGCCGUUCAAGUCUCAUAAUUGAUCAAAAAUUUUGAUCUACAUGUUUGUUUACUUUAUAUGUAUUGUUUAUUUGGUUUUUAUUAGUCUUUUUUCUCGUUUUGCGUGUUAGCUUGUCGUUUCCGUCGUUUUGAAGGAUCGUGAGUGCGUCGGAAGUAUUCAAGAAGAUUAAUUGAAGACCCUUUAUUGCAAGGCAAGUCACACAGAUCCCAAACACAAUUCCUUUGAGCAUGUUGAUCCUAUAUUUAAAUUCUCUAUUUAUUUCAACUGUACAUUUAUUUUCGAAUGUCACCGGCUGGUGUGAAACUAUUCCUUUGUUAUGGCCACUUUGCAUUGAUUACUCUAUCCUUUGAUACCUUGGAUUACAAUUUGACUAGUUGUACUUAUAUAAUGGUUCAACUAGAUGUAUUAGAUGUAAUUGCUUAGCCAUGCUUAGAAACAUUAGCACACAAUUGGGAUAACUAAUGUUUCACUAUUACUUAAUGAUGGAUAUUUAAUUGUAUCUCACGAUGGUUAAUAGUGAUUGGUUAAUUAAUUAAUUUGCCAACUAAAACUUGAUAAUGGUGGGAUGUGAGCACAUGGUUUUGAUAGUAGUGCUCAUGACAAUUAAGGACCGGUUCACGAGUUUCGGUUGUAAAACAUUAGCCGUGCCAACCACAAGCCAGAAUGCGCAACGGUUGGACACUUUGUAUAGCAAGGCUCAUUGUGGUGUGCCAGACUGAGAAGUGGCGGAGAUAAGCCCACGGGUGUCGCUGGGGAGUCCAUGCCUCUGGUUUUUGAGGGGGUGACUACGAUCCUGGAAAGGUGCGCUGCUUUCAGUUGAGCUAUGCGAGGGGUCUUUUCACAACUACACAAAUGGUGACAUGUUCAGCAUGGGCACAUGAUGAUAUGGUGACAUAUUGUGGAGUUGUGUCCUGUGGGUACAGUGGUACACCUCUGGCCAGAGUAAAACUAUUCGAAUAGCCGUGCCCGCGGUCAUGGGCGGGUCUAAUAAUGUCUUUCGUGAUUAGUCUCAUACUUCUCACCAUAAUAAAUGAUGCUAUAACUGGUAAUAAUUUGAUUAGCUCCUGGUUUGGAAUGGUGCAUUCCUGGUUUGGAGAUAGAUCUGUACAGCCGGGUAUGGUUGUUCAGGUUGGUUGGGCCUGUGCAGCAUGGGUGUGCUGUUCAGUGUUGAUUAAUAUUGAUGAUUAAUUACUCUAUUGUUUUACAAUUCUUAAAUGUUUGCUAAAUGCUGCUUUUGCAAAUGAGCCAUAUAUUAUGCCAUUGUUUGGUAUCCUUGUACACUUGCAUAUUUGUUGUGCGGCUUGCGGAGUAUUCCAUGUACUCACCUUGCAAUAAUCAAUCAAACCUCGGUUGAAGACAAGUUGCGAAGGAGAAGACGUUUGGCUUAUACCCUAGUUGAGCUGCCUGUGGGAGUGGAGCCGGAGCUUCGCUAGACCGUAAUUCCGCUGUUGUUUUCUCUUUUCUUUUGUAAGUAUGUAACAUUAUUAUUAUGAUGAAUCUGUAUAUUAAAUUGUCAGUUUGUGUACCUCGGCUGAUUCCUGGACGAGGAUUUCAUGCACAAAUUAGUUCGGAAAUUACUAGUGAAUUUCUGGGCACGAAGAUUCUAUUGUCUACAACGAACAAGAUCGCAUAAGUUAAAAAUGCAUCGGCUUGUAGUUGAUAAAAUUAACAGAAGGUGAGAAUUUUACCAGUGGGACAUCGUCAGGGAAAAGGUUUGUCAAAUACAUGGACGGUGAUUGAUGGAACAGGUGUUUUUUCCAUUCUAUCCACCAUCGGUCAAAGGCCAUGCUCCUGAAUGUCCUUAGUUUGAUGUUGUCAAUAUUGCCAAGAGGUGGUCCUGGUAGAUUCAGCAGCCAAUCCAUCAUAUGGAAUGAUGAAAUCUCUCCUCUACUUUGAAUCCUGUCGGCAAAGAAUAGGCUAAUUGGCAGUUGACCCAUGCCGAAUUGCCUUGCAGCGCUUGUUGGAUGAUAGAAUUCGUAGGUCAUCUGGAUAUUCUUAUCUUGAUAGAUGCCAACAGGGAUGAUACAGGGGCUGAUAGCUGUUGAGAAUACUUCUCUGGAUUUAUCAUAUUUUUCAGAGUUGAUUUCAUCGAAUCGAAAAUCACAUGUUAGUUCAAAGCUAGCAGAUCCUUCAUAUGCAAACCAGAUCCUAUCAUUCUUGGGGAACCCAUCAUAGAAAUUGUUGAACCACUCCUUGAAAGGUUCGGUCGAUAGCUUGGACACGGCGCUAACCGAUGCUGCUUCUCCGAAGGACAUACAUCAUCAGCAUGUGGUGCUUGUUUCUCCAUCGUCCCUGACGAUCGGCUCAAAUCUUGGGAAUUCUACAUUGGCUAGUGCUGGCUGAUUGGCAACUUUUCUGGUAUGAAGAUUCAGCCAAAUUUGGAGUAACCACGAUGGACCCCCUGUGCCGAUUGUUUUUCCAGAGGCUAUCUUGUCAAUUGCAGUAUUGAGGGUCUGAUACAAGUAGCCCAGCAGAUACUUGCCAAGGGGAAAAUGCUUCUUUUCUACCAGAUUUUCAUCUACCCGUUACCAGUUUGCGGUCGGACCAUAGGUUGGACCACAGAAUAAGAACUUUUCCAGCCACAUCAUAAGAAAAGCUGUGUUCAUGGCAACCGGCCCAGUCACAUCACUCUUGGGGUAACCGGCCUAGUUCCCAUCUUCUUGGCAACAUAACCUGACCAACCACCUAUGCUUCUGGUUUUGAACUCAUGGGUAAGUUAGGUGUUCAGGCUGGACAAGUUAGCUGAUGAAGUGAUAUCUAGACCUAGACCAGUGAUCAUGAUGAUAUCUAAUAGUAUUGGGGUCAUCGGUCCUUGAGAGAAAAGGAACGUGUUCAUGGCUGUGGACCAAAAAUAGGUGGAUGCUAUCAUCAUGGGUUCAUUCCUUGCCAUACUUGCUGCAGUUAAGGCCAAAGCUUGCGAUAUGUCGAUUUCGUCCCAGUGGGCUAAUUUGCUAGCCAACAUCCUCUUGUACCAGGCAAGCCAGCUGACUUCGGUUGAUGGCCAGGAUUUGAAGGUGCCUUUCCAAGGGCUAAGAUCUGGAUUGGCAAAUCUAAAGGGGAUUCGGUUGGUUUCUCCAUUGAUGAACUCUAUGGGGUCUAAGUUGCCGAUUGGGCCAAGGAAAAACUGGAAUUCAUCGGCUACGCUAGGAAUUGCAACCUGGUGGGUGAGAUGCUACAGAGGAGGAAAAUCGAGGAUUGAGCGAAAGAAGAACCAAAUCUAUGAGGAAAAGAAGGGAUUUAGCUGAUGGGUACUUACUUCGACGUAUUCGGUGGCCGAUGAGCUCGGUGGACUAGCGAAGGUUGACAUUGUCGUUGGCAGAGAUUGGAAUCGUCGGAAUCGUCUGCGGAUCGCCAGAAAGCUUGAAGGGUGUCGCCGGAGAACUCAAAGGAGAAUAUUGGGGAAAGUUUUUGGCUAGAGCGGUUAAAACGGAAGUGACGCCGUGAAACGAGAAGAGCGGUGGUUACUAUUUAAAAGGGAGCGCUGUAACGGCCAAAACGGAAUCGGUUUUUGAAACCCUAGAUCGGCUCGGAAAAGAAAUUUGAGAAAAUCCGCCACAUUACAAAUAAUUACAAAUAUAGCGGACUUGGGGGGCAUGUGUUGACGACCAAAUUUGGUAAGAUAUGAACCAGGUUCGACAUUGGAAUCGAGGCGGAUUCGGUAAAGAGAUAGAUUCGAAGAACAGAGUAUGCAUCGGCUGCAAAGGCAUCGGCUGGAGUCUGCAUCGGCUAAGAUGGAUCGGACAGAGGACAUCCGAUACAGCUGAUAGAGGUGAUGUAGCCGAUUCUGAUGACGAUGGUUUCAAGGAUUUUUCUAGAAACGAUCAAAGUGCUUCACGAGGAUUGCCACGAUAGAGAUAAAGCUCUUGGAUAGGAAAUUGUAUCUAUUAAUUAGGAUAUUUCAUGUAAUUUCCUUAGAGAUAUGUUUGGGCAAAAGUCUGCCGCAAAGACUUAUGGUAUUUUAGAGUUUGUUAGAGAUAAGUGUCGUGUCCGGCAGGGACAUAUUUUGUAAUCUCGGGUAUAAAUAGAACCCGAACCCAUGUAAUCAAUUAUCAGACGAUCAAUACACUUUCGGUGCAUCGCCACCCUUUUUACUUUUGUUCUAUUUCGACGAGUUCUUACUUUCGGGUUGAGCUUCAUCGAUUCGAUCUUCAACUAGAGGUAAACUUGUCAUGACGGCUUGCGUUAUCAGGAUUAGUGCUUCCAUCUUUAUGACACUCUAAUCCUGUUCAUGUAAUUCAUCGAGUUAUCAUAAAUAUAAUCUUUGUGAGCGUGCGGGCCGACGAGGCGGAGCCGGAGGUGGCUGGCGAUGGGUAGAGGCGGCGGCGCUCCUCGAGGAGGCGAAGCGGAUGGCGCUCCGGCGGCCUUCCGCGAGCGGGAACUCGCGGACAGCGGCCGGAAGAACCUGGAGAAGAAGACAGGGAGUUUAGGGAGCAAAGAACAGGCACGGCGCCGAGGGAAAUGUUAGCCGGAAGCGGCAAGGAUCGGCGAAGCUCACCUUGGACGGAGGGAAGCGGUCUCUCACGAUGAUUCGCGAGGAGGGAGGGCUGGACGGGCUACGCACGAUGACUGCGGUGCCGAGGAAGGCGACGACACAGCGCGAGGUGGUCGGGAACGGCGUCGAGAGGCGACUAGAGGUGGCUGCUAUGGUGGCGGUUCGGGUGGUGUGGUGGAGUGACGGUUCCAGCGGCGGAAUGGAGGAGCGGAGGGGAUGCCGGGGUACGACAUGACACAGCGAAGCCGUCGGUGGCGGUUGCGCGGAGCGGUGGUGGCGGGAGCAACGGUGGCGACCGGCUAGAGGGCGUCGACGGGCGGCGGAGCUCGGGCGCGCGUUGCGGCAGUGUUUCGGAGGCGGAGACGGGAAAAGGAGUAGGGGCCAGGGUGUGGCAUGGCACGGCGAUGCAAAUGGUGGUGGCGGCGUGGCGCGACGGCGUCUGGAGCGGCAGUGGCGUGCGGCUGGAAGCACGGCGGCGAGCGGCGGAGCUCGGGCUCGCGCGGGGAGAGCGGGAGAAGGCCCGAUGGGCUCAGGAAAGUUGGGGAAACGAGCGAGGGGAGUGUGGGGAGGAGUUUUAUGGGCGCGGGAGGGCGACAGUGGGCUGGGGCGAUGCGGAUUCGGGGCGGCAACCACCGGCGGUGUGGGGUGGCGACGUGGGCGCGUGGCGGGGCAAACCGGUGCCGUUUUCUUGGUGGAAAAUUGGUGAAAUGGUGGAGGAGGUGGUGGGGGUGCAGUUCCACCACUUGGGCGUGAGCGGGAGGGGCGGGGUGGUGCGGAUUUUGCGACGGAGUGGGCGACAAUGGCGGCCACGGGCGGUUGCUGGCGAGGUGGCUGGAGGAAGGGGGAGGAGCUGACAGGCGGGGCCUCGGGUCCACCUGUAGGCGAGGGAAGGAGAGAGGAGGUCGGGGGGCUUAUGUGGACUUAGGGAGAGAGGGGGAGCGAGCGGGCCGAGCGGCCCAAAGAGGAGAGGGGUGGGAGGCGGCCGGGCUGGAGGGGAAAGAAGGAGGGAGAGGGAUUGGGCCGAGGGCGGCCCAAAAGGAUGGAGAGGGAAUUUUAUUUGUUUUUUCUUUUUAUGUAAUUGGUUAAAUGAACUUUGUGACUUUAAAAUCAUUUCAUGAGCUCUGAAAAUUCGCGGAAAAAUCCGGAGAGUACUUUAGGGCACAGAGAAUAUUGCAAAAUAUUUCCGGCCAAUGAUUUUUAAGGGAAAAUUUUAAUUCUCCCAUUAUUCCACUUCAUUAAAUUGCUUUAACUUUUAUUUAAUUUAUAGAAAAUGAUUUAUUAAUUGAUUUUUAAUCCCGAACGAAAAUCGGGGCGUUACACCUGGCCAUUCAGACCGGGAUCAGACCGCCAGGCCCGCUGCCGGCUGUGCACAGCCCUUGCACAAGCCGGCAACCCCCACACAAUAAAAUCCAACAAAAAAAAUUUUUUUGGAGCAAUUUUGAAAUGUAUGAGUUGAAAUAUUUCUUAUCAUCCAUAAUAAUUGAAAAUUAUGAAGACUUGCAACUAAACUCACUUAAGUGCUAGGAGGUGACCUAUUAUGGUCUAUAGGGUUUUUUUGGCUAAACUGAUUUUCAAAUAACUUUUAAAUGAUUUGGUUUUUGAAAUAGAUUUGAAUACCAAAAACAUUUGAAACCUUCUCCUCUACCAACUUUGUUUAACACUUUUCUCAAAUUCCUCCUCAAACUCAUUUUGAAGAUAAAUCCCAUUUUGGCCAAAAAUAAAAAUCUAGUUUCUUCAAAAGAGGACCAAAAGGGCAUUUUCAUUGAAACUUCAUUUUUCUUGCAAUGUGAGGCUUGGAAAACAUAUGGGGAACCUUUUGAAAUAUUUUUCAAGAGAUAGUUUUCAAAUUACUUUGAUUUUGCAAAAGUUUUGACUUAUGUUGACUUCUAGUUUAUUUGCUCACACACAAAGAGAGUUAGAGCACAUGUAAGAGUGCAAAACUCCCCCUUAAUGUGACAUGCUCCAUUUUCGCAAAUAAGAGCCAAAUGACAAUAAAUCCAAAGCAUAAGCACAAAUAAGAGCAAAUAGGCAAAAUGAACAAGAAGCAACCAUCGUGCACAAUCUCAAGCCACAUUAGAGAAAUCAAUCACAUUUAACUCAUUCCUCAAUUUGCAAAAGUGGGUUUCAUCAAGAGGCUUGGUAAAGAUGUCAGCUAGUUGAUCCUCGGUUCUUAUGUGGCUAAUGACUAUGUCACUCUUGGCAACAUGAUCUCUUAGGAAGUGAUGGCGAAUGUCAAUAUGCUUGGUUCUAGAAUAUUGGACCGGAUUGUUGGCUAUCUUUAUGGCACUAUCAUUGUCACAUAGGAGUGGGGUUUUGGUGAAGGAUAUACCAUAGUCCAACAAGGUUUGUUUCAUCCAAAGCAAUUGGGCACAACAACUACCCAUCGAAACAUAUUCCACAUCGGCAGUAGAGAGGGCUACGGAGUUUUGUUUCUUGGAUGACCAUGACACAAUGGAUCUACCAAGUAUUUGGCAACUACCGGAUGUGCUCUUUCUAUCCACUUUGCAACCGGCAUAAUCCGAAUCGGAAUAGCCAACUAGCUUAAACUUAGUACCUUUUUGCUACCACAAGCCAAUAGUUGAGGAAUGCUUUAAAUAUGUUAGAAUCCUUUUCAUGGCCACUAAGUGACACUCGUUAGGAGCGGCUUGAAACCGUGCACACAUGUAAACACUAAACAUGAUAUCCGGCCUAGAUGCGGUAAGGUAAAGCAAGCUACCAAUCAUAGAACGAUAAAGCUUUAAAUCUACCGGUUUACCCCCCUCCUCCUCAUCAAGGUCGAGAUGCCCGUUGGUUGCCAUAGGUGUCUUGAUGGGCUUCGCAUCCUCCAAGCCAAACCUCUUGAGUAGAUCCUUGAUGUACUUGGUUUGGCUCAUGAACGUCCCGUCCUUGAGUUGUUUGAUUUGAAGUUCAAGAAAGAAGCUCAACUCUCCAAUCAUGGACAUCUCAAAUUCCCUAGACAUCAUAUCACCAGACUCCUUGCAAAAUACCUCAUUAGUAGAACCGAAUAUGAUAUCAUCAACAUAAAUUUGGCAACCAAAGAAAUCAUCACCAAUGAUUUUUGUGAAAAGGGUGGUGUCAACUUUUCCAAUUUUGAAAUUCUUUGACAAAAGAAAAUCUCUCAAUCUUUCAUAACAAGCUCUAGGAGCUUGUUUUAAACCAUAAAGAGCUUUUGAGAUUUUAUAAACAUGGUUAGGAUUUUUAGGGUCUUCAAAACCGGGUGAUUGUUCAACAAAGACAAGUUCGGCAAUUUCACCAUUUAGAAAAGCACUUUUCACAUCUAUUUGAAAAAGUUUUAUAUCAAAAUAUGAUGCAAAUGCAAGAAGGAUACGAAUGGGUUCAAGUCUUGCCAUGGGGGCAAAAGUUUCACCGAAAUCCAAGCCUUCAACUUGUGUGAAGCCUGGCGCCACCAAUCUUGCCUUGUUUCUCACCACCAACCCGUUCUCUCUUGCUUGUUCCUAAAGACCCACUUUGUCCCUAUGACAUUGUGGUCUCUAGGUCUUUCAACCAAAGUCCAUACCUUGUUUCUUGCAAAGUUGUUGAGCUUUUCAUGCAUAGCAUUUACCCAAUCCGGAUCACCAAGAGCUUCAUCUACAUGUUUUGGCUUAAGACAAGAAACAAACAAGUAAUGUUCACAAAUCGAAGCGACACGAGAUCGAGUUUGGACACCCUUACUAAUGUCACCCAAAACCUCGUAAAUUGGGUGAUCCUUGGAAAGAGCGGUGUGUAUCCUUGUUAGCAUAGGUGGAUCUUGUGCCUUCUCCUCCUCCACUUCAACUUGAGCUUUUCUUGGCAUAGCGGAAGUAGAUAACUCAUCUUGAGUGGAGGUAGAUGGCUUGUUUUCCACUUCAAUAGGCUUGACAUCUCCAAUAGACAUGUUCUUCAUAGCUCUUAUCAAGCCUUCAUCACCUACAUCAUCCAAAUUCCCGUGCCCCUCUUAGGAGCCAAUAGUCUCAUCAAAUUGAACAUCGGCGGUUUCUUACACAAUAACUUUGUUCUUGUUGUAGACCAGGUAUGCCUUGCUAUUGGAGGCAUAUCCUAGAAGAAACCCUUUUCAUCACACCGACUUUCAAAUUUGGUUAGUCUAACACCCUUUCGGUGUGAUGAAAAGGGUUUGGCCCCUUGAUGCUGGUGGGGGAGUACUCCCACCCACCAAAACUAGCCGUUGGGGGCGAAAUCCCCCAACUCUAUGUACUGCCGGUCUGACCGGAUGUGUGUGGCCGGUCAGACCAUGCUACUCUACAACGGCUAGUUUUCUAGCCGUUGUAGGCUGUCAUUGGGCCCCAUCGGCUUGGCCGGACAGACUGGAGUUGGGUGGCCGGUCAGACUGGCCUCGGCUCGGUCAGACCGCCCCCAGCUCGGUCUGACUGAAUGCGGCUCUAGAUCGCCACGCCGAGAGCACCACAGGGAGAGGUCCCCUUGGCUGGUCUGACCGGCAUUCACCCGUCGGUCAAAUCGGCCGACCUACGCCGGUCAGACCACCACUAGGCGGCCGGUCAGACCGGCCUUGGUCACACAGCAAGCACAACAGGAAAAUGAGACAAAGCCAAAUCUAAAUGCAUAAUAAUCUAAUGUGGCAAUUUAAAUCAUCUCUUUGCUAGGUCAUUACCCCUCUUAAUAGUACAGUAAAGCUAUAAAUAAACUAGCACAAAUUGAUUGACCAACACCUCGAUCGAUUUAGAACUCAACUACUAGUUUACCGUCAUCUAUACUUUGCUUUGCGCCAUCAAUUUUUAGUCCAUCGAUAAUUAUCCAUGCGCACACAUGAUGUGAACCUAACUCAAAACACAUAACUCGAUAGAACGGUUAGUCCACAAUUAGCGCUUGUCAUUAAUUACCAAAACUAACAACGGGGGCCUAGAUGCUUCAAAGAUCAUGCACGAUACUAAAAGGCUAGAGAACAAUGGACGUGGUGAUAAAGAAUCUAUAUAGUAUACUGUUGGCGGAUGUUAAAUGCUGAUUCUAUACCGCCAACAUCUGCAUAAAGUUUAGAUAAUAAAACAUCCAACAUAGUGAUAGGUGCUUAAUCUCACAUAUUCCACAAGUGUUGGUGUGUACAGUUGUAUGCAGAAGAUAAACCCUGAAGUUGGGAGGCAAAUCAGACUAAAGUGAGGAAAAUUAUGUAUCCAUACAAGGAGGGGUUGUUAACUUCAUCCAAACAUCAGUAAAUCAACCCAAAAACUCCGAGAAAUGGAUAGAGGAAGGUCCAUGGAGUCCACCGACCGAAGGCUAGGCCAGGAGGGCCCAGCCCAGGUUCGGCCGAACCCCCUUGAUCCUGGGGUUUGGCGUGGACGCUCUAGAUGUUCUCUUGCAGUUAAGGGAGUUCUUUUGAUGUGAACUUUGUUUAGCAAGCAUGGUGGAAUAAACUCAUUCAUAGCACAACAAUAAUAAUAUCAUAAAGAAUAUCACAGAGUUCCACAAAUAGCACAUAAAUCAUGAUGCAAUCGACUGCAUAAGUACGCAGCCCAAAUAGAGUUCAUCCAAAAGCUACAUCGAGCUAAUCAUCAAACUACUCGUCAAUCUAGGUGGGGGGUGUGUCUCGCGCUAUCCAAAAACCAUAUGAAGCGAGAGCGAAGUCGCAGUAGACCUCCAUUCUAGUCGUCCAACCAUCCGCAGGAUCCUUGCGCGGGAAGAGGGUAUCGCAUGCUCAUGCAAAUCUGAGUCCCCACGGCUCAGAGGUGGUGGCCUCCGGAUCUGGCUUGGGCUUCUUGCCCGGGGUCGUGUACUCUUGCGGGCAGUGCUGAGGGUGCGAGGGCGUCCAACUCACAGUUGCGGGGCAGUUCGGACAUUUCCCCUUCUCACAACCGUCAUAACUGCCCUAUAAAAGGACCUCACUUCAUUCACUCUCACACACACUUCCAAGAUUGAGCUGAAUUAUAAGAGGCUCUAUUGUACUAUAUUGUAUACUAGAAUAGGAAGAGAGUAUAGUAGAAGAAGUCGGAAGAAUUCCGGAGUUAUCGGUAAUCUUCUCCUCUGUUUAUUACUCUGAAUUCAAUAUAAUAUUAUCUUGUGAGAAUUAUCUCUUGGUUAGUUCCUAAAUAGCAUACGGGAUUAUUGUUCACUAUAAUCAACUAAAAUAUAGUGAUUGCUUUGGUUAGUUAUAAACACUAAAGUAGAUUCUAACUGCUUAGACGUGGUGUUUAGGUAAUUAUUAUCCAGUAAUUGCUGCGUAUCCCACAGUACGUUUGAAGUAGGUGUAGAGGUGGUGACAGCCCUCGAGAUCACUUAAAUCCUCCCAAUCCGGGUACGUAGUAGAACGACAUCUGGGAACAGCGGGUUGCCAGUGCCUGAAAUAUUGUGUUAGGAUUAAAGUUAAGCUUUCCCUAGACACUGUUUCUCACUAGUAAAUCCUCUCUAUCUUGGCCUAUCAUUUGCUUGGUGUCCUUGGAUAAACCGGAGGAAGAUCUGACCACACACGUUCCCUAGGAUUCGAUACCCUUGGAAUACUUCGUAGGGGAAGUGCUACAUCGGUAUAUCCGUGCGCUUGUGGAUUUUAUCUGUAACCGUAUUAAAUACCAACAUAUACAAGAGGGAUUGUGUACGUAUGGAAAGAGGAGUCAAAUUUAGGAUCCGAAUUCGGGAAGAUUAAUAGAGAUAAGGAAAGGAAUAAGUUGGAUACUUGCAAGAGAGUGUUUCCUACAUGGUUAGGAGUUCUAAGUUGUGUUAGAUUCGUGGGCUUUGCACAGCCUACCUCAUGUAUAAAUAGAGGGGGAGGGUGUGGCCUCCUGGUAUCGGUUUUAGAGAGACUUGAGUUGAGAGAAAAGUUAGGGUUUCGAGUUUAGUUCGAGAUUUUGUGAGGGCUGCUGUUGAUGCACUUUGUAAAUACUAGUUGAUGCAACAAAGUUAAAAGUUUCAAUGUACAUCUUUGAGUUUAUUAUCUACCGGUGUUUUCUAGGUCCCGACGGUCUAGCUGCAGUGUGCGCGCGGUUUGACAGGUGGGAGUGUAGCAGUCUGACCGCAGGUGUUUGGGCGGUCUGACCGGCAAGGUUUCGGUGGUUUGACCGGCGGCAGGUGGGUGUUUUGACCGGUGGCGACGAGCUUCGUCAUCUACUCCAUUCGAGGUAAAUCUUUUAUUCCGCAAAAGAUUUUAGGUUUUUGGUUUAUCCUACCAUUCAACCCCCCCCCCCAAAUCUGGUAGGUUUUUUUUGGUCUUAUUCGAUCCUAAACUUACGAUGUACAAUUUUUUUAUUUAUUGGCUUAUUGCUUUCCUUCACGUAUACCUUUCACUGUCCAUUUGUUAUACUCCUUCAAUUAAAAAUAUAACAACAUAGCGCAUUAUAGGUCGUAUUAUUAAGAUAGGUCAUUCAAUACUAGAUUAUUAUAUUAUAUCAAACAAAUAACUAAAAAUUAAGGAGCAAUUGCAUUCUUAACCUUACUUUCAAUUGUAAUUACAAUUUUACUUUUUUUUAGGGUUCAUGAUUUUGCCUUUUUUUUCAAAUCGAGGCUACAAUUUGCCGAGAAAACGGACGUUAUGCCACUCCCUAAACUGGGUUCGGAUGAAAUGCUACUCAAUACAAUGCACCGGAUAAAAUGCCACUCAAUAUAUUGCCUACCGAAUGAAAUACCACUUUGGAGAUUUUUGUACCCAAAAUGUAACUGUGGAGAGAGAGAGAGAGAGGGAGGAGAGCAUCGGGAGAGCCGGUCGGGCGGCGGCGGAGGCGGCCGGCGGUGACGACGGGAGGAGGAGGACGGGGCAGUGACGACGGAGGGAGGAGGAUAGGCCUCGCCGGGCGGCGGAAGGCGGUGACGGGGGGGAAGGGAGGGAAGAUAGGGCGGCGGGCGAGUCGCAGUGAGGACGAUGGGGCGGAGGAAGGAGGAGGCGACGACGUGUGGAAGGAGGACGGGGCGGUGAGAACGCCUGGGUGCCACCGUCGCCGCUCGCUCGCUCGCUCCUCACCGCCCCGUCUGUCACGACCGGAAUUGACCCAACGGGCGUUCCUUACGUGCGUGUAUUAUUCCUUGUCCCAGGAGGCAAGGUACACCAAAAGUUGAUACAUUUCAGAGUUUAUCAAGCGGAAGCGUAAAUAGUUAAUUUAUUACAUGGGCGGCGAAGGCCCAGCACACACAAAGACAAACGAGAAACAGCGGAAGACUAGGGCGACGACCGCAGGCGCUUGACGGCAGGCACGAGCUAGACACCAAAGCCUUCAUCUUCCAGGGGCUCCUCUUCUGGGUUUGGGAAAAAUUGAGCAAGACUGAGUACAACCACCGUACUCAACAAGACACACCCACAAGUGCAGGAUAAAUGCAAGGGAGUACAAGGGGGUUGUAAUAUAAAGGGUUAGGUUUUGCAGUAAACAGCAUUAAAAGACACUUAGUUGCUCAAAGCUAUUUUGUAAACACGAUUCCAGAGCUAUACAAUAUUAUUAAUCAAGGCCGUGAACCCACACGAACCUGCCUUAACCCAAGGCCUACGAUGAUUCAGACCGAACUGGCAACCCGACCCUGGGUCCCAGCUCGUCCCAAGCCAACCCAGGCCAACCAUUCCACAUUUUAGUUGUUAAGCAGGUUUUAAGAAUUAAAACACUAACUUGGGUACAUUGCUCGGCUUGCCCAUAACCGAGGGCGCGGCUAUUCGAAUAGAUUAUACUCUGAUCAGAGGUGUACAUCUUUACCCACAAGACACAUCUUCCUCACGUGUAACCACGUGCCGCAUACCACCACGGUAUACGGACGGAAGACGUGACAUAGUUUCCAACCCAUCCUAGCCAUAGACAAGAGUACCGACCCAACCCCACCUACGGCCGGAACCCCCGGGACAGGUAGGCAGGACUGAGCCCCUAGCAGCAGGACACCGGCCCUGUGCCAUGACAUCUUGGCUACCAGGCCGUAGCUCGUGUAGCCUUCAUUUGUCCUAGAGAUGUCCAUCGACCCCCGACUUCGUCCAUCUCCAUCCGUGUACUUUUGUUUAUAACCAGACUGAGCCACAAACUAAACCUUACCCACUAGACAUGUGGAAGUACGGUAGCGCUUUGCAACAGAGGCCCGAAGACCGGUCCUUAUAUGGCCGAGGUGCUACUAUCAAAACCAUGCACCCCGAGCCCAGCCUAAAACCAUUUUGAGGGUUUUGAAUAGAGGGGGAGGUGUGAAUCCAAUUCCACAAUGAUCCAACAAUUCCAUAGUGUCCAGGUGAUGAGAAUAUUCCCAAAGUGUAGAGUUGUAAAACCACCUAAUGUUGCCUAAUUAACCAGCGAAGCAUCUACCUAAAUUCAUACUAGUGGUACCAUGAGUAGAGUGUCCACUAGUUGGGGUUUUGUUUAUUCUAGGGUGAACAAGGAAAUAAUAACAAUAACAAUAAUAAGGUCAUAACAAAGGUAAAUAGGCAUGGCUAGAUAAAACAGUGAUAACGCUGGAAUUUAAAUAAAGCGAUAAUGCAAUAAUUUAAAUCAAAAUAAUUUUAUAAACUGGGAUUCAAUAUGUUCAAGGAUGAUGUGACUUGCCUUGCUCGCUUUCCCAACCGUCGGCUUCAACUUCCACGAAGAGCGGAUCUUCCGAAGCUGCAGCGUCUACACGAUCAAUGGAAAAGAAAAGGCUUUUACUCUAAUAAACUCCAUAUAACAAGCAGGAACAAAGCACAAAAAUGGGUUCUUGACUUCUUAAGGAAAAAUUAGAGACUUGAACGGUCCAAUUCCGAGUUCAAACGGCCAAGUUAUGACCAUUUGAAGUUUAUAUGCUCUUUAAAUGAAUAUUUGCGAAUUUCUUCAUUUAAAUUUUAAUUUUAAAAGGGUUUAUUGCAUCAGCCGAGGGGAGGGGGCGAGCGGACCGGGUCCACGGGAGUGGGACCCACGCGGCAGCCUCACGAUCCACGGUGGACCGGGUGCACCCGGGCUCACACCGGCCGGCGCCGUGGGCCCCACGCGUCAGCCACACCCGAGGGCGCGAGCGGCUGACGGCCAGGCCCCACGCGGAAGCCGCUCGGUGCGCCCGAAGGCGGCCACGGCGGCGCGGCCGGCGGGAGGCGGCGCGCCCGCGCCCCUAUGGUCGCCGGCGGCGGCCAUAGGCACGGCGGAGCGGCGGCCGAGAGAAGGGAGGGAAAGGGGGAAAUGAGGCGGCGGUCCACGGCUCACCCUAGGUCGACGGCGACGACGAAAAGGCGGCCGGAGCGGAGGAAGGCGGCGGCGCGGUUCGGGUCGACGGGGACGGCGGCGCUCCGGCGGUCGACGAGCGAAACGGAGGGGUGGACGAGGUCGGCGAGGAUGCGGCGAAGCCGAAGGAGGCGGUGCCGAGGUGGGAGGUGGUCCGGGGCGACAACGACGGUGGACCGGAGCUCGGCGGCGACGGCGGAGAGAGAGAGCGACGGCGCGAGCUCGAUUCCGGCGAGGAGGAAGGGCGGCGAGAGGCGGAAACGGACGGAGGAGGUGCAGGGAGGGUUUAUAUAGGGUUGGAAGGGGGAGAGAGCGGCCGGCGGGGAAGGAAUAGGUGCGGGAGGUCCGGCCGCCAUCAAUGGCGCCGGCGAGAUUUGCGGGGGCAAAUCCGCCCGUUUGAAUGCGAGGGAGAGAGGGAAAAAUGGGGGGAAAGGGAGAGGGAAUCACGGGGAAUAAUUCCCCCCUAUUGAUUGCACGCGGGGAGGACGGGGACGGCGGGAUUCGCGGCGGCCGCGGCGCUAGGGCGCGGGCGAGGCGGCGGGAGGAAGGGGAUGAUGGGUGGGCCCCACCCGUCAGCGAGGGUGGCGGGCGGGCCCGCCCGUCAGCGGCGCGCGCGCGGGGAGAGGCCGGAUGGGCCGCGGGGAGAGGAGAGGGAGGGGGAAGGAGAUGGGCCGAGCCGGCCCAAGAGGGAGAGGGAGGAAAGGGGACUUUUUAGAGUUUUUCUUUUUAUAAAAUCAUUUUAACUUUGUUUAUUUCUUAAUAAUUAUUAUUUGUGUUCUGAAAAUUCCACUAAAAUUUAUUUACGCAUUUUAGGCUUUUAGGAAAUAUACAAAAAUCCUCCAAGCCUUAUUUGACUUUUAACUUUGCACAUUUUAAUUGUUGGAGGCUUUCACACGGAUUUUAAUUAUUCUAGGCAUAAUUUAGAGGAUGUAUUUUAGAGUCGUUUUGGGACGUGACAAACCUACCCCUCUUAAACGGAAUCUCGACCCCGAGAUUCGGAAGAACUGCCGAAGAGAUUGGGAUGGGCUGCCUUCAGCUCGUCUUCACGCUCCCAUGUAGCUUCUUCCUCGGCGUGGUUGCUCCAUUGGACCUUGCAAAAACGGAUUACCCAGUUCCUGGUCCUGCGCUCCAUGGUGUCCAGGAUUUUCACGGGCCUCUCCACGUAGGUCAAGUCUUCGCGAACUUCAAUUUGCUCUGAAUCGGCCUGCUCGGAUGGCACUCGAAGACAUUUCUUGAGUUGCGACACAUGGAACACAUCAUGCACGUUGCCCAAGGAGGCGGGCAGCUCCAACUGGUAAGCGACUUCCCCGCGUCGAGCAAUGAUACGGAAAGGACCCACAAACCGAGGUGCGAGCUUCCCUUUCGUCUGAAACAUGUGUACACCUCGCAAUGGCGUGACCCGAAGGUACACAAAAUCGUCCACUGCGAAUUCCAGGUUACGGCGUCGGUUAUCUGCAUAACUCUUCUGCCGGGACUGUGCCACCUUUAGAUUAUCCCGAAUGGUUCUGACUUUAGCUUCAGCCUCUCUCAGGAUAUCAGUCCCGAACACUUGGCUUUCCCCAACUUGGUCCCACAAUAGCGGUGUCCGGCAUUUGCGUCCAUACAACGCUUCAUAGGGUGCCAUUUAUAAGCUGGCUUGGUAGCUGUUAUUGUAGGAGAACUCGGCAUAGGGGAGACUCUUAUCCCAGGUCUUCCCGAAAUCUAGGACACAUGAGCGAAGCAUAUCUUCUAGGAUCUGAUUUAGACGCUCGGUCUGUCCAUCUGUCUGCGGGUGAUACGCGGUGCUGAAAUUUAAUCUGGUACCCAGCUCUUCUUGGAGCUUCUUCCAAAAGUGAGAGGUGAAUUGGCUUCCCCUAUCAGAUACAAUUUUCUUAGGAACGCCAUGGAGACUCACGAUUCUAGCGAAGUAGAGCUCGGCUAGUUUGUUCCCUCCAUAGGUGGUCUUCACAGGAAUAAACCGAGCUACCUUGGUUAGUCGGUCCACAACUACCCAUAUAGAAUCAUAUCCGCCUUGGGUUUUUGGAAGUCCGGUGAUGAAAUCCAUCCCAAUUUCAUCCCAUUUCCAUUCUGGUACUUGGAGAGGUUGGAGAAGUCCGGCCGGUCGUUGGUGCUCUGCCUUGACACGCUGGCACACAUCACAAAGGGCCACGAACUCUGCAAUUUCCCGCUUCAUACUAACCCACCAGUAUUUCCCUUUCAAGUCUAAGUACAUCUUCGUACUGCCAGGGUGAAUGGAAUAAGGACUUUCGUGAGCUUCCUGAAGUAUCAGCUGUUUAAGUUCCCUGUCGUCUGGAACGCAUAUCCGAUUUCCGUUCCAUAGGGUUCCGUGUUCAUCCUCUGUGAAACCAGCGGCUUUACCCUGUUUCAUAUUCUUGAGGAGUCCAUGCAUAUCCGGAUCAUUCUUCUGAGCCUCGCGGAUUUGAUCGAGCAAGGUGGGCUUGGCUUCCAGCGUAGCCAAGAAUCCACGACCAACUAUGCUUAGGUUCAAGGCUUCCAUCUGUUGAUUAAGUUCGGGUGGAAUGCCACGGACGUCAAGAGUGUUGCAAUGGCUUUUUCGACUUAGAGCGUCGGCGACCACGUUGGCCUUACCAGGAUGAUAGUGAAUUCCCACAUCAUAAUCCUUGAUGAGUUCUAACCAUCUCCUCUACCGAAGAUUCAGAUCCGACUGGGUGAAGAUGUAUUUCAAACUCUUAUGAUCAGUAUAUAUUUCACAGCGAUUCCCAAUGAGAUAGUGCCGCCAGAUUUUUAGAGCAUGAACUACCGCGGCUAACUCCAAAUCAUGGGUAGGGUAGUUGCCUUCAUGAGGCCGUAGCUGCCUUGAGGCAUAGGCCACCACAUGACCUUCCUGCAUGAGCACGCACCCCAAUCCUUGGCGCGAAGCGUCACAGUACACCAUGAAGUCCUUGCGAGUAUCCGGUCAGACUAAAACUGGCGAGGAAACCAACCUUUCCUUGAGAGUUUGGAAUGCCUUCUCGCAUUGCGGGCUCCACACAAAUUUCUCUUCUUUCUUCAACAACUGUGUCAUGGGUCGAGCGAUUUUGGAGAAGUUCUCGAUGAACCUCCGGUAGUAUCCUGCCAAACCCAAGAAGCUGCGAAUUUGAGUGACUGUCUUGGGUUGCUUCCAAUCAAUGACGGCGGUCACUGUUUCGGGGUCCACAGCGACUCCUUUAGCAGAUAUCACGUGCCCUAAGAAUUUGACUUCGGACAACCAAAACUCACACUUGCUAAGUUUGGCAUACAAUUGAUGUUCCCGCAACUUUCCCAACACCAGACGGAGAUGGUGCUGAUGGUCUUCCUCUGAUUGUGAGUACACCAGAAUGUCGUUAAUGAAAACCACAACAAACUUAUCCAGGUAUUCCAUGAACACUUUGUUCACUAAGUUCAUGAAGAAGGCAGGAGCAUUGGUUAAACCGAACGACAUCACCGUGAAUUCAUACAGUCCGUAUCGCGUGGUGAAUGCGGUCUUCGGGAUAUCUUCUUCACGAAUACGUAAUUGGUGAUAUCCGGAACGAAGAUCAAUCUUGGAGAAUACAGUGGCACCUUUAAGCUGAUCGAACAGAUCAUCGAUCCGGGGAAGAGGGUACUUGUUUUUGAUAGUAACUUCAUUGAGAGCUCUGUAGUCAACGCACAUCCUCUUUGUCUUGUCUUUCUUCUCCACAAAAAUCACAGGAGCACCCCAGGGGGAAGUACUCGGCCGUAUAUACCCCUUUUCUUUCAACUCUUCCAACUGUUUCUUGACUUCGGCCAGUUCAUUUGCUGCCAUACGGUAGGGUCGCUUGUACAGGGGAGUGGUUCCUGGAGCAAGAUCUAUCCGGAACUCAAUCUCUCGCUUCGGCAGCAUACCGGGUAGUUUUUCUGGAAACACGUCUCCGAACUCUCUGACGAUGGGGAUUUCUGACAGUCCUAUCUGAUGAAGUUCUGAACUACCGACAGAAGUUGGGGGUGCAAAGAAAACAACCGGUUGUUCCGGCCCUCGGUACAGAGUGACAGUGCGUCUUGCGCAAUCCACUACUCCUUGGAAUUGAGCCAACCAAUUCAUCCCAAGGAUCACAUCCAAGUUCUUGGUGUCUAGAAGAAUCAGAUCCGAGGGAAAAGGAAUUCCCUGGAUUUCUAUAGGAAUGGCAGGGCUAUAAUACUUUGCUGUCAUAACCCCUCCAGGGGUGGUGAUGAGCAGAGGGUUCCUAAGCCUUUCUAUCCCCAACCGAUUUCUCCCCACGAAUGGCACAGAUAUAAACGAGUGGGAAGCUCCAGAGUCGAACAAAAUGGUAGCAGGGAUGGAAUGAAUGAGGAACGUACCAACGAUGAUGUCUGGAGUUGUCAGCACGUCCUCGGCCGUCACGUGGUUCACACGUCCCCGAAUGACAUCCUUACCACCGUUGUUGGAGCGGGGAGGCGCUUGGCCUUGCUGGCGCCUCGGCUUUGGGCAUUUAUCCGCAAAGUGCCCAUGCUCGAAGCAGUUGAAGCACAGACGCUGCUGACCUUGAACGUCCCUGCGGCCUUGACCAGGCUGCACGGCUGGCGUAGGGGGACGGGGCGCACGAGUCCCUUGCUGACUCUGCUGUUGCUGCGGCUGUGGGAUGCGCACCACGAAUUGAGGUCGGGGCGCGGAGCGAGGUUGCUGCUGCUGUUGCUGCUGCGAGGAUGAUCCCCCUGGAUAGGGAUUGGUGUAGCGGACCCUUUGGUUAGCCCCCUGUUGAUUGCGGAAAUUCGCCAAGCGACGCUUGUGCGACUCCAGUUCCUUGUGCUUGGCUUCCAAGCGGAUGCUCUUGUCCACCAGACGUUGGAAAUCCGAGUAGUCCCCGGAGACCAGACGCACGGACAGCUCAGGAUCCAUUCCUGCCAAGAACUUCUCUUACUUCUCCUCAUCUUCACGAACAUCCUCCGGGGCGUACCAGGCCAGGUUGUUAAACUCAUGCAAAUACUCCAUCACGGAGCGGUUGCCUUGCUUCAACUCUCGGAAUUCCCUUUUCUUAAGGGCCAUGACUCCGGCGGGCACAUGGGUUCUCUGGAAAGCGGCGGUGAAGCGGGCCCAAGUAAUAGGUUGCCCCUCUAGCUGCGUAGCCUGGAAAUGGUUCCACCAUAGAGAUGCGGGCCCCUGCAGUUGGUGGGCGGCGAAGAUGACUUUCUCCUCAUCACUGCACUGCACGGUGUCUAACUUUUUCUCCACGGCAUGCAACCAAUCCAAUGCAUCCACGGGGUUAUUAGAGCUAGAGAAGGUAGGCGGACAGAUGCGGAGGAACUCGGCGAGUUUAGAGUGUUGUGGGGGUGGUGGUGGAGCAUUAUGUUGUGGCGGAUUUUGGAUGUGGUGGAGGAAAGCAGCCAUCAUGUUGGCCUACUGGGCGACGAUUUGGGUGAGGAUGGCGUUGGUGUCUGGUGGUGGUGGUGGAGGCGGAGAAGGAGGUGGAGGUGGGCUGACAUGGUUGUUGUGGUUGCUGCCUUCGGGGUGACUGCCUUCACCGGUAGCAGCACUUCUCCUGGUUGUCACCAUCUGAAAAUCCCACACAGAACCAGCAAACAGAGAGAGCUGACAAUUAAAACUAACCACCCACGACUACCAUAAUUCUUGAAUUUAUUACUGCUAUUAAAUUGGUUCAUUAAAGUUCAAGUUGCUUAAGCAAAUAAAAUAAAGACAGGCUCCGACACAGUUAUACCACACACCGGCAUAACCAUGCCCCAUACGACUCUAGCAGAAAAACAAAAAACGAGAAGAACACACGCGCAAGCCUACUAACUGCUCGUCUACUGCUGCGACGGGCCAGGGCGGAAGGUGAGCAACAGCGCAUCCUCCGUACUGCCAACGCCGGAGGCUCCAUCCUCCUGAGGAACCACGGGCGCGGGCUCGGCACGAGGGGUCUCGACGAAGCAGGUCCACGCCAGGGACUGACGAACAAGCUCGGGCCUGGAGGUACUCUUGCGGGCGGUGAUCUUCAGGCUGCGGCAGACGCGGCGACGCUUGGGGCGACAGACCUCUCCCUGGGCGAUCUUGAGCUGACGCAGCUGCGCCUCCACUGCGUCUAAGUCCUUCUUCAACUGCAGAUUCUCCUGACGCAGCUCCAGGAUCUUCAUGUUGUUCUUGACCAACCCGCGACGCACCAUCUGAUGGAAGUCGAUACGGGCCGCGUCGUAUGCCUCCACUGAUGCAGCAACGGGGGUUCCCGAUCUUUCGAUGAGAGGAGGAUAAACUUCGAUUUGGGGAAGGAUACGACGUUGGCGGUCCGACUACAACUACCACAGGGGUGCUACGCCUUAGCAACCGGUACACCGACUCCACGUUAUUGCUGUUCUUGCCGUGCCAAGAACAACCUUGAACCUGCAAGCAAUCGAAGAACAAGCAAGAACAAGUUGACAAGGAAACAGCUCACGGCACUUGUCAAAUGAUGAAACUUAAACAAACCAAAAUGGGGUUCUGAAUACAAGUAUCCGGGUGGUCUAGCCGACACACGCGAGUACAAGGAAGUAGCUGCAGCUAAACUUACAUCAAAAACAAAACCCAAAGUGCAAAAUGGUGGCUGCUAGGAGUUUAUAUAGGUGGAGGAAUGACCAGGAGAGGAGGUGGGAGCAAACCCUAGGUUUUGUGGACCCCUAAUGGGCUAUAAUGAUACAAGGCCCAAGCCCAAGUUUCUGAUGUAAAGAACUAUUUUCGUCAUUCUGAGCAGCCUGGGUCAAAGUUGAUGGUGAGGCCACACAUAGCUGACAGUAGACGACGAGAUCUUUCCAACAAGUACUCAUUUGCCCCGUUUGCCCUCCGGAGUGAAGAGCAUUGACUUCAUCAAAUCAGCGCUGCUAGUGUUGCUUGCGAUUUGGUUCCUCUCCCAUAUUCCUAACAACAAGUAGAUCACAACAACCAUUUAGUAGCACCCAAUUCUGAGAAGAACUUGUAUGAUUAGCUAGGAAUGACUUUACCUGAUAAUUAAGUUCACGAGCUCGAGCUCUAGUCAUUGGUCCUUGCUGUGUAAUAGGCGUGGUUGUAUCGUUGGAAGGGAUGUCCUCAUCAUCCACCAUGUGCGCCAGGUGCAUGAUGGUAGCGUCAUCCUCCGAGCUAGCAUCCCGGAAGGUGGCGUAGUCGCGGGCUCCUCCGCGACGAGGGUGGUAGCGGUAGGGCAAGUGCUGCAACUCGUCCGGGUAGCGCUGGUGAAGAGUGCCGAUGGCGAGGAGUGCGGCGUUCUGGCAAGCAGCGGAGAAGGAAUCUCCACCCGCGGUGACCGCCAACGAAGUCCUCUCGGGUGAGCCAGUGAGGAUCACUGCAGUAACCUCCCAAGCAGCGUGGGGCUCUGCAUCGUCACCCUCCUGCUCCGGGAGCUGCUUGCCCUGGUAGUCCACUCCAUGCGGAUACCCCAGAACAACGCACAUGCCCCGCAGUUCCAAAACGAAUCCAGUCAGGUCCAGACCACGACGGUUGAUGCUGCCGGCCAUCUACAAACAAAAACAAAAGAGAAAAGCAACAUUUUAAAGGUCAGAUUUUGACGGUAAAUGAAGCAGCAGGACAGAGAGAGACUAGAGGAUUUUCACAAAUAAGAAAGGAUUUUUAUUUUGAAAAUAUUGCUAAGGCUUGGGAUCUACGGCUCGUCCUAGGGUCAAGGGGGCUCUGAUACCAACUUGUCACGACCGGAAUUGACCCAACGGGCGUUCCUUACGUGCGUGUAUUAUUCCUUAUCCCAGGAGGCAAGGUACACCAAAAGUUGAUACAUUUCAGAGUUUAUCAAGCGGAAGCGUAAAUAGUUAAUUUAUUACAUGGGCGGCGAAGGCCCAGCACACACAAAGACAAACAAGAAACAGCGGAAGACUAGGGCGACGACCACAGGCGCUUGACGGCAGGCACGAGCUAGACACCAAAGCCUUCAUCUUCCAGGGGCUCCUCUUCUGGGUUUGGGAAAAAUUGAGCAAGACUGAGUACAACCACCGUACUCAACAAGACACACCCACAAGUGCAGGAUAAAUGCAAGGGAGUACAAGGGGGUUGUAAUAUAAAGGGUUAGGUUUUGCAGUAAACAGCAUUAAAAGACACUUAGUUGCUCAAAGCUAUUUUGUAAACACGAUUCCAGAGCUAUACAAUAUUAUUAAUCAAGGCCGUGAACCCACACGAACCUGCCUUAACCCAAGGCCUACGAUGAUUCAGACCGAACUGGCAACCCGACCCUGGGUCCCAGCUCGUCCCAAGCCAACCCAGGCCAACCAUUCCACAUUUUAGUUGUUAAGCAGGUUUUAAGAAUUAAAACACUAACUUGGGUACAUUGCUCGGCUUGCCCAUAACCGAGGGCGCGGCUAUUCGAAUAGAUUAUACUCUGAUCAGAGGUGUACAUCUUUACCCACAAGACACAUCUUCCUCACGUGUAACCACGUGCCGCAUACCACCACGGUAUACGGACGGAAGACGUGACAUAGUUUCCAACCCAUCCUAGCCAUAGACAAGAGUACCGACCCAACCCCACCUACGGCCGGAACCCCCGGGACAGGUAGGCAGGACUGAGCCCCUAGCAGCAGGACACCGGCCCUGUGCCAUGACAUCUUGGCUACCAGGCCGUAGCUCGUGUAGCCUUCAUUUGUCCUAGAGAUGUCCAUCGACCCCCGACUUCGUCCAUCUCCAUCCGUGUACUUUUGUUUAUAACCAGACUGAGCCACAAACUAAGCCUUACCCACUAGACAUGUGGAAGUACGGUAGCGCUUUGCAACAGAGGCCCGAAGACCGGUCCUUAUAUGGCCGAGGUGCUACUAUCAAAACCAUGCACCCCGAGCCCAGCCUAAAACCAUUUUGAGGGUUUUGAAUAGAGGGGGAGGUGUGAAUCCAAUUCCACAAUGAUCCAACAAUUCCAUAGUGUCCAGGUGAUGAGAAUAUUCCCAAAGUCUAGAGUUGUAAAACCACCUAAUGUUGCCUAAUUAACCAGCGAAGCAUCUACCUAAAUUCAUACUAGUGGUACCAUGAGUAGAGUGUCCACUAGUUGGGGUUUUGUUUAUUCUAGAGUGAACAAGGAAAUAAUAACAAUAACAAUAAUAAGGUCAUAACAAAGGUAAAUAGGCAUGUCUAGAUAAAACAGUGAUAACGCGGGAAUUUAAAUAAAGCGAUAAUGCAAUAAUUUAAAUCAAAAUAAUUUUAUAAACUGGGAUUCAAUAUGUUCAAGGAUGAUGUGACUUGCCUUGCUCGCUUUCCCAACCGUCGGCUUCAACUUCCACGAAGAGCGGAUCUUUCGAAGCUGCAGCGUCUACACGAUCAACAGAAAAGAAAAGGCUUUUAAUCUAAUAAACUCCAUAUAACAAGUAGGAACAAAGCACAAAAAUGGGUUCUUGACUUCUUAAGGAAAAAUUAGAGACUUGAACGGUCCAAUUCCGAGUUCAAAUGGCCAAGUUAUGACCAUUUGAAGUUUAUAUGCUCUUUAAAUGAAUAUUUGUGAAUUUCUUCAUUUAAAUUUUAAUUUUAAAAGGGUUUAUUGCGUCAGCCGAGGGGAGGGGGCACGCGGACCGGGUCCACGGGAGUGGGGCCCACGCGGCAGCCUCACGGUCCACGGUGGACCGGGUGCACCCGGGCUCACACCGGCCGGCGCCGUGGGCCCCACGCGUCAGCCGCACCCGAGGGCGCGAGCGGCUGACGGCCGGGCCCCACGCGGCAGCAGCUCGGUGCGCCCGAAGGCGGCCACGGCGGCACGGCCAGCGGGAGGCGGCGCGUCCGCGCCCCUAUGGUCGCCGGCGGCGGCCAUAGGCAUGGCGGAGCGGCGGCCGAGAGAAGGGAGGGAAAGGGGGAAAUGAGGCGGCGGUCCACGGCUCACCCUAGGUCGACGGCGACGACGAAAAGGCGGCCGGAGCGGAGGAAGGCGGCGGCGCGGUUCGGGUCGACGGGGACGGCGGCGCUCCGGCGGUCGACGAGCGAAACGGAGGGGUGGACGAGGUCGGCGAGGAUGCGGCGAAGCCGAAGGAGGCGGCGCCGAGGUGGGAGGUGGUCCGGGGCGACGACGACGGCGGACCGGAGCUCGGCGGCGACGGCGGAGAGAGAGAGCGACGGCGCGAGCUCGAUUCCGGCGAGGAGGAAGGGCGGCGAGAGGCGGAAACGGACGGAGGAGGUGCGGGGAGGGUUUAUAUAGGGUUGGAAGGGGGAGAGAGCGGCCGGUGGGGAAGGAAUAGGCGCGGGAGGUCCGGCCGCCAUCAAUGGCGCCGGCGAGAUUUGCGGGGGCAAAUCCGCCCGUUUGAAUGCGAGGAAGAGAGGGAAAAAUGGGGGGAAAGGGAGAGGGAAUCACGGGGAAUAAUUCCCCCUUAUUGAUUGCACGCGGGGAGGACGGGGACGGCGGGAUUCGCGGCGGCGGCGGUGCUAGGGCGCGGGCGAGGCGGCGGGAGCGGCGGGAGGAAGGGGAUGACGGGUGGGCCCACCCGUCAGCGAGGGUGGCGGGCGGGCCCGCCCGUCAGCGGCGCGCGCGCGGGGAGAGGCCGGAUGGGCCGUGGGGAGAGGAGAGGGAGGGGGAAGGAGAUGGGCCGAGCCGGCCCAAGAGGGAGAGGGAGGGAAAGGGGACUUUUUAGAGUUUUUCUUUUUAUAAAAUCAUUUUAACUUUGUUUAUUUCUUAAUAAUUAUUAUUUGUGUUCUGAAAAUUCCACUAAAAUUUAUUUACGCAUUUUAGGCUUUUAGGAAAUAUACAAAAAUCCUCCAAGCCUUAUUUGACUUUUAACUUUGCACAUUUUAAUUGUUGGAGGCUUUCACACGGAUUUUAAUUAUUCUAGGCAUAAUUUAGAGGAUGUAUUUUAGAGUCGUUUUGGGACGUGACACCGUCCUCCUCCUCCCGUCAACGGCACCGCGCUCCUUUCCCUAGUCGGCGCCCUCACCUGGUCGGCGGCGCGUCCUCCCCUCGUCGGCACUGUCCACCCCCCUUAAGAGGCGCCGUCCUCCACCCCUUCUCGCCGCCCACCUCCGCGCGCUCGUUGCCCGCCGGCCACGAGCACGGCCCCCAUCUGGCUCAGCCAUCCCCGGCGCUCCUCUCUCCCUUCCUCUCUCUCCACGAUUGCGGGUAUUUUGGUCUUAAAACUCCUCAAAGUGGCAAAGUAUACUGAUGAUAAUCUAUUUAGUGGCAUUUUAUCCUUUGUAUUCUAAUGGAUGGCAUUUUUGCACUCUUGUGGAGUGGCAUAUUGUCCGUUUUCUCCAAUUUGCCCCUGUUCUGUUAGAUCGGUUUGACGGUGUUAAUUCUGGGAUAAAAAGACAUAUAUACCCUUUGCAUAUUGUUGCAGUUUGUCUGUACUUCUGUAAAAAAAAAAGUCGUGCUUUUGCGAUGUGUACUCCUACUGUCCUACAUGCGGCGAUGGCUAGAAACGUAUCGAGCAUGUUUGAUGCUCCGUUGGUGUUGGUGCCCUGACACAAGCGAUCCUCCAAACAGAUCAAUUUAAUUCCCGGCUUUCAUGAACAAAAACGUUGCAUACAUCAGGAAGGGAAAAGGAACCGAGAACACAAGCAAAAAUUAUUCCCCAAAUCCAUGAAUCUAUCACAACCUAAAAAUGAAUUUUCCCAGCUGCUUGCAAAUUGAUUCGAUCAAUAGAACGAACUGUGAAAACCUACUGCUUUGCACGAUGUCAGGAUGUGGCGUGGCUGCAUCGCCAGCUUCAUGCGGAUGGUGGAUACAGCGAAGUGAAGCAACAGAUAAAGGCCGGGAAUCGGAGGGGAGCUUCCCGGCGCCGACGUUGGUGGACGACGCGGACUGCAGCGUGUCGAGGCCACUGGGAGUCAGCGCCGUCGCCGUGCUACACCUCCCCCUGCUACACGUUUGCCGUGCCGCGUCCCGUACGGCCGUACCUCACCUCUUCCAGCUGAAACUCAACCCUGCCGCCCCUCCACAUGCGCGCCUAGCCGUGGAGCUACGUCGACUCACCCCUCCCAUGGCUUACCGUGUCGCCUCCCUGAUCGCGCACCGCUUGCCUGAGCAGCAGUGCUGCCUCCGCCGUCUGCUCCUCCCUAGCCAGGGCGUUGGGUUUAAGGGGAUAAGGGAUUUUUGGUCGGGAGUAGAACGAUUAUUUUGCAUUUUGUAAAUCAUUUUUCUUUUCUUUCUACUUUUAAUUGAUUGAAUCGGAGCACACCUAACAGCCAUUCAAAAUAGGGGCAAAAUGCAGGUUCAGUCUAAAAAAGUAAGGGCACAAACCCUAAAAAUAAGAGGUAAAAUUAUAAUUGCAUAGCUAACAGAGAAAAUGUGAAAAUCGAACCAAUUGCAUUUUAGGAUCGAAUACCAUCCUCAAUCUAAUGGCAAAACCAAGAAGGUUAACCUAUGCUUGGAGCUCUAUUUGCGUUGCUUUGUUCAUGCUAUGCCAACUAAGUGGAAUUCAUGGUUGUAGCAUAAUUCUGAUUCAAUAUCUCAUAUCACUCAGUUUUGCUUAAGUCUCCUUUCGAAGAUCUUUAUGGGUAUCCAUCUAGUCAGGGUGUGUUUAAUUUCACGCCAAAAUUGAAAGUUUGACUAAAAUUGAAAGUUUGAAGAAAAAAGUUGAAAGUUUACGUGUGUAGAAAAGUUUUGAUGUGAUGGAAAAGUUAGAAGUUUGAAGAAAAAGUUGGAAACUAAACCAUGCCUCAGUUUGGAAUUGGAGAUGAUGCCUGCAGUGUUCCAAAUUUGGAUAACUGGCUAAAGGAAAGGAAACUGCUGACUCAAUUGCUCAAACAACACCUCAAUCGAGCAAAACAGUAGAUGAAAACUUAUGCCGGUAAGAAAAGAAGUUCAAGAGAAUUUGUUGUUGGGGACCUUAGUCUUUUGUUGCUAAGAGGGCAAAUCACAAGCUAUCAUUUCGUUAUUUUGGUCCUUUCCGGGUGAUUGCCAAGAUGGGUAAGGUAGCUUAUCGCUUACAUAUUCCUGAGGACAGCACCAUCCAUCCGGUUUUCCAUGUAUCCCAACUCAAGUCAACUACCGUUUGCUGGUGCUGAAUUUCGUUGUUACUACUGCUUAGCAUCACGCGUGGGGAGACGUGGGUAGAUGGAGAUCGGCGUCAGGAAGGGGAGCGUGCAAUCGCGAUCACCUUGGGAGGACUUGAAAGACCGAUUUCUGUUGUUAGUUUUACAAAGAACCCAUUUUUUUAAUUUUAGGAAGUCUAUUUUAGACGUUCUCUUGGAGAGAUACAUCUCAAAUUCUGUUUAGAAAACCAAAAAAAUAUUUUUACAUCUCAAAUUCUAUGUAGAAAACCAAAAACAAAAUUUUGGAAAUUGAUUUUUGGGUAUCACUUGGUGAUGCUCUAAGAGAGUCAUCGUGUCCAAUUUUACAGUUAAGGAUUACGAAUAAGAUCUAAUAUAUAUUUAAGAGUCAAAUUGGACCUUUUCCUUUGAAGAACCGUACUACUGCAGACCAUAGUUCGUUUAUUCAGGUACUACAUUUCGGAACUAGUAUAAAUAAAACCUGGCCUACUGCUGAUUACUGAUUUUUUAUAGUAUAUGUUCAAAACAGAAAUUGUUAUAGUUACUUCUUUUCUUUUUUAAAAAAAAAGCUGUGAUUCAUACAUGUUCUUCAAUACAUAUGUGGGUAAGGAUGGUUUGUCUAGAUUAAUAGUAAAAAAGAAAAGGCUGUCACAUUAGUUGUAAUGGAAUGCACUCAAAUCCAAUCCAGUGAGUUGCUGAUAUGCCUCAGAAUAGCAAGGCUCAUCAUUGGUUUGAUAACAUUUGCAUAGUCACACAAGCUGUACUACGAGAAUAUAGUCGUGUGUAUGCCAACCUGCGACAUUAUAGAAAAAGCCUGUCAACCUGUUUAGUCAGUAUCAGAAGAAAAAUUAACCCUACGGAAUAAAAUCUUUAAGCAUCCUCUCUGCUCAACAUUGAGCCUGAUAUCUGAACAUAUGACAUCUGAGUGUAGCCAUUGAAAACUGAGGCAUCCAAUCUCGCUAGACCAAUUCGUUGAAACAUGCCAAAACGACCAUCUUCGAUGAUAGGAUCAGAUGCACGGGCUGGGUCAUAUCUUGUUUGGUGGGUUAAGGAUGGACCAGCAACUGGAGGUAGCUCCCAAUACAAAUCCAACACGGAUUCAACAAGUCUGCUGUUCUGGAAAUGCUCUUUGUAUGAGAUGGCUUUGUUGCUAUGGUUGAAAUUGUCACGCAUAUAACCUCUAACUCCCCACCAUGCAUCAUCCUUUCCACAAAGCUCAUCUGUUUCCACAGCUUUCUCCCAAAAACUCUUUCGUCUCGACCUUAAUCUUGCUUCGUCACUAUCCCAAAAGCAGCUAUGUCCACCACCUGGGUAGAAAAAAUACAUGAAAAUUAGUUUUUCAGUGUGGAGGGCUGCCUUUUUCAGUUUUAUUGAGGAAUUUCAAAAAGGAAGAUUAUAAUCCAGCUGAAGAAUAUGGUGUUGCAAUGUAGUGUUAAUAGAGGAAAAUGGAACAAGAUAGCAUUAUAGGAAAAAUGAAGGAGACCCACUGAUUAGCAUAUCUUUAAAAAAAAACUGCAAUCUGGAAUAUCACCGACUAAACUUCUGGUAUACAUUGAUAUUAAAUGGGUUCAGAAAAUGAAACAUGAUGCCUGAUGAACAAAUUAAUGAAGUUGUGGUAAUCGGUAUCAUUACCAAGACAUCACAAGUUAAGAGCUUCAAGUUCCUCAUAUCAGUUUAUUGAAUUGUAGUCAUAAAUGUUUCUUUCCUAAAACCCAACAUAAGUAAACAAAUAUAUGUCAAGCUGCCAGCAGAUUAUAGUUGCAUACAAACAAUUAUAGGAUAUAUAACAUAUCAUUUCUAGUUGGUCUAGUAUGCUCCAUCGGAGUAAAAUAUUAAGCUGAGAAAAAACAUAAAUUUCGACAAUAAUUGUAUUUGGAAGAAAAUCUGCACAUGUUUGGACAUGUCGAGUUAAAAAAGAACAGAAAAGUUCUUAGUAACAUAUUGGAAACCUUGGUAGACAUAGUGUUUAGAUCAUGAUAAUAACAAAAAAUGUAAGGUUAUCUUAUAUCUUAGAAAUACAACAAAAAAAAGCACAAACAAAAACAUGAUAAUAACACCCAGAAUUCAUAAUCGCAUGAUUAGAAAGAAAUAAAAUAAUCUCAAUAUGCCCAAAAUUUACUUUUUAAGGAAGUCAGUACAAGAGAUUGCAGAAGAAAUAUAAAGAAAAUAAGGAGAACAUUGAAAAAGGAAAACUGUGUCACAUUAAGAACGUUAACCAUUCAAGAAUGUCUUAUGGUAACAGAAGACAUCACCUCAUAUUAUAAUGCCUUCUACUUCAGAAGAUAAACAAACCUAACUGCACUUAUACUAGGAAGACAAGCUAAUGGAACUACUCCAAAGUAAUGUGACACAGCUGGCUCAACAUCUAUAUGCAACAUCUGAUGUAUCUUGAUUAUUGAAAACUUAGAAUCCAAGGACAAGGUGACACACCUCUGAUGUGUUCCUGAUCGCAGAUCUGUCUUAAGGAGUAAUGAUCGCCUGUACCAGUGUCAUAAUUGUCCUCAAAUAUGAUAUGUCGGAAUCCAACUAUUGAAGCCUGUUUUAACCUACAUAAAACAAGACACAUCAAAAUAAAUUUAAGUUUCGAAAACUUAGAGAUAAGAGUGCACUAUUUAUUAGAGUGAAUGCUUAGCAUGUGUCAUGCUGACAGUUAAGAAUUUGAUCAUAAGAACAGUUCAAUACAAAAACACUACAAAUAUGGCAAUACCCAACAGAAAAUAGUUUGUCCACAGUUCAAGAGAAAGGUUGAACAAUGAUGAUCUACAGAAAGACUUUACCUCUUCAACUCACUUUGGUGAUCAUCAAAGAAAACAAGCACUCUGCUGAGAUCAGAAAUGCCAUGAUUCCUCAAUAGCUUCCCCCAAUCAACACUUCCGAAGUCAAUAAAAUCCUUCCCAGCAAGAUAAGUGCAGUUCCCAUCAACAUAUGCAGGCCCCUUCUUCAGAUAUUUCUCAGGGUGUCUGGGUGAGAGUGAUAUAAUCUUAGUAUUUGGCAUGGCCUGACGCAAAACCCAUGUAGAGUGCCCCUUGAAUGCACCACUCUCAAUCAUCAGAUCUGGCUUAAGCCAGCGAGCCACAAACCAAAGGCCAAAACUGUGGUCAAAGCCCAUUCCAUACAUGUUGUUCUUGAUAGGUCGUGUUUCAUAUAUUGGUACAAAUUCUUCCAGUCCACGAAGUAGAUCCUUUGAAGUCCACUCCACUAUCUUUCCAGUUUUUGAUCUGCCUUUAGUGAAGAAAAAGGACAAUGAUAUUCCAUACAGUCAAAAGUGAUAUUUCAAACAAAUUACCCCAGUAUAGAGGUUCUUGUGAAAUAAUAACAAAAUAUACCCCAAGAAAAACUCAGCACUACGUAGAGAAACAUAAUCAUGUCUACCAACAGCUACAAACAUAAAUAUAAGUACACUGGUGGCAACUAAGAUGGUCAAUUGUUACAGGACUUCAAGAAACAGAAUAAUAGAUUGCCACCGCAAUGUUCGCACUCCUAUCUAGCAGCAGUCAUUGUUCAAGAAACAGAAUAAUAGAUUGCCAUGGCCAUGUUCUCAUUCGUAUCUAGCAGCAGUGGAACAAUGACCGAGGAACAAAUCUGAACAAGUAUAAACCAACAGAGAUCAGUUAGGAGCAAAUAACUAUAAUAAAUUUGCACAUAUAAUGUGGUCAUCACUCAUCGAACAAGCUAUCAAGCUAUUCUGUCAAAUACAAUUCAAGAUUUCAGGUGAAUAUGCAUUGCGCUCACAUAAAGCUAGCCUACAACCUAUGGUGUUAGGUGUCUAAGACACUAACGAUGAGGAAUAUCUGCAUGAGCAGAAUCAUUUUCAAACAGGGAGGAGAUUAGUUGCGAAAGGGUGAUUACUUCGCAGAAAAGAACCGGAUGUCCGGAUCUAUCUCACAAGAAUCAACAGCGGCGUGAGGGCUUACACCAGGGUACCCCGAGGGCGCCGAAGUCGGAGGCCGCGGCCGCGUCCGGGAGAGCGAGAAAGCGCGCGUCGAGCCGCGGCGGCGGGCAGUCGGCGCGGGGGCGGGCGCGGCCGAUGAGGAAGGCGGUGGCGGCGACGGCGAGGAGGAGGAGGAAGGAGGCAGCGGCUCGGUGGGAAGAGUGGAGGCGGGCGUAGGCGGCGGCCACGAACGCGGGGUUCGCCUUUCGGAUCUUGGACUCGUCGUCGUCGUCGCCGACGGAGGUGGCGGAGGAUGCGCCAGCGUAGGGAGAGGAGGAGGAGGAGGCGCCGGCGGCGCGGGCUGAGAGACCGGUGUCGUGCAUGGAGGCGGGACGGGAGCAGAGAGAGAUCGGAGUAGUAGAAAGUGGCGGCGGUGGUAGACCGGUGGUAUUUGGAGAGAGAUCGAGGGACCGACCGUUCCACACGAAGGGAGGGGGUGGGGGGCGUGUUAGGGAAGAUGUCAACAUGGGGAGGAUCUUGCUUGCACGGGCCACGCAAAUGUUCCAGUAGCUUUUUUAACGCGUGAAUGAUAAACAUGAUCUCUACUAUUAUAGUAUUAUAAAAAUUGAAGAUGUUUUUGCCGAUAGUUUUGAUACGUCAUCCGUGUUUGAAUCGUUUUUUAAGUUCAUUCGUUUUUGAAAGUACAGAUCCGUUUUUGAGUCGGUUUUUAAUUUGGUUCGUUUUCAGAAAUACAGAAUGAGUCGUAUAAAAAGAAUUUUAUCUUAGCUAACUUGCAUGCUAACUUGAGAUGAUCGGAACCCUAAUUACAGCUCAUGAUUUUAUAAAAGGAAUAUUCAAGCGAAUUCCUACAGUAAAUUUCACCUUAGUUAACCCGCACAACAAUAAUCUUCACCCGUUGCAACGCAAGGGCAUUUUUCUAGUAAUAAGAAAAGGAGAAAAUCCAAAAAGAAAAAAACAAUGGACAAGCAUCCCAAUGUUAAAAAAACCAUUGAUGAACCCAACUUCCUAUAAAUGCUACUAUAUAAUCAUCUUAUUUCCAAAAUUUUAUCGUUGUUAUGUUUCCAUUAAUUAGUAGCCCUCCAUUAAGUACUAUCAAAAGACCAUUUUACCCUACGAAUUGUUAAAAGCUCAUUAAAUUUUUUCUUUUUUAGUCAACUUAUAAAUAAUAAUUUAGUAUAAAGAACAACCUACAAAUUAGUGUAAGCUUAUGGAAAGAGCAAAAAUUUUAAUUGCCUUUUAGCAAUUCCUAUGGGUAAAAUAAUUUUUUAUAGCACUUAACGGAGGGCUGCUAACGAAAAUCUAAAUGAAAUGGUGCGUUUGUAUGAUGACAUUUCUUGGAUUCGUAUGUUUAUCGAUGGUGUUUCAUGGAUUUCUCUAAGAAAAAACAUAGAGUAGGGAUAUGAUAAGAAUAAACAUGUAAAACAUUAGGAAGCCUAUAAAGGUUCGCACGCUGGGGCGUGCCACGUUGGAUUUUACUUUUGCAGAAAAGCCCUUCGGUUUGUGUGUAAUUCAAUCGAGUACCCAGUGAAAAGUUCCUCUGAGGUGUCAAUUCACGAAUAGGCCCUUACAUAAGUUAGAUAUUGCAUGCGAAGGAGAGAAAAUUCACGAAUUAGGACCGCGCUCUAAAACGUGGAAGCCGAGGGGGUUUCUAGCAAACGACGCCCUAACCCACCCACCAUAAUCCUAGCCGCCGCCGCCGCUCACACUCUCUCCUCCCUCUCGUCUUCUCCUCUCCCUCUCCAGCUCCCGCCGCCGCCGCCUCAUGCCGCCUCCGCCUCCCCCUCCCCCUCGUGCUAGAGGGAUGAAGAACGUGUUUUAUUAUCAAUUCUGACGAGUUAAAGUAAUUAUUUCCAUGCUUUUAACAUAUCAAUGCUCGUACUUAGUGUGAUGUGUGGUGCACUAAGGAUGUCAAUAAUCUAAGUUGGAAAUUUCAAACCAGUUGUUUUAUUUACCAAUAGGCCACACUUUACACACUACUUGCUCAUUGAGCAGUAGCUUAUAUGUUGGUAUGUUAGCUGAGGAUCUCAUCGUUAGGCUGGUAAAUAUAUUCUCUAGAUUUGCGUCGCUUGAAAUGUUUUUGUGGACAAAUGCUGGUAUUUUUCUUCUGUGCAAACCUUGGGGCCAAAACGUAUACUCCCUGGUUCUCAUUAUAUUUAUUGAUCCCUUUCCUUGCAUGUUUGCAAAAUUAGCGGUCUAUUACCUUCCGUGCUGCUGAAAUAAUGUUCUCAUGGUUUGUUAAAAAUGGUGAUAGUGAUAGGGACCAUGAUCGUGACAGGGAGCACCGUGAUAGAAGCAAAAGAAGAUAACACCGUGAUUAUGAAUAUUCUCUUGAUCAUGAUCUCCCCUUGGACCAAGAUUCUGAAAGGUAUUGCUUCUAAAUUUCUAACCUAAGCAAUUACUUGCAACUGCACAAAAUAUGGGUGUUUUUUUCCUUUAUUAAAUCUACUUAUUUGAUUGACUAAUGUUUUCCUGAUGCAUUUAUUUAUUUUUAUCAAUUAGUGAAUUUUCCCCUAUGCGUGGGAAUUCAUGGUGAUGCCUAAUAAUUAUGAAAAUUAGGUUGUAUCCUUUCUGAUAAUAAGAUUUAAAGUUAAUGAUAUGUUCGAUCUAUCUGCUGCAUACUACACUCUGUUGUGUUCCUCUCUUAUAUCGAGCAUCUUAUUAUUAGUUUUAGAACAUCUUAAUAUAACUGACAAUUAAUUGCUAUAGCAAUCAUGCUGACAAAAUCAGGUUAGUCCAUAAUUAUCUCUGAGAAUCUGAUUAAAGCUGCCAGAUGUUUAGCAUAUGAAGAAAUUCAAAUUCUAAUGUCCCUGGCAUUCAUUCUCUUUUGAUCUUUAUAUUGUUCAUUUUUUUACCUUCUGUUUUACAACUGGAUAGUGCAGUGGGUACUAUAUUGGCAUUGCUCUCGGUGUACUGGAGCAUUGCAACUAGCUGCUAAUUAUCUGAUUGACUCAUUAAUGUGUGCUCAAUUUUUCAGCCACUGUUUCUUAGUAGAAGAAUUGGAAUGUAUAUGUUUCUGAAAUGAACUCUCCCAAUUAACAAAUUUAGAGGUGCAUCCCCUUUUAAGUUGGUUCUUUUGUUUCCCUAUCUAUUAGGAGGGGGAGAAACCUGAAUUAAGAGAUGUUAGCGUGUAAUUUCCCCCUGAAACGUAUGUUAAUCUAAUUUUUGUCUAAAUUUACUAAAUGAAUUAAACGCCUGGCCUCCAUUACCUAUCACUUAUUUGGAAAAUUCUGCAGUACCCUAGAGUGAAAUGCAAGCAUUGUGUUCAUAUGGGGUUUGUUGGCAUAUUUCAACUAAAUCCAAUUUUUAAAUGCUACAGUGCUACAAGAGGCUAGAAAACAACAGUUGCGCUAUUGUUGGUGACUGACAUGAAUCCAUCGCCGCUCAAUUUUAACAAAGUUGCAAAGAAGUUUCUAAGACAAUAGGGGCUUUUUUUUGGCGCUGCAGGCUCUUGCAUCACCCAUUCAUCUGUCAUUACGGUUUUUGAUGCACACUGCCUAAUUAGUUGUUUUUAUUAUACUUGGAUUAUUUUUCUGACAGAACAAAUCACUUCAGUUCCCCUCCUGCCAAUGAGGAGUGUAUGCUUAUACAGUGAAAGUAUUAUGAGGUUUCAUCAAGGUAUUGUAAUUUGUAAAACCAAUACAAAUGCUAUGCUCAAUAAUUGUUUUGAAAUUGCAAUUUUUGAUGAAUCUUAUGCUCAAAAGAUGAUUAAAAUUAUCUCCAUAAUGCUCAAGAGAAUACAGAUGGUUGUUUUUGUACAGAACUUAGAUUUUAUUAUAAGCUGUUGUCUAUCGACAAUAUCCAUCAUUUUAUCAGUCUAUCGACAAUAGUAGGACGAGCUCUUCAGUCUAAAUAACAGUUAUAUGUUUGCUGAUGCGCCUCUUAUAACUUUUGCUGCCAUGACACUAGCCCCAUGUCUCUUGCUCUUGAUCUUCCUUUAUGAGUCACUCCAUCUAAUUUGUGUUUGCUUCCUGAUAUUUUUGUAGAUGCAACAACAUGAAGAUUGAAAAGGCUGCUGCCUGCAAGGUGUUUGAAAUCACUGCCUCUGGAAUUUAAAUGUGUGAAAGUGAUUGAAUAGUUCUGAAAAUUUAUCCUUGCUUUGCUAGAAGAUUGAAUGGGCGGCUAUUGGAGGAAGAAGAAGCAUGCUACAGGGGUAAUGACAAAGGUAGCAGGGUCCCUCUUUUGUGCUCAUGGCAUGUCAAUUUAUCCUUUCUGUUGAUUUCGUGUCUAGACCAGAAAUUUUUUAAUUCCUACUUGAAAUCAUGCUAAAAUGGUUUGGUAUCAUAUCCAAGACCAAGCUUAAAUCAUCUUGUAUAUGGUUUCAUCCUACAUUUGUUGCUAUGAAGAGUCAACACAAAUGUUGAUAUUUUCCAAAAAUCAACUGAAGCGUCGACUCUAAAAUCAAGUUCUAGAAAAGAGUAAGAAGGAUGUGCUCCGUCAAAUAAUAGAACUGUAAACUAUAGAAACUAGAAGUCUUAAGGACACUACACUAACCCUAAAGUCACUCGUCAUCAUAAGCAAAGUGCAAAUAUUGUCUGUCUGGAGUCUGGACUCAUCAUUUAGGUGCUCUUUGGCAGGGCAGCAGCUGUAUGUUUCAGCUUUUGAGUUGUCCUUAGAAUCCAUCUCAUUGAGUAAGCGCACUUCAAUUGAAAUCUAUAACUUUCUCGCAUUCUGGGAAGUUCAUUUUCUUAUUGCCUGCAAUUUUUGUAGCAACUACAGAUACAACCAUUGCUCACAUCAUGAAAGAACAAGAUGAUAUCAAGAUCAAAUCCUCCAAGUGCUGGAAUCAGAUUCGGCCACCUGCUACACUGCUGACUUCAAACGGCCGCCGAAUCUGCAUACGACCUCCGUUUUCGGCCCAUGAGUACUUGAUGGAAAGCCCUCGGAGUCCUCUUUCCAACGGAUCCAGCCUCAUCGCCAAACUUCGUCUGGGACCCCGGCCCAAGUGGGGCCCAUGUGGGGUGCGCCCCAACCAGGUGGAUCAUGACCCUAGGGUCCCUUUGGUCAUCCUCCCACCUCCUUAAAUAGCUAGCUACCCCUUCAGGGUUUCUCGGGUUUUGUUAGAUUAAAGUUUAGCCAUUACUACUUGCUUGCAGCACGCGUGUCGGCUAGACCGUCCGUCUGCUUGUUCUUCGGAACCCCAACUUAUCAUUUGUAUUAAAUUCCUAUUUGCAAUAUCAGAUUGUUUUUAUCUUGUUCUUGCUUGUUUCUUCGAUUUGCUUGCAGGAAUAGUGUUGAUUUGCACCGGCAAGAUCAACAACCCAUGGAGAGGUGUAUCGAUCGCUAAGGCGUAACACAACAACGUCUUAUACGUUUGUAGUCGGGUCGUCAACGUUUCUCCCAAAUCGUAGUUAUCUCAACUCACCUAAAGAUCGGGCCAAACAACAGCCUUGAGUGUCGAGUGGAACUCAGGGUCUUUCGGUGAGUUGAGAUAACUACGAUUUGGGAGAAACGUUGACGACCCGACUACAACCGUACAAGACGUUGUGUUGCGCCUUAGCGAUCGAUAAUGUAACACCCCAGGUAGCCACAUACCUAGAGUGCCACACCAAAAUACACUAAAAAAACCACCAACUCCCAAAAUUAUUAGAAAUUUCGGCAGAGUAACCUAAAAGUACGGACAUCCAUGACAGGCAGUUACAAGAUAACUCAAUAACGAUAUAAACCACACAAUCCAACCCAUCCUAUCUCCACAAAUUCCACGUGAAAAUAAGGACCAGAACUUUAAAUGACCUUCACAAGUUCUACGCAAAACUUAUGCUAAGUAGAAACAUAGUCUAAAAGUAAAUUUCAAUAGUGUGCAAUAAUAAUGUGUAGUUCAAGGGUGCUACUCCCGUCCCAUGCCAAUCAAUAUCAUUAGGUACCUAAAAACCAAAUUAAAUACAAGAGUGAGUAAAAAUACUCAGCAAGUACAAUAUUGAACUAGUAAAACAUACACAGGUUUAAUGCAAUAAGAAAACCAAUAUGAAAUAUUUGUCUUCCUUUAAUUUAAAAGGAAGGAGGCAAAAAGUAGUAGUUCCCUCCCGGGCAGGUGUGAAUAUCCUCUUAGCAUUACCGGUAAGCCGAGCAAGCGUGAUCAGCGCUUCUCAAGGAUCAUGAAUGAAGAUCCAAAUUGCACUCCCAUGACUACGCAUGGUACUUGAAUAAUGUAAACAAAAACUUCCAGAAUAAUGAAACAUGAAUAACGUCGUGAAUUUGAACAUGAAGUGAAAUAUGAAUACGUAACAUAAUACUAAAAUCACACAAUUGAUUAUAGGAAGGUUCGAAUAAUAAUUGGAUAAAUGAAACCAAAUAAAGUAACACAGUUUAUCUAUCACACAAGUCCAUCUUGUACUUGCCUUAACUCCUUCAAUAAUCCGACUCAACUCCUCCAACAUUGGAACCCUCCACACCUGUGGAGCAAAACUACGCAUAAACCACUAUAUCUAACUAAUAAUAGUUACAAGGAUAUUUACUAAAAUCGAAACCCAGUUCAUAUAAAUUAUUACCGAUUUGUAUUAAAUAGCCUAUAGCUGUUCCAUUACUGUUUUAUACGUAACGUACAAACCGUCUAAUGGAACCUAGCAAAUAAUAUAACUUCGGACAUCUAGACAAAAUUGUCUACCACUUUCAUGUUGAGUCCUGAUUUCCAGACCCGGUCAGCAGUACUGUUUUUGUUGUUUCUCCCAAACCGUUUAUCGGAAUUGAGUGAAACCAGCGGCGUUAGAAAGAUAUCGACGAUGACUACAAACUUUAUUUAUGACAACUAACCUGAAUCACGAUGGUUUAAUACCAGAUUUGAAAAUACUAUUGUUAGCCCAUAAUCAACAACUAAGAAAACACUGAACCGGCAAUUUAAUCGAUUCCCACGUGAAAAUUGUAUUUCUAUGGACUAAGAGGAGUUACACUUGCUGAGGAGAAAUCGAAUUUGAGAUCAAUUUGUGAAUACCCAGAAAAUCCCCAACUUUUGCCUCUCUUUCCUUUUUCCUUCUUUUCUCCUGCUUUCCCUGCUUCUUGAAACUCCUGCUCUCUGUUCGUUCCAGAAGCACAGCAACAGACCAGCAUCAGCAGCAGCAGCGAGGAACGUUAACAGAAACAGCCGUAACAUGGAUACAUAUCAGAUCGAUGGCAGCAGCAGCAGCAAGGAUUGGCGGCAACACUCACCAAGGAGUCGAGCAGGAGUGGCGCUGGACGGCGAUGGCUGAACCUGCGGCGACGGCGCAGCAGCCAUUGGGGUGAUGGCGACUAGGGUUUGUAGCGGCUGCAGGGUUAUCGAUCUCUUCCCCUUUUCUCUUUUUUUCUUUUUUUUUCAGUUGGUUAAAUAGAUAUCCUGAUGAAGAUCGAACGGCCCAAAUUAAUUUAAUCACCAGUACUUCAUUCGGACUCCGAUUAUUAUAAACUCAUAGUCUAUUUUGCACUACUCGGCGAGCUCUACGCAUCCAUGGUUCCUGAUCGCCUAUUCGAACAAUGGUUUAAAAAUUGAACGGCGUUUGUGCUAAUAUUCCCCGAAAUAUACUAUUUUGAAACUCGGGGCAUUACAUUCUUCCCCCCUUCAAUCGAAUUCGCCCUCGAAUUCGCCCAACCAAACUCUAGAACACGGGGUAUUACAUUCCUCCCUCCUUCAAUCGAAUUCGCCCUCGAAUUCGUCCAGUUAUUCCUCGAACAAGUAUGGAAAGGAACUCAUAGGUAGGACUUAUAUAACUCACCAGGCGUGAAUAACUCUGGCUACUUCUCCCGCAUCUAUGUCUCAAGUUCCCAUGUGGCUUCUCGUUCGGUCUUGUGCGUCCAAAGAACCUUGACAUAUUUGAUAGUUCUGUGCCUCAGCACCCUCUCAGAUUCCUCCAAUAUUCUUAGUGAACGGGACUCAAAUGUCAAAUCUUGGUCAAUGGUCACCGGCUCUACGGUAAUAUGAUGUUCAGGGUCUCUCAAAUAUUUUGUCAACAUGGAAAUAUGGAACACAUCAUGUACACCUUUCAUGGACUCUGGUAACUCGAGGCGAUACGCUAGGAUUCCAGCUAUUUCCACUAUCGAGAAUGGACCAAUAUACCUACGGCUGAGUUUGCCUUUCGUUCCAAAUCUCACAACACCUUUGGUAGGAGAUACCUUUAGAAGUACUUGGUCACCCACUUCAAACUCUAAUUCCCGUCUUCUGACAUCAGCGUAGCUCUUCUGCCUACUUUGAGCUACGAGCAUGUGUUUUCGUAUUUCUGCUAUCCGUUCUGUGGUUUGUUGAACCCAAUCGGGUUCUAAAACAGCUCUCUCCCCUAUGGAAUCCCAACACAAUGGGGAUCGACACUUUCUUCCAUAAAGUGUCUCAUAGAGUGCCAUUCGAAUGCUAGCAUGGUAAAUGUUGUUGUAAGCAAAUUCUACAAGCGGCAAAUGAUCCUCCCAACAUAUCCUCUAGAGUUUGAAUAGUCCACUCAGAUUGACCAUCAGUAUAAGGGUGAAAAACCGUACUGAAUUUCAAUUAUCAAAUGCCUCUUGCACAGAUUCCCAGAACUUAGAAGAAAAUUUAACAUCCCUAUCAGAAACAAUCGAGCGAGGCACACCAUGUAACCUCACUACCUCGCGUGUAUAGAUCGGUGCCAAGUCACUCGCAGAAUAAGUGGUGCGGAUAGGAAUGAAAUGUGCCACCUUACUCAGACGAUCUAUAACCACCCAGAUGGCGUCCUUUCCUUAUGAAGUUCGAGGUAGCCCAACCACGAAAUCCAUAGCAAUAUCAUCCCAAGGCCAUACAGGAACUUCCAAUGAUUGUAACUUUCCAGCAGGACUCUUAUGUUCAGCCUUUACUCGCUGACAUACCCCACAUGAUGGCACGUACUUUGCCACAUCCACUUUCAUCCUCUUCCACCAAUAGAUCUUCUUCAGAUCAUGAUACAUCUUGGUCUCGCCAGGACGCACAACAUAUGGUGUUCGGUGUGCUUAUUGCAAAAUCUCUUCCUUGACUUUAGCUUACUGUGGGACACAUAAAUGCCCAUGGAAUCGCUCAACUCUCGAGGACUCCAAAGUGAAAUCUCUAGUUUUUCCUUCCUUUACACGUUUCUUAACUUGUUGUAGCAACCGAUCGUGUUGUUGGGCAUCUAGCACUCGUUGUGGUAUGACAGACUCAAGAAUGACUCGUGACUCGGUACUCGCCACUCCGGCGUAGCAAUAGGAGAUACCCAUCCGUUCAAAAUCAAUUAUCAAACAAUUCACAGUUGGAGGAACGACCUUACGGCUUAGAGCAUCUGCAACCACAUUCGCCUUACCCGAUGUAUACGGAAUGUUGAGAUCAUAAUCUUUUAUUAACUCCAGCUACCUCCUCUGCUUUAAGUCGAAAUCCUUCUGAGUGAAAAUGUUUUGAAACUAUUAUGAUCAACAAAACUAUCACAAGACUCUCCGUAUAGGUAGUGCCUCCAAAUCUUAAGAGCAGAGACCACUGCUGCAAGCUCAAGAUCAUGAGUGGGGUAAUUCUGCUCAUGCUUCUGUAACUGCCUAGACGCAUAAGAUAUAACAUUGCCCUCUUGCAUAAGAACACAACCAAGGCCUACUCGUGAAGCAUCGGAAUAGACAGUGAAACGCUUACCAAGGUUGGGGCAAAGUAAGCACCGGAGCAGUUACCAGCCUCUACUUCAAUUGCUGGAAACUAUGCUCACAUUGGUCCGUCCAUUGAAACUUCACACAUCCUUAUGUGCGAGCAUCGUCAUUGGUUUAGCGAUAAUUGAGAAAUCCUUCACGAAGCGUCGUUAGUACCCUGCCAUACCCAAAAAGCUCCUCACAUCCUUAACAUUAGUCGGCCUUUCCUACCCGACAACACUUGAAACUUUGCUAGUAUCAACUGAGAUACCCUGCUGAUCGAUUACAUGCCCUAGGAAAGUCACUUCAGGAAGUCAAAAUUCACACUUCUUUAAUUUAGCAUAGAACUUGUUUUCCUGUAAACUCCCUAGCACCAUCCUCAAAUGACACUCAUGCUCCUCUACAUCUUUCGAGUAAAUCAGAAUAUCAUCAAUAAACACCACCACAAACUUAUCUAGAAAGCUAUGCAACAUGCUAUUCAUCGCCUCCAUAAAAUAGGCCAGAGCAUUGGUCACCCCAAAAGACAUAACUCUACACUCAUAAUGCCCAUACCUCGUGGAAAAUGCGGUCUUCUCAAUAUCCUCUUCUCGCACUCGAAUUUGGUUAUAACCAGAUUGCAAGUCAAUUUUAGAAAACACCUUUUACUCCCUUUAACUUAUCAAACAAAUCUUCAAUAUGAGGCAAUGGGUACUUGUUCUUGAUUGUCGCAGCAUUUAAGGCCCGAUUGUCCACACACAUACGACAACUCCCAUCCUUCUUCUCAGUAAAAAUAACAGGUGCACCCCAUGGCGACACACUCCGUCGGAUUAACUUCUUGGAUAAUAGAUCAUCUAACUGUUUUUUUUCAACUCUUCUUGGAAAGGACGAGCUAACCGGUACGGGGCUCUAGAGAUCGGUCGUGUACCAGGAACAAGAUCAAUACAGAACUCUACAUCACGCUCAGGUGGCAUCCCUGGAAAUUCUACGGGAAAAAUAUUGGGAUAAACUUCGUUCGGACUCCGAUUAUUAUAAACUCAUAGUCUAUUUUUCACUACUCAGCGAGUUCUACGCAUCCACGGUUCCUGAUCGCCUAUUCGAACAAUGGUUUAAAAAUUAAACUUUUGCACGUUUGUGCUAAUAUUCCCCGAAAUAUACUAUUUUGAAACUCGGGGCAUUACAGAUACACCUCUCAGAGGGUUGUUGAUCUUGCCGGUGCAGAUCAACCCUAUUCCUACAAGCAAAUCGAAGAAACAAGUAAGAACAAGAUAAAAGCAAUAUGAUAUUGCAAAUAGGAAUGAAUACACACGAUAAGUUGGGGUUUUGAAUACAAGCAGACGGACGGUCUAGCUGACACGCACGCUGUAAGGAAGUAGCAAUGGCUAAACUUUCAUCUAAACAAAACCCAAGAAACCCUGAAGGGUACCUAGCUAUUUAUAGGUGUGGGAAGAUGACCAACGGUGCCGUAGGGUCGUUCUCCACCAGGUUGGGGUGCACUCCACAUGGGCCCCACUUGGGCCGGGGUCCCAGACGAAGUUACAAGCCCAUAGGCCUAUUACAGGUGAUGCAACACCUUGUUUCUUCAAUUGCGGCUCACUAAGAUGGAAUUUCGCAAUGAGGUUGGAUCCGUUGUAAAGACAACUCCGAGAGCUUUCUAUCAAGUACUCGUGGACCCAAAACGGAGCUCGUAUGCAUAUUUGGCGGCCAUUUGAAGUCAGCAAUGUAGCAGGUGGCCGAAUCGAAUUCCAGCUUUUAGAGAACUUGAUCUUGAUGUCUUCUUGUAGAUCCAUGAUGUGAGCAAUGGUUGUAUCCAUAGUAGCCAUGGUCACAUUAUCCUCCCCUUCUUCAUGGAAAAACGUCCUCGGUUUUUCCAUGUGGUGCUCUUCACGUAGUCCAUUUAAAACAACCUGUUUCUUCCAAUCAAAACAAGGCAAACUCGAGAUAAUUUGGUUAGCAUUAACAUUCCUCUCUAGCUUGUAUGUUUUAUCCACAUGUACAAGAGGUUUCUAAAUCCGAACAUAUGUAAACUCUAUGCACCAAAUAUAUUCCAACAUCAUUAUAUUCACCAAAGAUAUGAAAAAUAGCAUUAGUUGGACAUGGCAAAUUAGAUUUAGCAAAUAAUUUCUCCUUCAAAUUUUCAAGCUCACAAAAAUCAUCAAACCGAACAUACCCAAAGUAUUUAAAGAAGAUAGCAAUUCACAUUCCUCUAUUUCAUUAGCAAUGUGAACAACAUGCUUAAAAUCAACACACAAAGAAACAAUAGAAAUAGCAUCUUCUUUCACCAGUUGUGGCAUGGAUAUAAGUGAAGCAUUAUCACACAACUCUUCUUUAUCACAAGGAACAGCAAGUAAAUCAACUUGUGAUAAAGGCAUCUCAGCAAUUGGUUCCACUAAUGGUUGCUCUUCUCUAGUAUGAAAAGUGGACAUGUUCAAUUAAUUAACGGCACAGUCACCUUGAUUAAUUGCAGCACCAUUAAGUUUACCUUUUAUGCCACUUCAGAUAAUGUAGGUGCAUCAGUCUUCUCUUCUGUCUUCGUGAGCGAUGGAGAUGGCAUCUCGAUCAUAUUGCUCUUCUCCUCAUGGUGAAUGUUCUGAGCUCCCUGCAAAAUGUCAGUAAUAGGAGGCACAAGCAUAGCUUGUUUCUCCCUUGGGUUCUUUAAAAUAUUGCUCUCAACACUGCAAGCAAGCAUGAACAAGUGGCCUAUAUGAUUAUAUGUCACAUUAAUAAGCCUAGCUUGAAUAUCGGAAUUAAGCCCUCUAAAAAAUCUAGUCAUUGUGUUCUCAUUGCUUUCUUUUAAACCACUAAAAGUGAUACAAAUUUUAAAGUUAUGAAAGUACUCCUGCACGGUUUUGUCACCUUGUUUUAGAUGUGACCAUGGCAACUACAGAUAAAACCAUUGCUCACAUCAUGGAAGAACAAGAUGAUAUCAAGAUCAAGUCCUCCAAGUGCUGGAAUCAGAUUCGGCCAACUGCUACGCUGCUGACUUCAAACAGCCGCCGAAUCUUCAUACGACCUCCGUUUUCAGCCCAUGAGUACUUAAUGGAAAGCACUCGGAGUCCUCUUUCCAUUGGAUUCGGCCUCAUCACCAAAUUCCAUCCAAGUCAUCCACAAAUGAAGAAACAAGGUGCUGCGUCACCUGUCAUGGGCCUAUGGGCUUGUAACUUUGUUUGGGACCCCGGCCCAAGUGGGGCCCAUGUGGGGUGCGCCCCAACCAGGUGGAGGACGACCUAGGGUCCUCCCACCUCCUUAAAUAGUUAGGUACCCCUUCAGGGUUUCUCGGGUUUUGUUAGAUUAAAGUUUAGCCAUUGCUACUUGCUUGCAGCGCGUGUAUCGGCUAGACUGUCCGUCUGCUUGUUCUUCGGAACCCCAACUUAUCUUGUGUAUUCAUUCUUAUUUGCAAUAUCAGAUUGCUUUUAUCUUGUUCUUGCAUGUUCUUCGAUUUGCUUGCAGGAAUAUGGUUGAUUUGCACCGGCAAGAUUAACAACCCACAGAGAGGUGUAUCGAUCGCUAGGGCGCAACACAAUAACGUCAUGUACGGUUGUAGUCGGGUCGUCAAUGUUUCUCCCAAAUCGUAGUUGUCUCAACUCACUGAAAGAUCGGGCCAAACAACAACCUUGAGUGUCGAGUGGAACUCAGGGUUCAUCAGGUGGUAUCAGAGCUUUCGUUGCUCGGUGAGUUUUUAUCUAGCUAUAACCUGAAAAUUUUCCUACAAAAAAAAUUGCAUCCUGUACCUAGCCAUCUUUGUGCCAUUGUAUUGUUCUUUUCAGUUUUUGCGUUGUUGAAUUUUGUGUUGCAUCGUCACGUCGUGUUGCUGGUCUUAGCGUCUAGUUCGUUUAGAGUUUCGAAUUCUAGUCACGUUUUGUACCACUGUCGUCGCAGCCGCUGUGUCUUGGUUGUCAUCGGGACCUACGAAAUUGGAAUCGUCUUUCCGCCAGAGUUCCAUAUUUGUAGUUUUCAGAAGUUUCUGUCGGUUAGUUUUGAAGUUGCGUCUAGGGUAUGCUGUUUAGACGGGCUUGUGUUUGUGCCGUGGUUAUGUUUUGCCGUGAGGAAGAAAAAAUGGGAAAGGAAUAUAGCAUAUCUGUUUGGAUUCGGUUCGGUGGAAGGAAAGGAAAAUAAUAAUACAUUGGAUCGGCAAAUCAGUUUCUGAUUUAUCUCAUUCAUUUAAUCUGGCCGGCCGAUCCAUCCACCCACUGUACCCGCACCUCCCCACCAUCUACAGUUGUUUCCCCCAAUACCGUGAGUAGCUCAACACCAUGGUGAAAAUUUUUCAAGUGUCGGAUUGGAAAUCCGUUUGAAACAACGGAACCUAUGAGGGACGAGAGCAUUCCAUUUUUGUAUAGUUCUAAUUUUGGGAUUGAACUUUUACACUUGAGUCCCUGUAAUUUUUAGAUUCGCAUUUGAGUCCCUGUAAUCUUGCAUUGAGGUCCUUGAGUUUGUUUUUUUAAAAAAAAUAAAAAAAAGGCAGAAAGGUGCAUAAAAAAAGCAAAGAAAAGCAGCACCAAAAAAGAAAAGAAAAGAAAAAGAAAAGAAAGAAAAAAAAGAAAGAAGAAAGAAAGAAAAGAGAAAAUAUUGUUAUCUUUGAGCUGAACUUCAUAUAUCAGAGUGUGCUUGAGUUGUUUCUAGUGCUAUCCUGUGGUAUCGUUUGUGUUUAGGCUCGCGUCUCUAGUACGUUCUAGCCUAGGACCAGCACGGUACUUGACUUUGAACGAUUAUUCAACUUUGCAUUCUCUGAUUUGAGCAUUUGCUAUUCCUUUGCUACAUAUUUAAGCCUACCCAGAGCUCCACAGAUUUGAUUACAGCCGUACAACAAGUGUUUGCCAAGGCAUUCAUACAUCCAAACUUCGUUGUGGUGCUUGGUUGAGUCGGUGUACAUCACCAUUCCGCUUGCUUUGGUAAGAACUUGUAAGAGCUUGGUUAAAAGCUUGAGUGUGUGUGAUAUUUGAGCUACCACUACCUAGUAGUUGAUAGGAACGUGCAUAUUCUUGUGUGUGUUUCUUGUUUGCUACUAACCAUGGCAGGAUUGCGCAAGGGAAUACGAGAACAUCAACUUCUACACCUUCGAUGAGAUAUGACGACUUCUCCACGUGAUGCAUAUGAGGUACAUGACUAUAAUUUUGCACAAGUUGCAUCAAAGUUACCAUUCUAUGAUGGGAAGUAUGAUUUUGUUGCAUAUAUUGAUUAGGAGCUAGCAGUAGACAAUGAAUUUGAUAUAUAUGAUUUUUCUGAUGCUCAAAUGAUUAAGGCUGCUAGUAAUAAGUUUACCUCUUCUGCAUUAUUUUGGUGGAGUUAUGUUUGUAACAAACCUGAAACUUUGGAUGAAUUCAAAACCAUAAUGAGAAAAUGCUUUGUGAGUUCUUAUUACAAAUGUACUCUUCGGGAGAAAUUAGAACAUCUGAAAUAAGGCGAUAGAACUGUUAAGGACUACAUUCAUGAAUUUAAGGUCUGUAUCAUCUACAGUGAUCUCAAAGAGUGCAAUGAAAAUACAAUGCGUAGAUUUUUCAAUGGGCUUAAUUCUAAAAUUCAGGUUUUGUUUGAUAAUGUGACAUAUAAUCAUAUUGGGCACCUAUUCAUGCUUGCUCGUAGCAUUGAGAGUUAGAUCAUAUCAAAUGCGAGGAAGCAUGAACAAUGUGAUUUAUCUCCCAUUUCUGAAUCUCCUAUAUCCUUAUGCAAUGAUGAUGUGCAAACAUUGGAGGAGCAAUCUUUUGUCUCUCCUGUUACUAACGUUUUGCAGGGAGUUCAGAACAUUCAACAAAAGGAGGAGAAUGGUGUACUUGAUAAGAAAGAGGAUGAAGCACCUGCGGUUUCGGAAGAAAGUUUGCAAGGUAAAUUAAAUUGUGCUGAGAUAAAUGAAUGUGAGUAUUCUCAAGCUGAGCUACACGUGUCCACUUUUCAUGCUAUAGUAGAGCAACCAUUGGUGGAACCAAUUGUUGAGAUGCCUUUGUCACAAGUUGAUUUACUUGUUGUUCCUUGUGAUAAAGAAGAGUUGUGUGAUAAUGCUUCACUUAUAUCCAUGCCACAACUAGUGAAUGAACAUGCUAUUUCUAGUGUUUCUUUGUGUGCUGAUUUUAAGCAUGUUGUUCACAUUGCAAAUGAAGUAGAGGAACAUGAAUUUCUAUCUUAUUUAAAUACUUUGGGCUAUGUUUGGUUUGAUGAUUUUUGUGAGCUCGAAAAUUUGAAGGAGAAAUUAUUUGCUAAAUUUGAUUUGCCAUGUCCAACUAAUGCUAUUUCUCAUAUCUUUGGCGAAUAUAAUGAUAGAGGAAUAUAUUUGGUGCAUAGAGUUUACAUAUGUUCGGAUUUAGAACCUUCUGUACAUGUGGAUAAAACAUGCAAGCUAGAGAGAAAUGUUAUUGCUAACAAAAUUAUCUCGAGUUUGUCUUGUUUUGAUUGGAAGAAACAGGUUGUUUUAAAUAGACUACGCGAGGAGCACCAUAUGGAAAAACCGAUGACGAUUUUCCAUGAAGAAGGGGAGGAUGAUGUGACCAUGGCUACUACAGAUACAACCAUUGCUCACAUCAUGAAAGAACAAGAUGAUAUCAAAGAUCAAGUCCUCCAAGUGCUGGAAUCAGAUUCGGCUUACAUGUGUGUGAACCCUCGUCCAGGAAUCAGCCGAGGCACACAAUAAAAAAUUGAUAAUAGAGUACAAUUAUUACUCUAAUUAAUAAGCGAAUAAAAUGUCAUUACAGAGGUAGAUAGUUACUCUCAAUCAAUAAAGAUAUAAGCAGCGGAAAAAAAAUAAGAUAAACGGCGCAGACGACUCCACUCCACAGGCAGCUUGACCAGGGCUACACCUAAUCCUCCACACCAUCAGCAUCACUGUAGAACUCCUCCUCUGAUGAAUGAUUGCAAGGUGAGUAUAUGACAUACUCAGGAAGCCACGCAGCAAAUAUGCAAGUGCACAGGAUAACAAAGGAUGGCAUAGUAGGGUUUCAUUUGAAUAAACAACAUUUAAUGAACAUUUCAGAAUUUAAUAAAACAGUUAAGUAAUAAUUAAACAAUAUUAAUCCAACGCUAUACAACAUACCCUGUUGCAUAGGCCCAACCAUUCUGAACAACCAUCCCGGCUGCACAGUUCUAUCUCCAAACCAGGAAUAUGCCAUUCCAAACCAGGGUUGUUUGGGAUCUAUGUGACUUGCCUUGCUGGCCUUGGAACUCUUCAAAUUCUUCUCCUGCGAAAACGGACUCUCCGGAAACGUCGGAAUCUAAACAGAAAGGAGCAAAACACCAAAAAAGCACAUAAACAAGCAUGAACAGUACAUGUGGAUAUUUUUAACAUGUAGAUCUCAAUUUUAGAAAAAUUUAGAAACUUGAACCAACUAAAUCCGAGCUAAGAUGAAUUAGUUAUGAAUUUUUAAAGAUUAAAUCGGAUUAAAACACUUAUAUGAGUAUUAAUUGAAUUAUGAUGCAAUAAUGAAUUAUUUUUGAAAAGGAAAAGGGAAUUAUUGCGUCAGCGGCUAGGGUUCACGGUGAACCGGGUGCACGGCGGCGGCUCACGAAAACGAACGGCCGAGAUCUUUCCAUCCAAAACGAACGGCCGAGAUCGACCGGUCCACAGCCGGACCACGGAAGACGACGACGAUGACGUCAGCGGUGACGUCACCACCGGCGGCGGCUCGGGCGCGCGUCACACCCUAAAAAUCCUAAAUAUAUAAAUUGUUGUUUAAUUGGAAUUAUUAGAAUUUAUUUUAAAAGCCUAGAAGAGAAGAUCUAAUUUGUAAUUAAUAAAUCCCAAUAUAAAAUGGGGCCAGAUAAAAUUUCAUUAAAUACUUUGCUUAACUCUAUAAUUCUUAGAUUUUUCUGGGAUUUAUUUGAGGUAAGGAAGUAUUUUUAAUAAAUGGAAUUGCAUUUAAUGAAUAAUUUAAAUUGGAAAAGGUUUUAAAAGUUCUCUUUUGGCUUUGGGCCGAAAGUCGGCCCAAAACCCUCUCUCUCUCCUCCUCGGCCCAGUCCGCCCGCAGCCGCCCGCGCGCGCGUCCGCCCGCUGACAGGUGGGGCCCACCUGUCAGUCUUCGUCUUCCUCGCGCCGCUGCCGCCGCCCGAGCCCUAGCGCCGCGCCGCCGUCGUCUCCUUCCAAAUCUAGCCGCCCCUUUUCGUUUCCGGUGAAAUUAAUAGAGGGGAAAUGAUCCCCGGGAUCACCUCUAUCUUUUCUCUUAUGGAAUCGUCAACUAAUUUCGUUUGGAAAUCCGUGGAUUCAAGUUCGAUUCGGAUCGAUCUCUCUCCUCCGAACCCUAGACUUUCCUUCGCCGUCGCCGGUCGCCGUGGGCCUUCGCCGCCGCCUUCCAACCCCUAUAUAAGGACCCCCAAGCCCGCUGCUACCCGUCGCCACCCUUGCCUUCGUCUCUCGUCGUCCGUAGCGCCCUAGCCCCGUGAGACCUCGCGCCGCCGUCGUCGCCGCCGCUCCAGCCGUGCGCCGCUGUCGCUCGGGGAGGUCGCCAUCAUGGUCGCCGUCGCGUCGCCGUCCUCGUCCGCCACUCCGCCGUCGCUGUCGACCGCCGGAACACCGCCGUCGUCGUCAAGCCGAAGGUCGCCGCCGCUUCUUCCUCGACGCCGUCGCCGUCCGUUGAUCUUCCGCCGUUGUUUUGGUCACCGGUGAGUUCGCCGCGUCGCCCUCUACGUGUUCGUUCCCUCCGUUCGCGCUGUCGUGCCGUCGUUCACCGGCGGGCAUGCGCGCCCGAGCCGCCGCCGAUAGUGACGUCGUCGCUGACGUCAUCGUCGUCGUCCAUCAGUGAGCCGCGGUGGAUCCGAUCGAUCUUGGCCGUCCGUUUUGGAUAGGAUCGAUCUCGGCCGUUCGUUUCCGUGAGCUGUCGCCGUGCACCCGGUCCACCGCGAACUCUAGCCGCUGAUGGAAUAAUUCCCUUUUCCUUUUCAAAAAUAAUUCAUUAUUGCGUCAUAAUUCAAUUAAAACCCAUAUAAAUGAUUUAAUCUGAUUUAAUCUUUGAAAAUUCAUAAGUAAUUCAUCUUAGCUCGGAUUUAGUUGGUUCAAGUCUCUAAAUUUUUCUAAAAUUGAGAUCUACAUGUUAAAAAUAUCCACAUGUAUUGUUCAUGCUUGUUUGUGUGCUGUUUUGGUGAUUUUGCUCAUUUCUAUUUAGAUUCCGACGUUUCCGGAGAGUCCGUUUUUGCAGGAGAAGAAUUUGAAGAGUUCCAAGGCCAGCAAGGCAAGUCACAUAGAUCCCAAACAACCCUUUGAGCAUGUUGAUCCCGUUUAAAGCUCUUGUUUCUAUUCAACUAUUGCAUUUAUUUUCGAAUGUCAUUGGGUGGAAUUAACCUAUUGUUUGUUAUAGCCCUUUUGUUCUUGAUUACUUUAUUCCUUGAUACCUUGGGUUAUUAUAACUUGACUAGUUGGGCUAUAUAUAUUGGUUCAGCUAAAUAUUAGAUAUGAUUGCUUAGCCAUGCUUAGAAACAUUAGCACACUAUUGGGAUAACUUAUGACUCACUAUUAUUUAAUUAUGGCUUAAUGAUAGUUCACGAUGGUCAAUCGUGAUUGGUUAAUUAAUUACUUGCCAACUAAAACUUGAUAAUGGUGGGUUGUGAGCACAUGGUUCUGAUGGUCGUGCUCAUGACAAUUAAGGACCGGUUCACGAGUUUCGGUUGUGAAACAUUAACCGUGCCAACCACAAGCCAGCGUGGGCAACGGCUUUACCUUUUGUAUAGCAUGGUUCAUUGCGGAGCACCAGACUAAGAAGUGGCGGAGAUAAGCCCACGAGGGUCGCUGGGGAGUCCAUGCCUUGUUUAUAAGGGGGUGAUUAUGAUCCAGGAACGGUGCGCGGUGGUGGAUUGUGUUGUGCGAGGGGUACUGUCACAGCUCCUUUCCGAAGUACCGUGGUGGUAUUGAGGCACAUGGUGACAUGUUGUGGGGCUGUGUCUUGUGGGUACAGUGGUACACCUCUGGCCAGAGUAAAACUAUUCGAAUAGCCGUGCCCGCGGUUAUGGGCGGGUCUAACAAUGUCUUUCGUGAUUAGUCUCACACUUCUCAUCAUAAUAAAAGAUGCUAUAACUGGUAAUAAUUUGAUUAGCUCCUGGUUUGGAAUGGCAUAUUCCUGGUUUGGAGAUAGAACUAUGCAGCCGGGAUGGUUGUUCAGAAUGGUUGGGCCUAUGCAACAGGGUAUGUUAUAUAGCGUUGGAUUAAUAUUGUUUAAUUAUUACUUAACUGUUUUAUUAAUUCUGAAAUGUUCAUUAAAUGCUGUUUAUGCAAAUGAAACCCUACUAUGCCAUCCUUUGUUAUCCUGUGCACUUGCAUAUUUGCUGCGUGGCUUCCUGAGUAUGUCAUAUACUCACCUUGCAAUCAUUCAUCAGAGGAGGAGUUCUACAGUGAUGCUGAUGGUGUGGAGGAUUAGGUGUAGCCCUGGUCAAGCUGCCUGUGGAGUGGAGUCGUCUGCGCCGUUUAUCUUAUUUUUUUUCCGCUGCUUAGAUCUUUAUUGAUUGAGAGGAACUAUUUACCUCUGUAAUGACAUUUUAUUCGCUUAUUAAUUAGAGUAAUAAUUGUACUCUAUUAUCAAUUUGUUAUUGUGUGCCUCGGCUGAUUCCUGGACGAGGGUUCACACACAUGUAAGCGUUUGGAAUUUUGGAUAGAAAUUCCGGGCGUGACAGCGCGCAAACUCGCUGGCGAACGACGGCGCGACGACGCGAACGGAGGACACCAACACGUAGAGGGCGACGCGGCGAACUCACCGGUGACCAAAACAACGGCGGAAGAUCAACGAACGGCGAUGGCGUCGAGGAAGAAACGGCGGCAACCUUCGGCUUGACGACGACGGCGGUGCUCUGGCGAUCUACGGCGACGGCGGAGGGGUGGACGAGAUCGGCGACGGCUUGGUGACCACGACGGCGACCUCCCCGAGCAGCGACGACGACUGGACCGACGGCGGCGCACGGCUGGAGGUGCGGCGGCGACGGCGGCGCUAGGCUACACGAUGCUAGGGCUCUACCGGCGACGAGAGGCGAAGGCGAGGGUGGCGGUGGGUAGCGGCGGGCUUGGGGGUCCUUUUAUAGGAGCAAGGAGGCGGCGGCGAAGGCCCACGGCGACCGGCGACACGAAGGAAAGUCUAGGGUUCGGAGGAGAGAGAUCGAUCCGACUCGAACUCGAAUCCACGGAUUUCCAAACGAUUUUAGCCGACGAUUCCAAAAGAGAAAAGGUAGAGGAGAUCCCGAAGAUCAUUUCCCCUCUAUUGAUUUCACCGGAGAAGGAAAGGCGCGAGCGAAUUUGGAAGGAGACGGUGGCGCGGCUCGGCUAGGGUUCGGGCGGCGGCAGCGGCGCGAGGAAGACGAAGACUGACAGGUGGGCCCCACCUGUCAGCGGGCGGACGCGCGCGCGGGCGGCUGCUGCCGGACUGGGCCGACUGGGCCGAGAGAGAGAGAGAGAGGGUUUUGGGCCAACUUUCGGCCCAAAGCCAAAAGAAGACUUUUAAAAACCUUUUUCAAUUUAAAUUAUUCAUGAAAUACAAUCCCAUUUAUUAAAAAUACUUCCUUAGCUCAAAUAAAUCCCAGAAAAAUCUAGGAAUUAUAGAAUUAAGCAAAGUAUUUAAUGAAAUUUUAUCUGGCCCCAUUUUAUAUUGGAAUUUAUUAAUUAAAAUUAGAUCUUCUCUUCUAGGCUUUUUAAAAUAAAUUCUAAUAAUUCCAAUUAAACAACAAUUUAUAUAUUUAGGAUUUUUAGGGUGUGACAAACCUACCCCCCUUAAACAGAAUCUCGUCCUCGAGAUUCGGAAGAACUGGUGAAUAGAUGCGGAUGAGCUGACUUUAAUUCAUCUUCUCGUUCCCAAGUUGAUUCUUCUUCCGAGUGAUUACUCCACUGAACUUUACAAAAACGGAUAACUCGAUUCCUGGUUCUUCUCUCAUCGGUUUCCAAGAUACGGAUUGGUUUCUCAACAUAUGUCAGAUCCUCUUGGAUUUCUAUCUGUUCAAGACUAGCUUCCUCAGUGGGUACCCUUAAACACAUUUUCAACUGUGACACAUGGAACACAUCAUGGACUCCUGCCAAAGAUUGAGGUAACUCCAACUGAUAAGCGACCUCUCCUCUUCUACUGACAAUCUUGUAAGGUCCCACAAAACGCGGUCCCAAUUUUCCUUUAGUGUGGAAGCGAUGAACUCCUCGAAGAGGCGUGACACGAAGGUACACAUAAUCUCCUUCUUCAAAACUCAAAUCUCUACGACGAUUGUCGGCAUAACUCUUAUGACGAGACUGGGCCACACGCAAUCUUUCUUGAAUGAUUUUCACCUUUUCUUCUGCUUCCCUCAGGAUAUCCGUCCCAAAAACCUGACGUUCCCCCAUUUGAUCCCACAAAAGCGGAGUGCGGCACUUCCGACCAUACAGUGCUUCGUAAGGAGCCAUAUGAAGACUAGCUUGAUAACUGUUGUUGUAUGAGAAUUCCGCAUAAGGUAGAUUCUUAUCCCAACUUCCACCAAAGUCUAAAGCACAAGCUCUCAACAUGUCUUCCAAAAUCUGAUUUACCCUUUCGGUUUGUCCAUCUGUCUGCGGAUGAUAAGCAGUACUAAAGUUCAGCUUAGAACCCAUCUCUUCCUGAAGCUUCUUCCAAAACUUUGAAGUAAACUGACUACCUCGAUCAGACACUAUUUUCUUAGGGACGCCAUGCAAACACACAAUCAUUGCCAUAUACAAUUCCGCCAACCGACUUCCAGAAUAUGUUGUCUUUACUGGGAUGAAAUGAGCCACUUUGGUAAGUCUGUCGACUAUCACCCAAAUAGAGUCAUGGCCUGAUAACGUUCUGGGUAGGCCAGUGAUGAAAUCCAUGUCGAUCUCCUCCCACUUCCAUUCAGGAAUCUUCAAAGGCUGCAGCAAACCUGCGGGUUUCUGAUGUUCUGCCUUGACUCGCUGACAAACAUCACAUACUGCUACGUAUUCUGCGAUUUCACGCUUCAUACUUGCCCACCAAAAUUUUUCCUUGAGAUCCUGGUACAUCUUGGUACUACCAGGGUGAAUGGAGUAUAAAGUAUCAUGAGCUUCUUUCAGAAUUGUAUUUUUUAAAUCUUUGUUGUCUGGGACGCAGAUUCUCUCACCCAACCAUACAGUUCCUUGCUCAUCUUCCAAGAAACCGAUAGCUUUUCCUCUUCUCAUAUUCUUCUUGAUUUCUUAAAUAUCAGGAUCAUUAAUUUGGGCAUCUCUAACUUGAUCAAUUAGAGUGGGCUUUGCUUCUAAGGCUGCAACGAAACCUCUACUGACAAUUCCCAAAUUUAAUCUUUCAAAUUCCUUACAUAACUCCAAUGGCAACUGUCGUCCUUCCGUAGCAUUGCAAUAGCCUUUCCUGCUAAGAGCAUCUGCUACAACAUUAGCCUUUCCCGGGUGAUAAUGAAUUCCCAUGUCAUAAUCCUUAAUUAAUUCCAACCAUCUCCGUUGUCUCAUGUUUAGAUCUGGCUGAGUAAAGAUGUACUUUAAACUCUUGUGAUCGGUGUACACCUCUGUACGAGUACCGAAAAGAUAAUGACGCCAAAUCUUCAACGCAUGAACCACUGCAGCUAACUCAAGAUCAUGAGUAGGGUAGUUCUUCUCAUGCGGGCGUAACUGACGAGAUGCAUAGGCAACCACCUUCCCAUCUUGCAUCAGAACACAGCCUAACCCAAGCUUGGAUGCAUCACAAUACACUUGAAAACCCUUCUUUGGGUCAGGCAAAAUUAAAAUAGGAGCUGAUAUUAAGCGAUUCUUCAACUCUUGAAAACUCUGCUCACAUUCUUCUGACCACUUGUACUUUACAUCCUUUUAACGUAAUCGUGUCAUGGGCUUAGCAAUCUUGGAAAAAUUCUCUAUAAACCUCCGAUAAUAUCCUGCGAGGCCUAGGAAACUACAAAUCUCUGAAACUGUCUUUGGUUGUUUCCAGUUGGUUACGGAUUCCACAUUACUAGGAUCAACGGCAACUCCUCCAGCUGAGAUGACGUGACCAAGGAACUUCACUUCAGACAUCCAAAAUUCACACUUGCUAAACUUGGCAUACAAUUGAUGCUCUCGUAGCUUCUCCAAUGCAAGGCGAAGGUGUUCUUCAUGCUCUUCUUUGGUUCGGGAGUAGAUAAGAAUGUCAUCAAUAAAGACUACCACGAACUUGUCUAGGUAUUCCAUAAACACCUUAUUCAUCAAGUUCAUGAAGAAAGCGGGGCAUUGGUAAGUCCGAAAAGACAUAACAGUACAUUCAAACAACCCAUACCUAGUGGUGAAAGCCGUCUUAGGUAUGUCUUCCUCUUUAAUCCUCAACUGGUGAUACCCUGAUUGAAGAUCGAUCUUGGAGAAAACAGUGGCACCUUUAAGCUGAUCAAACAAAUCAUCAAUUCUGGGUAGCGGGUACUUAUUCUUGAUAGUCACAUCAUUUAGUGCACGAUAGUCCACACACAUCCUCUGGGUAUGAUCUUUCUUUUCCACAAAAAUAACUGGAGCUCUCCAUGGAGAUGAACUCGGUCUGAUGUAUCCUUUCUGAAGCAAAUCAUCUACUUGCCUCUUGACUUCUGCUAAUUCAUUGGCUGCCAUUCUAUAAGGUCUCUUAUGGAUCGGAGUUGUUCCUGGUACCAAAUCUAUUCUGAACUCUAUGUCCCUUUUAGGCGGCAUACCAGGUAAAUCAUCCGGGAACACAUUGGGAUACUCCCGGACUAUAGGAAUCUCUUCCAAAGUCAUUUGGUUCAGACUUGACCUUAAAGACUCAGAAGACAAUGCAUGAACAGUUACAACUCGACCAUCAUUGCUGGUGAGAGUUACUUUUCUGUUGGCACAGUCUAUCUUUAUACCUGGCUAACCAGUCCAUCCCUAGGAUGACAUCAAGGUCUUUGGAUUCUAACAGGAUAAGAUUGGCUAGAAAUGGUACUUCUUGAAUUUCUAUUCUGACAGAGGGGCUACGUUGCAAAGAGAGUGCUUGAUUACUUGGGGUACUAACCAUCAAAGGACGUCUAAGAUCUUCUACUUCCAUCCCAUGAUUUCCCGCAAAACUCAUAGAUAAAAAUGAAUGUGUAGCACCAGAAUCGAAAAGCACUGUUGCAGGAACUGAGUUAACAAGGAACGUACCCAAAAUCACAUCUGGAGCACCUUGAGCUUCUGCAGCAGUAACAUGAUUGACACGAGCCUUUGAUGCUGAUGCGGUAGAGUUGCUCUGGGCAGGGACAACCUUCACGCGUCGGGGCUUCGGACACUUGUCAGCGUAAUAUCCUGGGUCUCCACAGUUGAAGCACGCCCUGGGCUUGCUGCCUUGCUCCCUCUUGGCAGGCUGUUGCUGUGUUGGAGCUGCAACAGGGCGUGGAGCUUGAUUGCGGAUGUUGUUGCCAGCAUUGUUGUUGAAGAACUGACGCUGCGGACGAACAACAGACGAAGAACCUCCCUGUGGCAUGGACUGGGGUCCUAAAGUAAGACGCGGCCUUUGACUAUUCCCCUGUUGUGCCUUGAAGUGAGCAAUCCGGCGUUUCUUCUGCUCCAUGCGGUUGUACUUGUCCUCCUGGCGAAUAGCCUUAUCCACUAACUUCUGGAAAUCAUGAUAAUCCCCAGUCAUGAGUGGGUAAGAAAGCUCAUCAUUAAGUCCUUCCAAGAACCUCUCCUGGCGCUCUUCAUCAGUGCGCACAUCUUCUGGAGCAUAACGAGCCAGACGGUUGAACUCGUGCAGAUACUCGGUGACCGUGCGAGAUCCUUGGGUGAGCGACCUGAAUUCCUUCUUCUUGAGAGACACCACUCCCGAUGGUAUAUGCGUCUUCCGGAAAGCAGCGGUGAAUUCAAGCCAAGUGAUAGGUUCAGCAGUAGUCCUGUUAAGGCGGAAGUGAUCCCACCACUCAGAGGCAGGGCCAUGCAGCUGGUGUGAUGCAAAUGAGACCUUCUCCUGAUCAGUGCACUGAAGCAAAUCCAACUUCUUCUCUAUGGCAUGCAGCCAAUCGCCAGCUUCAACAGGAUUAGUGGUGCUAGAGAAAGUGGGCGGCCUCACACGAAGAAAUUCUGCUAACUUGUUCUGGGGAGGUGCAUGGUUAUUUCCCUGGUUCUGCUGGUUCUGGAGUUGCUGCAUCAUCAUGUUCAUAAGCUGUGCCUGUUGAGCCAGGACUUGGGCAAGUGUGGGAUUCUCUCCAUUGUUGUUGUUGUUAUUGUUGAUGUUGGGGCCAUUCCCGUUGCUGCGAGUGAGCACCAUCUGGCAUGGGCAGGAUCACAAGAAGAGAAACCGUGGAAAACUACUUAGGACAGAGAAUUAACUUUUCUACUAACUUAACUUUUAUUGAUCUUAACUGAGUUUCAUUAUUACAGAACUGAAGACUCUCACACCACUAAACUCACCAACUACCUAACACUCGAAAGCAAACAAACGCAUGCACUUACAUCCCACCACUGAUGUAAACCACAUGCAGGACCCACACACACAACCAAACUUAAAACAAGCAAACGAACACAACGAUCUAGGACAACGGCUUGACAAGGCACUCUAGGUCUUCCGGGCAUCGGAGUUGAUUGAAGGCUCGUUCGGCUCGUCUCAAUCAUCUUGAGUAGCUCCCCACUCGACCUUUGAAUGGGUGCGCUUCGAUUCUUCUCCUUCAUCAUCACUUACAUUGACGACCGGAGGAUCCGCUAGGGCUGGGGUAACUUCUUUCUCCACCACACGGACCUUUGGUGCCAAUUGGUAGCGAGGGACGAAUAGAGCUCUCUUCGUUGCGGUAAGACGAAUCCUGGCCUUCUGCGGUGGUGCUUCUCCCAUCAACGCGGCUAGUUCCUUCUCCAAACGAUCCACCUUGUCCUCUAACCUGCAAAUCUUACCACGAUUCCGAUCGUCACGAUCUUGAGCUGCUAGCACAACCUCCGCGCGGGUUUCAUCCAUAGCCCACAGCAUCUCAACCAAAUGCCUUAUGGUAGCAUCAUUCUCAAUCCCCUCAGUCUCAAGAUAGCUGCCACGGUCACUUCCCUGGGGUUGGCGAGGAUGGUAGCGAUACUCAGUGUCGGCCAACUAAUCACUGUAGCGAUCGCGGAGCUCUCCUAUGGCGAUCCUUGCCACCUCCUGACAUGCAUGGAUGUAGUUUCCUCCUCCAGCUUCGAACAUCACUGAUGGGAUAUCUUCUCUAUUACUGUUCAAGGUGACUUUGACUCGGCACUUCUCUUCUUGACGAUCAUGAGGAAUCUGGGCAUACAAAGGGGCAGUCCCAAAUCCUAUGGCAAAGGACAUCGUGCGCAACUCCUAGACAAAUCCCUCAACACCAUACAAGUACUCAGGCUUGUAGCGCGGCAUCUAAAGACAAGUGAAAGGAGGAAGUUAAGACAUUUAUCCAAUUAAUAGCACAAGUUUUUGGAUUAAUUUGAAUAAAGUUAGAAAAUCAAAGUAAAAGGUAAGUAAAUAAAGUAAACCAAGCUUGCAAGAUACGUUGAAACAGUUGGAAACAAGAUCACAAAUUUUGCACUUUUGAACAACAGGUUCCAAAAGAAAUAAAAGAAAGUUAUAAAAUCAACAUGCGAAAUUUAUUUUAUUGCAGCAAAAUAAAACAAUGUUAUAAACAUUUGCUAGUAAAUGAGCCAUUAGUACAGUAAUAGAUGUAUAGUACUAACAACACUGGAAUAAAUUUUGAAUGAGAACCACUAAAAGAGAUUAUGAAGUGCAUGUGCCAUUAGUUUGGUUUAAUUAAAAGAGAAAGGGAGGAGAACAGUUCUACUUUUUCAAUAUUUUUAGAGGGCUUCUAUGGGUGACCAUUUGGCAUAACCUAGGGUCAAGGAGGCUCUGAUACCAACUUGUCACGCCCGGAAUUUCUAUCCAAAAUUCCAAACGCUUACAUGUGUGUGAACCCUCGUCCAGAAAUCAGCCGAGGCACACAAUAACAAAUUGAUAAUAGAGUAUAAUUAUUACUCUAAUUAAUAAGCGAAUAAAAUGUCAUUACAGAGGUAGAUAGUUCCUCUCAAUCAAUAAAGAUCUAAGCAGCGGAAAAAAAAGAUAAACGGCGCAGACGACUCCACUCCACAGGCAGCUUGACCAGGGCUACACCUAAUCCUCCACACCAUCAGCAUCACUGUAGAACUCCUCCUCUGAUGAAUGAUUGCAAGGUGAGUAUAUGAGAUACUCAGCAAGCCACGCAGCAAAUAUGCAAGUGCACAGGAUAACAAAGGAUGGCAUAGUAGGGUUUCAUUUGCAUAAACAGCAUUUAAUGAACAUUUCAGAAUUUAAUAAAAUAGUUAAGUAAUAAUUAAACAAUAUUAAUCCAACGCUAUACAACAUACCUUGUUGCAUAGGCCCAACCAUUCUGAACAACCAUCCCGGCUGCACAGUUCUAUCUCCAAACCAGGAAUAUGCCAUUCCAAACCAGGAGCUAAUCAAAUUAUUACCAGUUAUAGCAUCUUUUAUUAUGAUGAGAAGUGUGAGACUAAUCACGAAAGACAUUGUUAGACCCGCCCAUAACCGCGGGCACGGCUAUUCGAAUAGUUUUACUCUGGCCAGAGGUGUACCACUGUACCCACAAGACACAGCCCCACAACAUGUCACCAUGUGCCUUCAUACCACCACGGUACCUCGGAAAGGAGCUGUGACAGUACCCCUUGCACAACACAAUCCACCACAGCGCACCUUUCCUGGAUCAUAAUCACCCCCUUAUAAACAAGGCAUGGACUCCCCAGCGACCCCCGUGGGCUUAUCUUCGCCACUUCUCAGUCUGGUGCUCCGCAAUGAACCAUGCUAUACAAAAGGUAAAGCCGUUGCCCACGCUGGCUUGUGGUUGGCACGGUUAAUGUUUCACAACCGAAACUCGUGAACCGGUCCUUAAUUGUUAUGAGCACGACUCCCAAAACCAUGUGCUCACAACCCACCAUUAUCAAGUUUUAGUUGGCAAGUAAUUAAUUCACCAAUCACGAUUGACCAUCGUGAGCUAUCAUUAAGCCAUCAUUAAGUAAUAGUGAAUCAUAAGUAAUCCCAAUAGUGUGCUAAUGUUUCUAAGCAUGGCUAAGCAAUCAUAUCUAAUAUCUUGCUGAACCAAUAUAUAAAGCCCAACUAGCCAAGUUAUAAUAACCCAAGGUAUCUGUGUGACUUGCCUUGCUAGCCUUGGAACUCUUCAAAUUCUUCUCCUGCGAAAACGGACUCUCCGGAAACGUCGGAAUCUAAACAGAAAGGAGCAAAACACCAAAACAGCACAUAAACAAGCAUGAACAGUACAUGUGGAUAUUUUUAACAUGUAGAUCUCAAUUUUAGAAAUAUUUAGAGACUUGAACCAACUAAAUCCAAGCUAAGAUGAAUUAGUUAUGAAUUUUUAAAGAUUAAAUCGGAUUAAAACACUUAUAUGGGUAUUAAUUGAAUUAUGACGCAAUAAUGAAUUAUUUUUGAAAAGGAAAAGGGAAUUAUUGCAUCAGCGGCUAGGGUUCGCGGUGAACCGGGUGCACGGCGGCGGCUGACGAAAACGAACAGCCGAGAUCUUUCCAUCCAAAACGAACGGCCGAGAUCGACCGAUCCACAGCCGGACCACGGAAGACGACGACGAUGACGUCACCACCGGCGGUGGCUCGGGCGCGCAAACUCGCCAGCGAACGACGGCGCGACGACGCGAACGGAGGACACCAACACGUAGAGGGCGAUGCGGCGAACUCACCGGUGACCAAAACAACGGCGGAAGAUCAACGGACGGCGACGGCGUCGAGGAAGAAACGGCGGCAACCUUCGGCUUGACGACGACGGCGGUGCUCCGGCGACCUACGGCGAUGGCGGAGGGGUGGACGAGAUCGGCGACGGCUUGGUGACCACGACGGCGACCUCCCCGAGCAACGACGACGACCGGACCGACGGCGGCGCACGGCUGAAGCUGCGGCGGCGACGGCGGCGCUAGGCUACACUAUGCUAGGGCUCUACCGGCGACGAGAGGCGAAGGCGAGGGUGGCGGCGGGUAGCGGCAGGCUUGGGGGUCCUUUUAUAGGAGCAAGGAGGCGGCGGCGAAGGCCCACGGCGACCGGCGACACGAAGGAAAGUCUAGGGUUCGGAGGAGAGAGAUCGAUCUGACUCGAACUCGAAUCCACGGAUUUCCAAACGAUUUUAGCCGACGAUUCCAAAAGAGAAAUGGUAGAGGAGAUCCCGAAGAUCAUUUCCCCUCUAUUGAUUUCACCGGAGAAGGAAAGGCGCGAGCGAAUUUGGAAGGAGACGGCGGCGCGGCUCGGCUAGGGUUCGGGCGGCGGCAGCGACGCGAGGAAGACGAAGACUGACAGGUGGGCCCCACCUGUCAGCGGGCGGACGCGCGCGCGAGCGGCUGCUGCCGAACUAGGCCGACUGGGCCGAGAGAGAGAGAGAGAGGGUUUUGGGCCGACUUUCGGCCCAAAGCCACAAGAAGACUUUUAAAAUCCUUUUUCAAUUUAAAUUAUUCAUGAAAUGCAAUCCCAUUUAUUAAAAAUACUUCCUUAGCUCGAAUAAAUCCCAAAAAAAUCUAGGAAUUAUAGAAUUAAGCAAAGUAUUUAAUGAAAUUUUAUCUGGCCCCAUUUUAUAUUGGAAUUUAUUAAUUAAAAUUAGAUCUUCUCUUCUAGGCUUUUUAAAAUAAAUUCUAAUAAUUCCAAUUAAACAACAAUUUAUAUAUUUAGGAUUUUUAGGGUGUGACAGCCACCUGCUACAUUGCUGACUUCAAACGGCCGCCAAAUCUGCAUACGACCUCCGUUUUUGGCCCAUGAGUAUUUGAUGGAAACCUCUCGGAGUCCUCUUUCCAUCGGAUUUGGCCUCACCACCAAAUUCCAUCCAAGUCAUCCGCAGAUGAAAAAACAAGGUACUACGUCACCUGUCAUGGGCCUAUGGGCUUGUAACUUUGUUUGGAACCCCGGCCCAAGUGGGGCCCAUGUGGGGUGCGCCCCAACCAGGUGGAGGACGACCUAGGGUCCUCCCACCUCCUUAAAUAGUUAGGUACCCCUUGAGGGUUUCUCGGGUUUUGUUAGAUUAAAGUUUAGCCUUUGUUACUUGCUUGCAGCGCGCGUGUCGGCUAGACCAUCCGUCUGCUUGUUCUUCGGAACCCCAACUUAUCUUGUGUAUUCAUUCCUAUUUGCAAUAUCAGAUUGCUUUUAUCUUGUUCUUGCUUGUUUCUUUGAUUUGCUUGCAGGAAUAGGGUUGAUUUGCACCGGCGAGAUCAACAACCCAUGGAGAGGUGUAUCGAUCGCUAAGGCGCAACACAACAACGUCUUGUACGGUUGUAGUCGGGUCGUCAACGUUUCUCCCAAAUCAUAGUUAUCUCAACUCACCGAAAGAUCGGGCCAAACAACAGUCUUGAGUGUCGAGUGGAACUCAGGGUUCAUCAGAUGACCUGAUAUGCUAUUUGGUGCCUUUUAAGAACAAGUGCAGCUUCUUCUCUAGGAAGAAGAAUGAUGAGUAUGUGCCACAGUGCCAGUUAAUUUACUUCCAAUCAUCCUUUUUUUUAAAAAAAAAAUAAACGUGGCAUAAUCAUUAGUGCUAAGGCACGCUUUAUGUUGGCUGACAAGCUUACAACUAUAUGAUAUCUAUGUGCAAAUGUGUGAUAUGUAAAUCGACUUAUAAAAGCCGACAGAAAUUGAUAAGAUUGCCCUGCAGCCACUGUUACCAUGCGGAUUGCAUAACUCGCUGGCUUAAGAUCAACAAGGUAAAUUAUACUUCUUUAUAUUUGAUGUUGUACCUCCAAAAUGCAAAAGAAGUUUCUGUAUUCUGUGUAUAGAUACUAAAUGCAUAUAUGCGAACAAGAGUACCUGUAACGUCUGAAUAUUACUCAAGAAAUUCGAUACAUAGAAUGUGAUACAUUGUCUGAACUUUGUCUGACGGGCUGAAUGUUGAUUGCUUUGUAUACAAACUUGUCUUGUCUGGUAUAGGAAGAUUAUCCUUCUGGAUCUGAUUUUAUGUUUCUUUUCUUUCAGGCAUGCCCAGUCUGCAAUGAGGAGGUAUUUGGGUGAAUCACAAAUCCAAAAAUUCUAAAUAGGCCUAACAUGUCCAUCGAAUGGAAUAUCGGAGUAUUUUUCUCAUGAAUUUCAUAAGGUAUGUUGUAUCCCUCUUUGGUUCAAAUUCAUUCAAUAUUAUAUUUCAGUGAGUAGUGACGAAGUAACAAUGAAACAAAGUUCUAAGAACUUAGGAAUCUGUUUGUGCCAAGAAAACUUUUUAGCCUUGUAGCCAAAUUAUUUUGUGAUGCACACAUAAUUGCCUACAUUUUCUCUUAAAUGCCACUUUUCAUGAAUAAGGACAUGAUUUUAAAGGUAGAUUACUCUGUUGGUUGUACAAUUUAUUCUAUUAAUUGCUAAAAGAAAAAAAAGACUAUGCUGCUAUAUUUCCCUUGAAAAUAUUGUUGUAGUGGGAUUCUCCUACACUUCUAAGCAUACAUCAUGAAAAGAGAGAUAGUGCCAAGUGAGCAAUGAGUUCUUUUUAGGAGAAAUUAGCAAGUUAAUCUGUUCUCUAACUUUACAAUGCAAUAAUGCAGAUGGCAGAUGUUGAACUCUUUAUGUUAUAUUUCAGGUAGAGAAGAAAAAUGUUGUCCUGAAAUUAGAAAGCGAUAGAUUGAUUAUGUUUGACCAUUCUACUCAUUUAGCCAAGCUUCUAUUACCUUUUGUUACAGCUGUCGAAAGGGGCUUGCUUAAGAAGCAAUAUUAACCAUGAUGGCAUUUGCAAUAGAGAGAAAUUUGGAAUUCACACUUUCAGAGCAAAAAUUAUUCUCCUGUGACCUCUCACCUAUCACAAGAACCCCAACCACUGGAUGAAGCGGGCAUAGUACAUGUAUAUGCAAUAGUAGCACCCAUUAAGAAUAGGUAUGUUCCAGUGUCUCUCGUGUUGCUUUAUUGUGUCGUUAACUCCAUCUUGGUAAAUGAUAAUCUCUGCUACUGUUGAUGUUUUGCACUAAAAUUUUCUCUUUCAUGUCAAUUUCCAUUACAGUAAUACUCAUUGUCAUCUAGACACACCAAUUGAUAGAUAUCUAGGAUGGGGAUUAAAUAGGCCUAACAAAAAAAUACAGCUUGACAUUUACCACUCAAAAUUUACUCCAAACCAAAUAAUAUAGAACAACAGUGUGCAUGAAGUACUACAUUGCAUCAUGUAAAUGACAAACCAGCAAAUGAAAUGUUUAUCAUAAUGUUGGUGAGUAGAAAUGUGUCAUGGUACUUGCAUUGUUGACCAAAAUGUGUAGUUGAUAUGUGCCUGCAUCAUACAGAUAAUAAUAUGACCUCUGAAACAGAAGGAUAGAACCCUCUUGCACAUAGGAAUUGUUAUAUCAAGAUGGACCCUUUUUUGGCGGGGAAAGAUGGACCUUAUUAACUGAUAUGAGUAAAGUAAGCUACUGAAACACAUGAAUAUAGCAAAAUCACAACUCCAACAAUCUAAAACCGAUUUGGACUGGAAAGAAAGAAUGAAAUAACGGUACAAAAUUCAAUUUCCACGAGAAAGAGAAUAUGAAACAUUAAUUUAUUUACAUGAUCAAGCUGAGGCAGGGCUAUCUCUAUUCUCUAUGAUCAGUCGCCCACCACUGUUGUUAUUGGCAAUAAACAGAAAUAUGUGGUUGUGCACAACUCACAGUGCUGCCCUCUCCCUGAUGAAGCUACAAACCAUUAAUUUCCCAUAAAAUGCAUAUACUACACAUGCCUUCGUUGAAAAUGUACAUAACAUUCAUAGAAAAUAAGACAACAUAAAUAACACCAGGCCAAAAAGAUACAAUUAGCAAACUAAAUUCGUGUUCACUUUUAUAGUUACUUGUUUUAUUGUAUAGCUACAUAAAGAAUAAAUCAAUUAUUUACAAAUUGCAACUUGUAUGAGCGAACCACUUAUGCAUGUUAACAGAAUUGCAUGUAUAAAGUAUUAAAAACUGCCUGAUAAAAUGAGAAUUAGUGAAUAAUUAAUUUGCCCUCGUAAGAACCACUUAUGCAUAUAGCAAACCAUAUUCAAUUAUCUCAGGGUCAAAAACACAUUUUCUGAAUGCUUUUAAUUUUUGUUCAGUGUACUAUGAGCUGAGUAAUGUAGUAGUAGUUUAGGUUUUAAGAUUGUUGCAUUUCUCAAGGAUCAAUUGGAUUUGCUUGAUUGGAUUCCCGUAAGUACAAUUGAUCAGACUAGAUAUGCAAAAUUGAUAAGAGGGAAAUUCAUCUAAACCUUUUGUAAACCUUUUGGCGUGGGAACUGGGAACUAACUUAUUCUUUUAGGUAGAUACUGCUUUUUUAGCCAGGAUUCAAAUCUGGCUAAGAAACAUGGUUGGUGAUAGGUUACAAACAUGUUGUGUCAGAGGCAUGUUGUGCGUGUUAUGUUAAUCAGUACUAGCUUCUUACAUGCAUUUCAGUGUUCAGUUGAGUGUUUAGUUGCAGAGAACACUCUAUUUGGUUCAAAUUAAAUAGAAUGUUACAGUGUCUGUCCAGUAGUAAAAAUACAUUCCUGUUUUUUCAAGGAGAAAGUAAAAGAACUUUUAAUCAUGCUCAGAGACCGAGGGAUAGUCAUGCACAAAAAUUAGUUUUAGUUAGAACUAUGUGAUUCCAGACUUACCAUAUUCAUGCAUGACUUUUAAGAGAUUGUAGCUGUUUGCAUAAGAUAUUUGUGAUGCUUCUGGAUGAAUUUCAUAAUUGCUCCUUAUAUGAAAACAAUGAUUUACAACCAGUGGAGCAAACUACUCAGGAGAAACUAACUAGCUAGGGGAUGAAAACAAUGAUUUACAACCAGUGGAGCAAACUACUCAAGAGAAACUAACUAGGGGAUGUCCUUCGCAGGUUAUUCAAAAAGCUAUCUGUGGAAAUUGUACUAAUAUUUUGCUGACCAUAGGGGAUAUUCUUCGCAAGCUAUUCAAGAAGCUAUCUGUGGAAAAUAUACUAAUAUUUUGCUGACAAGUAGCCAUUUUACUUAGUGUUUGGUCAGAGAUACUAGCUAUCCCAGCCCACAUCCCUAAAGGACAUCACUACAAAGUAUAAAUUUGUUGGAAACUUGGAAAUGGUAGGUUCAUAACCAACAGCAUUCUGCUUGUAGGUUUAGCGUCAGUACUUGGGAUUUUGCAUUUAUAUGCUUUUCCUCAAUAGGUUUAGCAUAAUUUAGUGAUCCUUCUUGUGUACCUCACCUUUUAUAUUAGAUGAAAUGCACAUAUUUUUUAUUAGUGUCUAUCAUUCAACCGUGUAAACAACAGAUAAUAAAAAUUAUGUACAGGCGGCGCGCCAUUGGCGCGCCCCAGCAUCUAGUAAGAUUAAAAGAUGGAGGAAUUUUUUUGAAGUUGUCGUUUGUGUAAGCUAAUGGAUAAAGGGAGGAAUAUGGAUUAGACUUUUGUAGGAUUAGACUUUGUUGACUUAGGCUUGGAAUGACCAAUGGGUACAAGAAGGCCCCAAAGCUUGCGCUCCAAUUUGUGCCUUUCAGUGCUUCUCAAAGAUCAAGAUCUAAGCGCUGAAAAUGCCAUCAUCAGCCCAUCACAUUUAUCUCUCAACAGUUUGUGAACGCAGCUCAGCAUGUUUACAGUUCAAUUUGACGGUGUGUUACGGUUUGACAUUUUAGUAGGUUUUCAACUUUGGACUCUGCCUAAGUAUUGCGUGCCAAAAGCUCUGCUGUGGAAAUAGAUUGCAGUAGAGGCUUAAUCUAUGUGAUGGUGAUGCAUGGGCCAAAAUAUCAUAUUGCGAGAGAGGCAAUCCAUUUUGUCACAAGAGUCUCUCUCAAAAGGUCCAGGUUGUCCACAAGAUUACAUUUGACAUGAAUUUAUAUCAGCGAUAAAUUUUAGUGGAGAAGAAAUGCAGAGCAUGUAUGAAGCCUACAUUCUGCCGAUCGAAUUCUAUAACAGGAGAAUUUAUUACUAAAUAACAACCUUAUUUAGAUAGAUACUUCAACAGAUUUAUUGAAGAGGAGGCCAAGUCUUGGAUCGAUGGUCCAAUAUAUUCGUUGACAGUCAGCUUAGAUGCCACUCCCAAGUAGAGCCAUCAGGAAACUCUUGUAGUCACCAGAUGUAUCGUUGCCGAUGGCUUUCUCCAGGGCAACCGAGGCCCUCUUCUGGAACGCGUCCUUGAUGCCCUUGAGGUCCUUCUCCGCGUGCAGCACGAUCACACGGGUCAGGCUGUCCUCGUUAGUCCCUGACUUGUGCAUCGCGUUCCUUAGCACCUGCAUGCAUGCGUACAUACGUGCACAAUUUGCAGACGCGAAAUUCAGUUCAGCUUCAGUUUAUCUAUCUCGAUGCUUCGCUACUACUCCAGCUAGCUAGCUCAUCCUCACCUUCACGAAGUACUUGUUCGCAUCAGAGAUGCACCUUAACGCGGUUCGCAGCGCGUGCGAGUAGCCUGUUGGAUCAGCUCCAUGCUGCAGUGCCUGGUGAUCAAAACGCGGAGCAUGCAGCUGCGUUAACCAUCAGGCAUAUUAUAUAUUUGGACAGAGGAAGCUCAAGUAAACCUUGGUGAUACUAGUGCCGCGCUCAUCUCUGAACCAGCUGAAUGUGGCGUUGAGCUGCGCUCUGCUUCUUGUACCGACUAUCCGAAUGAGUUCGCCGUGAUCUGUGUCACCAUUCGUUACAGUCUCAUGGAGAAUCUUUGCCUCCGAUUUAGCCAAUGCAUCGUUCACCUCGUCCCCGUCGUACCUGUAGGUGCUCACUAGAGCAAGCAGAAGCUGAAGCAGACGAGGAUACGUAGUAGAUUAAUUAGCUCGAAGCAACAGGGACGAUGAAACACAUAACAGAGAUAUUCUGUACUAGCGAGAGUACGCACACUGCGAAGAUUUCCAGUGGCGCGAGCGGCCACGUCUUCUUCUAGGGAGCACUUGUAGAGGACAUGGUAGGUUCGUUUUACCGCUAGAAGCUCCGAGGACGAGUUCGUGCACGCGAUCUCAACGAUGACAGCGUAGUCCUCGUGGAUGCAUUUCGUCGCGGUGUUCACCAUCACGGCCUGCCUCUCAACAGGGUCAAGUACCCAGUGGUACAUCGCUCUCUGCAGUUAAAUAUAGUUAGAAGGGGGAAAGAAGAAUCACAUACUUAACUAGCUUUGGUUUAACUAAUUUGAGUUCUUGUGGUGUGUUUAUGAAGAUUUGCAGCACUCUUACCUCCAAAUCACCAGAAAGUUCAGACUGAAGACGCUGGAUGAGGUUUUCGUUGUAGUUCUCUUCAUAGGUCAGUCUGAUCUGCUUCCUCUGAGUUGCGUCCCGGUGAGCUAAUACGCCUAUUACUGCCUGCUCAUCAGUGCCCCAGCCUGCACCAUAAAAAUAGUUCACUGGAUCAACAAAGUUUUUCCGAUGGAACAAUGCAAAGAGAAAACAGUGCUAGUGUUGAAUAACUUUUCGUUUCUGGAAGGCUGGAACUAAUAACUUGUUCAGUCUUUACAAUCGAGACAAAAAGGGCAUUUAAUUUUUUGCCAUUUUUAAGAUGUGGCAGUUAAGAAUUUAUCACUCGUUGUCUAUAACAUAUGGGUUCUCGUGUAUCUACGACAUGUGGGCACAAUUUGAAGACCCUUUUAUAUGCAAAUAAUGAACUUUUGUCACCAAAUAUUUGAACCUAGUUUUCCAGUAAAUUUCAGUCACAUUUGUACCCGUUUGAUUUUAUAACCUAUGGUGGUAGAUAAUCCAUGUUUUCUGCACAAACUUAUUGAGCAAUUUGAACGGGUUUGGGCUUCUGUUUGUUACCCCCCGAUUUGUGGACUUCUGCGCUAGCUAUGUCGGCCUUAUUUUGUAGCUUUCUGGUAUGGUCUUCCAUCUUAAUAAGUGGGCUUCAUUCGACUUAAGAAAUUUUACGUGUUUUUGGAAGGAAUACCAAGCCUGAACAAAACAAAAUAAGUACCUUCACGAAAACACACUAGGCCAUACACAUGAGGAAAACCAGGUGAUUUCUGUGCUUUGUUGUGGAAAUCGCUAAGUACUAUUUUCGUUUUAAGUUAGACGUUUUGACUUUGGUCAAAGUCAAACUGUUUCAAGUUUGACUAAAUUUAUAAAUAAAUAUAGUAAUAUUUAUAUUACUAAACUAGUUUCAUCAAAUCAAUAAUUGAAUACAUUUUCAUAAAAAAAUUGUCUUGGGUUGAAAAUGUUACUAUUUUUUUCUAAAAACUUGGUGAAACCUAAAGCAGUUUGACUUCAAAAUGUUUUAUAACCUGAAAUGGAGGGAGUAAAUUUUAAUAUAUUUUUUAGAUAAUCGAGUUAGGAGUAAAAAAAAAUGAUACCCACACUUUAAUGUGAAACAUUUUUUUAUUUAUUUUUAAAUAUAUUACAAAAAGAUAGAUCUAUGGAAAUAUUAUGGGUGAUGUCAUGAUGAUUGGAUAUGCUUGCAUGUUAAUUUAUAUAAUUAAAUAUAUUGUAGAUGAUAUUGCAUGCAUACAUGAGAUUAAAUAUAUAAUUAUAGCUAGUGGGUGAUAAUGUGGCAUGGUUUUAUGUUAAGCUUUAGACUUAGCGGGUUGUAAAUUUAUAGAAAUUAUAGAUGAACAAACAAUUACAAAAGAGUAUUACAACUAACAGGGUACAAUAGUUGGUACAAAGAAAUAUGAUAAAUAUUAUUUAAAAAUUUUCUAUACCAUAGAGUAAAAAGUUGCAGUAUGUAUAAUUUACACCGCAAAAUAUAACAAACGUAUAAGCAAUUUGAAUUGAUUAUAUUUCUAUUAAGAGCGUGAUCCAUGUAUUAAAAGAAAACGGCUAUAAUUCAUUUAUCCGGACACAAAAAUCCUUUUGCCUUUGUUAAUUUCCUCAGUAUAAUUGUAACGGGUGAAGAUAUGAACAGCAUUGUACCACUGAUGUAAAUCUGCAAUAUUUAGCUUCUCUAGCAUGUUUGGUUUGUUCGAAAGUCUACAAAUGAAAAAUUUUUGCAAAAAAAAAAAGGUAGCGAAGAAAUUUCAAUUGUAACUGAUGAUAAAUAUCAUGUGCGAUUUGUGAGAUAGAAAAAAUUAGCAUGUUCUAUACUUAAUAGAUGAGAAUACAGGCAGGAUAAAAGAAAUUUGAUUAAGAUUUAACAUCGCAUUGAUUGGGAUGUGAUUACAUGCAAAACUUUAGCUAUAUUCACGAUAAAAAUGAACAAACAACUGAAAAAACAGAACAACUAACAAAGUAAUGGUAGAAACAUUAAGACAACGAAAUAUUACUAAAAAGUUAAAAAAAAUUCAACUGUAUGAUAUACACUGAAAAAAGAAAACAUAAUCUGCGGGAUUAUAUUUUUUUUCACAUUAUAAUAUAUAUAAAUAUAUAAAACCACCCUUUUAACUAUGAUUUUCCUUGAUAAUUACAUUGGUUUAUUUUAAAACUAGGGGAUUGUCCCCGCAGUUUUGCACGGAGCUUGAUAUUUCAUGUAUAGAGUUAGAUUAAUAUGCAACUGAAAUUUUAUCUCUAUAGUUAUCAUAAUGUAAGUAUAUUUGGAUUUUAUAUACAUAUCUUAACUUCUAUUUCAAUAGAUAUAAUUGUAUUUUGUAUACAACUAUAUCAACCAAUCUGUACCGUUGAGAAUUUCUAGAUUGUAGAGCGAACGUGGUGCAUGCUUUUAAGGUUGUCUUUAAUACUACCUAUGUUUUUUAAUAUAUGAUGUCGUUGACUUUUUAAUCAAUGUUUGACCAUUCGUUUUAUUCAAAUUUUUGUGCAAAUAUUAAAAAAAUUUAAAUCAUCCUUAAAAAGCAUUUGAUCAUAAAUCAAGUCAUAAUAAAAUAAAUAAUAUAUGUAUAUAUAUAUUUAAUAAGACGAAUAGUCAAAUGUAUCUCAAAAGGUCAACAGCGUCAUACAUUAAACAACAUGGAGGAUAGAUAGAUUUUAUAAACAUAUGGGAUGUAACAGAUCAAAAUAACAACUGCGGCCGUAUGAAAAAAGAAGAAAAUAAAAAGGAAGAACAUUGUAUCCAAAAGGGCACACUUUGGACCCAACCGCUGUUGCUGUGUUUCCUCGAUUAGCCGGCUUCUAGUUCCUCAAUGUGCACAUCUAGUCCGUGUAAAUGCACUAGUCAGACCACUAUCUAUCAUCUUCUUCCUCCAGCCGAUAGAUCUACCACAACUAGCGGUGCAAACACAAUGGUGUGUUGUGCAGGAACAUGACCUCGGAUUUCUCUAAAGAGACAAAACACAUGCAAAAAAUAUAAUCUAGAUCUACGGAUUUGGGGGUGAAAUUUUUUUUAACGCACAAAUGAAUUGCACGUUAAUAUAUUAGUUGUUUGGGGGGGUGUUGAAAAAUGAGCACCUAAAAUUGCAACAAAAACUAAAUAUCGUCAAAAGGGCCAAGGGCCCCUGGUGAACAACGGGAAGACGUCGUUGGCGAGUCGCGAGCCCAUCUGCAGGAGGAUUAAUGGAGAAACUUGAGAGAUCCAUCGUAGAAAACUACAAAUCGAGCUCCUGGUAUGGAGCCUCUCUUUUCUUCUCGAAAUCAUCCACAUAGGAGUUAGGCGUUAUUCGAUACAGUGAACAACAGUAGCACAGAAACCCACGAAAGAAACUCUAACCAAAUGCAUUACCAUAUUUGACUUAAAAUUUGACUUAAAAUUUGCUACAUUUUAGAUGACUGAAAUCUAGCAAAUACCUUGAACCUAAUGCAUUACCAUAUAGCUAUAAACUAGCUAGAACAACGAGAGAUGGAAUACUACAGAUUAUAACCUUGGAAAGCCUUCAGGAGUGCAUCAGCAUCUUCAGCAGGAGAAGGGGUAACUGGAGGAACUACUAUCGUUGCCAUCACUCACCUUAUUCUUUCUCCAGGUAUAUAUUAUUUGGUUUCGUCGAGCUUUAUGUGGUAUUUAUAGAUUUGUCGUGGCAACGCCUUAUUCAACCACAUGGAAUUUAAUGAGAAUAAGAACCUCCCAUAAAACCUAAUGGCAAUUUAACGUUACUGUACGAACUAUAUAUUUUGCCUGGUUUAACCAUGCAAGUAACGGAAGUUACACUACAGCAUUGUCUUCACUGUUCCCAGAUAGUACAGGUCUUGUUGUGUAGAUAUUAUGGUCUGGCCAGCCGGUACAACACUGAACAAAUUAAGGCAAUUAACACGAAUAAGUAUCAACGAUUUUGCUUUAGAUGUGUGGACACAUGCAUUUCUCUAGAUAUCUUAGUCAAAUUCGCAAUGUUUUUUCCCCACAAAAAAAAAACAACCGCAAGUGUUAUAUAUAAGCUUUUGAGAGAUUUGUACGAUAUAUAGGCCAACUGGAUUUAGCGUUCGGACCCCAUUCAAUUUAUGUAGGCCUGGAUUAAUUAUAGGACAAUUUUGCUAUAUAUUUGUCGAUAAAUUUUCUUCCAAAAAUUUGACGGAUGUAAUUACACUACAAUCGUAGUGUAAUGACACUGCAACUUGUAUGCAAUUACACUGUAACUAUAAUAUAACUUGUAUGUAACUUUCAAAAAUCUCUCCGUAACUUGUUAUUUGGGUAAAAUGAAGGUUGUGGGAACAAAUUCUUUCACAUAUGUGUGUGUUAUGAUUUGUUUUCUUCCUCACCAAAACAAAUCUUGUAAUAGAUCUAACGAUUCAAAAUUACAUAAAACUUACAUAUAAGUUACGCUGUAGUUACAUAGAAGUUACAGUGUAAUUAUAUAUGAGUUACAAUGUAAUUACACUACGAUUGUAUUAUAAUUACAUCUGUCAAAUUUUUAGAAGAAAAUUUGUCGACAAAUAUAUAGGUGGUCCGCUGAAGCUAGUAGUUUGUUGACGCACGGGCCUGUAUAUGCAAAUGGGGUACAUAAAUUGCAUUGUUGGCCUGCUGCCAAUAUGGUUUCAAAUGACACUAGUUAGUUGCCUAUAUAUGCGUUGUAAUGAGAAAAAAAUUAUACACUCUUGUUGCAACAUUAUUUUAGCACACACAAUACUUAUGUCCCAUCUUAAUGGUUUUCACAUGUUAGUAACAUAAACGGCAAAAAAAUUAAUAAAAAUGAAAUAGAACAAUACAUCAUUAUUUCGGGUUAUCAAGUUCGCUUCAUCUCUAAGAGAAAAAGGAAACAGCUUCCACUUUAGAGUUUCAUGUGUCAUGACGAUGGAUAGGCAUGAACACACUAGCUCAAAGUCCCGAAGAUGGAAGUAUAUGUUUUCACCAAUACUCCUGGAGAAGAUUUGCUCUCGAAUCAAGGCAAUAAAGCUAGGACCAAUUUUGUAACCAUCCGAAAGGAUUGGUUUUGAAGAACAUGAUGGCUCACAAAGAUCAACCCGAGGAGCAGAAAGGAAUAAAAGAAGAAGGAAUAAAAAUAAAGAUACGAGGAUGACCUAGACUCGGAUAAAUUAGCAACCGUUCCCCGGCAACGGCGCCAGAAAUGUUUAUUGGUAUUUCUUAUGACCACAGAUAAAUCCACAAGCGCACGGAAUACCGCUGUAGCAUUUCACCUUCGGGUAACCCCAAAAGGGUAUUGAGCUCAGGGAACGUGUGUAAUCUAUCUAAGGCUAAGAUUAUCCAAGGACAACAACUAAUGGUAGGCUAGCUAGGCUAGACAGGACUUUCUAUGUGUUUUAAUUAUCUAAGCUAAGUGAAGGUAAUUUUCUGCUGGUCUACUAGCGUGGUUCCGGCUAUAGCUCUAUGAUGUACCCGAACGUGGAGGAUUACUAGGAUGAGAUUCAGAGCUGUCACCACCUGCCGUCUACCUCUGACAAAUCUGUAGGAUACAGAACAAACAAAAGGUAAUCUCUAACCUAGACACCACGCCUAAGUUAUUAAUUAUUACUCUAAUACUUGCGCAGGAACUUCCUUCUUUAUCAAGAGUCCUAGUACUAGAGCACUUAGUAUGAAUACUAAACAAUGAACCCGCAAAGAUGGAAACCUAUCUCACUUAGACUAAGUAAUUAAAUAGCACAAGAAAGGAUCUCGAAUACUUAAUUUAUAGAAGAAAUUUCUCCGAACCUUGAGCAGAGCAUACCGAUAGCUCCGAUACUCCUCCAGAAUUCCUCCUAGAAAGCUACACUCAUCAAGGCAGAAGUCAGAGAGAGCGCCAAACUUUUGGGCACUCCUCUAGAGCUUCUCCUCACUCUCUACCUAUUUCUAAUGUACAAAAGAUACAAUAGAGCCUCUUGUAAUUCAGCUCAAAGUUGUGUGUUGGUGAAGUGAGAUGAGCUCCUCCUUUUAUAGCCUCCAUAUGAUGGUUACAGCUAUGUGAAAUGUCCAAUUUGCCCUCCAACCAUCAUUGUGAAGUCAUCAGGAACGUACACGUGGAAGGCAAGGAUGAGGGGCGCCUAUGGUGGUUCGACCGAACCCUGGGCCCCACCUCCUAGCCUCUCCUUUGGCAGGGACACUGACUGGUUGGCCCUGAUGGCGGUUAUGACAGUUAUGACCCAUUCCGUGGCAGUAUCACCUGACUUGUGGGCCCUCCAAUCCGUGUACUUGCGUCUGAUUGGCCGGAGGUGUGUUUCCUUGUAUGCCGGGUGUGUUUUCUCCUUAAAAUACUUGCAUACACAUAUUUCACCAACACUAGUGGAAUUGAUUAGUAAUAAUCCCUACCACUAAGUUGGAUACCACAUUUUAUUUCAUUGUAUGCAAGUAUUGACGGUCAGAUAUUAUGAUUUAAGGACCGUCAACAGUAACCUCAUUCCUUCGUUCCAACAAAAUCUAAAGAACUCACAACUCCAAUGAGGAUCAAACUUAUCACCUUGACAAUAUUCUUCAUCCUGAUCACCUUGAUAAUAUCUAUCAUCUCGGUGAUGUCUAAAAUUCUGAAAUUCCUCUGAACUUGUUUGUCAUGUCUCUUCUGGUACUUGUUAAUCAAUCUAAUGCUAUCAAUCAUGGCAUACACCAUAUUUACAGGAAAAAGGAUGUCCAUCAAUCUUCAUCGACCUUUUUCCAUCAUCAAACUUGAUUCUUCCUUGUUCGAUGGCGGAUUGGAUUUGCUGCCUGAACACCUUGCACCCAUUAGUAUGAUGAGAUCCUGUAUUGUGCCACUUGCAAAACUUCCUCUUCUUCAGCUCUUCAGCCGAUGGUAGAACAUGACCUACUAGCAACUGGAUUUGCUUUUCUUGCAACAGUAAAUCAAAGAUUUUGUUGGCUUUAUUGAUAUCAAAGUCAUAUUCCUCUUCCUUGUUUAUAUACUUAACCCAUUGACACAUAGUUGUCUUCUUGAUCAUGGACCACUCUGCCAAACUGAUCUCUAGGUCUUCCUAGUUGUCUUCUUGAUCUUGGACCACUUAGCCAAACUGAUCUCUAGGUCUCCUCCUCAGAAUCAUAAACAUAUCUAUAGACGUAGUUAACCUUCUUGACCUUCUUGGCCUCCUGAAAACGUUGCUCAUGAGCCGAUACCUUCUGAGCCAGAUGUGCUAAGCUCUCAAAGUCUUGUGAUGAAAAUUUCUCUCUUAUCGACCCAAUCAAUCACUGGAAAGCCAAAUCGACUAGCUGUGAAUCGGUGUUGACGGUCGUUAUCGAUCAGUUGCGACCGUCAAUAUAACCAAAAUUUAGGAGAACUAGUGAUGCUUGCAAUGCAUAUAUCUGUUAAAAUAAUAAUAUUCCACUAGUAUUAGGUACAGUAACCUUUUGCAGAGAAUGACAAUAAAGUGGAGGAGAAUCGACAUCAACUCAGACGAUAAACCAAUCGGACAGUGUCGAGAACCAGACUUAUGUAUGAAUGGGCCAAGAACUCAGAAAUAACACAACACAUUGGGCCAAAAUUCACAAGUCUACGAAGGAGGACUACGAAGGAGGCCGCUAGCCAAAGAUGGGCUGGGUUGAGCCAACCCAUGGUUCGGGGGGUUCGGCUGAACCUCCCGUGGCGCCGAUGGAUGCAAGGUUUGGAUGGACGGCUGGGAUUGAUCCCCAAUGACGGUAGGAGGGUAUUACCGACCAUUCCAACCGUCGCAACCGUCAUUACCUACCUAUAAAAGGAGCUCCUCUUCUCACUUCACUCACACACCUCAAGCAAUAGCUCUCCCAUUUCUCUCAAUUUUAGUUUAGUAGUAUCUAGCUGGUGGAAUAGGAAUAGAGUAGAAAUCAGGAGUCCGGAAGUCUUCGGAAGAGUUCGGGUAUGGCUCUAGCAGCUUUCCUUUCUUCUUUUGUAAGCUUUGUACUUUUAUUAAAAUAAUCUUCUAUAUACAUUUACAAUAUUGAAAUACUUUCCGAGAAUAUUAGUACCUACUUUACACUAUGUUCAUGUUAUACUGAAUAUACGGCUAGCUUAUCUGGGAGAUGCUUUGGUGCGGGUAUAAUGUUUGCUUAUGCAAUUACUCUAUGUCAUGACGAUGAUAUUAGAGUAGUAUCUGGUAGUUUAGACGUGGUGUCUAGAUUACGGGAUAUCAUUAUUUGGGGUUAUAUAUUGCGGAUGAGAGGUGGCCGCUUAUGGUGAUAGCUCAGUACGGGUAUUCCUCCGCGCCGGUAUAUAAUCCUAAGUUAAUUUCCUGGGGAGGGUAUUCCUCCGUAUUUAGCCCCGGUUGUAUAGUCAUGACGGGCUGUCGUAAGAAACUCAGCAGUCAGGGGUGGUUACUCGAAGUAACAGGAGCGCAUCGGAAAGAGGGUAUUAGCUAGUAUAUCAGUUAACAAGAAUGUAUGUGUACUAUGUAUAUUAGAAGUAUAGGAAUAGAUUAUCUGUCUCUUUUCUAUCCACUUAGCUUAGAUGAUUUAUCAUGAGAAUGAGUAGUUCAUGCUUGUGUGUCACUCUACGCUUUGAUUAUCUUAACCCCUGUUUAGAAUACGAUUAUCACAAGUAAUAUAUAAAUUAUUAGUCAAGCUCUCUCUACAUGAUCUUCCCACGGGAUAAAAUAAAUACGAUACCCUUAGAAUACUCUCGGGUGAAAUGCUAUAAUGGUAUAUCCAUGCGCUUGCGGAUGAACUCUGUAACCAUAAUAUACCAGAAGUAUUUCUGCGCCAUUGCUGGGAAUUAUAUUUUUAGUAAUGUCGUUAAGAAAUACCAACAAGCAUUUCUGGCACCGUUGCCGGGGAAGAUUCAUAAUAGAGAUAACUUGAACUAAUACUUUUUAUUUACCUCUGUAUAAUCAUUUUCCUUUGCAAGCUAACCUUGGUUGUUUUCACUAUUUGUUGUGGAAACAGGGUAGUGAAUGACUGGUUUCAACCUGUCGGAAAACUUUAAAGAAAAUCCAGAAGCUUUCUUCCGGAGUGUCAGGCCGCGAGUCGUUGCUCCGAAGAAAAGUUUACCGAUAGAAAAACUAGCAAUACCAGUGCCCCCGACCUUCAAGACUAUGGCUAGCAGAACUCUUCGUGAGUUCGCUGCUCCCUCUGCUGACAAUGUGGCCACUAGGCUGCAGGUCAACAUAGGAGACGUGGAUUUCGACUUGAAGUCCAGCCUUAUUACGAUGGCACAGGGUAGCCCGUUCUGUGGAAAGCCUAAUGAGGAUGCCUAUGCACAUCUGCAAUAGUUCCUGGAGAUCUGUAGCACGUACACCAUCAAGGGCGUCAAUCUCGAUGCCGUCAGGCUGAGACUGUUCCUGUUCUCCCUCCUCGGGAGAGCGAAGCAGUGGUUCUACACCAACCGUGUUGCUGUCAACACCUGGGACAAAUGCUCUACGGCAUUCCUCUCAAAAUUCUUCCCGAUGGGCAAAAUCAAUGCCCUGCGUGGACGAAUUUCAAGUUUCCAGCAAACAAGGGACGAGUCCAUUCCUGAAGCAUGGGAACGACUGCAAGAGUAUGGUUGGAAAGUAUAAAGUUCUCUGCUCCUGUUGAGUGCACUUCUCUGAUUACUCGGAUAGCAAAAGGGCUAGGGGUCAUUAGCGACCAAAUUGCUUUUAUCUCAGCCGCUCGUCCGCGUAUUGAUAAAGCUUAUCUAGUGCAAGGGCAUAUUCUGAAACGUGGAGUAGAUGGAUCUUUGGUAUACUUUUUCCCCGGUUGUACAAAUGGAAUCCCGUUGCCAAAUGCGGGGUAUCAUUUGUACAACUGCCAUGAACUAACCAUUCCCGUGCAGACCAUAGAGGAAUCUCGUGCAGGUGGAACAUACAGAGAGACGCGCAACAUGACAAGGAAUGAACGAGAAAGUUCAUCAUCCUCGACACCCGUGCAGAUGUAUGAGGCAGGAUGGGCACCAACUGGGGAUGCACCCGGUUGGACCCAAGCUCCACGCCAUAGCAUCGGAGUCUCAACUUGGGCAAGCGCCAGUGAGGAUCGGUGGCAUGCGCCUCAUGACAUCCAAUGGGGGGACAAUUAACCUCCCAGGUCAAGUGGUGUGCCUCCAUCUCCAAGUGAAUGGCGCUCGAGUUCUUCCCGUUGGGACUUGAGUGAAAUCAUUAGGAGAAUGGACACCCUUGAUAUACAGAUAGGGGAAAUCCAGUACAACCUCACGGAACACGUAGCUCAAACACAAGAAUGGCAACAAUCUGCUGAUGCUCAAUUCGCCAACAUCAACGACAUGAUGCAGCAAUAGCACGAUAACCUUCAGGUGUACUUUCGUUUUCAGGGGUUCAAUCCUUAUCAAGGACGCUGAGCGAAAGCCAAGCUUGGGGGGGGGGAGACAUCGCUCCCCCCCCACUGAGGUAACUUGUAUCACAUUGCAUAUUUCUCUUAUCAAAUUACAUAUUUGCUUUCCAAUUGCAUCUUAUAAAAAUAAAAACAACAUAAAAAUGUGCAAAAUAGAAAAUACCAAAAAGAUAGGAUAGGUUUGAGUCAUGCUAGGUAAGACAAGCUAGUUCUCCUUGUUGAAAUGAUGAAUAGUUGCUCUGUUUUAUAUCUCUGAUAUAUGGGUUCUUGGUAAGUGCUCUCUCAAAGGUUAAAUAUAAGUAGCCAACAAUUAUCUGGGAACCUGAGGUAAAUGAGCUGCACUUGCUGAUCUGAGUCUAAGUUGUUGCGAGAUAUGAGAUAGUAAAUACGAGUUACUAUGAUCCUGAUACUAGUUUGACUUGAAUUCCGGAUAUUUUGUUUUUAAAAAUGAUAAAUUUGAGAGUUCCUCAUUUGAUAUAAAUUCCUACCAGAGCCAAAAAUAUGCCAUCAUGAUUAAACCAUAUACAUUUUGGUUGCUUGCCAUUCCAUUGAACAUUGUCAAACUCUUGUGACUUGUAUAGAUACUUCUCAUGCUCUAUGAUCAAGAUCAUACACCCACAUAUAUGAACAUGCUAAACUAAUACACUAGGAGCUAAGCAAUAUUCCAUUCCAUUUCCAUAUUACCACCAAAAUAAAUUCUCCAUGCUUUCAUAUGCUUUUUUCUCCUAAAGAGAAAAGUCCUUUUGAAAAAAAAGAGGAGGGAAAGGCAUGGUUAUGAAAAAAAAAAUUCAUGCUCCAUCAAGCUUGAUGUAACACCCCAGCCCGUUUGAAGCCUAGUAGUGUGUGUUUGGCCCAUGUGGUGUUUGGCCCAUGUGGCCCAGAAGUGGAUGUGUAGUGGUGGUUUAUUACCACCUUGGAAGUUUAGGUGGGUGAGGUCCUGCUUAUAAGCCUUGGUGCUCCAACCAUGGUAUCCCUGGGUUAACUCUUUUACACGAAGCGAGGACGAAUGUGUAAGUGGGAUACCAUGCGAACGUGGGUCCGCUCAACGUGUAGAGCAGACUAAUGCGGAUUUUGGAGGCAGGGUGUUACAGUUGGUAUUAGAGCGUAAACCUCCGCUGUAUGAUGCAUGUGCUUUGGGCCAUGGUCUGCACCGGAGGGGGUUCUGGGCCUCUGCCAUGUAAACGGUGUGCUGCCGGGGCGUUAGCCCUUAAGCGGGGGUGAAUGUAACACCCCAGCCCGUUUGAAGCCUAGUAGUGUGUGUUUGGCCCAUGUGGUGUUUGGCCCAUGUGGCCUAGAAGUGAAUGUGUAGUGGUGGUUUAGUACCACCUUGGAAGUUUAGGUGGGUGAGGGCCGGCUUAUAAGCCUUGGUGCUCCAACCAUGGUAUCCCCAGGUUAACCCUUUUACACGAAGCGAGGACGAAAGUGUAAGUGGGAUACCAUGCGAACGUGGGUCCGCUCAACAUGUAGAGUGGACUAAUGCGUAUUUUGGAGGCAGGGUGUUACACUUGAGCAUGAUGUUGAAAAGAAAAAUGUAGCCAUGCCCUCUCCUAAGCAAUAAAAGAAGGAUUUUUGGGAGAAGAAAGUAAGCACAAAGGAGAAGUGUUUUCUUUAUUUUUCUUCAUGUACCAUUUCCACCAUACACCACACACACAUUUUGCACGAUCUUGAUCUUGAGUAUGUUUAGUCAUCUGCUUUAGUCUAAAUUUUUGACUUAGUAAUAAAUGUGAAUGCAAGUAUGCCAUGUUUGAUCCCUACCGAGCUCCACAUAUCAAACUCUAGAGUAGGAAUCAUAAAGGCAACAUUUGGUGAGGAAUUCAUAUUGAUACACUUAGAGAGAUUGAGUGAAUCAAUUGAAGAACUUGGUUUUCUUUUUCAAAAUCAUUUGAAAACUUCCGAAAGAAGAGUUGAAUAAAGAUUGGGUGAUUGGUACUCUAAAUUGCUGUUCUUUCUUUUAACCGCCCAAGGCAAGGAGAAGCAGUGUCUCGUGGGAAUCAGGGGUAAGGGUAACCACCGUGCCAAAGAUUAUUUAAUCUCAGAGAGAGUACAUAUACCUUACACCUGUAUGUUUGAGAUAUGCAGCAUAGUAGCAACUCCUGAUCAACAACCAAGUCUUUGUUUACUUUCGUCCUUCACUCGGGACGAGCAAAGGUUAAGCUUGGGGGGUGUUGACGGUCGUUAUCGAUCAGUUGCGACCGUCAAUAUUACCAAAAUAGAGGAGAACUAGUGAUGCUUGCAAUGCAUAUAUUGUUAAAAUAAUAAUAUUCCACUAGUAUUAGGUACACUAACCUUUUGUAGAGAAUGACAAUAAAGUGGAGGAGAAUCGACAUCAACUCAGACGAUAAAUCAAUCGGACGGUGUCAAGAACCAGACUUAUGUAUGAAUGGGUCAAGAACUUAGAAAUAACACAACAUAUUGGGCCAAAAUUCACAAGUCUACGAAGGAGGACAACAAAGGAGGCCGCCAGUCGAAGAUGGGCUGGGUUGAGCCAACCCAUGUCUCGGGGGGUUUGGCUGAACCUCCCGUGGCGCCGAUGGAUGCAGGGUUUGGAUGGAUGGCUGGGAUUGAUCCCCAAUGACGGGUGGAUGGUAUUACCGACCAUUCCAACCGUCGCAACCAUCAUUACCUACCUAUAAAAGGAGCUCCUCUUCUCACUUCACUCACACACCUCAAACAAUAGCUCUCUCAUUUCUCUCAAGUUUAGUUUAGUAGUAUCUAGCUGGUGGAAUAGGAAGAUAGUAGAAAUCAGGAGUCCGGAAGUCUUCGGAAGAGUUCGGGUAUGGCUCUAGCAGCUUUCCUUUCUUCUUUUGUAAGCUUUGUACUUUUAUUAGAAUACUCUUCUAUAUACAUUUACGGUAUUGAAAUACUUUCCGAGAAUACGAGUACCUACUUUACACUAUGUUCAUGUUAUACUGAAUAUACGGCUAGCUUAUCUGGGAGAUGCUUUGGUGCGGGUAUAAUGUUUGCUUAUGCAAUUACUCUAUGUCAUGACGAUGAUAGUACGUUUUGUACCACAGUUGUCGCUGCCACCGUGUCUCUGUUGUUGUCAGGACCUACAAAAACGGAAUCGGCUCGCUGCCACGGUUCUAUUUUUGUAGUUUUCAGAAGUUUCUGUCGGUUAGUUUUGGAGUUCUUGAGUUGCAUCUGGAGUUUGCCGAUCCUUGUGUGUGUUUGUUUUGGCCGUGCCUGUGUCGUGCACGAGAGGAGGAAGGUGAAUUACCAUAUCUGAUUUUGGAAGUAGUCAAGUUUGUUUUGGAAAGAUAUAGUAGAUUGGAUUGGUUAAAAAUCAGUUUCCUUUUUAUCCCAUACACCAAAUUCGGCUGCCAUCCACUCCACCUCCUGGCCGAGUCCCACUCGCCCCUUUGGCCGAGUCCGACUCCCUCCCUCUCUUCCACGGUUCCGAGUUGUGUCAAACACCUUGGCGAAUUUUUGUUUGGUGUCGGUUUCGAGAUCUGUUUGGAAAAACGGAACCGGCAUAAAUUCAGCAUUCCAUUUUUUUUUUGUAUAAUUUUAAUUUUGGGUUUAGACUUUUACAUUUGAGUCCCUGUAAAUUUUAUAUUUAUGUUUGAGUCCCUGUAAUCUUACAUUAAGGUACUUGAGUCAGUUUUUGUUAAAAAAAAUCAAGAAAAAAGUGAGAAAAAAAAAGGCAGAAAGGUGAAAAAAAAAAGAAAACAAAAAGCCGCACCAAAAAAAAACAGAAAAGAAAAGGAAAGGAAAAAAAAGAAAAGAAGAAAGAAGAAAGAAAGAAAAGAGAAAAUACUGUUAUGUUUGAGCUGAACUUUAUAUAUCAGAGUUGUGCAUGAGUUGUUCCUAGUGCUAUCUUGUGGUAUCGUUUGUGUCUAGGCUCGCGUCUCUAGUACGUUCUAGCCUAGGACCAGCACGGUACUUGACUUUGAACAAUUAUUCAACUUUGCAUUAUCUGAUUUGAGCAUUUGCUAUUCCUUUGCUACAUAUUUAAGCCUACCCAGUGCUCCACAUAUUUGAUUACAGCCGUACCACAAGUGUUUGCCAAGGCAUCGAUACAUCCAACCUUCAUUGGGGUGCUUGGUUGAGUCGGUGUAUGUCACCAUUCCACUUGCAUUGGUAAGAUCUUGUAAGAGCUUGGUUAAAAGCUUGAGUGUGUGCGAUUUUUGAGCUGCCACUACCUAGUAGUUAAUAGGAACGCGCAUAUUUUUGUGUAUGUUUCUUGUUUUCUACUAACAAUGGCAGGGAUACGCAAGAUAAUUGGGGAUAGCUGUGCUCAACAUCGACAUCUUCGUCGAGACAUGAGGAGGGAUCAACAUGACCAUUAUGAGGUAAGUGAUGAUGUUCUAGGUAAGAUCAAAUCUGCACUGCCUUAUUUCGAGAGAAACUAUGAUCCUCGUGCUUACAUUAAUUGGGAGCUAGCGGUUGAUAGUGAAUUUCAAAAGCAUGUCUUGUUGGAGAAACAAAAGGUUAUGUGUGCCUCUAGUGUUUUAAUUAAACAUGCUUCUAAUGAUUGGAAACAUCUUUGUAGGCAUAACAAAAUACCACAAUCUUGGAAAGACCUGAAACGAUAUUCAGAGAUGUUUAUGUUCCCAUGUAUUAUGCUGACAUUUUGUUCAACAAACUGCAAUGUUUAAAACAAGAUACCAGAACUGUUACUUCAUACUAUCAUGAUAUGCAAGCUUGUUUAUUACGUUGUGGUUUAGAUGAAUGCGAAGAAGCUAAAGAAUUAAGGUUUUUAUGUGGGCUUAACAAAGAAAUUCAGGACAUGCUUGAUUGUCAAAGAUAUACAUCUCUUUCUCAUUUGUUACAACUUGCUUGCAAUGCUGAAAGUAAAAUAGAGGAGAGAGACAUGAAAGAGCCGCCAAUCCCAUUGUUCACACUCAAAGUCGAGGCACCUCCAUCAUCUGAAGAGGACAUCAAAGGUAAAGUAAAUGGUAAUAAAAUUAAUCAUGGUGAGUGCAUUGUUAACGAAGUAAAUUUGUCCACUUUUCAUACUAAAGUAGAGCAACCGUUAGUGGAAUCAAAUGCUGGAAUUCCUUUGUCACAAGUUGAUUUACUCGCCGUUCCUUGUGAUAAAGAAGAGUUGUGUGAUAAUGCUUCACUUAUAUUCAUGCCACAACUAGUGAAUGAACAUGCUAUUUCUAGUGUUUGUUUGUGUGUUGAUAUUAAGCAUGCUGUUCACAUUGCUAAUGAAGUUGAGGAACGUAAAUUGCUAUCUUCUUUAAAUACUUUGGCUAUGUUCAGUUUGAUGAUUUUUGUGAGCUCGAUAAUUUGAAGGAGAAAUUAUUUGCUAAGUCUGAUUUUCCAUGUCCAACUACUGCUAUUUUUCAUAUCUUUGGCAAAUAUAAUGAUAGAGGAAUAUAUUUGGUGCAUAGAGUUUUCAUUUGUUUAGAUUUAGAGAAACAUGUUAUUGCCAAUCACACUACUUCGAGUUUCUCUAGUUUUGAUUGGAUGAAACAGGUUAUUUUGAAUGGACUAUGUGAAGAACACCAUAUGGAAAAACCGAGGACGGUUUUCUGUGAAGAAGGGGACGAUGAUGUGACCAUGGCUACUACGGAUACAUCCGUUGCUCACAUCAUGGAUGAACAACAAGAUAUCAAGUUCGAGUCCUCCAAGUGCCGGAAUCCGAUUCGGCCACCUGCUACACUGCUGACUUCAAACGGCCGCCGAAUCUGCAUACGACCUCCGUUUUGGACCGUGAGUACUUGAUGGAAAGCUCUCGGAGCCCUCUUUCCAACGGAUCCAGCCUCAUCUCCGAAUUCCAUCUCGUGUGUCCGGACUCACACGCACAAGGCAUUGCGUCACCUAUAAUGGGCCUAUGGGCUUGUAACUUUAUUUGGGAUCCCGGCUCAGGUGGGGCCCAUGUGGGGUGCGCCCCAGCUAGGUGAAGCACGACCCUAGGCACCCCUAGGUCGUCCUCCCACCCCUAUUUAUAUAGCUAGGUACCCCUUUAGGGUUUCUUGGGUUUUGUUAGAUUAAAGUUUAGCCAUUGCUACUUGUUUGCAGCGCGCGUGUCGGCUAGACCGUCCGUCUGCUUGUUCUUCGGAACCCCAACUUAUCAUUUGUAUUAAAUUCCUAUUUGCAAUAUCAGAUUGCUUUUAUCUUGUUCUUGCUUGUUUCUUCGAUUUGCUUGCAGGAAUAGGGUUGAUCUGCACCGGCAAGAUCAACAACCCACGGAGAGGUGUAUCGAUCGCUAAGGCGCAACACAACGUCUCGUACGGUUGUAGUCGGAUCGUCAACGUUUCUCCCAAAUCGUAGUUAUCACAACUCACCGAAAGAUCGGGCCAACAACAGCCCUUAGGGUUCAUAAUAUUGGCACAAGAGGGUGCGAUGUUUUUGACCGGAAUCAAAAAGUUCAAAAAGCGCCAAAACAUGAUUUCUGGACAAAUUGGAGUAUAUUGGGUGCGUUCAUAGCAAAAACUCACUUCGUGAUUCGCGCAGCAAACUUUUGUCAAUUAAUGCCAAUAUUGGCACACGAGGGUGCGAUGUUUUUGACCGGAAUCAAAAAGUUCAAAAAAGGCCAAAACAUGAUUUUUGAACAUAUUGGAGUGUAUUGGGUGCGUACGUGGCAAAAAUUCACUUCGUGAUUCACGCGGCAAACUUUUGCCAAUUAAUGCCAAUAUUGGCACACGAGGGUGCGAUGUUUUUGACCGUCAAAAAGUUCAAAAAAUGCCAAAACAUGAUUUUUGGACAUAUUCGAGUGUAUUGGGUGCGUACGUGGCAAAAACUCACUACGUGAUUCGCGCGGCAAACUUUUGUCAAUUAAUGCCAACAUUGGCACACGAGGGUGCGAUGUUUUUGACCGGAAUCAAAAAGUUCGAAAAAGGCCAAAACAUAAUUUCUGGACAUAUUGGAGUAUAUUGGGUGCGUUAAUAGCAAAAACUCACUUCGUGAUUGGCGCGGCAAACUUUUGUCAAUUAAUGCCAAUAUUGGCACACGAGGGUGCGAUGUUUUUGACCGGAACCAAAAAGUUCAAAAAACGCCAAAACAUGAUUUUUGGACAUAUUGGAGUGUAUUGGGUGCGUUCGUAGCAAAAACUCGCUUCGUGAUUCGCGCGGCGAAGUUUUGUCAAUUAAUGCCAAUAUUGGCACACGAAGGAGCGUUGUUUUUGACCGGAAUCAAAAAGUUCAAAAAACGCCAAAACAUGAUUUUUGGACAUAUUGGAGUGUAUUGGGUGCGUUCGUGGCAAAAACUCACUUCGUGAUUCACACAGUGAACUUUUGUAAAUUAAUGCCAAUAUUGGCACACGAGGGUACGAUGUUUUUGACCGGAAUCAAAAAGUUCAAAAAACGCCAAAACAUGAUUUUUGGACAUAUUGGAGUGUAUUGGGUGCGUACGUGGCAAAAACUCACUUCGUGAUUUGCGCGGCGAACUUUUGAAAAGUUCAAAAAAUGCCAAAACAUGAUUUUUGGACAUAUUGGAGUAUGUUGCGUGCGUUCGUGGCAAAAACUCAAUUCGUAAUUCGCGCGGCGAACUUUUGUCAAUUAAUGGCAACAAUGGCACACGAGGGUGCGGUGUUUUUUGACCGGAAUAAAAAAGCUCAAAAAAUGCCAAAACAUGAUUUUUGGACAUAUUGGAGUGUAUUGGGUGCGUUCGUGGCAAAAACUCACAUCGUGAUUCACACGGCGAACUUUUGUCAAUUAAUGCCAAUGUUGGCACGCGAGGGUGUGAUGUUUUUGACCGGAAUCAAAAAGUUCAAAAAACGCCAAAACAUGAUUUUUGGACAUAUUGGAGUGUAUUGGGUGCGUUCGUGGCAAAAACUCACAUCGUGAUUCACACGGCGAACUUUUGUCAAUUAAUGCCAAUGUUGGCACGCGAGGGUGUGAUGUUUUUGACCGGAAUCAAAAAGUUCAAAAAACGCCAAAACAUGAUUUCUGGACAUAUUGGAGUAUUUUGGGUGCGUUCAUAGCGAAAACUCACAUCGUGAUUCGCGCGGCGAACUUUUGUCAAUUAAUGCCAAUGUUGGCACGCGAGGGUGUGAUGUUUUUGACCGGAAUCAAAAAGUUCAAAAAACGCCAAAACAUGAUUUUUGGAUAUAUUGGAGUGUAUUUGGUGCGUUCGUGGCAAAAAUCACUUCGUGAUUCGAGUGAUGAAAUUUUGUCAAUUAAUGCCAAUAUUGGCAUAUAUUGGCACAUGUGGGUGCUAUGUUUUUCACCGGAAUGAAGAAGUUCUAAAAGCAUCAAAACAUGAUUUUUGGACAUAUUUGACUGUGUUCGUUCGUGGCGAACUUUUGUCAAUUAAUGCCAAUAUUGGCACACGAGGGUGCGUUGUUUUUGACUGGAAUCAAAAAGUUCAAAAAACGCCAAAACAUGAUUUUUGGAUAUAUUGGAGUAUAUUGGGUACGUACGUGGCAAAAACUCACUAUGUGAUUCGCGCGGUAAACUUUUGUCAAUUAAUGCCAAUAUUGGCACACGAGGGUGCGAUGUUUUUCACCGCAAUCAAAAAGUUCAAAAAACGCCAAAACAUGAUUUUUGGCUAUGUUCGAGUGUACUGGGUGCGUUCGUGGCAAAAACUUACUGCGUGAUUCGCGCGGCAAACUUUUGUCAACUAAUGCCAAUAUUGGCAUAUUUUGGCCGAAACGGGUGCAAUGUUUUUGACCGGAAUGAAAAAGUUCAAAAAGCGCCAAAACAUGACUUUUGGAUAUAUUGGAGUGUAUUGGGUGCGUUCAUAGCAAAAACUCACUUCGUGAUUCGCGCGGCGAAGUUUUGUCAAUUAAUGCCAAUAUUGGCACACGAAGAAGCGUUGUUUUUUACCGGAAUCAAAAAGUUCAAAAAAUGCCAAAACAUGAUUUUUGGCUAUAUUGCAGUGUAUUGGGUGAUUUCGUGGUAAAAACUCACUUCGUGAUUCGCGCGGUGAACUUUUGUCAAUUAAUGAAAAUAUUAGCACACGAAGGAGCGUUGUUUUCGACAGGAAUCAAAAAGUUCAAAAAACGCCAAAACUUGAUUUUUGGACAUAUUGGAGUGUAUUGGGUGCGUUCGUGACAAAAACUCACAUCGUGAUUCGCGCGGCGAACUUUUGUCAAUUAAUGCCAAUGUUGGCACACGAGGGUGCGAUGUUUUUGACCGGAAUGAAAAUGUUCAAAAAGCACAAAAACAAGAUUUUUGGACAUAUUGGAGUGUAAUGGGUCCGUUCGUGCCAAAAACUCACUUCUUGAUUCGCGCCGCGAACUUUUGUCAAUUAAUGGCAACAUUGGCACACGAGGGUGCGAUGUUUUUGACCGGAACUAGAAAGUUCAAAAAACGCCAAAACAUGAUUUUUGGACAUAUUGGAGUGUAUUGGGUGCGUUCGUGGCAAAAAUUCACUUCGUGAUUCACACGGUGAACUUUUCUCAAUAAAUGCGAAUAUUGGCACACGAGGGUGCGAUGUUUUUGACCGGAAUCAAAAAGGUCAAAAAACGCCAAAACAUGAUUUUUGGACAUAUUGGAGUUAUUGGGUGCGUUCGUGGCAAAAACUCACUUCGUGAUUCGCACGGCGAACUUUUUUCAAUUAAUGCGAAUAUUGGCACACGAGGGUGCGAUGUUUUUGACCGGAAUCAAAAAGCUCAAAAAAUGCCAAAACAUGAUUUUUGGACAUAUUGGAGUAUGUUGCGUGCGUUCGUGGCAAAAACUCACUUCGUGAUUCGCGCGGCGAACUUUUGUCAAUUAAUUGCAACAUUGGCACACGAGGGUGCGAUGUUUUUUGAUAGGAAUGAAAAAGUUCAAAAAGCACCAAAACAAGAUUUUUGGACAUAUUGGAGCGUAAAAGGUCCGUUCGUGGCAAAAACUCACUUCGUGAUUCGCGCGGUGAACUUUUGUCAAUUAAUGCAAAUAUUGGCACACGAAGGAGCGUUGUUUUUGACCGGAAUCAAAAAGUUCAAAAAACACCAAAACACGAUUUUUGGACAUAUUGUAUUGUGUUGGGUGCGUUCGUGGCAAAAACUCACUUCGUGAUUCGCACGGUGAACUUUUCUCAAUUAAUGCGAAUAUUGGCACACGAGGGAGCGGUGCUUUUGACCGGAAUCAAAAAGUUCAAAAUAUGCCAAAACAUGAUUUUUGGACAUAUUAGAGUAUGUUGAGCGCGUUCGUGGCAAAAACUCACUUAUUGAUUCGCGCGGCGCGCGAACUUUUGUCAAUUAAUUGCAACAUUGGCACACGAGGGUGCGAUGUUUUUUGACCGGAAUGAAAAAGUUCAAAAAACACUAAAACAUGAUUUUUGGACAUAUUGGAGUGUAUUGGGUGCAUUCAUGGCAAAAACUCACUUCGUCAUUCGCGCGGCGAACUUUUGUCAAUUAAUGGCAACAUUGGCACACGAGGGUGCGAUGUUUUUUGACCAGAAUCAAAAAGUUCAAAAAGCGCCAAAACAUGAUUUUUGGACAUAUUGGAGUGUAUUGGGAGCGUUCUUGGCAAAAAGUCAAAUCAUGAUUCGCGCGGCGAACUUUUGUCAAUUAAUGCCAAUGUUGGCACACGAGGGUGCGAUGUUUUUGACCGGAAUCAAAAAGUUCAAAAAACGGCAAAACAAAAUUUUUAGACAUAUUAAAGUGUGGUGCGUGCGUUCGUGGCCAAAACUCACUUCAUGAUUCGCGCGGUGAAGUUUUGUCUAUUAAUGGAAACAUUGGCACACAAGGGGGCGAUGUUUUUGACCGGAAUCGAAAAGUUCAAAACGCGCCAAAACAUGAUUUUUGGACAUAUUGGAGUGUAUUGGGAGCGUUCUUGGCAAAAAUUCACUUCGUAAUUCGCGCGGCGAACUUUUGUCAAUUAAUGCCAAUGUUGGCACACGAGGGUGCGAUGUUUUUGACCGGAAUGAAAAUGUUCAAAAAGCAGCAAAACAAGAUUUUUUGAUAGAUUGGAGUGUAAAGGGUCCGUUCGUGCCAAAAACUCACUUCUUAAUUCGCGCGGCGAACUUUUGUCAAUUAAUGGCAACAUUGGCACACGAGGGUGCGAUGUUUUUGACCGGAAUUAGAAAGUUCAAAGAAAGCCAAAACAUGAUUUUUGGACAUAUUGGAGUGUAUUGGGUGCGUUCGUGGCAAAAACUCACUUCGUGAUUCGCACGGUGAACUUUUCUCAAUAAAUGCGAAUAUUGGCACACGAGGGUGCGAUGUUUUUGACCGGAAUCAAAAAGUUCAAAAAACGCCAAAACAUGAUUUUUGGACAUAUUGGAGUUAUUGGGUGCGUUCGUGGCAAAAACUCACUUCGUGAUUCGCACGGCGAACUUUUUUCAAUUAAUGCGAAUAUUGGCACACGAGGGUGCGAUGGUUUUGACCGGAAUCAAAAAGCUCAAAAAAUGCCAAAACAUGAUUUUUGGACAUAUUGGAGUAUGUUGCGUGCGUUCGUGGCAAAAGCUCACUUCGUGAUUCGCGCGGCGAACUUUUGUGAAUUCAUGGCAACAUUGGCACAUGAGGGUGCGAUGUUUUUGACCGGAAUCAGAAAGUUCAAAAAACGCCAAAACAUGAUUUUUGGACAUAUUGGAGUGUAUUGGGUGCGUACGUGGCAAAAACUCACUUCGUGAUUCGCACGGUGAACUUUUCUCAAGUAAUGUGAAUAUUGGCACACGAGGGUGCGAUGUUUUUGACUGGAAUCAAAAAGUUCAAAAAAUGCCAAAACAUGAUUUUUGGACGUAUUGGAGUGUAUUGGGUGCGUUCGUGGCAAAAACUCACUUCGUGAUUUGCGCGGCGAUCUUUUGAAAAGUUCAAAAAGCACCAAAACAUGAUUUUUGGACAUAUUCGAGUGUAUUGGGUGCAUUCAUAGCAAAAAUUAAAUUCGGGAUUCGCGCGGCGAACUUUUGUCAAUUAAUGCCAAUGUUGCCACACGAGGGUGUGAUGUUUUUGACAGGAAUGAAAAAGUUCAAAAAGCACCAAAACAAGAUUUUUGGACAUAUUGGAGUGUAAAAGGUCCGUUCGUGGCAAAAACUCACUUCGUGAUUCGCGCGGUGAACUUUUGUCAAUUAAUGCAAAUAUUGGCACACGAAGGAGCGUUGUUUUUGACCGGAAUCAAAAAGUUCAAAAAACAACAAAACACGAUUUUUGGACAUAUUGUAGUGUGUUGGGUGCGUUCGUGGCAAAAACUCACUUCGUGAUUCGCACGGUGAACUUUUCUCAAUUAAUGCGAAUAUUGGCACACGAGGGUGCGGUGCUUUUGACCGGAAUCAAAAAGUUCAAAAUAUGCCAAAACAUGAUUUUUGGACAUAUUAGAGUAUGUUGCGUGCGUUCGUGGCAAAAACUCCGUGAUUCGCGCGGCGAACUUUUGUCAAUUAAUGGCAACAUUGCCACACGAGGGUGCGAUGUUUUUGACCGGAAUCAAAAAGCACAAAAAACGCCAAAACAUGAUUUUUGGACAUAUUGGAGUGUAUUGCGUGCGUUCAUGGCAAAAACUCAAUUCGUGAUUUGCGCGGCGAACUUUUUUCAAUUAAUGCUAAUAUUGGCAUAUUUUGGCCCAAACGGGUACUAUGUUUUUGACUGGAAUGAAAAAGUUCAAAAAGCAGCAAAACAAGAUUUUUGGACAUAUUGGAGUGUAAAAGGUCCGUUCGUGGCAAAAACUCACUUCUUGAUUCGCGCGGCGAACUUUUGUCAAUUAAUGCCAAUGUUGGCAUACGAGGGUGCGAUGUUUUUGACCGGAAUCAAAAAGUUCAAAAAACGCCAAAACAAAAUUUUCGGACAUAUUGAAGUGUGGUGCGUGCGUUCGUGGCAAAAACUCACUUCGUGAUUCCCGCGGUGAACUUUUGUCUAUUUAUGGAAACAUUGGCACACAAGGGGGCGAUGUUUUUGCCCGGAAUCAAAAAGUUCAAAAAGCGCCAAAACAUGAUUUUUGAACAUAUUGGAGUGUAUUGGGAGAGUUCUUGGCAAAAAUUCACUUCGUAAUUCGCGCGGCGAACUUUUGUCAAUUAAUGCCAAUGUUGGCACACGAGGGUGCGAUGUUUUUGACCGGAAUCAAAACGUUCAAAAAAUGCCAAAACAUGAUUUUUGUACAUAUUGGAGUAUGUUGCGUGCGUUCGUGGCAAAAACUCACUUCGUGAUUCGCGCGGCGAACUUUUGUGAAUUAAUGGCAACAUUGGCACACGAGGGUGCGAUGUUUUUGACCGGAAUCAGAAAGUUCAAAAAACGCCAAAACAUGAUUUUUGGACAUAUUGGAGUGUAUUGGGUGCGUACGUGGCAAAAACUCACUAUGUGAUUCGCGCGGUAAACUUUUGUCAAUUAAUGCCAAUAUUGGCACACAAGGGUGCGAUGUUUUUGACCGGAAUCAAAAAGUUCAAAAAAUGCCAAAACAUGAUUUUUGGACAUAUUGGAGUGUAUUGGGUGCGUUCGUGGCAAAAACUCAGUUCGUGAUUCGCGCGGCGAACUUUUGUCAAUUAAUGGCAACAUUGGCACACGAGGGUGCGAUGUUUUUUGACCGGAAUGAAAAAGUUCAAAAAACACUAAAACAUGAUUUUUGGACAUAUUGGAGUGUAUUGGGUGCAUUCUUGGCAAAAACUCACUUCGUCAUUCGCGCGGCGAACUUUUUUCAAUUAAUGCCAAUGUUGGCACACGAGGGUGCGAUGUUUUUGACCGGUAUCAAAACGUUCAAAAAAAGCCAAAACAAAGUUUUUGGACAUAUUGAAGUGUGUUGCGUGCGUUCGUGGCAAAAACUCACUUCGUGAUUUGCGCGGCUAUCUUUUGAAAAGUUCAAAAAGCGCCAAAACAUGAUUUUUGGACAUAUUGGAGUGUAUUGGGAGCGUUCUUGGUAAAAAUUCACUUCGUGAUUCGCGCGGCGAACUUUUGUCAAUUAAUGCCAAUGUUGGCACACGAGGGUGCGAUGUUUUUGACCGGAAUGAAAAAGUUUAAAAAAAGCACCAAAACAAGAUUUUUGGAAAUAUUGGAGUGUAAUGGGUCCGUUCGUGGCAAAAACUCACUUCUUGAUUCGCGCGGCGAACUUUUGUCAAUUAAUGGCAACAUUGGCUCACGAGGGUGUGAUGUUUUUGACCGGAAUCAAAAAGUUCAAAAAACGCCUAUACAUGAUUUUUGGACAUAUUGUAGUUAUUAGGUGCGUUCGUGGCAAAAACUCACUUCGUGAUUCGCACGGUAAACUUUUGUCAAUUAAUGCCAAUGUUGGCACACGAGAGUGCGAUGUUUUUGACCGGUAUCAAAACGUUCAAAAAAAGCCAAAACAAAGUUUUUGGACAUAUUGAAGUAUGUUGCGUGCGUUCGUGGCAAAAACUCACUUCGUGAUUUGCGCGGCGAACUUUUGAAAAGUUCAAAAAAUGCCAAAACAUGAUUUUUGGACAUAUUGGAGUAUGUUGCGUGCGUUCGUGGCAAAAACUCAAUUCGUAAUUCGCGCGGCGAACUUUUGUCAAUUAAUGGCAACAAUGGCACACGAGGGUGCGAUGUUUUUUGACCGGAAUAAAAAAGCUCAAAAAACGCCAAAACAUGAUUUUUGGACAUAUUGGAGUGUAUUGGGUGCAUUCUUGGCAAAAACUCACUUCGUCAUUCGCGCGGCGAACUUUUUUCAAUUAAUGCCAAUGUUGGCACACGAGGGUGCGAUGUUUUUGACCGGUAUCAAAACGUUCAAAAAAAGCCAAAACAAAGUUUUUGGACAUAUUGAAGUGUGUUGCGUGCGUUCGUGGCAAAAACUCACUUCGUGAUUUGCGCGGCUAUCUUUUGAAAAGUUCAAAAAGCGCCAAAACAUGAUUUUUGGACAUAUUGGAGUGUAUUGGGAGCGUUCUUGGCAAAAAUUCACUUCGUGAUUCGCGCGGCGAACUUUUGUCAAUUAAUGCCAAUGUUGGCACACGAGGGUGCGAUGUUUUUGACCGGAAUGAAAAAGUUCAAAAAGCACCAAAACAAGAUUUUUGGAAAUAUUGGAGUGUAAUGGGUCCGUUCGUGGCAAAAACUCACUUCUUGAUUCGCGCGGUGAACUUUUGUCAAUUAAUGGCAACAUUGGCUCACGAGGGUGUGAUGUUUUUGACCGGAAUCAAAAAGUUCAAAAAACGCCUAUACAUGAUUUUUGGACAUAUUGUAGUUAUUGGGUGCGUUCGUGGCAAAAACUCGCUUCGUGAUUCGCACGGCAAACUUUUGUCAAUUAAUGCCAAUGUUGGCACACGAGAGUGCGAUGUUUUUGACCGGUAUCAAAACGUUCAAAAAAAGCCAAAACAAAGUUUUUGGACAUAUUGAAGUAUGUUGCGUGCGUUCGUGGCAAAAACUCACUUCGUGAUUUGCGCGGCGAACUUUUGAAAAGUUCAAAAAAUGCCAAAACAUGAUUUUUGGACAUAUUGGAGUAUGUUGCGUGCGUUCGUGGCAAAAACUCAAUUCGUAAUUCGCGCGGCGAACUUUUGUCAAUUAAUGGCAACAAUGGCACACGAGGGUGCGAUGUUUUUUGACCGGAAUAAAAAAGCUCAAAAAACGCCAAAACAUGAUUUUUGGACAUAUUGGAGUGUAUUGCGUGCGUACGUGGAAAAAACUCACUUCGUGAUUCGCACGGUGAACUUUUCUCAAUUAAUGUGAAUAUUGGCACACGAGGGUGCGAUGUUUUUGACCGGAAUCAAAAAGUUUAAAAAAUGCCAAAACAUGAUUUUUGGACAUGUUGGAGUUAUUGGGUGCGUUCGUGGCAAAAACUCACUUCGUGAUUCGCGCGGCGAACUUUCGUCAAUUAAUGCCAAUGUUGGCACACGAGGGUGCGAUGUUUUUGACCGGAAUCGAAACGUUCAAAAAACGCCAAAACAAAAUUUUUGGAUAUAUUGAAGUGUGUUGCGUGCGUUCGUGGCAAAAACUCACUUCGUGAUUCGCGCGGCGAACUUUUGUGAAUUAAUGGAAACAUUGGCACACAAGGGUGCGAUGUUUUUGACCGGAAUGAAAAAGUUCAAAAAACGCCAAAACAUGAUAUUUGGACAUAUUGGAGUGUAAAAGGUCCGUUCGUGGCAAAAACUCAUUUCUUGAUUUGCCCGGCGAACUUUUGUCAAUUAAUGCCAAUGUUGGCAUACGAGGGUGCGAUGUUUUUGACCGGAAUGAAAAAGUUCAAAAAGCACGAAAACAAGAUUUUUGGACAUAUUGGAGUGUAAUGGGUGCGGUCGUGGCAAAAACUCACUUCGUGAUUCGCGCUGUGAACAUUUGUCAAUUAAUGCCAAUGUUGGCACACGAGGGUGCGAUGUUUUUGACCGGUAUCAAAACGUUCAAAAAAAGCCAAAACAAAGUUUUUGUUCAUAUUGAAGUGUGUUGCGUGCGUUCGUGGCAAAAACUCACUUCGUGAUUCGCGCGGCGAACUUUUGAAAAGCUCAAAAAACGCCAAAACAUGAUUUUUGGACAUAUUGGAGUGUAUUGGGUGCGUUCAUGGCAAAAACUCACUUCGUGAUUCGCGCGGCGAACUUUUGUCAAUUAAUGCCAAUGUUGGCACACGAGGGUGCGAUGUUUUUGACUGGUAUCAAAACGUUCAAAAAAAGCCAAAACAAAGUUUUUGUUCAUAUUGAAGUGUGUUGCGUGCGUUCGUGGUAAAAACUCAAUUCGUGAUUCGCGCGGCGAACUUUUGAAAAGUUCAAAAAGCGCCAAAACAUGAUUUGUGGACAUAUUGCAGUGUAUUGGGUGCGUUCAUAGCAAAAAUUCACUCCGUGAUUCGCGCGGCGAACUUUUGUCAAUUAAUGCCAAUGUUGGCACACGAGGGUGCGAUGUUUUUGACCGGAAUCAAAAAGUUCAAAAAACGCCAAAACAAAAUUUUUGGACAUAUUGAAGUGUGUUGCGUGCGUUCGUGGCAAAAACCGACUUUAUGAUUCGCGCGGCGAACUUUUGUCAAUUAAUGGAAAAAUUGGCACACAAGGGUGCGAUGUUUUUGACCGGAAUCAAAAAGUUCAAAAAACGCCAAAACAUGAUUUUUGGACGUAUUGGAGUGUAUUGGGUGCGUUCGUGGCAAAAACUCACUUCGUGAUUUGCGCGGCGAACUUUUGAAAAGUUCAAAAAGUGCCAAAACAUGAUUUUUGGACAUAUUGGAGUGUAUUGGGUGCGUUGAUAGCAAAAAUUCACUUCGUGAUUCGCGCGGCGAACGUUUAUCAAUUAAUGCCAAUGUUGGCACACGAGGGUGCGAUGUUUUUGAAAGGAAUCAAAAAGUUCAAAAAACGCCAAAACAAGAUUUUUGGAUAUAUUGGAGUGUGUUGCGUGCGUUCGUGGCAAAAACUCACUUCGUUAUUUGCGCGGCGAACUUUUGUCAAUUAUUGUUCAGGACUAGACUGAGCACCGAGUUAAGCCUUACCCAUUAGACAUGUGGUUAGUACGGUAGUGCUUUGCAACAGAGGCCCGAGCUUAAUCCUUAUAUUGGCCGGGGUGCUACUUCCCAUAACUGGCAUGCAUACAAUACCCCACCAGAAAACAUGUUUUAGGGGUUUUGAAAGAGGAAGAGAGGGGUAUGUCCAAUUCCACCAUAAGCCAACCAUUUCAUAGUAUCCAAGUGAUUUGAGAAUUCCCAAAGUCUAAAGUUAUAAAACCACCUAAUGUUGCCUAAUUAAUCAGCGAAGCAUCUACCUAAAUUCAUACUAGUGGAACCAUGAAUAGAGUACCCACUUGUUGGGGUUUUGUUUUCCUAGGGUGAACAAGGUGAUAAUAAACAAUAGCAAUAAUAAUAAGGUCAUAACAAAGGAUUAAUAGGAAGUGCUAAAUAAAACAGUGAUAACGCAGGAAUUUAAAUAAAGCGGUAAUGCAAUAAUUUAAAUCAAAAUAAUUUUAUAAACUGGGAUUCAAUAUGCUCAAGGGUGAUGCGACUUGCCUUGCUCAGAGAGAACGGCCUUCCGAACCUUCGGCGACGACCGCGAACCACGCUUCGAGAACCUUCGGAACGACAGAAGCUACGCGAAGCACACAAGCAAAGCUACAAGCCUAUAAAUAAGCAAUAACAAUACUUAAAAAGAAAGCACACGGUUCUUUAUGUUAUAACAAACAUUAGGAGACUUGAACGGGUUGAUUCGGGGUUCGUAUGACCAAGAUAUGAUCAUCCGAAGUUUAAUGCUGUUACAUGGAGAUUUGCGGAUUAUUAUAAUUAGGUUUUGCAACUAUAAAACAUGUGUAAGCGCUAGCCUAGAAAAGACAGGAAGGCUGCGCCGUUUACAUGCGGACCCCACAUGUCAACCUAAAGGACCGCGGUAGACCGAGUACACAGAGACGGUCCACGGGUCGACGGAAGCGGACCCCGUGUGUCAACCGAGGCGAGUGGCCGACAAACGGACUCCACUAGACACCACGCGGGCUGCACACGUGGAAACCACGCGGCUACCAAGCGGGCACACUAACACGGUCACCACACGCACAAGCGAACGACUACUGACACCAGUACACAGGUACCGGGGUCGACAACCGCACAACGGGCACGGGCGACACCGAAAGGACGAGGACGGGGGCAGCGAGAGGACGGAUCCUUACCACCACACGACGAGGCGUGGGAACGACAACGGCAAACGGGUGCAGCGGAGACGGCUCGGGGACGACGGAGACGAACGGCGAGGGAACGACUUCGGCGACGAUCCUUGGACGAAGGCGAGACGCGGCCGGCGCAACGCUUGACGACGCGGAGCUGAGGACGAAGACGACGACGGGGCUGCCGCAGCUCACUUGACGGAACGCGGACGACGAACGAACGCGGCUUGACGGAGGGACGGACGCCACGACGACCGGGAACGACGAGAGGACGACGACGACGACGACCGGGGCCGGCGAUGAGGCGACGAGGCAGCCGGCAGCAGCUGCACGGAGGCGAGGACGGCGCGGAACACGCCGCUGCGAAUCCGACGACGGAGGCGGCACCGCGAGAUGAUGAGCCGGCGAGGAGGAACGGCCGACCGGAGGAGGGGAUGGCGACGUCGGACGGAGACGACGACGACGAACACCGACGGGGUUCGGGUGGAGGGGAGGCGAGGCCGAGGGCGACCUUGCCGCUGCGAUGCCGGAGGCGGUGGUGGCGCGGCCGACGGCGCAUGGGUGGAGGAAGGGCCGACCGGGGAAAUUUCGGCGAAACCGGGGAGUGGCCGAGGUUGAUGGCGAUGUCACCGUGCCGAGGGAGGGGGCAGCAGCGUCGGCCAACGCUUUAGGCACGGUGAACGGCCGACUGGAGGCGGUGCAGUGGUGGCGAUGCCACUGGACACCGGUGGGAACACGCCUCCGGUGGUCUCCGCGCGAAACGGAGGCGACGCCGGUGGAGAGAGGACACCUGCGAGGCCGAGGAAGGUGGUGGCGACGUCAGCCACCGCACGGGCGAGGCGGCACAGGCGGCUGGAGGGUGGCCGGCGCCGAGGAAAGAGAAGGAGGAGGUGGGGAGAGGUGGUGCAGCCACGGAGAAUCUCGGGAAGGGGCUAAAACGAGAGAACGCACGGAGGGGGUUCCAUUUUAUAGGGGAGGAGAGGGAGCUGGCCACGGGAGAGGCGGGGACCGGCGGCGGAAUAGGCGCCCGGCGGCCAUGGAAGGUGGCCGGGGUUGGCGCGGGCGUUCCCGACGAUUGGGGGCACGAAUCAAGGGGGAAAUUAGGGGGAAUUGAAGAGGAAGGAAUGGGAAUUAAUUCCCCCUAAUCAAUUUUGGAAUUCCCGGUUUGAAUGGCGUGGAUUUUGGGGAGGAACGAACUAGGGUUGCACGGGAGAGAGAGGAGGCCGUCCGGGAGGAGGAAGAUGACCGGCGCGUGGGCCCCACGCGGGCGCAUGCGGCGCGCAUGUGGCGCGCGUCAGGGGGGCGCCUCGGGAGGCUGGGGCGGCUGGGUGGGGCGGCUUGGGCCGGGACGCGGCCUAGGCGGGAGGGGAGGAAAAGGGACCUAGGCCGAGGGGGAAGGGGAGGCCCAAGAGAAGGAGGGAGAGAAGGAGAGGGAGAGAAAGAGAGGGAGGAAGAGAGGACUUUGGCUGCGGGCCGAGAGAGAGAGAGAGAGAGGACUUUGGGCCAGACUUGGCCCAAAUGAGGAAGGAGGAUUAUUUUUAGGUUUUUCUUUUUAAUAAACUUUGAUAAUUGUUUUUGUUGCUUAAUAAAUAUUUCCGGUGCUCUGAAAAUUCAAGUAAAAUUUGAGGGCUCAUUUUAGACCAAGGAGAAUUUAACAAAAAUUCUCCGGGCCACAUUCGAAUUUUUCUUGUACGUAUUUUAGUGUUAACCAAUUUCUUUUCGAAUUUUAAUUAAUUCUAUUAUUCCAUUUAGAGAAUGAAUUUUAUUUCGGGAUGAAUUUAUCAGGACGUGACAAUCAGCCAGUCGUCCAUCCCAUGAUGAGGACAAGCGGCCACAUACUCCUGCAGUCGUUCUAAUGCUUCGGGAAUAGACUCGUCCCUUGUCUGCUGGAAAUUGGAAAUCCUUCCACGAAGGGCAUUGGUUUUACCCAUCGGGAAGAAUUUCGAGAGGAAUCCCGGUGAGCAUUUGUCCCAGGUGUUAACAGCAGCACGGUUGGCAUAAAACCACUGCUUCGCUCUCCCGAGAAGGGAGAACGGAAACAGCCGCAGCCUGAUGGCGUCGGGACUGACGCCCUUGAUGGUGUACGUGCUACAGAUCUCCAGGAACUGUUGCAGAUGAGCAUUGGCAUCCACAUUAGGCUUGCCACAGAACGGGCUAGCCUGCGCCAUUGUGAUAAGGCUGGACUUCAAGUCGAAAUCCAUGUCUCCUAUGUUGAUUUGCGGCCCAAUGGCCACAUUGUCAGUAGAGGGAGCAGCGAACUCGCGAAGAGUCUUGCUGGCCAUAGUAUUGAAGAUCGGUGGCGCUGGUAUGGCUGGUUUCUCUGUUGGUAGAGUUUUCUGCGGAGCAACGGCUCGCGGUCUGACGCCCCGGAAGAAAGCUUCUGGAUAUUCUUUGAAGUUUUCCGGCAGGUUGAAACCAGUCAUGCACUACCCUGUUUUCACAACAAAAAGUGAAAACAACCAAGGUUAGCCUGCAAAGGAAAUGAUUAUACAGAGGUAAAUAUAAAGUAUUAGUUCAAGCAAUCUCUAUUAUGAAUCUUCCCCGGCAACGGUGCCAAAAAUGCUUGCUGGUAUUUCUUAACGACAUUACUAGAAAUAUAAUUCCCAGCAAUGGCGCAGAAAUACUUCUGGUAUAUUAUGGUUACAGAGAUCAUCCGCAAGCGCACAGAUAUACCAUUGUAGCAUUUCACCCGAGAGUAUUCUAAGGGUAUCGUAUUUAUUUUAUCCCGUGGGAAGAUCAUGUAGAGAUAGAUUGACUAAUAAUUUAUAUAUUACUUAUGAUAAUCAUAUUCUAAGCAGGGGUUAAGAUAAUCCAAGGGUAGAGUGACACACAAGCAUUACUACUCAUUCUCAUAAUAUAUUAUCUGAGCUAAGUGGAAAGAAAAGAGAAAGAAAAUAUAUUCCUAUACUUCUAAUAUACAUAGUAUACAUACAUUCUAGUUAACUGAUAUACUAGCUAAUACCCUCUAUCCGAUGCCCUCCUAGUAUUUCGAGAAGCCACCCCUGACUGCCGAGUUCCUUACGAUAGUCUGUCAUGACCAUACAACCGGGGCUAAAUACGGAGGAAUACCCUCCCCAGGAAAUUAACUUAGGAUUAUAUACCGGUGCGGAGGAAUACCCGUACUGAGCUGUCACCAUCAGCGGCCCACCUCUCAUCCGCAACAUAUAACCCCAAAUAAUGAUAUCCCGUAAUCUAGACACUACGUCUAAACUACCAGAUAUUACUCUAAUAUCAUCGUCAUGACAUAGAGUAAUUGCAUAAGCAAACAUUAUACCCGCACCAAAGCAUCUCCUAGAUAUGCUAGCCGUAUAUUCAGUAUAACAUGAACAUAAUGUAAAAUAGGUACUCACAUACUCGGAAAGUAUUUCAAUACCAUAAAUGUAUUUAGAAGAGUAUGCUAAUAAAAGUACAAAAUUUACAAAAGAAGAAAGGAAAGCUGCUAGAGCCAUACCCGAACUCUUCCGAAGGCUUCCGGACUCCUGAUUCCUACUCUAUUUCUAUUCCACCAGCUAGAUACUACUAAACUAAACUGGAGAGAAAUGAGAGAGCAAUUGCUUGAGGUGUGUGAGUGAAGUGAGAAGAGAAGCUCUUUUUAUAGGUAGGUAAUGACGGUUGGGACGAUUGGAAUGGUCGGUAAUACCCUCCAACCGCCAUUGGGGAUCAAUCCCAGCUGUCCGUCCAAACCCUGCAUCCAUCGGCGCCACGGGUGGUUCGGCUGAACCCUAUGGUUCGGCCGAACCAUGGGCUGGCCCAACCCAGCCCAUCUUCGGCUGGCGGCCUCCUUUGUUGUCCUUCUUCGUAGACUUGUGAAUUUUGGCCCAAUGUGUCGUGUUAUUUCUGAGUUCUUGGCCCAUUCAUACAUAAGUCUAGUUCUCGACACCAUCCGAUUGAUUUAUCGUCGGAGUUGAUGUUGAUUCUCCUCCACUUUAUUGUCAUUCUCUGCAAAAGAUUAGUAUACCUAAUACUAGUGGAAUAUUAUUAUUCUAAUAGAUAUAUGUAUUGCAAGCAUCACUAGUUCUCCUCUAUCUUGUUGGGUCUUCUGUUUCUUCUCCUAUUUGAGUUGGAGCCCCUUCCUCUCUCCUUUCUCCUUCCCAAGAGAUUAUUGAACCUUCUAGCAAGAAGAGCAAUCUCUUCCUCCAAGUCCUCAUUGACUUCAUUCACUUUGCCCUUGCCCUUAUCUUCAACUUCGGCUUGGAAGGUGAGGCUUCCUCCAUCUCCUUCUUCUUCAACUUGUACAUGUCAUUGGUGUUGAUUUUCCCCAAGAGGCUUGCGGGUGUCAUCCUUGACAUGUCGGAGUUGAUGAGCAUGGUGACAAGGGUCUCAUACUUCUCCGGUAGAGCCCUAAGCAUCUUUUGGGCAACCUCAAGAUCGGUGUAGUGUCACGCCCGGAAUUUCUAUCCAAAAUUCCAAACGCUUACAUGUGUGUGAACCCUCGUCCAGGAAUCAGCCGAGGCACACAAUAACAUAUUGAUAAUAGAGUACAAUUAUUACUCUAAUUAAUAAGCGAAUAAAAUGUCAUUACAGAGGUAGAUAGUUCCUCUCAAUCAAUAAAGAUCUAAGCAGCGGAAAAAUAAGAAACAGCGCAGGCGACUCCUCUCCACAGGCAGCUUGACCAGGGCUACGCCUAAUCAUCCACACCAUCAGCAUCACUGUAGAACUCCUCCUCUGAUGAAUGAUUGCAAGGUGAGUAUAUGACAUACUCAGCAAGCCACGCAGCAAAUAUGCAAGUGCACAGGAUAACAAAGGAUGGCAUAGUAGGGUUUCAUUUGCUUAAACAACAUUUAUUAAACAUUUCAGAAUUUAAUAAAGCAGUUAAGUAAUAAUUAAACAAUAUUAAUCCAACGCUAUACAACAUACCCUGUUGCAUAGGCCCAACCAUUCUGAACAACCAUCCCGGCUGCACAGUUCUAUCUCCAAACCAGGAAUGUACCAUUCCAAACCAGGAGCUAAUCAAAUUAUUACCAGUUAUAGCAUCUUUUUUUAUGAUGGGAAAUGUGAAACUAAUCACGAAAGACAUUGUUAGACCCGCCCAUAACCGCGGGCACGGCUAUUCGAAUAGUUUUACUCUGGCCAGAGAUGUACCACUGUACCCAUAAGACACAGCCCCACGACAUGUCACCAUGCGCCUCAAUACCACCACGGUACCUCAGAAAGGAGCUGUGAUAGUACCCCUCACACAACACAAUCCACCACAGCGCACCGUUCCUGGAUCAUAAUCACCCCCUUAUAAACAAGGCAUGGACUCCCCAGCGACCCCCGUGAGCUUAUCUCCGCCACUUCUCAGUCUGGUGCCCCGCAAUGAACCAUGCUAUACAAAAGGUAAAGCCGUUGCCCACGCUGGCUUGUGGUUGGCACGGUUAAUGUUUCACAACCGAAAUUCGUGAACCGGUCCUUAAUUGUCAUGAGCACGACCAUCAAAACCAUGUGCUCACAACCCACCAUUAGCAAGUUUUAGUUGGCAAUUUAAUUAAUUAACCAAUCACGAUUGACCAUCGUGAGCUAUCAUCAAGCCAUCAUUAAAUAAUAGUGAAUUAUAAGUUAUCCCAAUAGUGUGCUCAUGUUUCUAAGCAUGGCUAAGCAAUCGUAUCUAAUAUCUAGCUGAACCAAUAUAUAAAGCCCAACUAGUCAAGUUAUAAUAACCCAAGGUAUCAAGGAAUAAAAUAAUCAAGAACAAAAGGGCUAUAACAAACCAUAGGUUAAUUCCACCCAAUGACAUUCGAAAAUAAAUGCAAUAGUUGAAUAAAAAUGAUAGCUUUAAACGGGAUCAACAUGCUCAAAGGGUUGUUUGGGAUCUGUGUGACUUGCCUUGCUGGCCUUGGAACUCUUCAAAUUCUUCUCCUGCGAAAAUGAACUCUCCGGAAACGUCGGAAUCUAAACAGAAAAGAGCAAAAACACCAAAACAGCACAUAAACAAGCAUGAAUAGUAAUGUGGAUAUUUUUAACAUGUAGAUCUCAAUUUUAGAAAAAUUUAGAGACUUGAACCAACUAAAUCCGAGCUAAGAUGAAUUAGUUAUGAAUUUUUAAAGAUUAAAUCGGAUUAAAACACUUAUAUGGGUUUUAAUUGAAUUAUGACGCAAUAAUGAAUUAUUUUUGAAAAGGAAAAGGGAAUUAUUGCGUCAGCGACUAGGGUUUGCGGUGGACCGGGUGCACGGCGACGGUUCACGGGAACGGACGGCCGAGAUCGAUCCUAACCACAACGGACGGCUAAGAUCUAACGGUCUACGACUGGUCUACGACGGAUGGCAACGAUGACGUCGGCGAUGACGUCAUCACCGGCGGCGGCUCGGGCGCGCAAGCUCGCCGGCGAACGACGGCGCGAUGGCACGAACGGAGGGCACCAGCGCAUAGAGAGCGACGCGGCGAACUCACCGGUGACCAAAACGGCGGCGGAAGAUCAACGGAAGGCGACGGCGUCGAGGAAGAAGCGGCGGCGACCUUCGGCUUGACGACGACGGCGGUGCUCUGGCGGUCUACAGCAACGAUGGAGGGGCGGACGAGGACGGCGACGCGACGGCGACCACGACGGCGGCCUUCCCGAGCGACAGCGACGACUGGAGCGACGGCGACGCACGGCUGGAGCGGUGGCGACGACGGCGGCGUGAGGUCUCACGGGGCUAGGGCGCUACGGACGACGAGAGACGAAGGCAGGGGUGGCGACGGGUAGCGGCGGGCUUGGGGGUCCUUUUAUAGGGGUUGGAAGGUGGCGGCAAAGGCCCACGGCGACCGGCGACGAGAAGGAAAGAUUAGGGUUCGGAGGAGAGAGAUCGAUCCGAAUCGAACUCGAAUCCACGAAUUUCCAAACGAAAUUAGCCGACGAUUCCAUAAGAGAAAAGAUAGAGGGGAUCCCAGGGAUCAUGUCCCCUCUAUUAAUUUCACCAGAAACGGAAAGGGGCGGCUGGAUUUGGAAGGAGACGGCGGCGCAGCUCGGCUAGGGUUCGGGCGGCGGCCGGCCGGAGGUAGACGACAGGCCUGACAGGUGGGCCCCACCUGUUAGCGGCAGCGAGCGCGCGCGCGGGCGGCUCGGCUUGACUUGGGCCGACUUGGGCCAAGGAGGAGAGAGAGAGGGUUUUGGUCCGACUUUCGGCCCAAAGCCAAAAGAGACUUUUAAAACCUUUUCCAAUUUAAAUAAUUCAUGAAAUGCAAUUCCAUUUAUUAAAAAUACCUCCUUGGCUCAAAUAAAUCCCAGAAAACUCUAGGAACUAUAGAAUCAAGCAAAGUAUUUAAUGAAAUUUUAUCUGGCCCCAUUUUAUAUUGGGAUUUAUUAUUUAAAAUUAGAUCUUCUUUUCAAGGCUUUUAAAAUUAUUUCUAAUAAUUCCAAUUAAACAACAAUUUAUAUAUUAACGAUUUUUAGGGUGUGACAUGUAGUUUGCCCCAAGCCCCUUGAGAUCAUUCACAAUGACAUUGAGCCUCCCAUACAUGUCAUUCACACUCUUAUGAGGCAACAUGGGGAAUGUCUCAUAUUGGAUCUUGAGGAAAUGAAGCUUGGCAUCCUUGUACUCGCUUGUGACCUCAUGGAUCUCCGCCAACUUGUUCCAAAUCUCAUAUGCGGUUCUCAAGGUUGCUCACUCUAUCGAACUCCUUUUGGCUCAAAGAGUUGAACAAAGCAUUCAUGGCUUGGGCAUUGAGUUGGAGGUUGCGGUGAUCAAUCUCAGUCAAGGGCGUGCCGGUGAUAGCAAAGCCUACAUCCACAAUACUUCAAAUAUGGAAGCUCAUAGCUUUGAGGUGAGUAGACAUUUUAAUUUUCCAAGUGGAGUAGUUUGUGCCAUUGAACAUGGGAGCCUUCCCUACAUGGUUCACCUCGUUCGACAUCUUCUCUCUAGGCGGUAAAACCCAAUCAAGAGAGACCAAGCUCUGAUACCACUUGUAGGAUCGAGAUGUCGACUAGAGGGGGUUGAAUAGGCGAUUUAAAACUAAAUGACACAUAAUCAAAACUAACCUAAGUUGCUAGGCUUGGUGAGGGUCAACUCUAACUAAGCAACUAGGUUAUGUUUUGCAAACCUAGGGUGAUAGUGGCUCAAUUAUAUCUCUAGGAAAGUAAAUCACACUCCUAUGUCAAUGUUUAGCAAUCCUAGGGUGAUAUGAUCUCAAGUUUGUCUCUAGAAAUGUAAAUUGCACAAAUGUAAAUGCGACAAUCAAAUGAGACAAGGAGACAAGAGAUUUUUCACCGAGGUUCAGAAACUCGUCGGUUUCCUACUCCCCGUUGAGGCGAGCCCAACUCCACCGCUCAACCACGAAGCCACCGCACGCCCCCUUCGUCAAGGGGUGGGCAAGGCGGGAGCCGGCCCACGGAGAGGACUACCCAAGCCUCGAUCACUAAGGUAGUUCUUCCUUCACUCCGAAGGUGGUGAACUCCAAACCACUCAUAAACCGGCGCCGGGCCUCCUCCACAAUCUUCUCGGAGAGGUCACCGGGCAACUCCUCCACAAGCCGUCUAGGAGGCGGCAACCUCCAAGAGUAACAAGCAAUGACCCGGCGUGGAGAUGAUCAAUCAAGUGCCAUACUAGCUCUACAAAUGGAAGCAAUGCACUUGACUCUUGGCUAAUUAACCCUCUAACACACUAGAUGGAUGAACACAAAGCUCAAGUGGGUGUGAGAGAGGUGCAAGGGGUGUAUGCAAUUGAAUUGGGUGCCAAGAGAGUCCCCUUGCUGCUUGAGGGGGAGUAUUUAUACUCCCACCAACCAAAACUAGCCGUUGGGGGUGAAAUCCCCCAACUUUGUGCUCUGCCGGUCUAACCGGAGGUAUGUGGCUGGUCAGACCGUGCUACUCUGCGACGGCUAGAAAACUAGCCAUUGUAGUGCUGUUAGAGGGCCCCAUCGGCCUGGCCGGUCAGACUGGCGUUGAGCAGGCGGUCAGACCGGCCUCGGCUCGGUCAGACCGCCAUCGACUCGGUCUGACCGAAUAAGGCUCCGUCGGCUCUGUAUCGGCCACCCCGAGUAGCACCAUCCCGACCUCCAGCGGGCCGGUCUGACCGGGCAUGUGCCGCCGGUCAGACCGUCCUUAUGGGCCGAUCAGACCACCGUUGUGAGGCCGGUCAGACUGGCCAGGGCACACCGGUCAGACCGCCACUAUGUGGCCGGUUUGACCGCCCCUGGUCAGGCCGAGCUCAGUGAAAGCAAAGGUGAGUAUUUGUGUGUGUGAUGAAAAUGUGAGCACAAGUGAAAAUGCAAUGACCUAAUGUGGCAAUUUAAUCAUCUCUUUGCUAGGUCAUUACCCCUCUUAAUAGUACAGCGAAACUAGAAAAUAAACUAGCAAAUUUGAUCGCCCUACACCUCGAUCAAUUCUAAAUUAAAGCACUAGUUUUACCGUCUUCUUUCUCUUUCCUUUGCGCCGUCAAUUUUAAUCGAUCGAUAGUCAUCCAUGCGCACACAUGACGUGGACCUAACUUAAAAUAUCAUCUCAAUAGCAAUGGUUAGUCCACAAUUAGCGCUUGUCAUUAAUUACCAAAAUUAACAACGUGGGCCUAGAUGCUUCACACGAGUACUUGAUGUAAAGCUCUCAGAAUCCUCUUUCCAUCGGAUCAACCUCAUUGUCAAAUUCCAUCUGAGUCAUCGGCAAUUGCAGAAACAAGGGGCUGCAUUGUCUGUAAUGGGCCUAUGGACCUGUAACUUCGUCUGGGACCUCGGCCCAAGUGGGGCCCAAGGGGGGGCUGCGCCCCAAACAGAGGGAGGACGCCCUUCUGACCUCCUCCAUCCCUUAAAUAGCUAGUAACCCCUUCAGGGUUAGUUGGGUUUUGUUUAGAUGAAAGUUUAGCCAUUGCUACUUCCUUGCAGCGCGCGUGUCGGCUAGACCGUCCGUCUGCUUGUAUUCGAAACCCCGAAACCCCAACUUAUCAUUUGUAUUCAAUUCCUCUUGGCAAUAUCAGAUUGCUUUUAUCUUGUUCUUGCUUGUUUCUUCGAUUUGCUUGCAGGAAUAGGGUUGAUCUGCACUGGCAAGAUCAACAACCCACGGAGAGGUGUAUCGAUCGCUAAGGCGCAACGCAACAUCUUUUACGGUUGUAGUCAGAUCGUCAACGUUUCUCCCAAAUCGUAGUUAUCUGAACUCACCGAAAGAUCGGGCCAAACUGUAGCCUUGAGUGCUAAGAGGACCUCAGGGUUCAUCUCAUCAGGUGGUAUCAGAGCUUUCUUGCUCGUUGAGUUUUUUUUAUCUAUCCAUAACCGAAAGCUCGUUGAGUUUUUUUUAUCUAUCCAUAACCAGAAAAUAGCCAGACAAAAAAAAAAUUGUGUCAUUUACCUAGCCAUAUUGUGCCAUUGCACUGUUCUUUUCAGUUUUUGCUUUGUUGAAUUUUGUGUUGCAUCGUCAUGUCAUGUUGCUGGUCUUAGCGUCUAGUUCGUUUAAAGUUUCGAGUUCUGGUCACGUUUUGUACCACAGUCGUCGCCCCCCUCCCCCCUUGUCGGAAUCAGUUCGCUGCCACGGUUCUAUUUUUGUAGUUUUUAGAAGUUUUUGUCGGUUAGUUUUGGAGUCGCAUCAAGGUUUUGCUCGAGUUUGUGGUUUGUAUGUGAAGCGAGUUGAUUCGGCCGCGCUUGUGACCUGAGCGAGAGGACGAAUCAGUUUUUGGAAGUAUGCGUUUGAUUGGGAAAGAAAUAGUAGGUUGGUUCGGCUAAAAAUAAGUUUCCCAUUUUUCCCCAACAAAUCCGGCCGCAUCCUUCCUUUCCUCACCCACCACCACCGCGGGUCCGCAACCAGGCCGAGUCCGAGUAUCUCCUCUCUGGGUUCAUCUAUACCGUGAUCUCCCAUACAACUUGGUAAAAUUUUUUUUGGAGUAUCAGAUUAGAAUUCUGUUUGCAAAAACGGAACCUAUGGGACGAGAGCAUUCUAUUUUUGUGUAUUUUUAAUUUUGGGUUUGCACUUUUACAUUUAAGUCCCUGUAAUUUUUAUAUUUACAUUUGAGUCCCUGUAAUCUUGCAUCCGGGUCCUUGAGUUGGUUUUUGAAAAAAAAUAAAAAAGGGAAAAAAAGGCAGAAAGGUGAAAAAAAAGAAAAAAAAAGGCGCAACAAAAAAAAAGAAAAGAAAACGAAAGGAAAAAAAGAGAGAGGAAGGAAGAAGAAAAAAAAGGAAAAAAAGAGCUCUUAUCUUUGAUUUUGUUCUCUUAUAUCAAAGUGAUGCUUGAGUAGUUCUCAAAAAAAAAGUGAUGCUUGAGCUUAUUCUAGUGUUAUCUUGUGGUAUUGUUUGUUUCUAGGCUCGCGUCUCUAGUUCGUUCUAGCCUAGGACCAGCACGAUACUUGACUUUGAACGAUUAUUCAACUUUGCAUUCUCUGAUUUAACCAUUUGCCAUACUUGCUACAUAUUUAAGCCUACCCAGAGCUCCACAGAUUUGACUGCAGCUAUACAGAUUGUGAACAUGUGUGCCAAAGUGUCGAUACAUCCAACUCCAUCGAGUGUUUGGUUGAGUCGGUGUGGACACCAUAUUCUAGUUUGCAUUGGUAAGAACUUGUAAGAGCUCGAUAAAAAGCUUGAGUGUGUGUGAUUUGUGAGCUUCCACUACCUAGUAGUUGAUAGGAACGUAUAUAUUCUUGUAUAUGUUUCUUGUUUGCUACUAACUAUGGCAGGGUUACACAAAGAGUUUGGAGCUGUUCGUGCUCAAUGUGGACAUUUUCACCUUCGACAACACAUGGCAAGUGACCAACAUGACGCAAAUAAGGUACAUGAUCAUAAUCUUGCAAGAGUAGAGUCUGUUUUUGCCAUCUUUUGAUGGAAAGUAUGAUUCUGCUGCAUACGUUAAUUGGGAGCUAGCAGUAGAAAAACAAUUUGAUGAGUAUGAUUUUUCUAAUGCUCAAAUGAUUAAGGCUGCUAGUAAUAAGUGUACCGGUUCUGCAUCUUUUUGAUGGCAUACUGUGGGAAAUAAGCUUGAAACUUGGGAUGAAUGCAAAAUACUAUUGAGAAAAAGAUUUGUGUUUUCAUACUAUAGACGUGCUCUCCUUGAGAAAUUUCAACAUCUAAAACAAGGUGACAAAACUGUUAGGGAGUACUUUCAUGAUUUUAAAAUUUGAUGGGCAUGUUAAUGUGACAUAUAAUCAUAUAGGCCAAUUGUUCAUGCUUGCUUGCAAUGUUGAGCGCAAAAUUUUGGAGAACCCAACAGAGCAACAAGCUAUGCUUGUGCCUCCUAUCACUGAUGUUUUGCAGGAAGUUCAGAACAGUCCCCAAAAUGAGAAGAACGAUAUGUUUGAGAUGUCACUUCCAUCACUCGCGAAUGAGGAGAAGGCUGAUGCACCUACAUUAUCUAAAGAGGGGAUAAAAGGUAAAUUAAAUGGUGCAGAAAUUACUCAAGGUGAGUAUGUUUCUGAUGAAUUACACUUUUCCACUUUCCAUGCUAACCUAGAGCAAACUUUAGUGGAACCUACUUCUGAAUUGCCUUUGUCACAAGUUGAUUUACAUUAUGUUCCUUGUGAUAAAGAAGAGUUGUGCGAUAGCACUUCACUUAUAUCCAUUCCACAACUAGUGAAUGAACAUGCUACUUUUAAUCUUGAUUCUCCAUGUACUGAAUUUAAGCAUGUUAUUCACACGUCCAGUGAGAAUGAUGAACUUCAAUUGCAAUCUUCUUUAAAUACAUUGGGCUAUAUUCUGUUUGAUGAUUCUUGUGAGCUCAAUUGUUUGAAGGACAAAAUAUUUGCUCAUUCUGAUUUGCCAUGUCCUCGUAAUGUUAUUUUUCACAUCUUUGGCAAAUAUAGUGAUAGAGAAAUUUAUUUGGUGCACAAAGUUUACAUUUGUUCAGAUAUGCAACCCUCUGUUGUUGUGCCAAGAAAAUGCAAACUGGAGAGUAGUGUUAGGACCACUAAUGUUACUUCAAGUUUGUUUUGCUUUUGUCCAAAGACGCAGGUUGGUUCUGAAGAAGGGGAGCGACGAGAUCGCUCAAUGUUGCUGCCAUAUACAGUAAAGAAUGCGCCAUAUGAAGCGUUGCGUGAGGAUAUGCUAUGUGAAUUACCCAUGUUAAAACCGAGGACAUUUUCCCGUGAAGAAGGGGAGGAUGAUGUGACCAUGCCUACGACGGAUACAACCAUUGAUCAUGUCAUAUACCCAUAGGUGGUAUCGUUUCAUAACAAGUGUCAAUUUAAUCUAAUCAAGAAUAUGACACUGCCUCAUAAUGUAUGUGUUUAUAUGUUCAGGACCAAUUCACUUAUUUUGGCCUGCAUAUGGAAGAUAAACACGAUGGCCAUGGUGCAUGCAGAGAUGGAGAUGAAGUCCGCCGCGUUCUGGAAUCCAAUUCGGCCACCUGAGAUAGUGCUGAAUUCAAACAGUUGCUAAAUCUCCAUAUGGCCUCCGUUUUGGGCCCACGAUUACUUGAUGGAAAGCUCUCGGAAUCCUCUUUCCAACGGAUCCAAUCUCAUUGUUAAAUUCCAUCUGAGUCAUCGGCAAUUGAAGAAAUAAGGGGCAGCAUUGUCUGUAAUGGGCCUAUGGGCCUGUGACCCCGGCCCAAGUGGGGCCCAAGGGGGGCUGCGCCCCAAACAAAGGGAGAACGCCCUUCUGACCUCCUCCAUCCCUUAAAUAGCUAGUAACCCCUUCAGAGUUAGUUGGGUUUUGUUUAGAUGAAAGUUUAGCCAUUGCUACUUCCUUGAAGCGCACGUGUCGGCUAGACCGUCCGUCUGCUUGUAUUCGAAACCCCGAAACCCCAACUUAUCAUUUAUAUUCAAUUCCUAUUUGCAAUAUUAGAUUGCUUUUAUCUUGUUCUUGCUUGUUUCUUCGAUUUGCUUGCAGGAAUAGGGUUGAUCUGCACCGGCAAGAUCAACAACCCACGAAGAGGUGUAUCGAUCGCUAAGGCGCAACGCAACGUCUUGUACGGUUGUAGUCGGAUCAUCAACGUUUCUCCCAAAUCGUAGUUAUCUGAACUCACCGAAAGAUCGGGCCAAACUGUAGCCUUGAGUGCCGAGAGGACCUCAGGGUUCAUCUCAUCACUUUCGAUGUUAAACUUGUAGACGAGAUCUAAUCUUGUUUCCUUGUAUCUUCAUUUAUUUUAGAUCUUCUUGACGACACGCUGGUGCAGAGGGUCAAGGAGGUCUUGAUCAGUGGCACCUCUUCGGCUGAAGAGCCGCCAGCCCCGCUCUGCGAUAAGUCGGCAGCCGAGAAAGCUGCUGCCAUUAAUGUAAGCGAGAACCGGGACGCCGCGUAUCUUUAUUCUUUUAAAGGGCCAAAGUGACUUCAACUCUUGCAGGUCUUGCCAUUGACGGAUGUCAUCGGUCCCCUUGUUGACCACUAGGCCUCCGCCUCGCUAAAGGGCAAGGUCGCUGAUGAGGUCGCCAAGAUCUCAUCCGCUCAUGCCAUCGCAGGGGGCAGCGGGACCAAGCGGAAGCCGUGGGCGAGAUCGAGCGCUCCCGCCGGUUCUCGGCAGAAGUCUGCCGGCUCCGAGGUAAAGCGCACCGUCCUCGCUCUUUGACUCCUUUUCAAAGAUACCGGAAUGGGGUCAUGAUUUGCUAUCUUACGCGGGAUACAGGUAGUCUGGCUCCUCCUCCAAAGAGGAGGACGUUGAAGCUGCCUGCCAGCAGGUAAGUGAAAUUCUUAACCGAUUUCGUUGUCGUAUGUUUGAUCUUCGCUGAUGAUGUCUGUUGACCUUGGUAGGAGAGUGUCUGUUGACCAUGCAGUUUACUCCAUGGCAGCUGAUAUCAACAAGCCUGUGGAUCCUAGUUUUCGAAGAGUGCAUAACCGUGUUGCGCAAGAUGAAAAUUUCUUGCCUUUUGCUGGGGAUGCAGGAGCUGCAGACGGGACCCACAUCCCAGUUCAUGUUGCAGUUGAAGAAGCUAAUUUGCACCGCAAUCGUCACCAUAUCACAUCAAGGAAUGUAUUAGUUGUAAUUGGAUGGGACGAUCGUGUUAUAUUUGCAGAUGCCGGAUGGCUUGGAGCUGUGCACGACCAGCGGGUGCUCACAGAAGCUAUCCGGAACUAUCCCCAUAGUUUUCCAAGGCUGCCAUGGGGUAAGUACCAAUGUUGACGGUUUUUUUAAUCCAGUUAGUACACAACACCAUCAUAUUACUCCCUCAUGCAAUUUUCAUCUGAAAUUUCUCAUGUUCACUGUCUAGGUAAAUAUCUACUAGUGGAUUCUGGGUACGCUUGCCAGUGCGGUUUCUUGCCACCGUACCCGCAUGUACGCUACCAUUUGAAUGAAUUUGCUGGUCAAUCGCAAGGGAGGGAAGAAACAUUCAACUAUAUGCACUCCUCCCUGCGUACUUCAGUUGAGAGAGCUUUUGGAGUUAUGAAGAGUCAGUGUAGGAUUCUUAGGGAGAUACCUCUUUUCCCUAGGCCACACCCAAACGAAGAUCAUACACUGCGUUUUUGCUCUCCACAACUUCAGGCUCGACAGUGCAGACCCCCAUUUCAUGACACAGAACCGGUUGUACAACAGGUACCCGCCCAUCCCACAGGCACCACUGCUGCGCAAUUGGUAUGACGCACGGAAUAGUGCCGCGGGGAUGAGAGCUGUUCGUGACGUGAUUGAAAGUUUACAACAAUUAGUCCUGCAUCACUUUCUAUCCUUAAUAAAUUUGUAUUCCUUGCUCAUGUCUUUCUCAAGUUAGCCUAUUUUAUGUGUGUUCUCGGUACGAGAAACAACUGUCCUGUUGUUCUACUCGAAUUUGUAUAACGCUAUUAUAUUGCUAUCUAUGUGAACUUUGGUAUUGUUAAUCACGCAUUUCACAUUCAUUAGAAUUUUAUCGAGCAAUUAAUUGUGUACAUUAAUCUACAACUAAUCAUCCUGCUGAUCACAUUACUUCUUUUUUUGUGCGCCUAUCACUGUCGGCUCCAUGCGCGCAGGCCUAUCUGAGCAAGGAGGAAAAGCCCCACCCUCUCCCAAGUCAAGCCGACACCAACAGCAGCGGCUGCAGCGCCUUUAGUGCUGCCUGCUACUGACAGCCCUGCCCGUCCCGUCACGUCGCUUGCAUCACUGCUCCGUCGGCAAUCUCAAGGAGCUACUCCAACCGGCAUCAAACUCCAUCCAGCCUUGCUACCUACUAUUCAGCCACCCACCAUAUUUACUACUAACAGCCUACAGUACUGAUUACACUCAGAUUUAAUUCGAUACUACAAUAAACACAGACGAGCGCACCCUAAGUACAGUGGUGAGUUUCUAUAUCCAAUAUUUAAUCGUUCGUCUUAUUUGAAAAAUCUAUAAAAAAAUUUUAAAAAAUAAAUCACACAAAGAAUAACAAUAAAAAUACUAAUAAUCAUAAAAAUUUUCUAAUAAUACAGAUGGUCAAUCGUUGGAUACAAAACCCACAACUAGACUUGUACUUUACUAAUGGUUAUUGAUAAGUUUUUUUUAACCAGUAGACAAACAUGAUUGAAUACCUAAACGACUUGCGGUGAUAUGGAGUCGCUAAUAUGACCAAAGCUUAGUGAUCUCUGGUCCUACGUUUUGCCCGUGGCGGCCCGCCCAACAAGCCAUGAAAAGCGACCCCCACGAGUCGACGCGGCCCAGCCCGCUAAGCCCCGCCCGUUAACCCGCUAAGUCCCGCAGUAGCCAAUCAACGAGCGGCAUUUGAUCGAGCCAUCUCCGCCACUACCCGAGAUGCGCCCCCUCCACACGUGGCCCUCCCGCACCUCAACCCCGACCGCCCGCCCAAUCAUCUUGCACCACGCGUCCGCCCCUCCCUGGACUCCUCUCGGUGGGUGGGAAGGGAGAGGAGAGAGGGAGAGGGGGGAGAGGGAAGCGCAGACGACGACAACACAGGUCGCGAGUGGAGGAGGAGGAGAAGCGAGCAAGCGCAACGCGAUUCUCCGCCGCGUCACCGAAUUGGAGGAUUUUCUGCCCUUCCCUUUUGCCGUGGCUGGAGAUGCAACCGUCGGGACCCGGGGGGCAGCGCGUAUCGGGCUCUCGUUCGGGUGCGGCGCCAGCGGCGGCCGCCACCUGAGGAGGAUGUUCGAGUGGAACGACGACCAGCAGCAGGUGCGCCGCAGAGGAAAUCCGUCCUUCCCUUUGCUUUUCUUAGCUGUAGUUUCGUGCCGCGGAUGCUGUGGCGGCUGGAUCUGCUUUGCUGUGCGAGCACGUGUACCGCGCGAAGCUAGUUUAUAUGUGGUGGUCUGGUAAGGGGAUAUUGCUUUUCCGCCUUCUCAUUUCUAGGGGAUUUUAGUGCUCGAAGAAGCAGCUGAUGAUUGUGAGCGAGCGAGCGAGGAUGAUAGGAUUAUUUCCAAGGAGGCUCACCUAGCAGAGAGAGUCUUGUGGGCAUUUAGAUGCUACCGCGUGCGGUUGGGUUGUGCUAGGUCUCAUAAGGUAAGGUUACACUAAAUUGGAAGUUAUGUAACUUGUAGAAUUGUCUAUUGCGUCGACGGGUGGUGGAUGUCCCAAUAAUCUUUUGCGACUCCACGGGAGUGCUGCCAAUCUGACUUCUAUCGUUAGUCUUCUCUACAUAGCAGUAUUGUGAACCAAGGUUAUAUAUUUUUGAAUUCACGUGACGGCUGCUGGACGCUGAUAACUUCAAGUUACAGUGUUUCUGUUGUGAAUUAUUAGAAGUAGGAUCAUACUCUGAUACUUAUGUCAUUUGGUGUAUUAAAGUUCUCUUAUAGUAGGUCACUCUUUGGGUAAUGUAAAAUGGAUUGGAUUGAUUAUGAAAAAUGGUCUUCUUUUUAUCAAAAAUUCAUGAUUCAGACAGCAGGCCUACCCAUAUGAAUUAAAACGUUGUGGCUUAAUAGUUUCGGUUUAGUGACCUAAAUUGUAUAAUCUCAUAUCACUCUCGAUUAUGAAUAGAGAACCAUGAUAGGAAUCUUGCACUCUAAUUUUACACAUUAUUUAUUCUACUAUACAAUUGAAUUUAUAUUGUAGGGUAUAUUCAUGUGUGUUCUCCUUUAGGACCUCAUCUUUUCGCUUAUGCUUAUGCUUAUCAGCUAAAAUUUGAAUUUUCAACCUUAAAUUUGGAGCUGAUUUUGAGGUUUUUUCAUCAAAAUUUAUUUUUCAGCCUUUUCUUUUAGAUCGCUAAGAACACGUAUAUAACAGUUUUAUUCACAAAUUACUUUUCAUUUGCAAAUACGCCGUUUCACUUAUUCGCGCGUUUCGCUUAUUCCGCGAAUAAGCGAAACGAUGGCUCCGUAAAUUGUUUCAAAAUAAUUUGACAAUGAGACUCUGCUUAAAUUUCCUCAGAGUAUUUUCAGAUUAUCGUUUGAAUUGCAGGUGGGAGAUGCAAUAUGGGCUGAGUUCAAUGAGAAUGAAGACCAUAUUGUGCCUUACCCUAAGGAUACAGAGGAUAGUGCAUUAGUAAGUGUUGGAGACCAGAAGAAGAAUGAUGAAGAAACUGAUAAUAUUCCUGGCCUUACUGAACGAAGUUCAAGUGGUCAAACUGAGUUUCCAGUUUUGGAAAAGCAGCCUGCCUCUCAGGCUAGUGAACAUUAUUCAGCUACACAACUUGACGUUGAAUCCUGGCCUGACUUGCCUUCUUUGAAUGCCACACUUGAUAGAAACUACAGCGAUGAUAAUAUAGCAUCUACAUAUUUGGAUUUCAGUUCUGCACCUAGUUUAGAGAAGGUCACAGGAAACACAACAGGUUUGUUUCAUCCUAUUACUGCUGCGUGUGGAUUUUAUUCCUGCUUCAUUUUCAUAACAGCUAAUCUAUAAGCAUGUUGAUGCAUGGAAAAAAGGAUACCAUUUAUGUAAAAGAAGAGGUGACAUAAUUUGUGAGCAAAUUAUAUAGCUUUUGUUAACCCAUGUACAGUGCAGCUGGAUGGUGAAACUGAAGUGUUUGGUAAUGAUCAUGAAGAAAAGAGUAACAGCUUCCUUGAUUGUGACUGGGGUAAUAUCGGAGAUUUUGAUGAUUUUGACCGCUUAUUUAGGUAAUAUCAGACACUGGAAGAGGUUUUCCCUGAAAUCUUAUGAAUUAAUAAAAUCAUCACAUGUUACAAUUGAAUAAACUCAUCACAUGAUGUUAUUGUCUACAGCAAUGGUGACUCCAUAUUUGGUAAUGAGAUGGUUGCUGAUGGCAGUAAUUUUCUCUCAGCAUCUUCAGAUCUGGUGGAUACUACUGUACAAUCAAUCCCCUUUCCAGUAUGUCGAUACAUUAAUAAUCUUCCACUGUGAAUUUUCAUCUCUUUCCAUAAUUUUGAACUAUUUUUUAUCUAUACUAUUUACUUGAUGGUUCCACAGCAUAUACCACUGAAUAAACAACUAUCUUCUGAUCAUGGAUCUUCGCUUCUGAUUAAUGAAACAUCUGGUGGAACUACCGAACAAGAAAGCAAGGUAAAUGUCUAAAUGCAUGCAUUUAUGUGUCAUAAUUAGCAGUUACUUCUUGGCUACUCCUGUUAUUCAUUUUUGGCAGGUAGUAGACGCUAAUGCUAAAUCUGGAGAGCAAGCUGAGCAUAAAAAUCAUCUGAAUAAUGAAUAUUCUGGAAAACCAAAUCAGUUUCCAAAGGAGGUAGUCAGCCAUGUGAUGCAUCCUAUCAACUUUUAUGAAUGAAAUCCAUCUCCCACAUUUUGUUAUAGUGAUACACUAAAAUAUGUCCUGAGGUUGUUUUCAUUGUUCUGAUCCCUCAUAUAAGAGUGUUUACAUUUAGGGUAAUAAGUUUGAAGGACAGCUGUUCAUUUCGAAUUAGUUUUUUGUUUUACCGAAUUCUUCAUUAGCAUGUAUUUUAAAUCCAGGAAGCCAUCUAAACUGAUUUAAUUAUAAAUCAAAGUCCUUUCUGACAGUUUCAGCUAUAACUUUGUGAUGUCUUUUAAGGUUCCAGUAAAUUAAGCACUGUGAGGCAUCAUAAUGACCAACAUACAUUCAUUAUAUGAUACUCUUGUGAUUUAUGAUACUCCUUUUUUUUUGUUUCUAUUGGAGGUUGUCAUGUUUAUCUACCUUUUUCAUUAUAAAUGUCAAUUUUUCAAAUUAAGAUUUGAGAUGCAGUUGAAUAUUGAUUAGUUUAUCUGACUUGUAGGGAACAAGUUUGCUCUCUUCCUAACUAAAUGUAAAUAUGUUUCUGAACACAAAUAUGCUUCUCCAUGUAGGGAGAUGUGCAGAAGAAGUCAGUGAGGUCACGGAGAAGAACAGAAGAAAGAGGCAAAAGUAAAAUGUCCAAUAGUACAAGUGGCUUCUCCCAGAACCAAGGACAGCAUCGACCAGCCAGUUCGCAUUCAUUGGCCAAAGCCCCUGCGCAACCCCUUCAGACUCCUCAAUACUUGCUAUUACAUGAUAACAAGAACAUGGGACAACUUCAGCAGGCUAAUCAGUUUAUUUUCCCUGACUAUGGAUAUCCUUCAUAUCAAUUUCCUGGCAUUCCUCUGAUGUCAAAUGUUCAGGCUGAAAGCCAUCAAACAAAGCCAGCUACUACAAAUUACCGAACUUCAAUAGAUUCCCCAAAACAGUCAAGUUCCGCAGAAAAGUCACAAGAUAUACCAUCAAGACCAUUGAUGAUGACACCCCAAGAAAAGAUUGAAAAGCUUAGGCGUCGACAGCAAAUGCAAGCACUGAUAGCUAUUCAGCAGCAGCAGCAGCAGUUUGGUCAAGAUGGUUCUGGCAGCGAUACCAUGGUACCUCAAGCGUACUCACCAAAGAGCAAAAAUCCAGAUUCCUUAGGGAGUUCUGUUGUCAUAGAUGAUAAUGCAAAUAAAGUUUUCUCACUAGAGCUGAUUCCAACUGGCCAUGAAGAGAUUCAGAAGAGUUCUGGGAUUCCUGAUGACCCCUUUAUAGAAGAAAAAAUAUAUUAUCAGCUUCAAGAUGCUCUUGCGAAGGUAGCUUAUUUAGUAUUUCUUCAGAUUUUUACAUUGAUUUUUUUAUGCCAUGUAAGACCAUAUCUGUUGCAGGGCUUAUUUCAAGAUAAAUUAAUUGACCAUAUUUUCUUCUUUACACAGUUGGAUACCAGAACUCGGCGUUGUAUUCGAGACAGUUUACUCCGUUUGGCCCAUAGUGUCUCAGAGAGACAAAUUACUAGUGACAGAAGUAGUGCUAACAAGAGUAAUAAAGAUGAUGAUGAAGUUUCAGAAGACACAUCUAAAAGAAGGUAUGCUUUGCUUCAUGCCAUAAUGGUUCCAUUAAGUAUUACCAUCCUCGCAUUUGGACACUGCUAGUAGUAAUGCGUUGCUUUACUGUACAUAAUGCAAUAUUGCAAUACUCCCUCCAUUAAAAGUCUAAGCAUAUUUCUUUUUUCACCAAAACCAAGAAGAAUAUAACUCAUCCCCCAUGUAACAAAAUCAAGGAACUAUAUGCAUGCAUGCAACCAAUGAGUAUUAAGAUGGUUUCUUGGGCUCUGAUCAACAAUUUAAUUUAGCACAUUGAAACUGCAAAUAUGAUCAUCUCAUUUGGUAAAACCAAAAAAAAAAUAUGCUUAAGACUUUUGGAUGGAGGGAGUAUAUAAGUAAUAUUGCUAUUUUAGAUCAAGAUACUCCUAAGUUGAACGAUUGUACAUUUAGGAAUAAAAUUAUGUUCCAGUCAUCAACAGUACAUCGGGCACAACAGGGGAUAAUGAUCUGAAUGGCAUCAUGUUUGUGUACUUCUAUCUAAUUAAACUAGGAUAACAGUUCUAAUAUUGUGAAUUGUCCUAUCAUAUCAUAUUUACCCAAUGAUAUUUGAAAUUGAAUAGGAUAAAAUAUUGAAAUUAAGUAAUCAAAAGUUUCAACAUCUUUGUUUUGUUGGGGUUUCUCAUUUCUUUUAAGAUUUUAUUUGUUAGUUCAUCCUUAGUAAAAGGAUACUAUGGAUCCAAUGCUAGUUUUUUUGUUGUACUGGUUGGAGGGAACAGCUGAAGGUUCCCCUGACAUUUUGGUUGUAGCUGGAAUGUGCAGCCUUGUACGAAAAGAUUCUGAAAAUCUCUCCAAAAAAAUAAACACAACCCUAGCCAAGAAGCUCUGAAAUUCCUUCAUCAUCCAGCAAGUAGUUGAAGAUCUGCAAUUUCUACCUCGUACCAAUUCAUCUUAUUUAUACCAUCUUUUUGCUGCUUGCAAGUAGCUAGCUGCCGUUGCGUAUAUAUGAGUACAAUAGGUAUAUUUUUUUUCAGUGACAAAUUCUUGAUUGAUACAAUCCCAGAUCUCCAGCAAGUGAAGCAGAAACAAACACAAAUCCAAUCGACCGCAUUGUGGCACAUUUACUGUUUCAUAAGCCUUGUUCAAAGGUUUCAACACCUGCAAAAGAAGAGAUCAAAUCCUCAACUCCAUUGCCAACUGAACCUGGUGUGUGUGUGUUUAUAAUAUAUUUGUUGGUUAACUAGUCUGAAUAUGCCAUCGUUAGGUAUGUAUACACAAUGAACUAACAUGAUGCUUGGGAUUUACAACACUGUGCAGAUUCGAAGAUUCCUACAGACGCACCUGGGGGACCAUCAGAAAAUCACCAGAAUGGGCAAGAAAUGACACUGCAGCCUUCACUGUAAUGUAAGAUGUAUUAAUGGAAGAUUUUGCUCAAAGACCAGUGAGAUCAUAAUUCUUUGUGUAUCUGAUGGCCCAAUUUCUCUGCGAAUGGCUGGUGUUUCUCCUUAGAGUAUGUGGCAGGGGACCAAUGAAUUGCUCAACAUCAACAUGGUUAGCUGCCUCUAAAGAUGGCCAUUGCCAGUCCGCUGAUCACCUCCACUGUCAGAGAUCAUUACGUGAUGUAUCCUGCUGUAUCAGUUUCACCAUCCUAGUGCCUUGUGUCAUAUCCCAAAAAAAAAAAAAAAAACAACACUGUACAGUUUAGACUGGAUUCAUGCCGAGGUGACACUUUGGGUGUGUAUGUUAGAGUUCACUGAAAGAGAGCGAACAUUUGGCUCUAGAAAUACUUUUGUCGUUGGAAAUUCCUCGAUCUUAUUCCCCAGAAAAUGUCCUGUUCCACUCCAUAACAUUCAUGUGCUAUGUGUUGGUCGCUAAGCUCGAAAGAACUUUGUCAUUCUAACGGAACUAUUUGAUGACACAUCUUUUGCAUGUGUCGGCGCUAACGACUUGGCAUUCAUAGGUGGGGUAUUUUUCGAAUUGGCAUUGCUAAAAUUGUGUCGCCAUUUUUUUCAACCGGUUGCAGUCGAUUUUUGCUCGGUCCAAUUAUCUCCAAGAUGUGGGGCUAGUAUUUGCUUUCACUCGAAGAUUAAACUAUAUUUUCUGCUGUUCUGUUUUGUUUCUAGCGUACAUGCUGAUAUUAUUAACGGAUAAAUUACUCGUACUAAUCACAUCGUACUUACUUCCUCUGUCUCAAAAUAUAAUAACUUUUAGCACUUAAAAUUUGUCUCGAAAUAUAACAAUUUCUCCAUCAACAUUCUCUUCCCAACCAAUCAGAACCCUCCACCAUUCACUUUUCCCACCUACCUCCACUAUUCAUCCAAUCACAAUCCUCUACCACUCACUUCUACUACCUACUUUCUUAAUAACCGUGUCCAACCAUAAAACUUAUUAUAUUCUGGGAUGGAGGGAGUAUAUUAUAAUUACAUACUAAUUACAUAUGUAAUUUUAAACUUACAUAUCUAAUUUUGGAACUUAUAUAUGUAAUUUUGAGACUUACAUUGUAAAUACACUAAAAUUACAUAUGUAAUUUAGAAAUUUACAAUAUACUCCCUCUAUCCACAAAAGUUACACAUAUUACUUUUGAUACCAAGACCAAGGAGAAAUUAAAUCAUCUUGGAUGUUACAAAAUUAAGGAGUGAAUGCAAGCAUACAACCAAUGAAUAUUUAGAUGACUCCUUGAGUUCGAAUAAAACAUUUAAUUUAUCUCUUCAUUUAAGUCUUGAAUGCAUAAAGAAUUAAAGAUUAUAAAUAGGAACAACUUAUUUGGAAAAACUCAAAUGUGAAAUAGGUGUAACUUUUGUAGAUGGAGGGAGUAUAUGAAUGCCGACUAUUUUUUAGUAAAAAAUAUAGCACCAUAUGGAAACAAAACAGGACAGCAAAAAAUAUGGGACUAUCUACAUAUCUGUUGAUAGAAAAUUCCACCUCCUAUCUUUCAAAUUUUGGACUAUUAGAUAUGCUUUAAGAUUCGAGCAGACCCUUUAACCCUAACUCCUCUUCUCCUCCCUAUCCAGAUCACGCCGCCACCACUCCUCUCGUCCCUCGCAUGAACUCCCGCUGCCACCGCCCCUCUGCGCCGCUGUCCAGCUGGCAGCCACCGCCCCUCUGCGCCGCCGCCCGCCUUGCCGGCUGGACAGAGGGCGUCAACGGCGCCGGCGAGGCCCCCCCCCGACCAGCCUCCUCCCCCUCCCCCCCUCCUUCCUCCUUGAGCAGUCGGCGGCGAGAUGCCCCCUCCACCAACGCCGGCCCACCGCCGUCCUCCAGCCUGCCGCCUCCUACGGCCAUCCCUCUAAAGCCGGCAAACUCCCCCCUCUUCCCCCUCCCCCUCCCCCCCUCUUCCCACCCCCACCCCACCCCGGGACCCUAAUUCGUUGGCCCUCUACUGGAGUUCGGGUUCGCUGGUGCCGGAGAAGAAGAGGUGGUCGCCGGAGUUGGUGAAGAAGAACAUGAAUUGUGAAGCACAUCCAGUGAUCCAAAAUUUACAAGAUUUGUGGUUAGAUUUUCUGUCGACAUAGCUUUAGCAAUUCCGAAUAUAUAUAUAUAUAUAUAUAUAUAUAUAUAUAUAUAUAUAUAUAUAUAUAGCUCCUCCCUUUAUUUGAAAAAGCACACAUCCUUCCUUAUAUGCAAUUUUGCAAAUUACCGAACGUGUAAUUUGUGAAGACAUCUACUACACAAAAACCUUUGUACCUGCGUUUGUUUUUGCUCCUGUUACCAAUUUAUGAGUAUGUACAUUAACAGCUGUAGUCCAUUAACAAGUGUCACUCAUCCCAUCAAACUGGUGGCAUGUAAAGCAACUAUCUCCCUGAAUUUCUCUAUACAGUAUUUGAAUUAACCAUGUAUAUGUGUCAAAAAGAGAAAGAAUUAAUCAAAAGAACUCGGUAGGAGACCAUGCUACUCCUACUCCUACCAUGGUUUCCGCUGUUCCGUCUCAGUACUGUCCGCGUUGUGGCGCCUCCUCAGCUCCGCCCAGUGGUCGUACGCGUCGCGCAGCCGGCGACGGAACCGUACCAUGUCCAGCCGCACGUUCUGGCCAUCGAGGUAAACCUUCUUGGUGACCUGCCACCCCUUGGCGUUCACGGUGUCCGGGUCGGUGAGCACCGCGUCAUCCUUGGCGUACUGCCGGUACAGCGAGCUCUCCGCCGGCUUGAUCUUGUACGGCAUGUACCGCAGCCCGAGCCGCCGCGCCGGCUCGCCGUAGUAUGUCUCGGCGGCCCAGUCGGUGCCGAGCGGAACGACCUGGAUGAAGACGGAGCCCGGCCGCAUGAAGAGGAAGUGCGUCAUGGCCGCGCCGUGCACGCCCACCAUGACGUCCGAUGCGUUCAGAGCACGGUACAUCUUGGCGAGCUCCGUAUCCUGACGAGGCUGGAGCACGGCGACGCGGAACCCGGCGCCAGCAGCUGCACGCACCAGCUCGGCCUCGUUCUCGAUCGCGCGCGACCCGUUCCGUGACACGAUCACCAGUCGUGGCUUGUCGUCCUUGAGCGCGCUCUUCUUCCUGAUGCUGCCUUGGGUCGGCGUCCCCAAGGCCACCGCCGCGGCCUUCUCCUCCUCCUCGAUGAUCAUCUGUAUGCGGCCGCGGUAUGCGUCGUCGAGCAUCCGACGGAAGUCCUGGAUGGUACGGUUGCCCGGCAUUCGUGCGGCGUCGAUGGCGAGCUCGUCGUGGAUGCGCAGCCCAACGACGGCCUCCGGGAAGCAGUGGGUGCGGCGGUCGUUGGUGAAGUCGAUAGGCGCGUAAUCGGAGAGCUGCUCGACGAUGUGGCCGUACUUGGUCAUCCACCAGUCGUGGUACUCGAGCAUGACGAACACCACCUUCUUGUUGUACUGGCGCGCGGUGAUGUAGAGCGGGAUUAUGCCGUCAUUGAACUCGUGGUACACAUUGCCGGUGUACCCGCCGGUGGAGAACACGACGGCUGGGACGUCGUGCCGGACGUCGCAGCUAGCCGGCGCCGCACCCCCCUCGGGCACGGCACGGAGCCGGAGCUCGUCGAUGGUGCUCAUGAUGCUGGACUCCCACUUCCGGGUGUAAGGGCGGAUGCGCUCGUCCCGGCCAGCGGCGGCGGUGGAAUUGUCCGGCGGCGGCACGAGCAAGAAGAGAGAAUUGGAAGCGGCCUCCGUCCGGACGUCCCCGCGCAUGAUGCACACGUCCGUACGCAUGGCGGUGCGGUCGCAGCAGAUGGUGCCGUUGGACACGGCCGCGCACGGCGGCGGCGGCGGCGUCUCGUCGUCCAGGCGCGUCCUCCCCAUCUGCAGCAGGUCGUCGACCGCGGCUGAGAAAGGGCUCCCUGGCAGCAGCAGCAGCAGGCAGGAGACAAGCGCGAACCCCGCGAGCAUCCGCAGCAGCGCGUCGUGGCCGUGCUUCCGGUGGUGGCACGCGUAGUCCACGAGCCGGCGCCGGAGCUCCUUCAUCUUGCCGGCUCCUUCCUCGGCCACCAGCUGCUGCCCCUCCUCUGCCGUCGCAUCCCCUUUCCUCUGCUGCUGGUGCAGCAGGAGGGUGGCCCUAUGGUGUUGCACCAUGUCACCCAAAUCAAUCCCACCUCCGACCACAAGUCCAGGAGAGAACAAGAAAGAAACAGAGCAAGACGAACAAGAGGAGAAGAUGAGGUAAAAAGAGCUUUUCGCUCCGAGUUGCCGUGCAAAGAGGCUAGUACCACUCGGUGGCGUGAUGGUGUGUCUCGUAGAGUCUAAAUGUGGGUGGGGGGAAGGCGUGAGGAAGGAAUUGGCAUUCCCCCGCUAAUAAAAACCGCGUUUCGGUCAGGGUGGCUAUAGCUUGCGGGGGAAGGGAAAUUGGCUGCGCCGCUGACCACUGGAGAUGGACUGGCACUGGAACGCAGCGGCGUGUGGUGGGUGGUGGCACCGAACGAACCUGCCUGCCUGCGUGCGUCGCGUCGCGUGGGUUGGGACGUUGGGUUGGCGGCUGCAGCUUGCUGCUGCCGUUGGUUGGAAGCAUCCCACGGGAUGGAAACGUUUGCGCGUGCUUUCCAAUCGUUUUUUUGUGGGCAGCAUGGGAAUGCGUGCGUGCGAGUAUUAGGCCCUGUUUAGAUGAGACUAAAACUUUUAAGUCCCUAUCACAUCGGAUGUUUGAAAAUUAAUUAUAAAUAUUAAACGUAGACUAUUAAUAAAACCCAUCCAUAAUCUUGGACUAAUUUGCAAGACGAAUCUAAUGAGCCUAAUUAAUCCAUGAUUAGCCUAUGUGAUGCUACAGUAAACAUUCUCUAAUUAUAGAUUAAUUAGGCUUAAAAAAUUUGUCUCGUGAAUUAGCUUUUAUUUAUGUAAUUAGUUUUGUAAGUAGUCUAUAUUUAAUACUCUAAAUUAGUGUCUAAAGACAGGGACUAAAGUUAAGUCCCUGGAUGUAAACACCACCUUAGCUGUCUACAGUCCAUGUUGCACUGUAGCUGUUUUGUGCGUCUGGGACUGUAUCACGCAUUGACGCUACUUCUUGCCCCAUUGGUUUUCCACGCGUAUAUUUUUCAAACUGCUAAAUGACGUGAUUUAUAUAAAAAAAUUUUAUAUGAAAGUUAUCUUUAAAAAAAUCAUAUUAAUCUAUUUUUUUAAAAAAAUAGUUAAAACUUAAUUAAUUAUGCAAUAAAAUGAACUUCGUUUUGCGUGCCUGGUAGGAGGGGUUCCCAACCCCCUCCUCCGAAUACUACAUGUGGUUCCAUUUAGGGGUGAGGUGAUGGAGCAAGGGAACGAUUUUUUUUGCUUUUUGAGAACAGAAGGGAACGAAUUGGAGAUGAUAUUACUACUGCUAUAGUACUUCCCUUUUCUUUCUUUUUUUCUUUUCGAGAAACCAGUUUCCUUUCUUUUCUGCCAGGGAAGUUCGGUUCGGUUAUUGCUUCCCAGUCCUGCCGCUGAACUUUCGAAAUAGAAAAGGGGGCCAUUUCUAUUCCUACGUGUGAGUAAAACAAAACAACGAUAAAAAAAUACUAUGAGCUAAAUAAGAACAGGAGACUAUUGCCUUUUAUUUUUAUAUACUUGCUGCGCAUCAAUCUGACCAUUACUUGGUUUCUGGAAUACAGCAAAGAUUUUUCUUUUGAAAGAAUAUACUAGUAGCAAAGAUGACGAAAUGUCCUAGGAUGGACUAAACCAUAUCUUCUUUGACACGGAAGCUCUUUUUCCGUAUACUCCUAUUUUAUUAGACUGUAUUUAGAUUAAGGGGUGUAAAGUUCUGGCGUGUCACAUCGGAUAUACGGACACACAUUUAAAGUAUUAAAUGUAGACUAAUAACAAAACAAAUUAUAGAAUUCACCUGCAAGCUGUGAGACGAAUUUAUUAAGCCUAAUUAAUCCGUCAUUAGUAAAUAUUUACUGUAGCACCACAUUGUCAGAUCAUUGAGCAAUUAGGCUUAAAAGAUUCGUCUCGUAAUUUACACGCAAUCUAUAUAAUUAGUUAUUUUUUUUAUAUUUAAUACUCUAUGUAUGUGUCUAAAUAUUUGAUGUGACAGGGUAAAAAAAUUUACCAGGAUCUAAACAGGGCCUUAUCCGUGCUAAAAGUUUUUCUUAUUUUUUUUAAGAAAGGUCAUAAGACCCAUAAGACCCAGCUUCUAUUGAAAGCCAAUCCGUGCUAAAAGUUGGAGAAAAUUUUGAUUCAGACUUCAAAUGUGGGGAACAGUGGGGGCACCCUGAAUUGAAUAGUGUUUUUCUUUUUGGCCCUUAGGUAAACAGUGCAUUUGGGAGUAUAUGUGAGCAAUGCAAUUACUGGGUUUCCAGCCAGCUAACCACUAUUAGGCUGUGGUCGGGACUCCCCAGUACGCAAAACGAAACAGUGUUUAGCACGUGAUUAAUUAAGUUUUAGCUUUUUUUAAAAAAAAUGGAUCAAUAUAUUUUUAAGCAACUUUCGUAUAUAAACUUUUUACAAAAAAUACACCGUUUAGCAGUUUGAAAAGCGUGCGCGCGGAAAACGAGGAGAAAGGGUUGGGAACAUGGACAAACGAGUUGUCGCUCUACUACAUACCCGGAUAGGGAGGACUUAAGUGAUCUUGAGGGCUGUCACCACCUCUACACCUACAUCAAACGUUGCCGAUUACCAAAUUUCACUGUUAACAAACGUACAGUGGGAUACGCAGCAAUUACUGGAUAACAAUUACCUAAACACCACGUCUAAGCAAUUAAUAUCUACUUUAGUGUUUAUAACUCACCAAAGCAAUCACUAUAUUUUAGUUGAUUAUAGUGAACAAUAAUCCUAUAUGCUAUUUAGGAACUAACCAAGAGAUAAUUCUCACAAGAUAAAUCUAAAUUACUCACGAAGAAUAUUAUAUUGAAUUCAGAGAAAUAAACAGAAUAAAAGAAAUAGAAGAAGAUUACCGACAACUCCGGAAUUCUUACGACUUCUUCUACUCUACUCUCUUCCUAUUCUAGUAUACAAUAUAGUACAAUAGAGCCUCUUACAAUUCAGCUCAAGCUUGGAAGUGUGUGUGUGAAGUGAAGAAGUGAGGUCUAUUUAUAGGGCAGUUAUGACGGUUGUGAGAAGGAGAAAUAUCCGAACUGCCCCGCAACCGUCAUUAGGAUCAACGGUGAUCAGGGGGGUUGGGUUCGGCCGAACCUGGGCUGGGCCCUCUCGGGCUGGCCUUCGGCCUGUGGACUCCCUGGUCUCUCCUUUGUCUGUUUCUUGGAAUUUUGGGCUGAGUCUUUGGUAUUUUGAUGAAGUUCACAACCCAUCCUUGUAUGGAUACUUGUUUCUCCUCACUUUAGUCUGAUUUUCCUCCCAACUUCAGGGUUUAUCACCUGCAUACAAAUAUACACCAACACUUGUGGAAUAUGUGAGAUUAAGCACCUAUCACUAUGUUGGAUGUUUUAUUAUUUGAACUUUAUGCAGAUGUUAGCGGUAUAGAAUCAGCAUUUAACAGCCGCCAACAAAACCCCCCACACUUAGCCCUUUGCUUGUCCAUGAGUAAAGGCUAGUGUAGAAUGAAUUUCUUCAAGAUAUGAAUCAAGCAUACAAAUCAUUCACAACCAUACCUAUUCCUGUGAACUUUAUCAGUGGCUAUCUUACCAUCUUGAGUAAUUGAUAGAUGGAACGAUCUCGAUUCCAGUUCUUCUUGCUUCUUCUGUCAGACUCAUGGGAUUUUUUAAUGAAUUUUCGCAAACCAGCUCCUUUCCUCAUGUUGACUUUCUCUCUUAUCUCUCAAGGAUGUAUAUUUUCUUUUUGGAUCCUCACCAAGGCAAAGUGUGCUAGAAUUUACCCCUAUUCUAAGGCUGAUAUGUGGAGCUUGGUUGGGAAAAAUUGUGACAUACCUACAUCAUAUAUAUUGCAAAGCCAAAAAUACGGACUCAAGAAGAUCAUCAGCCAUACUCCUAGAUCAAGGGUCUUUAAUUGUGGUAGAAAAUGGAAAAGUAAAAUAUUUUGUGGAAUGAUGGAAUAAAGAAAUGAUUCUCCCUUUUUCCUAUACUUUCUCCUCCUUUUUGUUUUCUUGGCAUAAAUAUGGAAGAGGCAUGGCUAUAUAUAUAUAUAUAUAUAUAUAUAUAUAUAUAUAUAUAUAUAUAUAUACUCAUCAUGGCUAUAUAUAUACUCAUCAUGCUCAAUGUUUUGAGAGCAAGUUUUAUUCCCUUUUCUCUUUUUUUUUUCAUAGCCAUGCCUUUCCCUCCUUUUCUCAUUUUCUUUUUGCCAAGGAUUUUUUUCUAGGAGAAGAAAGCAUAGUCUAAAGUACGAGUUUAUUUGAAUGGAAUUUUUGUGGGAAGCCAACUUCCAGUGUAGAAGCUUAGCUUUAUCAUGUAUGUGGAAAUGAAAGUGGAAUUGACCCCUUGAUCGUGAGAGUAUGAAAGAUAUCUAACACGAGUCACAUCAAUUUGACAAAGCUCAAUAUAAUGCCAAGCAGUCAUAUGCAUAAUAAGGUUUAUCAAAGAUACUCUUGCAUAUGGCCUUGGUAGGUAUAACAUGAAGUCAAUUGGAGGAUUGAGCUUUUUUUAAACAUGUUAUUUUGAAAACAAAUUCCCAAGAGUCAUAACAAGAGUUGCAAGAAUUCCUUUCAUCUUUAAUCAUCUCACAUAUAGCAAUCACUUGGAUGUAUAAGGUUCCCUAAACAUGGAGGGUUGUUCACAAGCACAAAUUCAGCUGAGAAUAAUGAAUAUACAAGAUCAAUCAUAUGAAAAUUUUCAUUAAUUGGAAAUUUUAUCUUUUACUUAUGCUUGGACCAAUUGUUUUUUGAAUUUCCAGCUCUAGUACUAUACCAUGGUGGAGAUAUACAGAUAAUAGACGUGCUCACCAGCUUACCUAUGAAAGUUGAGAGGGAUUGAGGCCAGCUUUGGUUCGGUCGAACCUGGUGGUUCGGCCGAACCACUCUGGUGCUCAAUCCCUCUGCAGUUUUCUGCAGAGUUGAGUGCUUCCAGGUGUUCAGAGAUUCAGCAAUUUUUCAGAGUAUAUGCACGUCAGAAGCUAGAAUAUCUCCCCCACACUUAUUCAAAACCUGAACUUUAUUAAACAUAAAACAAAAAACAACUUUGGCAACCAUUGGGGUUAACACCAAUGAGCCACAUUAUUCAUAGUAAGUGCUUUACAUGAUUGGAAAAAUAAAAACCAAGCACCUACUACCAUUUUAUUUAUGGGAAAGGAGACAUCUAAUUAGCAUAAUAUUUAUUUUCCUUCCCCAUCUCUAUGAAUGCACGCUUGAUUUUAGCGCACAAACCACAGCUAAGGGUAUCAACAUUAUUUCUAAUUUCAGCGAGUUCAACCCCUAGCUCCGCGUUGCGAUCCCUAAGCUCUAUAUUCUCCUUGCGGAGUUUCUUUACUUGAGCGGCGAGCUUUUGGACUGAGGGCUCCGGUGACUUUACUUCAUCCUCUUGGAAUUGGCUGGGAGUCCUCACGAUUGGAGGGGGCGUCAAGUGACGCUUCACCUUCAUAGGUGGAGGGCUACGGGAUUCCGCUGCCCCCUCCUUCUCCGAUGCCAUCAAAGGCCGGAGUAAACCUUUGCCAUACCCACCGCUGGUAGUUCGCACUCCCAUGAUGCCGAAUCGCUCCUCCUUUGGAGUGGAUGGAGUAGCGGUGGGUGUGGUGUACUUGUGGAGCACCUCAUCCCCUGCCUUGGUGAAUAGGGUGCCCACAUAUCGCUCGGCGGGAGGCGGAGCGGCCUUCAAAAGACCGAGCUCUCCCGGUGUCGGCUGUCGCGCAGGCGAAUCCCCCCGGAUUUUGGUCUUGAUGACAUGACGAGGGGAGAGGGAUCGCGCUGCCGAAUGGGGCCGAGGAGGGUUCGGCCGAACUAGGGAGCUCGCCGGCGGGCUCCAAAUUUGCAGGGAGCCCGGCACUGUUGCGAGAGGCUGUGUCCACAGUGCGUUUACCCCUUCCAUCAUAUAGUGUUCCACCGGGAUCAAUUGAUUCGCCGGUGUUGGCUCUCCAUUGAGAUUGUAGGUAGAAUUGGAGGAGGAGCCAAUGUAUGGGAUCAAGGACUUGCCAGCCAUAGGUGAGUUGUGGGUGGAGAAUCAAGGAAUUGAAUUGGGAUGAAGAAAGAGUUUGCACAAGUGGAGGAGAGGAGGAAGAACAAGUGCUCUAAGCUUUGAUUCGAUCGAUCUACCUCCGAAAGCGCAUCACAAUGGACUACAAACGAGUGGGGGAGACUGAUAUACAAAAUUGGAGCUGAUUGGGUGCUGCCCUGUUUCGGCCAAACCCUGGUGGGUCCAACUGGCCGCCAAAUUUUCCCUAGGCCCCCUAAAUCCUAAGCUAAGCACAAAAAUGACAACUUUAUAGAGUUUUAAGCAUGCAUUAGAUGAAAUCAUCAUGGUUCAUAAUCGAUUAAUUCAAUAACAUCCACUUCUUCAUCUAAAGUUUCAUUCGGCUCGAGGAAAAUCUUUAAGCGUUGACCGUUUACCUUGCAUAUAUUACCUGAAUCGUCGCGGAGUGUGAUUCAGGUAAUAUAUUCAAGGUAUCAUGCCAGCGCUCCGUUCUUUCUUUGUAUAUCUUCGCAUUGUAGUAAGCCUUCCCUCUUCAUUCUUCAAGUUCAGCAAUUUGCAUUUUUCUCCAUUCUCCUGCUCCUUCAAAGUCCAUGUUCCAGUUCCUGAUGGCCCAAUAUGCCCUGUGCUCGAGUUCUACAGGGAGUCGACAUGACUUCCCAUAGACUAUCUGAUAGGGGGACAUUCCAAUGGGUGGCUUGUAUGCUGUCCGGUAUGCCCACAGUACGUCUAGCAAUCUAUCUUUCCAUCAUGUUCCCAUUUUGUUGACCGUCUUCUAUAGAAUAUUCUUGAUCUAUUUGUUUGAUGUUUCUGCUUGACCGCUGGUCUGUGGAUGGUAAGGAGUGGCCACAUUGUGUUUGGCUCCCUUCUCUCGUAGGAGAUUUCGGAAGGUUUUGUCAAUGAAGUGAGAACCUCCGUCACUUAUGACCAUCCUAGGGGUUCCAAAUCUUGGGAAGAUGAUUUCUAUGAACAUCUUCUUGGCAUGCUUCGCAUCCACGGCGCUGCACGACAUAGCCUCAACCCACUUGGAGACAUAGUCGACUGCCACCAGAAUGUACUCGCAGUUGCGAGACUUAGGGAAAGGUCCCAUAAAGUCUAUACCCGAAACAUCGAAUAUCUCGACUUGCAAAUUGUAUGUGAGAGGCAUUGCACUACGAGCAGUGAUUCCUCCUUGCCUCUGGCAACUUGCGAAUCUUCUGACAAAUUCUUUUGAGUCUUCGUACAUUGUUGGCCAGAAGAAGCCACUUUGCCAAAUCUUGGCCUAGGUGCGGAAUGGACCAUAAUGGCCACCAUAGGGUGAGGCAUGGCAUCGCUCUAUGAUCUUAAGUCCUUCAUCAAUCGGCACACAUCUUCGUACAAGCCAUCGGAGCAGACCCGAUAUAAGUAUGGGUCAUCCCAUAUAUGACGGCGACUUUCAUAUUUCAGCUUCCGUUGAUUUCCCCUGGUGGUAUGUACUUGAAUACCAUGUAGUUCACUAUGUUGGCAUACCAUGGGUUGGAGUCGCGAACCGUCAUCAGCAUGUCAUCUCUCAAGAAGUCAUUUAUCGGCUGUUCCUACGUGUCAGUGAUUUGUAGCCAAGACAAAUGAUCUGCUACAGAAUUUUCUACUCCCUUUUUAUGCUUGAUUUCUAAGUCAAAUUCUUGGCGCAGCAAAAUCCAUCUUAAGAUACGUGGUUUAGUGAGUUGGUACUUCAAAACAGCAUGAUCAGUAAAGACUACUCCCUCCGUCCCAAAAUAAGUGCAGUUUUAGCACUGUUCAUGUUCAACGUUUGACCGUUCAUCUUAUUUGAAAAAAGAUUAUGAUUAGUAUUUUUAUUGUUAUUAGAUGAUAAAACAUGAAUAGUACUUUAUCUGUGACAAAUUUUUUAAAUAUUUUUCAUAAAUUUUUCAAAUAAGACGGAUGGUCAAAGCGCUAAACACGGAUAUCUAUGGCUGCACUUAUUUUGGGACGGAGGUAGUAUCACCUUAGCUCCCACCAAAUAAGAUCUAAACUUAUCGAAAGCAAAAACAACCGCGAGCAGCUCUUUUUCAAUGGUUGCAUAAUUCAACUGAGCUCCGGUUAGAGUUUUGCUAGCAUAGCAGAUUGCAUUAUGCUUUUUAUCCUUGGUUUGGCCCAAGACCGCACCAACGGCGAAAUCGCUUGCAUCACACAUGAUCUCGAAGGGCAUAGUCCAAUUAGGAGGUUGAAUGAUUGGAGCAGAGACGGGUGCCUUUUUGAGGAUUUCAAAAGAUUUCAGGCACGCGUCAUCGAACUCAAAGGGCGCAUCCUUGGCUAGCAGAUUGGUCAGAGGUCGGGCGAUUGUAGAAAAGUCCUUGAUGAACCUUCUAUAAAAGCCGGCGUAUCCCAAGAAGCUGCGGAUCCCUUUCAUGUCCACAGGAGGAGGAAGCUGAUCGAUAACAUCGAUUUUAGCAUGAUCAACUCACGUUCGGACACUCGAUGGCCAAGAACUAUCCCUUCACGGACCAUGAAAUGACACUUUUCCCAAUUAAGUACCAGGUCAUUCUCUUGGCAUCGUUGUAAGACUUUGUCUAAAUUCUACAGACAAUGACCAAAGGUCUUUCCACAGACAGAGAAGUCAUCCAUGAAGACUUCCAUAAUGUCCUCGAUCAUGUCUGAGAAAAUAGACAUCAUACACCUUUGGAAAGAUGCAGGAGCGUUGCAUAGUCCGAAGGACAUCCUACGGUAUGCAUCGGUGCCGUAUGGACAUGUGAACGUAGUCUUACUCUGGUCCUCCGGAUGGAUAAGAAUUUGAUGAUAACCGGAAUACUCGUCAAGGAAAUAGAAAAAUGAAUGAUUUGCCAACCGUUCCAACAUUUCAUCAAUGAAGGGUAGCGGGAAAUGAUCCAUUUUCGUAGCCUUGUUAAGCUUCCUGUAGUCAAUGCACAUCCUCCAUUCGGUUACGGUUCAUUGCGGGAUAAGUUCAUUCUGAGCAUUUACAACGACCAUCAUUCCUCCCUUCUUUGGCAUAACCUGGACUGGGCUAACCCACUCACUGUAUGGUACGAGAUAAAUAAUCCCGGCAUGCAGGAGUUUCAAGACCUCUUUUUUACAACUUCUCGCAUCGCAUUAUUGAGCUGUCGUUGAGGUUCCCUUGAAGGAGUACUCUCGGGGUCAAUAGGGAUACGAUGGGUGCAAAGUACAGGAUUAAUCCCCCUUAGAUCUUGAAGCGAAUAGCCAAGAACAGAACAAUGAUUUUCCAACACGGUGAGAAGACGUUGAGUCUCAUCUUCAGAGAGCUUGUCACUGAUUAUGACAGGAGCUUCUCUAUCAUUGUGUAGGAAAGCAUAGUGUUGGCGGUAUGUCAUGAGACCCUCCAACCAGACCUGCCGAAACCAAGUAACCAGCAAGACUUCAAGCCCAAGGCGGCAAGCUCAUUGGGGCGAAGCCCACAUGGCGAAGACUAUGGAGCAAAGACGGCGAAGGGCAAAGAAUCGCGUUGGUAUCCCGUAAGUCAGAAGGCAUCUCGGGCGAAGACCAGGUGGCGAAGGGUGCAUGCCGAAGGGUAACUUCGCCACGACUGUAGGAUCAAGGAGGUCGACUAGAGGGGGGUGAAUAGGCGGUUUUAAAACUUAAUGACACUUAAACAAAACUAACCUAAGUUGCUAGGCAAGGUGAGAUGCAAGGUUAACUAAGCAACUAAGUUAAGUUUUGCAAACCUAAGUGAUAUGGGCUCAAAUAUGUCUCUAUGAAUGUAAAUUGCACAAAUGUAAAUGCAACAAAUAAAUGAGACAAGAGAUAAGGAAUUUUUCACCGAGGUUUGGAAACUCGCCGGUUUCCUAAUCCCCAUUGAGGCGAGCCCAACUCCACCGCUCAACCACGAAGCCACCGCACACCCCCUUCGUCAAGGGGUGGGCAAUGUGGGAGCCGGCCCACGGAGAGGACUACCCAAGCCUCGAUCACUAGGGUAGUUCUUCCUUCACUCCGAAGGUGGUGAACUCCAAACCACUCACAACCGGCACCGGGCCUCCUCCACAAUCUCCUCGGAGAGGUCACCGGGCAACACCUCCACAACACCUCACUAGAUAAACUAAGUGCACAAGGGUGUGAGAGCUCUUGCAAGGGUUCAAGAUAAUACAAUGGUGUGCCAAAACCUUGCCCUUGCUGCUGGGGAGUGGGUAUAUAUACCCCUAACCACCAAAACUAGCCGUUGAAACUGAAAUCCCCAACUCUGUGCUCUGCCUGUCAGACCGCCGUUGUGAGACCGGUCAGACCAGACUACUUUGUAAUGGCUAGAAAACUAGCCGUUACAGGGCAAUCAUUUAGCCCACUCAACCUGGCUGGUCUGACCGUAGUGUAGUGGCCGGUCAGACCGUCCACGGCUCGGUCAGACCGCCGUUGGCUCGGUCUGACCGGUUGCAGCUCUGUAUCGCCACCAAAAACCAGACCUGUGCAACAGACCAGUGGGGCCGGUCAGACCGGCCUUACAACACCUGUCAGACCGGCCUAAGGCCCACGGUCAGACCGCAGGUCACUUUUCAGCUCAACUGACCGUUAGUAAAACGACGAUAUCUCUUGACUCGGGUCUCGGAAUUUGGCGUUCUUGGACUUUAUGGAAAGCUUAUUCAAAGGGAUAUCCAACCCAUGAACAAUCCAUCCAAGAAACACAACUUUUCUCAGGGAGAAAGGGCUCACACUCCAAAGGAUACUCCACCGAACAUAACCACAUGAGGCUACCCAAACCUAUAGGAUUUGCCCACAUCUCUCUUUGUUUAGGACUUGAGAAAACUCACCACACUUGGCUAGACAAGCCCACCAAAUACACCUACAUGCAUAUGAACUAAUAUGGCACAAGAUCAUCCACAAGCUCGCUUCAUAUACCCCUCUUGAUAGUACGGCGCCUAUCUAGCAAAUCCGGUCUACACCAAACACCAAGACCGGGAAAAGACUAAGAAAACAUUCUUAGCUACAUUAUACAUUUGCCUUGCGCCAUCCAUCUUGGGGUCAAGCUUCAGUCGAGAUCAACACUUGUGACCAUUUGAUUCAACCAUCCAUUUGAUUCAACCAUGUUUAUACCAAGGUAUUUACCAUCAUUUGUCAAGACUUUCUUCUCAUCACAAGCUUGAUUUCAUUCUUGCCAACAUGGCGAUGUCCUUGGCUUGGUGACCAUUAACCCAUGGUGUCAUCCAUUAGCCUCAUCAUAGUGGGAUCUAUUCCUUUUCACAUCUCAAAGGAGAACAUUAGUCUCAACAAAUCGGUUGUCAUCCUUCACUUGAUGACCAACCGGUUGCAUAUGAAAGAUAUGGAUAUGUUUGUUGAGUAUUCAUUUACACCACAAGUGUCAUAUACUCGUAUGCAAGCUCAAGUGCAAAGAUCCAAUAUGAAUAAUAGGUGAAUAACAUGGAUCUAGAACAUGCACAAUAAAUGUAUAGGAUUUGCUCCCCCUGAACAUAUGCAUACAAAUAAAUUUACAAGAGAGGCGAGUGUAUGCAUAAGUAAUAAAUAACCAAUGAGGUUUAUCCUAUACACAUAGAGAAGGCAUGUAGCAAUGAUAAAGAUAAACAAAAAUACAUACCUACAUGAUCUCCAUGUUCUCAAUGUAAAGGAGACUAAAUAAGAUAAGGCUCAAGAAAACAUUAGUCUCACACUUAUAUAACAAUGACAUGGAAAUCAUAUAUAUGAACGUAUCAAGAUGAAAGAGAUAAGAGGUGGUACAUAUCGCUUUAAUCUCCAUGCAUUUCAUCCUUGUCAUGAUUAAGGUCGAUCACCAAAGAAUACAUAUCUACCAUAUCUCAUUAUUGAGAAUUAACCUAGUUGACAACUUAUGUAAAAGAGAGGUUAAUCCCAUAAACAUCGGUUUAUCAUCUAUCAGCAAAGCAACAAUUACACAAAUUGUUUAAUCCAAGAUCUUUCAAUCUUUUCUCUCUUUUGUGAUAGAUAAUAACCCGAUAUAACAAUAUAGAAAGGUGAGAUGAAAGAUAAUUUCAAACCAAGGUAGAGAUUUUAUAAUAAACAAAAUAUAGAAUAAGCUCCCCCUCAAGAUGUGCAUACAUAUGGAUAUGAAGGAACGCAUAUGCACAUAAUCAAUAAAGAUCAAUGAGGAAGCUCACACUAUAUUUUGGAUCUAUAAGAGAGACCAAGUUAGAAUAUGUGAAGUUUAAUACAUACCUCUCAUCAUUUUUACUUUCAUAUCCAAAUGAGACUAGUCAAAGAAAGGCUCAUAAAAACGUUAGUCUCAUAUAGUUAGAUUUGUCAUUAAUCACCAAAACCAAAUUAAGGCACUUGAACUUACAACGACAAGUCGAGCUUCGGGGAGGCCCAAGGGGCCAUCCCGGUCGCUCUAAGCCCAUUGGCCAUUGGGCCAGCGUUCGCCAAUCGGCCCAGUGGAGGCCCAUGUAUCUCAAUUACGCUGUGUACCCAUGUAAAUGUCCCUUUCAUGAGGGCAACCAUAUAAAUUCCCCUGUAAAACCUAAACCCUAAUAGGGGGACCUGUAAUAGAACUAUAAAUAGACCCCUAGGGGCAUGUAAUGGGGGAUCCCAAGAAAAAAUCUCGAAUAUACACACUCAUCGUUCCCAACAACUGUUGAGUAACCACAUCCUUCGACGUACGCAGUUGUCGCUUCGACAACAGCUGGCGCCAACUGUGGGGACCUCUGAGCGAAACCACUGAGAGCGAAUGCCACUGAAGAAGGUCGCAAAGGAAAAGGUUGCAAGACGAAAGGAGAGUGAAGCAGGAGUGGAGAUGGCAGCCGAAGAGGAAGCAGAGCCUUCGGCGCUCGACGCCGAAGAUGGUGUGGCACCAUCGACUUCGGCCCCUGCGCCGCAACAACCACCUUUGGCUCCUGCCACUUCGGUGGGGCAGGCGCUAAACACAGUUGAUGCGGCGAAGGCAGCUGCGGCAGCAAGGGCGCUCCAGACCAGGGCGGAGACCCUUUCAACAUGUCAACUGGUGGCCCCCCAGGCUGCUUCGCCGCAGCAGGCUACAUCUUCGACCGCGCUCACCGCCAUACAAGUCAACUCCAACCUCGAAGCGCAAGCUAAAGCCGACAUGGGGGCCAUGCGUCAAAACAUGGCGCGACUCCAGGACAUGCUUCGUCAGAUGCAAGAGCAGCAGCAGGCAUACGAAGCGGCCCGGCAAGCCAAGGUUGCCUCGGCCCCCAUUCUCCAGUAUUCGACAGGCUACAUCCCAACCCAGGCCUACCCACAGGCACCGAUUCAAGCCCUUCCGUCACAAGUCAUGCAAGCACCAGCGAACUUCGCCGGGCAGCCUUCGGCCGCAACAGUACAUCCAACCCCUCAUGUACAGCUACAAGUUCGACCGGUCGCUACCCAAGUACGCCCCCCGUGGCCUGGUCAGAUGUCGCAAGCAAUGGCGGAGGGGGCUUCGGCCUUGCAGGCGCAGCUCCAAGCUUUUCUUCAGCAGCUCAAACCAACCCCACAACACUUCAGAAGCAACCCCUUCGGCCCAAUCGGAGGGGAACACAAGUCAAGGUGCAUCCAGUUGGCUACCGUCGAACCUGCCUGGUCUAGGGGUUUCGCCAUGGAGUCAAGGAUUGCCGUUCGACUUCAGCAACGCCACUCAAGCACCAACCAUCCGACCGCAUGCACCGACACUAGGCUUCGGAACAAACCAGGUCGCCAUGGCAUGGACCCAGCCUUCGUUCGGCCCAUCCAUGGCGGCACACCAAGCGUCGCCGUUCGGAGCCAGGCAGCCGAACACUAUGGCCCAACCGCACGCGCAAGCCAUGACUUCACCCUUCGCCAUGCCAUAUCCAAAUAGGCCUUCGCAGCAAGGUGCCGUGAGCAAGGCGGGGAGCGAAAAAGGGCCGCCGCUGAGUGGGGGAAUCAAGAUUCGCCUAAUCCCACCCAGUUCAAGUUCCCACCCGUUCCGCGAUACUCGGGCGAAACAGACCCAAAAAAGUUCCUGUCCAUAUACAAGUCCGCGAUCGAAGCCGCUCAUGGCGACAAAAAUACCAAGGCAAAGGUAAUCUAUCUCGCUCUAGAUGGCAUCGCCCGUUCUUGGUACUUCAAUUUACCAGCUAAUAACAUUUACUCAUGGGAGCAAUUGCGCGAUGUUUUUGUCCUUAAUUUUCGAGGCACCUAUGAGGAGCCGAAGACGCAGCAACAUCUACUCGGCAUUCGCCAGAGGCCGGGGGAGUCGAUAAGGGAGUACAUGCGUCGCUUCUCGCAAGCCCGAUGCCAAGUUCAGGACAUAACCGAGGCGUCUGUCAUCAACGCCGCUUUGGCUGGGCUGCUCGAGGUCGAACUCACAAGGAAAAUCGCCAACAAGGAGCCGCAGACACUCGAGCACCUGCUUCGCAUCAUCGAUGGAUACGCAAGGGGCGAAGAGGAUUCCAAGCGACGGCAAGCAAUCCAAGCCGAGUACAAUAUGGCCUCUGUUGCCGCUGCUCAAGCCCAAGUACAAGCACAGGUCGCCGAACCGGCUUCUCUCGCCAUUCGCCAGCCUCAGCCGGUGAACCAAGGACAACCACCAAGGCCAGGUCAAGCUCCCAUGACUUGGAGGAAAUUCAAAACCGACCGUGCAGGCAAGGCCGUGAUGGCUGUCGAAGAAGUUCAAGCCCUCCGCAAGGAGUUCGACGCUCAACAAUUAGCAGCCAUCAACAGCCCGUUCACAAGAAGGUCAGAAAAGACCUUUACUGCGCCUUUCACGGACGCUCUUCGCACACCACUGAGCAAUGCCGAAACAUUCGUGUAACGGACUCAAAUUUUCGGGGAAAAUUUUUUGCGAAAUAUUUUAGUUGCACUCUUCUCGAUUCUUCUGUUGAAGUGAUCUUACCCUCUGUUAAUUUCUUUUAACUUGGAUUUAAAACUUUAUUUGCAAAGUUAAUCGCUCUCUUUUAAAUUUUACAAAACCUCUCUAUUUAUUUUCUUUAAUCUCUGACUUUGGCUCUACAUUAUAUUUCCUUUGAUCUCCAACCUCCGCAAAUACCAAUUCUUAUUUUCCCCAGAACCAAUACCUUCCCUUUGGAUCUCCACCUAAAUAUCCCCAUAGUCCAUAACAUAUCCUUUUCAAUCCCUCUUUGAGUCAACAUACCUAUCCUUUAGAGUUUAUCAAUCUACCACCAAUUCUGUUCCUAUAAAAAUCCCCAUCCACAUAUAUUUCCGAAUCCAGUUCUAUACUCCCACAAAUAUUUCCCCUUUGAAAUCUCGUUUAUCUAAAUUACCCAUUUUCUCUUUGUUGGAACUUAUUUUUGGAUCAAACCCCUACCUAGACCUAUCUCCAAAAAUCUUUACUUCCUCUCCAACCAAAAUAUUCUACCAUCCAUUCUGGGAUCAAGUUCCUGUUUUGAUCGAGCCACCAGUUUGAUUCCCAUGGCUUGAUCGCAUCCUUGGCACAAGAAUAAUAUUAUUACAAAUAAUUGAGUGAUUGCUCUUGUGCUAAGAAGCUUAUUUUCAACCCCUUCCAUACAAAAUCCAACUUCCGUUAGCCACAAAUAUUUCACCGAGAAUCCAUAUCACAUAUCUUGGAGGCUAAAAUCCUAGUUAUUUACCUCCAUCUAUUUUUGCCACCAUCCCAAAUUUAUCCAAAGUUAGAAAUUAAAUUAUUGCCUUUCCUUCCCAUUUGAUUAUUUUUGUGACAAGUUUUAUUUUUGGUUCUUAUUGAAUUUUAUAAAAUUGGAGUAUCUUUAUUUUUACCCUUUUCAAAUUUAUAUCUCAAAAUAAAUAUCUUUGAUUUUAUUCUAAAAAUAUUUCAAACCCCUUUUGUUUUAAAAACCUUAUAUUUAAAUUAUUUUUAUAAAGUUCAAAGGACCCUCAAACAUUUCUCCUUUAGAUGUUAUCUCCAAUAAAAUCUAUUUAAAAUUAUCCCUUCAAAUUUUUCUUUAGGUUUCAUUUCCUAGAAAUCCUAUUUCUUUUCCAAACUUCAAAAAGUCCACUAACAUCUUCUUUUAGCUCCAUUAUUUAGAAAUCCUAUUUGAAUUCCUUGUCCGAGUUCAAAAAGUCCACAAAUACACAUCUCUUGUUGUCAUCUCCUUUGAAAUUCUAUUCAAAAUCCUCCAUACAAAAUUUCCUAAAGACUCCUAUUCAUUUUGGGCGAAAAAUCCUUCAUUUGGCCCAUUCCUUCUUUCCUUCCUCCUCCCCUUCGGGCUGCCGGCCCCGCUGAGCCGAGCCGGCCCAAAUCGGCCCAUGGCCGAAGCCGCCUCCUCCUCCUGUGGGCGCGCGUGGCGCACGCGCACGCCGCCGCCACCGUUGCCGUGGCUUUGCGCCGCCAUCGCCCACAGCUUUGCUCCGCCGCCGUCGUCUUGUCGUCGACGCGAAGGAACGGCCGCUCGACGUCAGCUAAACUCGAUCCCGUCGACGUCAGCAACAGGGACGAACCGCCAUCGUCGGCCAAUCAAAGAACAGAGCCGGCGCUGUCGUUCUUUUCUUCACACUGCCGUCGCCGUGUUCCCCUUGUUCUCCUCCUCUCCGAACCGACAUUCGCGGCCUAUAAAUGAAGGAUGAGGUCGCUCCUUUCCCCUCUACACCAGCCGAGCUCUUCGAGCUCUCUCUCUCUUUCUCAGUUUCUCUCUCCAUCCAUGUCCGGCCGUCACCGCCUCCGGCCGAUCUCCUCCUCUAUAGCUCCCCUUCUAGUUUCUUUGCACCACUAGCUUCGCCUCACUCCGGUGAUUCCAUUUUUUCACUUUCCCCUCCCCUUCUACCCCAAACAAGCCAUCACCAAAACUCUCUCUCUCUUGCCAGUUCACACUAUUAUACUCGCCGUUCCGGCCAUCCUCCUCUCUGUCUCUUCCUUCCUGCACCCUCCCUAGGUGCGCCGCAUCCGGGAACACCAUCUCCCGCCGACUUAUCCACCUCCCAGCCACCGGAGCACCGCCGCCUUGCUCGCCCUCUCCUCUCUCUUCUCUCGGCUCCCACCGAGACAGAGGAAGAAGACGACGAGAAGAAGAGGAGGCAAAAAGAGACAGUGUCAAGUGGGCCCCACUUUCUACACAGUAAUCCUUUCCUUUUUAUUCGAUUUAUUUCAAUCUCAAUUUUCUAGACACCCAUAUCUCUCUAACCAUUGAUCCAUUUCCAAAAAUUCUUUGACCUAAAUUCAUCUAAUUUCAAACCCUCUCUUUUGAUACCAAAUUUUCUAUUUUUAAAAUUUUAUUUAAAUGCCUUUUCCUUAAUUAUUUAUUUACUUUCUAAUUUUAAACUAUUUUAAUUAAACUUUAAAAAAUAUUUUUAUUCAAAUAACUUUACAUCCCUUUAAUUUUAAAUUUCUUGUUAAAUUAUAUUAUCCUUUAAUUUCUUUAAAUGCCCUUUUCUUUAUUUUAAAAUACCAUUUUAAAUUUUAUUUCUUUAAUCCCUUUUAAAACUCCUUUUUGAAUUCAAAUUUCUUUGAUAGUUCUUUUUAUUUUUAAAACUAUCCCUUAACCACCAAAAAGCCGCCGUGGAAACUUUACGCCUUCUAUGGAGACAUUCGCGUAGUCUUAAACCCCGACGUCAAACCGAAGAUCGUAAAACCCGACAUAACCUAAUCCUAAGGUCGAAGUGUCGCUUUUCGCAUCCCACGCCUCAACGCGUAUAGUGGUCGGAGCCUCACUGCUCCCUCAACCUUCACAGCAAGCUGCACACUAGCUUUUGGCUCUGCUGUCACUCACGACCGUAGAGUAACACUAUUCCGUAAACCUACACCAACCUCUCAACUCCUUGGUCGUUGUGCUGCUUAAUUGUAGCAUCGACUAGACGAGCCGAUAUUUAGCCGUUAUGCUGCCCAUCCUUAGCAUCGGCUAACCAAUCCAAAUAUCUAGUCGUUGUGCUACUUUACUCUAGCAUCGACUAGAAACCAAAUCCACCAAAUAAACCCCACCUAUCCAAAAUUAUCCUUUCUUCGAUUUUAUUCAAUUUCCAACCUAUAGAAACCAUCACCUCUCUUUUAUUUUAUGUUUAAAUCAAAAUUUAUUUUGAACCAUUCAUUUCUCCUCUCGUCUUGCUCAAAUUUUAUUUGUUCCUUGGUUCUACCGUUUUUUAGUAGCAAUUUGCUUAUAGGCUUUAUUAUCUAUCUUUUCAUAUCCGUAAGUUAGUCCAUACAACAAGUUCGACUAUCGAAUCCAAGGAGCUGACGUGGACCGAGAUGGCUACGCUGAAGCCACGGGAAAUCUUAAGGCGCAAGGCAAGACAUAACUAAAAUUUUGUUCAUAUAGAAACUUUGAUAUAAUCUUCAUAUUUAAAUUUGAUGCAUGAUAUUUACUAUUUUAACAUCUCACAGGUAGAUGUUAUACUUCAGAAUAACAUUGUGGUAAUUGUUAAUGCUUUCUAGCAUUGUUACAUGAGGUUAUUGAAAGAUGCAUUGGAUAUCAUUUUAAGUGGUUUAUUAUUCAAAUAUCUUUACAAACUUAGGAAUCUAGUUAAAAUGGGCAUUUUUUAAAUGUGAUUACGAAUAUUGAUAAAUGAUGAAGAUGGUGUGGGGAGUUUGGAAAGUUUUGGGUGGUUUAACCGGAUUAUAUAUAAUUACCCCCUUAUACCAUGGAAAUGACAUAGUUGCGUCCAUCCACACGUUCAAGUAAUUGGACUUAGCCUAGUACAUUGUCCCAAUAUAUGAAAGACUGUUGGUUGGCUCACUAGGAGCAGGAUUGGGGUGAACACAUGCGUAAGGAGGUGGAACUCGUGAAAGCAGCGACCAUGUAGCCUUGCUUAGGCCCAGCAAGUGCCCGACUGCUAGGAUGGAUCAAUAUCCCACUCGUGCAGUUGUUAACGACCAAAUUUGGUAAUAUCAGCAUCGGAAGUGAAGAUGAGAUCGAAGUGGAAUCAGAGAUAAGGAUUUCUGUGGGAACAGAGUAAGAAUCGGCUGGAGUCCGGAUCGGCUACGACCAGAAUCGGCUAAAUCCGAAUCAGACUAGGUUAGAUGAUACAGCCGAUUCCGAUAAUACAACUUGGUGUACAACAUCGGGUUGAGUUGAUAUGCUUCAAGAUGAUUGCCGCACGUGGAUAGAGUCCUGAGAGGGCAAUUGUAUCCAUUAAUUAGGAUGUUUUAUGUAAUUUCCUUAGAGAUAUGUUUAGGGCAAAAGUCUGUCGCAAAGACUUAUGGUAUUUUAGAGUUUGUUAGGGAUAAUAGUCGUGUCCGGUAUGGACAUAUCUUGUAACUCUCGGGUAUAAAUAGACCCCGGGUCCUAUGUAAUUUUUAACACACACACAC